rnacentral:lncRNA from 1 species
UUUCAACACGACCCACAGGGACAGUUCCAAUACCUCCAAUCUUGUACACAUCCUGAAGUGGAAGACGGAGUGGCUUGUCAGAGGGUCUCUUGGGCUCAUUGAUCUGGUCAAGAGCCUCGAGAAGAGUUGGACCCUUGUACCAAUCAAGGUUGGUGGACCUUUCAAUCAUGUUGUCACCCUCAAAACCGGAGAUGGGGACAAAAGGAAUCUUCUCAGGGUUGUAACCAACCUUCUUCAAGUAGGAAGACACUUCCUUCACAAUUUCAUCAUACCUAGCCUUUGAAUAUUUGGGGGUUGUGGCAUCCAUCUGUAUAUGUCAUGCAUAAGAAUAAUUACUAAUUACAAGGCAACCAAUUAGAAACUACUGAACAUAAAAGCCUGAAUACAAUGGCCUACCUUGUUGCAGCAGCAAAUCAUUUGCUUGACACCGAGAGUGAAAGCAAGCAGAGCAUGCUCACGGGUCUGUCCAUCCUUGGAAAUACCUGCCUCAAAACCUCCAGUGGUAGAGUCAAUGAUAAGUACAGCACAAUCGGCCUGGGAGGUACCAGUAAUCAUGUUCUUGAUAAAGUCACGAUGUCCAGGGGCAUCGAUGACAGUGCAGUAAUAUUUGGUGGUCUCAAACUUCCACAAGGCAAUAUCAAUGGUAAUACCACGUUCACGCUCAGCCUUCAACUUGUCAAGCACCCAAGCAUACUUGAAUGACCUCUUGUUCAUCUCAGCAGCUUCCUUCUCAAACCUUUCAAUGACACGCUUGUCAAUACCUCCAAGCUUGUAGAUCAAGUGGCCAGUGGUGGUUGACUUUCCAGAGUCGACAUGGCCAAUUACGACAAUGUUAAUGUGAGUCUUUUCCUUGCCCAUUCUGCAGUAUUAGCUUCAAGCUGCACCAACAUAUAUAUAGUUAAACCAGAAUCCCAUGCAUAAACAAUUAGUAAAAAGGGUAGCCAAAAAAACAAUGAACAUGUUUACCCCUGCAUCCCAAAAUUUUAAAAAAAUGAACAAAUUAACACAACACGAUACUUAAGCUAGUUUUAUGUUUAAAAUUAAACAGAAAAAAACAUAACAUCAAUUCUAAUAGCAUAGUUCCUACUUCAUGCUUUAGAAGCAAAAAUUAAGUAGCAUAUCUAUUUUUCGCCCUUACUUUUCUACAAUUUUUAAGCAUCAACUUUUAUUUUUGCAAUGAUUUAAGCAUUAACUUUUAUUGAACGAACAACUAAAGAUACUAUGAUUUUACAUUUGAAGAGAAACGAUUACAGCAAAGUUCUCAAAAUGGACCAAGAAAACGCAUUGAUAUCAUAGUCUCCAAAUUUAAAAAAAAAUAAAAGUUGGUCAGAGAUUGACUCACUUAAACAAUAUGCACAAAUCCAGAAAUAAUUAUUCAUAUGAACGAAAACAAAUCUACAGCCAAAAGAAUCAAUACAACGAUCAUAAUAAACGACAAUUUCUCUCAAAAGCUCAAAUCAGAUCUCCAAAUUAUUAUCAUACGAUAAAUCUAACAACAGUAUUACAGAAAAAAAAUCUCAUCAGGAGAAAAAGAAGACAAAAAUCAAAAGAGAGAUCUAAAUUACAUUGAAAUUAAUAUAAAAAGUUAAGCCAGGCGAAUAAAAAACAGAGCAAAUAAAAAUAUGAAAGAAUGGAUUGAAUAAAUUAGAUCUGAGAAUGGAACCUUUGGAAUAGAAGCGAUCUGAAGCUGAAAUCGUGGCGGCAAAGCAGAAGAGAGAUAAUAAUAGUAAGAGAGGUGAUAGGGUUUUACAAGUAAGCUGCUCUCUCGUUCAUUUUUAUAGUCAGGUUUUAGCUUCUUUCUUUUUAUUCCUAAAAUGUCCUUUUUCAGAUUUGUUUUGACAGAUACGUCCUUCGGUUUCUUAAUAGGGGCGUCGAGGUUUAAUUUUCACGUAUGUGGAGUAUGAUGUGGUUGAAGCGGACGUUUUUUAUUGGUAAGUGUAGUUACGCGCUUGUCUUGUGAGUGGGAGUUAUUUGCUUUAGGUUUGGGUUGGGCCUGGGAAUGGACACCAGCCAUUGGCAGGCGUUUUGUCUGCACAAAUUGCAAUUGCAAACAAAAGGCCGUCUCAUCGACUGGGAUGUACCUGAGCAGCAGGAGAUGAGAGAUGAGCCACAGGUAUUCCUUAUUUGCUGGUGGGAUCCAUGUCAGGUUAUUCCUUAAGGAUCCCAAUUUUCCUUUUACAAAUCCCAAAUAAUUUUAAUUAAAUCGUUUUUUUACAUUUUUAAUAUUUUUUCACAAACUUACUUUUUUAAUUUCUAAUAUUUUUACAACUUUUAAUAAUUCUUUUACAUUUUUAAUAAUUAUUUGCAAUUUCUUAAUAUUUUAAUUAAUUCUUUUAUAAUUCUAAAUAAAAUGUUAAAACUUUUUAAUAAUUUUUAUUAUCUUUAAAAAAAUUGAGUCUCUUAAUGGCUGGUCAAUACUUGAUCAAUGGUCACAUCAUCAAUCAAUGAUGGACACGUGACAUGGUCUGAUUGGUUGAGUUUCUUUUUAUACCGUUAACUUUUAGGUGUCAAAAUGGAUAACGAAGUAAAGUUCAAAUGUCAAAAUGGGACAAAAAAAGUUUAGGUACUAAAAUAGGAAAAUGGGUAUAAUUCAGGGGGUAAAUCAUUAAUAAAGCCUAAAAAAAUUGAUAUAAAAGUUAAAUGUAGAUUUAGCUAAAAUAGAAAAGUGCUAAAAUUUUGAAAUCUUAGAUUCAAAUAUCAUGAUUCUCAUUUACAUGCAUAUUUUUUUUCUAGAUUUAUCAAAACAUGAAACACAUAUAAAUACUUUCAAUGGGGUGUCUAGUGAGUUGAGACUCGGUUGAUGAAUGACAUCAACUUAGUCAAAAUUCUAUUUUAGUCACUUAUUGAAAUUUGAUAUUUUACUCCCUCAUCAAUUAAAUCAUUAAUGGAAAGAUGAUGCGACCUUUUUUGUAAGUGUAAUAAUAAAAUUACCCCUAAAACAUUUACAAAUUCUAUUAAUUUGAUCUUAACUUUUAAAAAAUUAAAAAAUUUAAUCCUUAAUUUUACACGUUCAACAAUAAAUCAACAAAAUUUGAGAAUGCGAAAUAUCACUUGUAACAGCCCGAUUUUGGGCCUAAUCGAAAUAGUGGUUUUGGGGCCACUAAUCUGACGAGGAAAAAUUUAAUAUUCUUAUAUUUUUAUGAUCUAAAGACGUACAGAAUGAUUUUUUGAAAAAAAAUUUCGAAAAUUUUGACGUUUGGGCACUCAAUUUAGUCGAAAGGACUAAAUUGUAAAAAAGUGCAAAACUUGAGUUCUAGAAGCUAAAGGUGUCUAAUUGCUAUGAAAUUUUAAAUUGGAGGUCCUAAAAAGGUAAUUAUGCCAUUGGUUAAUUUUUUGGACAAAAAUGAGCAUGAAAUAGGUGAAAUAGAAUAUUUUUAAGUUAAGGGCAUUUUAGUAAUUUGGUGAUUAAAUGAAUUAAAAAGCCAAAUUAAAAGCCAAUUUUUUCUCAUCUUCAACCCAUUGGAUGAAUUUCAAAUGAGGAAGACAUAUCUAGGGUUUUCAAGCUUCCAAGCUCGAUUGUAAGUUCGUUUUAGCCCCAUUUUUAAUGUUCUUUACAUUUUUGAGAUCCUCGUAGCUCGGUUUAGCUAUUUCUACCAUUAUUUUGAGUUAAGGUUUGUAUUUAAAAAUUUACCCAUGGAUGAAUUUCAUGUGUUUUGAUAUUUUAUGGUAGAAUAUGAAAGUUUAAAGUGUAAUAAACAACUUUUACUAGAUUUUUAAUGAAAUUGCAUAAAAGGACUUAUUUGUAAAAGUUGUAAAACAUGUGUAAAAAAUGUGAUUUAGUGAAAAUUGUGGGCUGCUAUAAAAGGGAAUAUGAAUCGGCUAGGCUUGAGUAAUGAGAAAAAUGAGUACUUUUCAUUUUACGAGCCUAAGGGCAAAAUUAUAAAUAUGUGACCAUAAGGUGUUUUUGGGGCUGAAUUGAAAAUGUGUGUAUUAAAUGAGUUAAAUAUGUUAUUAUAGAUCAAGAAAGACGAGGAAUUGACCUUGACUGGGGAAAGGCAAGGUUGUGGACUAAGACGCAAACAUUUGAUAUUUUGGACUGAGGUAAGUUUGUAUGUAAAUAAUGCAUCGUUUUUACUUAUGCUUUCAUAUUUUGAUAUAUUUUGUUAAAUGUGGCUGAAUAUUUGAUGUAUUUUACAAAAUAUCGACAAGUGAGAAAUUUCUCGAUUGAACCUUAAGAAUAGAAUAGGAUACAAGUGACAUGUCACUAGGAACAUAUGUGAAAACUAUGUGAAAUUGUGACUAAGUGAAUUCGGGUGCUGGUCUAAUAAGUUCUACCAGUGACUGGGUAAUCCAGCAUGUGUUGUGGAUACCUGACAGCUUGUGUGAGCAGUACUGAGUAGUUACGAAUGACCGACAAGUUGUGUGAGCAGACCCGCGAAUGUGAAUAGCUUGAGAACGAGCCUAUGUGUGAUAAGUGAUGUGAAGUAGCUUUGGCUACAAGUAUGGCACUAUGUGCAAUAUUUCUGAUGUAUCCGUUAAUAUUAUGAUGUGUUCAACGGGAAAUGACUAAGUUUAAAUGAUUGUGAUUAUGUGAUGAAUGAGUGCAGAUACAUAUGUGUAUAUAUAUAUUCAUGAGCAAUGUGCUCGAUAUGUGAUCAAAUUUUGGUAAGGUUGAUGUAGAGUAAGUAUGACUAUGAAGACUUGUAAAUAUUUGAUAAUGACUAGCUAUUGGAAUGACUAGCUAUGGACAUGCUUGGUGUUAUGUGUGUGUAAAUGAAAGUUAAUACAAAGAAAACAUGAAAGAGUAAAAUUAGUAAUAAAACAGUUUUGGAUAGCAGCUGUUGUAUAAGUUUGAAAAAUCACCAAAAAUUGUGAAAAUCGAAUUAGAGGUUUAAUAAGAUAUGAAAUUAAAGUUUAUUGAGUUUAGUUUUACAUAGAAGAAACGAUGUAAGCAAGAGAAUUUCAUAUUAUGAGAUAUUUGAAAUUUUAUGAGAUAGGGUCAGAGUGAUUUCGGAAUCCCCUGUUCUGAAUUUGGAAACUCAUUAAAAAUUGUAUAAAAAUAAUUUUGGGUUAGAAUUUAUAUGUUUAAAAUUCUUAAUGAGUCUAUUUUCAAUAUAAAAAACAGGAAAAUCAUCCGAAUCUCGUACGAGGUGAUAAUUAAUUUUUAGUGAAGAAGGGUCGAAACUGUCAGACAGUAGAACAAGGAUGACUUUAAAGAAUAAACUUUACUUAUCGGCUAAACCAUAAAUUCUGAAAAUUUUAUGGUAACAAUAUAUAUGAGUCUAGUUUCAGAGGAAUUUAUCAAAUCUAAAUUCGGAGUUCCGUAGCUCAAGAUAUAAAUAAUUUAUUGACUAUGACUUGCGUAGAUAGCUUGAUAUGAAAAUGAGUGAAUAGUGAAACUAUGUGCAAAUAUGAUUGUAUUAUCUUGAGAACACAUUAUGAGGAUUGAUAAAAGCAUGUUAAUAAAUUGUUUAUUAUUUACAUACCAACUUACUAAGCUAUAUGCUUGCUUCCUUUUCUUUCCCUUGUCUUAUAGUGUCACCAAGCUAGCUCGGGGUACGGAGAUCGUCCAUCCACACUAUCAACACUCUUUUGGUAUUUUGAAAGCAAUAUUAUGAAUUAUGGCAUGUAUAGAGGACUUGGUUAUUUUUUUAUGUGUCAUAAUUGAUUUGGCCUAAAAUGUUGGCCUAUGUUAUUUGAUAGUUCAUUUUGUAUAAUGUCAUUGAUGUUGGCUAUUAUUGGUUAAGUUGUACAUUUAUGAUAAUGCCAUGUUGUGUGUUGAUAAAUUUGGUAUAAGUGUGUAAAUGUUAGGAUGGAAAAAGGCUUGGUAAAUAGCCUAACUUUCAUCCACAUGGCUGGCCACAUGGCUAUGUGCUCAGGGCGUGUGCCCCUGUUUUUUAAGAAAAUUUUCAAAGUUUUUAAAAGUUCUCGGUUUGGUCCCGAACUACUUUCAAAGUAUGUAUUGGGUCUCGUAAGCCCAUAUUAGGGACUUUAUGAUGAAAUAUGAAAAGUUUUAAUUUUGGUGAAAUUUUAUGACUCGGUUUUGUAUGAUUGGUUAUGUUUAAGUCCGGUAAUACCUUGUACCCUAUCUCGGCGUCUGACACGGGUAAGGGGUGUUACAUUUAGUGGUAUCAGAGCCAUGGUUUAGUCGGUUCUCGGACUAACAUAGCGUGUGUAUGAGUCUAGCUAUACAUGCCAUAAAUAUACUGUGAUAGUGUGAUGACUCCUGACAAUUUAAAUUGUGUUUUCAUAUAAUAAAUGGAUCAUGACCGAGUUGUAGCUGAUGACAUAGAGAGUAACGCACCGGCUCCCGCGCAAGGGACCGCGCCAGUUGAAAGUAGAUUUGAAACACAUAGUCAGGGAGAUGGGGCUCGGGAAGCCUUCCUCCAUAUGAUGAAUAAUUGGUACACAAAAUUUAUUCGGGCGAAUUCGAACGCCCAACCUCCUCCACCCCCUCCUAUUCCCCAACCGGUUCCCGUAGUUACUCAAGGUACAUAAAUGGUAAGACUGACUAAGCCUCCGGUUGGUAAUAUCCGAAAGCAAGGGGCUGAAGAGUUCAGGGAUAAUAUAGAUGAUGAUCCUGAGAAAGCAGAGUUUUGGCUUGAGAAUUCUAUUCGGGUAUUUGAUGAACUUUCUUGUACUCCCGAAGAAUGUUUAAAGUGUGCUAUAUCUUUAUUGAAGGACUCGGCAUAUCACUGGUGGAAUACACUAGUAUCCGUGGUUCCGAAAGAAAGGGUUACGAAUUUUUGGGACACAUAGUUUCAGGUGAUAGUAUUCGAGUUUAUCCGAGCAAAAUUUCAAUAAUUGUUGAUUGGUGCCCUCAACUCGACCAAUAUCGAACCAUCAUUAGACAAAGCCAAACUCGUACUCAUAGUUCUUAAAGUAAAUAAGGAUUUUCUGCUCAAGGCAUCAGCAACUACAUUUACUUUUCAUGGGUGGUAACAAUCACUAGCUCAUAAUCUUUUAUUAAUCCGAGCCAUCUCCAUUGUUGCAAAUUCAAAUCCUUUUGAUUCAUCAAAUGCUUCAAACUCUUGUGAUCGGUAAAGAUUCGACAUUUCUCGCAAUAAAAAUAAUGACUCCAAAUUUUCAAAGCAAAGACGAUGACAGUUAAUUCCAAGUCAUGCGUCAGAUAAUUCUUCUCGCAUGGUUUCAACUGUCUCGAGGCAUAACCUACCACUUUGCCCUCUUGCAUCAACACACAACCAAGGCCAUUUAAUGACUCACCACUAUAAAUUACGAACUCUUUCCCCGUCUCAGGUUGCACCAAAACCGACGCCUCAGUCAAUAAUGCUUUCAAUUUCUCGAAACUUUGGUGACAUUUAUCAGUCCAUUCAAACUUAAUAUUCUUUUGCAACAACUUAGUCAUAGGAGAGGCAAUCAUCGAGAAUCCCUCGACAAAGCGUCUAUAAUACCUAGCUAAGCCCAAAAAGCUUCUAACCUCGGAUACAUUCUUUGGCGGUUUCCAAUCAACAAUUGUCGAAAUUUUGCUCGGAUCAACCCGAAUACCAUCACCUGAAACUAUGUGUCUCAAAAAUCCAACUUCACGAAGCCAAAACUCACUUUUACUGAACUUAGCAAACAACUUCUUUUCUCUCAAAAUCUGUAACACAGUUCUUAAGUGUUCGGUAUGCUCAGACUCAUCUCAGGAGUAAAUCAGGAUGUCAUCUAUAAACACAACUACAAACUUAUCCAAAUACGACUGAAAUUUUUAGUUCAUCAAGUCCAUAAAAAUACCAGAGCAUUAGUUAAAUCGAAAGGCAUCAUAAGAAAUUCAUAGUGUCCAUACCUCAUUCUGAAAGCAGUUUUUGGCACAUCUGACUCUUUAACUCUCAACUUAUAGUAAUCGGAUCUCAAAUCGAUCUUUGAAAACAUUGUCGCCCCUUUUAACUGGUCGAACAAAUUAUCAAUCCUUGGUAACAGAUACUUGUUCCUUAUAGUCACUUUGUUGAGCUGACGAUAAUCAAUACAAAGUCUCAUAGAUUCGUCUUUCUUCUUGACAAACAGUACAGGAGCACCCCAAGGAGAAAAACUCAGUCUCACAAAUCCCUUAUCUGUCAAUUUUUGCAACUGAGCUUUUAAUUCUUUCAAUUCAGUCGGAGCCAUUCUGUAUGGAGCAAUCGAGAUUAGUGCAGUCCUAGGUAAUAAAUCAAUAGCAAAUUCAAUCUCUCUAAUCAGAGGUAACCUAGGCAAUUCUUCCGGAAACACAUCUGAGAAUUCACAAACUACCGACACUGAUUCAAGUUUCGACUCAGACAUCUCAGUAUUCAACACGUAUGCAAGAUAAGCUUCACACCCUUUUCUCAUGUAUUUUUUAGUAGACAUGUACGAAAUCACCAUAGGCAAUUUAUUUGAUUCAUCUGUUUCAACCCAAAGAAUCUCACCAUUUUCACAUUUCAACUCAAGGGUUUCCUGUCUAUAAUUACCUUGUCAUCAUGUAAUUUCAACUAAUCCAUACCCAGAAUAACAUCAAAAUCAUCAAAUGGCAACAACAUCAAAUUAGCCGGAAAACAAUGACCUUAAAUCAUCAAAGGGCAAUUCUUGCAAACCUUAUCAACUAACACAUAUGUGCCUAAAGGGUUUGACACUUUAAUCACAAAAUCAGUAAGUUCAAUAGGCAAACUCUUACUAGAUACCAAAUUUACACAAACAUAAGAAUGAGUAGACUCGGGAUCAAUCAAUGCAAUAACAUUAAUAUCAUAAAGAGAAAAUGUACCAGUAAUCAGAUCGAGAAAUGACGCAUCCUUACAAGCACGUAUGGCAUAAGCUCUAGCGGGUGCUCUAGCUUCUGGCCUCACAGCUGAAUCUUUCACUACACUUUUACUGCUAGCUCCACUUUCGGCAUUUCUCAGUGGUCUACCUCUGCUGGCAGUAUUACCCGGUCUAACACUCUGAUAUUUUUCUUCCUCAGCCCUCUCAGGACAAUCUUUAAUAUAAUGCUUUUGAGAACCACAUUUAAAACAAGCACGGCUAACCAUAUAACAUUCGUUGGGGUGUCGUCUGCCAUAAUGUUGACAUUCAGGUCUAUUGGAUUUAACAUUACCCACGCUUGCCAUUGAAGUAGCUUGAGUUUUAGAACCCGAAUAUGAUCUCCCAUAGUCUCGGUGUGAAUACCCAGCUGAAACAGUCAAUCAAGGAUUCAUCUCUUUGGACUUCUUUGACUGAGAUUGGAAUGGCUGACUCAUUGGUCUUUUUCUUGUAUCUCGGGCCUCAAUCACAGCUUUUUUCUUUUCUUUGUUCAACUCUUCAGCUUUGUAAGCUCAAUCAACCAGUACCAAUAAUUCUUUUAGCUCUAAGAUUCCAACUAGCAAUCGGAUAUCCUCGUUCAACCCAUCUUCAAAUCUUUUACACAUAAUAGCCUCGGUAGACACACAUUCUUAGGCAUGUUUACUGAGUCUAACAAACUCUCUUUCAUAUUCUGCCACAGACAUUCGGCCCUGCUUUAACUCAAGAAACUCUUUGCAUUUUUGAUCAAUGAACUGUUAGCUUAUGUACUUCUUUCUGAAUUCCUCCUAAAAAAACCCAUGUAACCCUUUCUUUCGGAUCCACGGAUACUAGUGUCUUCUACCAGUGAUAUGCUGAGCCCUUCAAUAAAGAUAUAACACACUUUAAACAUUCUUUAGAAGUACAAGAAAGUUCAUCAAAUACCUUAAUAGAAUUCUCAAGCCAAAACUCUGCUUUCUUAGGAUCAUCAUCUAUAUUAGCCUUGAACUCUUCAGCCCCUUACUUUCAGAUAUUAUCAACUGGAGGCUUAGUCAGUCUUACCAUUUCUGUACCUUGAGGAACUACGGGAACCAGUUGGGGAAUAAGAGGGGGUGGAGGAGGUUGGGCGUUCAGAUUCACCCGAAUAAAUUCUGUGUACCAAUUAUUCAUCAUAUAGAGGAAGGCUUCCCGAGCCCCAUCUCCUUGACUAUGUGUUUCAGAUCUACUUUCAACUGGCGUGGUCUCUUGCGCGAGAGCCGACGCGUUACUAUCUACGUCAUCAGCUACAGCUCGAUCGGGAUCCAUUUACUAUAUGAAAACACAAUUUAAUUUGUCAAGAGUCAUUACACUAUCAUAGUAUAUUUAUGGCAUGUAUAGCUAGACUCACACACACACUAUGUUAGUCUGAGAACUAACUAAAUCAUGGCUCUGAUACCACUAAAUGUAACACCCCUUACCCGUGUCAGACGCCGAGACAGGGUACGAGGUAUUACCGGACUUAAACAUAACCAAUCAUACAAAAUCGAGUCAUAAAAUUUCAUCCAAACUAAAACCUUUCAUAUUUCAUCAUAAAGUCCCUAAUAUGGGCUUACGAGACUCAAUACAUACUUUGAAAGUGGUUCAAGACCAAACCGAGAACUUUUAAAAACUUUGAAUUUUUUUUAAAAAACAAGGGCACACGCCCUGAGCACAUGGCCAUGUGGCCAGCCAUGUGGAUGAAAGCUAGGCUAUUUACUGUUGAGAAUACAAAUUAAAACUGUAUUAUUGAAUCACAAUCUGACUUACAUCACAUAAAAUCAUAGUAUUUAUAAUACAUUUGUUAACCAGCCAUAACUACUAACUAACAAGACUUCUAACUACUACCUACUAACUACCAUAACUGUUUCCCUACUCUAAUAUGCCACCAUUCUCUUCGACUUCUACUAACAACACCUACUAAAUGGACUUUUUUGGACCUAGCUUAAGACAUGAUCUGAAUUUCGUAAACAAUGACACUGAUAGUGGCUUAGUAAACACGUCUACAAUCUACAAAUGCGCUGGAAUGUGACCCACAACAAGCUUUCCAGCUGCAAUUUUCUCACGAACAAAGAAAGGAUCCAACUCUACAUGCUUAAAUUUGGAGUGCAAUACUGGGUUUGUAAAUACAGCAAUAGCUCCUAAGCUAUCACACCGCACUGUAGGUUUUCACAAAGAUGAAACAUGCAGUUCUAACAAAAGUGACUCGAGCCAAACUACUUCAGCAACUGUAUGAGCCAGCCCCCUAUACUCCGCCUCCUCUGUGGACCUUGAGACAAUUGGUUGCUUCUUUGACCCCAUGCAAUAGGGUUACUGCCAAGGAAUACACAAAAACCCGUAGUAAACCUUCGAUCAUCUACAUCCGUACCCCAAUUUGCAUCGGAGUAUCCAACCACAUCCAACGUAGCAGUCUUUGUAAAUUGAAUACCAUAAUCAACAGUGCCUUGAAGAUAUCUGAGAAUGCGUUUGACUGCUCUAAAAUGUUGAUCAAGGGGGCGAUGCAUAAAUUGACAUACCUUGUUCACAGCAAAUGUAAUAUUCAGCCUGGUGAUGACCACAUAUUGAAAAGCACCAACAAUGCUACGAUACUCAGCCUCAUUAUCAAUCACAGAACCAUCAUUGUAAGAUGGUUUGGAAGUGGAAACCAUAGGAGUAGGAGAGCUAUUUGCUUGAUUCAUAUUGGCUUUCUUCAACAAAUCAAUGAUAUACUUUGACUGAUUUAAAAACAAACCAGCAGCAGUGGGGGUUACCUCAAUACCAAGGAAAUAAUAACCAAGAGGCCCCAAAUCCUUUAAAGCAAACUGAGUGUCCAGGGACGAAACAAAUUAUCAAUGCUUUUUUGAUGAUUUCCAGUGACUAUUAUAUCAUCAACGUAAACUAGAACAUACAAGAUCACUCAUUCAGCCUUCUUAACAAAAAGAGAAGCAUCAGACUUAGUAGAAACAAAUUGUGAGCCAAUCAAGAAUUCAUGUAGCUUAGAAAACCAUGCCCGAUGAGCCUGUUUGAGACCGUACAAUACUUUCUUUAGCCUGCACACUAGCAAUCCUUCAUCACUGUAUUGCUCAAAACUAGGUGGUUGUGUCAUAUAGAUCUCUUCAGAGAACUCUCCAUUGAGAAAAGCGUUGUUAAUAUCCACCUGUCGAAGCUGCCAUCCAAAUUUAACAGCUAAGGACAAGACAAUUCAAAUAGUUGUUGGCUUGACAACUAGGCUGAAUGUGUUGUGAAAUCGAUGCCUGCCUCUUGAAGAUAGCCCUUGACAACUAAAUGACCUUUGUAACGAGUGAUAGUACCAUCUGAUUUUCUUUUAAUUUUGAAAAGCCACUUGCAACCCACAACUUUCCUAUCGGUAGGUAAAGGAACCAAGUACCACGUCUGAUUCUUCAUCAAAUCUUCAUACUCCUGUUGUGCUGCAAGAGUCCAUUCUUUGCUGAUGAAAGCCUGUUCAAUUGUAACAGGUUCAGCUGCAUUUAGCUCUGCAGAAAAAAUCCUAAGCUUGAAAACCCUACUUUUGGACCUCGUUUGCAUGGUAUGCAAAUUAACUGGAGAAGCCUGAGCAGGUUGACUAGGAAGACAACCAUUUAGACCAGACGAGAAACUAGAGGUGCUGGAUUCUGACAUGGAGAACUGGAAGAAGGACUGUUAGGGACCAUAUUCAUAGGAGAGCAACGUACUUGUGGGUGCACUUGUAGAGUAUCAGAUCCUAGCAUACUGACAGAAGUGUCUUGAGGUGAUAAAGAUAUAGCUGAAUUUGAAGAACUGACCAGCCCUGAGAUAGGCAUCACAAUAGGAACAACAGACUGUUGACGUUGAAAUUUAGUGAAGGCACGAGCAGACUGUGAAUCACCUAUAAAAUUAGAAUCAACCGCAAAAGGGAAACAACCCUCAUCAAAUAUGACAUGUCUGGAAACAAACACUUUUUGAUUCCCAGCAAGGCACUUGUACCCUUUGUGUACCAUACUGUAGCCAAGAAACACACAAGGCUGAAACCGAAACUGUAACUUGUGAGUAUGAAAUGGUCUGAGAUAUGGAUAGCAUUGACAACCAAAGACUUUCAACUGCUGGUAAUUGGAAUAGUCUUAUAGAGAACCUCAUGAGAUGAUUUGCCAUUGAGAACUGGUGUUGGAAAUCGAUUAAUGAGAUACACCGCACUAGUAAACGCAUGAGUCCAAAAGUAUAAAGGCAUACUAGCCUGAGCCAGUAAGGUCAAGCCAGUAUCGACAAUAUGGCGAUGUUUUCUCUUUACCAACCCAUUUUGUUUUGAAGUGUGGGGACAGGAAACCGAUACUGAAUCCCAAGCUGAGCCAACAUCUUUUGAAACGGACGAUACUCUACUCCCCAGUCUGUUUGAAGAGACCGUAUCUUACAACCAAACUGUACUUCAACAAGUUUCUGAAACUGAAGAAAUUUAGUCACAGCCUCAUAUUUGCUUUUGAUCAAAUGCAACCAAGUGUAUCGUGAGUAAGCAUCCAAAAACGAAAUGUAAUAAAGACAGCCAUCAGAGAUCAUGGGAGCAGGUCCCCAAAGAUCUACAACAAUAAGCUUAAAAGGAGCUGAAUAAACAAUAUUUGAAGGUAAAAAAUGAAGUUUAUGUAAUUUUCCAAGUUGACAAGCAGAGAAACUGAGCUCCAUUUACAAUUUUUUGAUACAACAUUACAACUCUGAAGGAUUGUAGCAACAGUCCUAUGACAAGGAUGUCUAAGGCGCCUAUGCCACAGCUCAAAAACCGAAUCACCAGAAGAAGACACCCCUGACUGUGUCGUAUGAACUGCAACUAGAACAUCAGAAGUGCUGAGAUUUUCAGAAGUAUUAAGAGGCUAAGAAAGAUCAAACUGAUACAUUCCAUUAUGCAUGCGCUCUACUAGUAAUAUGGUCCCUAUCUUGAUGUCCUCCACAAAACAAUGAAGUGGAUCAAAUUCAAAAUAGACGCAGUUGUCACUAGCAAACUGUACAACAGACAUUAGGUUCUUGUAUUCGAGGAACAUGAAACACAUUCUUCAAAUGAAAAAUCCUGUUGGAAUGAAUCAACGACGAGGAACCAAUAUUGUCUACUGGUACAGACAUACCAUUCCCCAUAAAAAGUUUAUUUUUACCUGUAUAUUGAGUCACCUCUCGCAGACCCUUCAAGUCAUUCGUUACAUGGUUGGUGGCACCUGAAUCGGGAAACCAAACAUUAGAUGUCAUAUUAUUCGAAGACAAUUGACCAGAGGUAGAAGCCAUAUUAGCCUGCAAACCAGAGGUUUCCAAAAACCACUUAUGAGUGCAACAACAAGAAGAAGCACAAGGCAGAUUAGGAGACUCCUGGAACUGAUGGAACUAAACUUGCAUGGAUUGAUGACACACACCUUCAAAAGAUUCAUCAAAUCUGUAAUAACAUUUGUGCACAGUGUGUCCAACCCGACCACAAAGUUGGCAUUGAGGUUUAGCAUACAUGAACUUCCUUCCACGACCUCUGCCUCUGAAAUCCCUGGAGCCACCACCUUUAUAGGAUGAUCGAGAACCAUGACCAAAUUAUUUAACCUGCCUAGCAUCAGGCUCAGUAUGCUGAACAACAUUAGCCUGCAAAGACAUACUCGAAACAAGAUCUUGCUGUCGAGCCUCAUAAUCAGUCAGUAUUUCUGUAAGAUAAUCAAGAGAAACAUUCAUUGCUGAUGCUACAAUGCGUAUUGACUCAUAUUCCACAGGUAAACCAGUAAGAAUGAUACUGAUCUGUUCUUGCUCAGAAAUAUUAGUGCCAGCAGCAAGUAAAGUAUCGCACUGACCUUGAAUCUUGGCUAGAUAUUCCUGAAUAGACAACUGACCUUUCUUCUAUGAAUAUAAUAAAUUUUUGAGAGUCGACACUGUUAAAGAAAAUUUAGCAGCAAACCUUCUAAGAAUAGUACUCCAUACAUCAAAACUUGAACCAGCCCCAGUAAGAUGAACCAGAAUACUAUCAAAAAUGGUGGACAACAGCCAAGAAGCCAAUAGCUUGUCUUGUUGCUUAUGAAAGACAAAAUCAGGAUUAGUAACAGGAGAGCCAUUACUGUCAAGAACAGACUGUGGAGGAACCUGAACCGUUUCAAGAACAAAUUUAUGCAAACCAUAUCCUUCAAGAAUUAACAAGAUUUGUUGUUUCCAUAAAAGAAAAUUAUUAACAGUAAGUUUCACAGUGUCAUGUUUAGGAAACUGAUGAAGUUUGCGCGAGGAAGCAUAUCCAUGAUCAGGAGAAGAAGCAACUACAGGUAUGACCGUGUGAGCAGACUGAUGAUCACCAUCAUUACCCGAUACUGCAUCUGUUGCCAUAAUCGAAAGAAAAAAAUUAUAGCUGUGAUACCAUGUUGAGAAUACAAACUAAAACUGUAUUAUUGAAUCACAAUCUGACUUACAUCACAUAAAAUCAUAGUAUUUAUAAUACAUUUGUUAACCAACCAUAACUACUAACUGACAAGACUUCUAACUACUACCUACUAACUACCAUAACUGUUUCCAUACUCUAAUAUUUACCAAGUCUUUUUCCAUCCUAACAUUUACACACUUAUACCAAAUUUAUCAACACACAGCAUGACAUUAUCAUAAAAGUACAACUUAACCAAUAAUAGCCUACAUCAAUGGCCUUCUACAAAAUGAACUAUCAAAUAACAUAGGCCAACAUUUUAGGUCAAAUCAAUUAUGACACAUAAAAAAAUAAUCAAAUCCUCUAUACAUUCCAUAAUUCAUAAUAUUCCUUUCAAAAUACCAAAAGAGUGUUGAAAGUGUGGAUGGAUCUCCGACGAUCUCCGUACCCUGAGCUAGCUUGGUGACACUAUAAGAUAAGGGAAAGAAAAUGGAGUAAGCAUAUAACUUAAUAAGUUGGUAUGUAAAUAAUAAAAAAUUUAUUAACAUGCUUUUAUCAAUCCUCAUAAUGUGUUCUCAAGAUAAUACAAUCAUAUUUGCACAUAGUUUCACUAUUCACUCAUGUUCAUAUCAAGCUGUCUACGCGAGUCAUAGUCAAUAAAUUAUUUGUAUCUUAAGCUUUGGAACUUCAAAUUAAGAUCCACUAAAUUUCUCUGAAACUAGACUCACAUAUAUUCUUACCAUAAAAUUUUCAGAAUUUAUGGUUUAGCCAAUAAGUAAAGUUUAUUCUUUAAAGUCAUCCAUGUUCUGCUGUCUAACAGUUUUGACCCUUCUUCACUAAAAAUUAAUUAUCACCUCAUAUGGGAUUCAGAUGAUGUUUCCGUUUGUUUCUAUUGAAAAUAAACUCAUUAAGAAUUUUAAACAUAUAAAUUCUAACCCAUAAUUAUUUUUAUAUAAUUUUUAAUGAGUUUCCAAAAUUAGAACAGGGGAUUCCAAAAUCACUCUGACCCUGUCUCAUAAAAUUUCAAAUAUCUCAUAAUAUGAAAUUCUUUUGCUUACACCGUUUAUUCUAUGUAAAACUAGACUCAAUAAACUUUAAUUUCAUAUCUUAUUAAACCUCUAAUUCGAUUUUCAAAAUUUUUGGUAAUUUUUCAAACUUAUACAACGGCUGCUAUCCAAAACUAUUUUAUUACUAAUUUUACUCUUUCAUGUUUUCUUUAAAUUAACUUUCAUUUACACACACAUAACACCAAGCAUGUCCAUAGCUAGCCAUUCCAAUAGCUAGUCAUUAUCAAAUAUUUACAAGUCUUCAUAGUCAUACUUGCUCCACCUCAACCUUACCAAAAUUCGAUCACAUAUCGAGCACAUUGCUCAUGAAUAUAUAUACACAUGUACCUACACUCAUUUAUCACAUAAUCACAAUCAUUUACACUUAGUAAUUUCCCGUUGAACACAUCAGAAUAUUAAAGGAUACAUCGAAAAUAUUGCACAUAGUGCCAUACUUGUAGCCAAAGCUACUUCACAUCACUUAUCACACAUAGACUCAUUCUCGAGCUAUUCACAUUCACGGGUCUACUCAUACAAGCUGUCAGUCAUUCGUAACUACUCAGUGCUACUCACACAAGCUGUCAGGUAUCUACAACACAUAUCGGAUUACCCAGUCACUGGUAGAACUUAUUAGACCAGCACCCGGAUUCACUUAGUCACAAUUUCACAUAGUUUUCACAUAGGUUCUUAGUGACAUGUCACUUGUAUCCUAUUCUAUUCUUAAGGUUAAACCGAGAAAUUUUCACUUGUCGAUAUUUUGUAAAUUUACAUCAAAUGUUCAGCCACAUUUCAUUAAAUAUAUCAAAAUAUAAAAGCGUAAGUAAAAAUGAUGCAUUAUUUACAUACAAACUUACCUCGGUCCAAAAUAUCAAAUGUUUGCGUCUUAGUCCACAACCUUACCUUUUCCCCGGUCAAUGUUAAUUUCUCGUCUUUCUUGAUCUAUAAUAACACAUUUAACUCAUUUAAUACACACAUUUUCAAUUCAGCCCCAAAAACACCUUAUGAUCACAUAUUUAUAAUUUUUCUCAUUACUCAAGCCUAGCCGAUUCAUAUUCCCUCUUAUAGCAUCCCGCAAUUUUCACUAAAUCACAUUUUUUCUUUUUUACACAUAUUUUACAACUUUUACAAAUAAGUCCUUUUAUGCAAUUUCAUUAAAAAUCACUUAGUAAAAGUUGUUUAUUACACUUUAAACUUUCAUAUUCUACAAUAAAACAUCAAAACACAUGAAAUUCAUCAAUGGGUAAAUUUUUAAAUACAAACCCUAGCUCAAAAUAAUGGUAGAAAUAGCUAAACCGAGCUACGAGGAUCUUAAAAAUGUAAAGAACAUUAAAAACGGGGCUAAAAUGAACUUACAAUCAAGCUUGGAAGCUUGAAAAAUCCUAGCUAUGUCUUCCUCAUGUGAAAUUGGGCCAAUGGGUUGAAGAUGAGCAAAAAUUGACUUUUAAUUUGGCUUAUUAAUUCAUUUAAUCACCAAAUUACUAAAAUGCCCUUAACUUAAAAAUAUUCUAUUUCACCUAUUUCAUGUCCAUUUUUGUCCAAAAAAUUAACCAAUGGUAUAAUUACCUUUUAAGGACCUCCAAUUUAAAAUUUCAUAGCAAUUAUACACCUUUAGCUUCUAGAACUCAAGUUUUACACUUUUUUACAAUUUAGUCCUUUCAACUAAAUUGAGUGCCCAAACGCCAAAAUUUUCGAACGAAAUUUUUGCAAAAUCAUUCUAUACAUCUGUAGAUCAUAAAAAUAUAAUAAUAUUAAAUUUUUUCUCGUUGGAUUAGUGGCCCCAAAUCCACUGUUCCGACUUGGCCUAAGAUCUAGCAAAAAUGCUCGACUAUUGUUGCCACCCGAGCUAGGGGUUUAUCGAAAACAUGCAGUCCCAAAGAAAAGUUCCUCGUGGUGUUUGCUGUCUCUGGAUUGUAUCUAAUGUCCAAAAACCAGCCGCGAGAUAGCCCUUAAACUAGGCUCACUAUCUCCCUGAUCAUCAACACCAUAUUUCGGCCAUCGCUUUCCACCGUCAGUUUCCAAAUUCUCGCCCACAUCUUAGAUGUUACGAGAGAAGAAUAAUUAUGAAUCCAAAACAUAAUGUAUUUUUUAUGUAAUAUAUAUAAGUUUAUUUUUUAAAAAUGGUUAUGAAUGAUUGAGUGCGAGGCGAACUGCGAGAGGAUAGCAAAGGGAGUUCGCGGACCCAACUUACAAGGCAGGCUCGCAAAUCUAGCUAGCACGAACUAAGGGAAGGCCACAGUCUUAGUUCACAUGUGUCCAAGGAGCUCGUAUAAGGGUGAUUGCGUGCUUCGUAGGCAACAGUGAAACUCGUGUCUAGUAGGCCUGAAGUCCGCACGGAAUAUCAAUUCUAGGAAUGACGAAGUCAAGACAAAACAAUGGGGUCAUAUCGUGAGUUGUAAUAACAUGUAUAAAUAUUCGAAUACUCCCAUUAAUAAGACAAGAGACAAAAUUACUCAACAAUUGGUGCGGUAAGCAUGGAUCGAACACACGACCUUCAAAUGACCGAAGAAGAUCAACGAUCCAGAUUCAAGCAGAUGGAAACAGUUCAAUUUUCAACGGUUAGAUACAUGCACCCAAAACUCAUUCGUACAUGUGGAAAAAUAGCUGUUGUGCAUCACAGCUCAUAGUGUACCCAACAAGCUGUAUUUAAACUCGAUGUGAUGGAUUUAAGAAGUGACACUUUGUAACCCUCAUUAGACCCACUAAAGGGGGGACUAUUGUUAUACAUCAGUGAUCACCAAUCUGAGUCCUAGAUAAGAUCUGAAUCACCUACUCGUGACCUGGAUAGGUCCCACCAGAUGAUUGAGUGCGAGGUGAACCGCAAGAGGACAGUAAAGAGAGUUCGCGAACCUAGAUCACAUAGCAUGCUCGUAGAUCUAGCUCGCACAAACCAAGAGAAUGCCACGAUCUUAGUUCACAUGCUUCCAAGGAGCUUGUAGAAGGGGGACCGCGUGCUCCGCGGGCAACCUAGAGUCAAACAUGUGUUAGCGGGCUUGAAGUCCGUACGGAAUGUCAGUACUAGGAAUGGCGGAGUCAAGACAAAACAGUGGGGUCAUAUCGUGAACUGUAAUAACAUGUAUAAAUACUCGAAUACUCCCAUUAGUAAGACAAGAUACAAAAAUACUCAACACUAAUUAAUAAUAUAUGAUGCUUUAUUAGUUAAACUUUUAAAAGAUAUAACCAAAUUUAAAAAAUUCAGAUUAGUAUAAAAAAGUAUUUUUGACAUUAUUUAAUUACUAUAAUUUGAAAAUGAAAUCACAUUUAUUUAAUUAAAAUAUUUAAUUAUGAAAAACUUUGGGUUUCAUUUUUUUAAAUUUAUUCAAUGAUUCUAUAGAUUUAAAUUUUUAUUAAUUAAUAAAAUAUUAUACUAUUUUUAAAUAGAAUUUUUAAAAGAUAUUAUCAAAUUAAUUAAUUUCACAUCAAUAUACUAUUUCACUCAUUAAUAGUUUAAUCAAUAUUACUUUUUUAUUAUCUCAUAAUAAUUAUUAAUAUGCUAAUAAAUUAUUUUUAACGACUAUUUUGUAAUAUAUGAACAAUAAAAUGUAUUCUCAUUAGUUCCAAAAUUUCUUCAAACUCAUAUUUUUUUAUAUAUUACAGAUUACAAAUAAAAAAAUAAUUAUAUCAUAUUAUAAUAAAAUCUAAUUAUGUAUUUUUUGAAAAAUAACUCUUUAUGUAUUUUAACUUUUAAAAACCUUGUUGCACGUAUGAUAACAUCAUAUAACCUUUUUGUUUGUUAAACAUAGAGUUAAUGAAAACAUUAGUACUUGAACUUGAUUAAUUGGCUCAAAUUGAUAUCAAAGUUUUAAUUGGAUCAACUUGGUACUUUUGAUUGACUUUUAUCGACACACAUUUUGUCCUAAUUUUUUAAAAUCGUUAUCAUUUUCUUGAUUAGGCAUUGUAGGGAAUUAACUCGUGUAUGCAGCAAACAAGUAAAUGAAGUGAAAUUAAAAAGAUCAAACAUGCAAAUUUUACGUGGAAAAACUCUUCAAAAGAGGAUAAAAAAUCACAGACAAAAAGAGAUUUCACUAUAAUAAAGGAGAGUACAAAAGAUGGUGAGAAUCAAAGGAAAACUCAAAGCCCCAAAAGAAAAACCUUUCAAAAUAAAGAACAAAAUUCUCUCAAUCUAAAUAUUUCUAUUAUGUAAAAGCUAGAGUAACUAAGGCCUAUUUAUAGGCUGAAAUUCGUUGCAUAUAUGAUUAGAAUAUCCCUAGGUUAAUCAGAGUUUAAGUGGGAAUCUAAAACAGAGUUUAAUUGAGAGAAGAAAGCCAAGAAACUUUAUGUGCACGUUGCCAAGUCGUGACGUGGAAUUUACGUUGUUGGGACGAGGGGGCGUUGCGUUUUCAAGACGAAGGCUCUCUUCUCAUCGUGACAACGGCUAUUCGUCGGGACGAAGAAACUUCCUUGUUGUGAUGUCACACACUGUUUGGCCCGAAAAUGUAAGGCAUAACUUCACAAAUGAUCUUCUACACUAUUUUCGUACUACAAAUUGUUUCGAGUGUGGGCUCGAACCUAUUGAAUAGAAACACAGAACUAGAAAAUUGUUUUCUCUCUUCUAUUUGGGGUGAAAACAGAAAUUCCCUCUUCUUAAUAGAAACCGAUAGAAUUAUUAUUCUCGAAAAAUAUAUUUGAUAGUUGAGAAUAAAUUCUCUUUAUUCUUCGGUAGCGUAACAAUCUCUUAAAGUUGUGUAUUAUGUCUUACUGGUACCAACUAUUUAUAAGAAAAAAAUGUAGAACUUUUGUUGAGCUGUAGUGGUUUAUUUCAAAUAGAAAAACAACUUCCUACUUAGAGUAGGAGUGGGGUGGACAACACACCCUAGUAUUCCUACUAAGGUUGCUGCCCCCUUCAUGUUAUAUGAGGGGUUUUGGGCCUCUCUCACAUCGGGUCCAAUUACAAGUACUUCUUAGGCUUUUUGACCUAGUACUCUGUAAUGUGAUCCAACCCGAUUCAGUUUUUUUAUUUCCUAAAAUAAACUUUAAUAUUCUAUAUUAAACAAUUUUCUCAUCCCUAUUUUGCUCCCAUUAAAAUUUUGAUAAUUUGACCCUCAGUAAAAUUUUUAACGAUUCUACCCUGGAUAAAAUUUUUGACGAUUUUACCCUUGGUAUAAUUUCGAGAAAAUAUGUUCAAUAUUUCAUAACUCAACAUGUUCACUAUGACCGAAUGAUUUAUUUUCAUUUUCAGGCUUCAAAACAGUAAAAAUAUAAACUCAUUCUUCUAAUCAUUUUGAAGUAAUCCAUAUAGAAUUGCAAAUGGAUAAUUUCCAUUUCCAUUUAUGGAAACCUACAUUUAUUUCCAAAAUAAUUCCAUUUUUUCCAUUUUGAAAAAAACCAUAAUUGUUGUUGAAUGUUUUCCAUUUCUCUUUUCCUAUUCAUUAUUUUCAUUUUUAUUCAAACUCGCAAUUCAUUUAUGGUUUCAACGAGCUAUCGAAGGGAUUGAUUGGGAAUAUGUAAUUAGGGCUCAAAUGAUUUAUAAUUAAGUUUCAAAUUUUUGCCUAUUAAUUAUAAACUCAUUUAGCCACGAAGUCAUUCCAUUAUAGUAUCGUGACUGAGCUCUCCCCAACAACAUACCAUUACGAAAGCAACUACUUAGUACUCGUCCAAUCACCUUGUCAUAAGUGUGUUACCUUCAUAGGAUAUCCUUGAUCUCUUUGGGAUAAAUUUCAUUCUCCCAGUAUGAUUCUAUUUUAUCUUAUGGUAAGCAUUACAUCUUCCUUCAUGAAAAGUAAAUUACUAUCAAAUAAUAAUUAAGUCAUUCAUCAUAAAGACAAAGACAAAAGACUCAUGGUCAUGUUUACUUUUCAUCAACCAUGUAAUGUCAAUGAGAGGAUAUCAUUUACCCAUGUCUCGGGCUAUGAAUUUCACUAUUGUGAAUGACGCUACAUACUGCAGAAGUCGUACACCCAAUGCACUAGCUUUCAAUUCCUUUAUCUAUUCGAACUCAGGUUUUUACUUACAUCAAAGUGUACAAGUCACACAUACAUAGUCCUUGAUCCACUUAAUAUUUAGGUAUGUCACACUAUGAGUGUCACAAGUGAAUAAAUCCAUAAACGAAUUCAAGAUCUAUUUUGCUUAGGUCUUGUCUGAUCUACUGUCAGUCCAAUUAGUCACAUCUAUGUCUCUAUCUUCUGGGAGUCAUCCGCUUUGGUGCCCAAGAUAAUAUCUCUCCUCAAUUGGACUUAAUAUACGUCAUAUUAACCUUCAAUCGAUUUUUUCAUUUAUGAUUAGACUAAAGACAUGUUUAGGUUCGUCUAUUAAUACAAGCUAUCUUUUCGUAUUACGAUCCGACCACGUAAUACCGCUUAGUAUUAGUUGAAUAGUAGACAACCAAUAAGCAACAUUUGCUUACAUUUUGCUUUUGCAUGCAAAAAUCAUUUAAGGACAAUAAUAAAAAGUAUUACUAUAAUUUAUAAAUAAUUUUAUUAACCAAUCUAUUCAAAAAAAUUACAAGUGUACUUAGACGAAAAUACUACAUUUAGGGCACCUAAUCCAAUAAUAAGCUCUAAUUCCUCUACUCAUCUUCACCCAAAUAACCUGUUUCACAUAACAUUAUAUAGAAAAAUAAGUACUCAUUAUCCAAAUUAAAAUAACGACACUUGAACUUAUUUGCUUUGUUGGAUUGAUUUUUGAACUUCAAAGUUUUAACAUCAAUAAUGGCAUCCUUAUGAAAACUUUCUUAUGAAAACAAUCUACUCGAAAUUUAACAAUGAAAACCUCUACAAAGAAUGCCUUCAUUUUAUAAGAAAUUCUGCCAAUGAAUAUGAAACAUAAUUUUAAAAUGUUGACAUGACAAGUCAAAAAAAUGCUUCUAGCAAGAAGUGUUUUUCUAAAAAGUUUUUAAAGAUAAUAUUAUUAUCUGCCACAGAAAAGAUUAGAUGGGAUGUGUGAAUUUUAUCUUGGGAUUUCUAGGUGUAUGGUUAGGGUUUAGGGUUGGGGUUGAGUCAUGAUUUUAAGAAACAUGUCGUGGGAGACGCAUUUAGUAUUCUCUCUAAAAAAGACUUAUUUUCUUAAAUUUUGAGAAAAAUGACUUAAAAUCCUAAUUAAUUUUUGUUUAAAAUCGACAUAUUUGCCUGAUUCUCCCUAUUUACUUACUUCAAUAAAUUGAAGUUGUAAAGACCAAAGAACAAAACAACCAACAAUGAAUAUGUUAAUGAUGAAUAAGUUAAUAUCUAAAAGACAAAUAAAAGAAAAGCUAAUUUUGUCUUAGCAUUUUUUUUUUACUUUCCAUCCAUAUGCGAAAGUAAUUUUCUCUUUCUUAUUAAGGGAAUCAAAUUUUUUAUUAUUUGCAGGAAAGUGACUCUCAAGGAAAAGGAAAAUAAACUAAUUUUUUCAUAUCAAAUGCUAGAAUCAUAUUUCAACCAAUUAAAUUUCUUGGAAAAUAAUAACUUCCUAUCAUACCAAGCAGCUUUUAAGUGAUGAGUAACUCUUAUUUACUUAUCAUUUUCUACACUUUUUAAUAGAAAUAUUAUAUUAUUUAUGUUUUAUUAUGGAAAAAUUUAAAAGAAUAAAUUAUUGAAAAUAUUAAAUUUCAACUAAUUUAAGUUACAAAAAUACAUGAAAUUUGAACUUCAAGUUAUAUUCCAUUAAUCAAGUGUUCAUCUUCUCUUUGAGUUGAAAUUAUAAUUAUAUAAAAGAAUAUGAAAUGUAAUUUAUAAAAUAAAUAUAGCAAUUAGUUAUAAUUAUGUGUAAAAUGAGACAAAAAUGAGUGUUUUCCCAAGUAGACUUUAUUUAUUUAUUCAUAAUUUAAAAUAAAGAAAAAGAGUCGAAAAUAUUCCAACACGUGAUGCGAUUAAUGUAAUCAUCCAAAGCACGCACAUCUCAUUAUUACUAUUUUCCUUUUCCACCUCUACUCGCGAGUGGUAGGUACGAGGACCCACCUAUGUGCGUUUACCUUACGAAACAAAUAUUUCGUUAUAAACAGAUUUCUGGUAAUUUAAAUUAAAAAUUAAAAAUGCAAUAAUGCAGUUAUGAACCGACCAAUCCGGUUCAUUUAAUACCUAUGUGCUCAUCAUUUCAACCAAAACAAACUUUCUUUUCAAUCCAAAUCUUCAUUUUAAAUUGGAAUUUAUACCCAAACCAAAUAUUUUAGCUUUUGAAAAUUUGAUUUUUAAUAAAAUUACCCUCUUUAUCUUCCAUUAAGGCCUUGUUUAGUAUUACUUAAAAUAAUAAUUUUAGCUUAAAAAGUACUUUAAAAACAAUUAUGCUAAAUAAACUGCUUUUAACUGAAAUUUUUUAUUUUUAAAAAGGAGAAGCUAAAAUUUUUAUUUUUUUCUACCAAAAGUACUUUUAGUGCUUAAUUACUUUUUCAUCUAUCCAACAACAUGAUACUUUCCCUUUUUCUUUUUGGUGCUUAAUUACAAAUGUGUUAAAAUCAUUAAUUAAAAAUAAAAAAUUAUUAUUUAAAAUAAUACAAAUGUGUUAACAUCUAAUUACAAAUAUUUAAUAAUUAUACUUAAUUAUUUAAAAUAUAGUUUAUAUAUUCUAAUUAAAUUUUAUAAAUAAUUAAUAUUUAUUGCUUAAAAAUAUUUAAAAUUUAUAUUUCAUAUAUUAAAAUAUUAACAAGUUAUAAUAAAUUAUUUUUUAUAUUCUUACUAAAAUAUAACAAUAUUAACUAAUUUGAAAAUUAUUUAAAUACAUAUUUAUACUUGUUAAUACCAUAUCUAAAAUGGACAUUUUAUUUCUUAAAAGUACUUUUUGACAGCAACGCUAAACAUUCAAAUUUUAAACCAAACUUUUUAAAAGUAUUUCUCAAAAGUACUUUUCCACAAUACUUUUUAAAAGCAUUUUUCAAAAGUAAUAUUAGAUUGUCCUAAGUCUUCCACUUUACAACAAAAUGUUUAAAAUUGUCAUUUUAUCUUCUUGAAAGCACUUUUUAACAACAAUAAUAAAGACUAUCAAAAUUUUCAAAAGCCCUUUUUAAAAUAUUUUUUUUCAUAGCACUUUUGAACCUCAAUGGUAAACUAGUAUUAAAUGUCAAAUUAUCCACAUCGAGUUCAAAUCUUGUAGAUAGAAAACUAAUAUUGAAAUACUUAUUUCUCUACGUCUAAGGAUUAAACCCAAUUUGACUUUGAACUUAGUCGAGGCUCAAUGUGACUACUAAUUAAAAUAUGUUUUUUUGUAUCUUUUUAUUAUGAUCUCAUUUGAGAUUUAAUUUUUAUAUUUUAAUUUAAAACAAUUUAGUUUCUCUAUUUUUAUAAUGUUAUUAAUAAUUAGUCUAUAACGAUAAUAAAAUUAAUUAUUUUGGUUAAAUUAAAAAAAAAUCACCCUUUCAACUCAUCAUGUUGACAUGUCUUGACUUAUAUUAAGUGAUGGUUAAAUUUUUUGUUAAACACCCAUUUAAUAUAAGUUUAAACCGUGUGACCCCCAUCCCAAACCAAAUAUUGUAUAUAAAAAAAAACUCAUCAUGUUGACAUGAAUUUUUUUGUUAAGACAAGUACUUUCAAGAAAAUUUUAUACCAUCAUUUAAAAUUGAAUAGAUAACGAUGUUAAUUCUUGGAUUAACUAAUAACAUUAUAGAAAUAGAUUAAUCACAUUAUGUCAAAUUAAAAUACUUUAAGUUAACAAGUUCAAGUUACACUUACACCUAUUCAUGGGUCAAGUUAUCCGCCCAGGCCCGAAGGCUUGCCCAAAAUUUGGGACGGUUUGGAUAAAAAUAUUAGGCCGAAAAAUGGGCUUGGGCAAAAUAAUUAGGCCCGUUUAAAAUAUGGGUCGGGUUCAAGCUUGAACAUUCAAGGUCUGAGCUCGGCCUGACCCAUUUUUAAUUUUAUAACACUUUAUAUUAUGUUAUUUUUAUAUAUUAUGUAAUUUAGAACACAUUAAUAAAAUAAACUUAUACUAAAUAUAUAAUACUACUAUAAUGUAAAUAUUAAAAUAAUGUUAAGAUGACUGUAAAAUAUAUAAAUUUAUUAAAUAUUAAUAUAAUAUAAUAUAAAUACUUUUUCAAAAAAUUAAAAAAUAAUAUGAGCGGGCCUAAAAUGGGCUUGGGUUAGUCUUUCGCAAAUAUGGACAGGUUUGGGCAAAAUUUUAAGCCCAUAUUUUGGGUUGGGUCGAGCUUAGGCAAGCAUAAUGUAUGUUAAUAUCUUGCUUAGGCCCGGCCCGACUCGAACUAACCCAUGAGCACCUUUAGUUACACUAUACAUAAAUGUGUGAGUUUUGUAACGCCUUCAACCCGAUCCGAUUAACCGGAUCUGGAUCUUGGGCAGUACCACACAAUUAUAGACACAAAGCCUAACUUACUUUUAACAUUUACAGAUAAUGACAACUUACUUAACUACAAAUUUCAAACUAAAAUACAUGAGUAAUACAAUGAGUAAAUACAAAUAUAACACGAGGUAAUUAAAUUACAAUGAUAUCCAAAUUGAAACUCUAAUUUAUUACAGGUACCCCAAAUUGAAUUUCUAAGGAGUAUUAUUGUCUUUGAACAUGCCGCCAACUUGCUCUGUAUGCAUAACAGCCUAAUGCACCACUCUUAAGGCGUAGCCCUAACAUCAUCCCUCCUAUCUCAAACUCAUAUCAAUUCACUUGUAACAAAAUACACACCCAUAUAAGUUUGUAAGAACUUAGUGAGGAAAACAUCAUUUACCUGUGUCAUUUAUGCAUAUCUUAGCUGGUAACUUAUUUAGAUAAUCAUAUCGUUCUGAACCUUCAACUUAGUUACUGACGAAUACUCUCUCAAUUUCUAUUCUCAUUUAUAUGUCAAAUAUCAUAUCUUGUUUAAAGCUUAUUUCUUACCCAUCAUCUUUGAUAUGCCACUUACCUUUUUCAAUCUGAUCUUUCAUAAGUCUUUACUCGUUUCCUUUACAGAGGUCCAUAUGAUCGAAUCAUGAUUACUAUUGUAUAUGUAACUUUAAGCCAUUGUUUCCUUUACAAGCACAUUCCUUCUGAUAUAUAGUUAGAAAAAUCAUUAUUCAGAAUACAUUUUUUUUACGUUUAUCCAUCACUUCUUCUAUAUCUCAUCACUUCAUUAUUCAUAGUCGAGUCAUGGUCUUGUAUAACACUUUAUCGUAACCUAUAGAGACACUGUACCUUACUAAUAUUUCUAACCACACUGAACGCGCCAAAGUAAUUUAAUAUAGAAUUUGCCAAGAAUCAUUCCUUUAGGUUAUGCCAUUGCGAGCCUCACUAGAAUACGCCACAAAGACACUGCUUUUAGAUUUCGCCAUGUACAUCGUUCUUUCAGGUUUUCACCAUAAAGGCUAUCAAGUUAGAAUUUGUUUCACAAGCUAUUAAUUCAUUGUUUGCCACAAGGGCGGUUUUUAAAAUUGAGCCACGAAGACGUUUCUUAAGGAGUUUGCCACAAAUACAUUCCUUUCAUAUUCCACCACAAAAGUUAUCUUUCAUAUUAUACCACAAAGGCUUUUAUUGCAGGGUUCACCAUAAAGGUGUUCCUUUCAUAUUGCGCCACAUAGGAAUUUCUUUCUUGAUAUGUUUACGAAAUGGAUUUGCUUAAACUCACAUUAUGUGAGGUUUGCCAUCAUUGUCCCGGGACACGCAGAGAACCCCAUUAGGUAAUCACCGUCCUUUACUUCAUUCCGAAAGGUGCCAGGACUAUGGACUUUUCCUUCAAUAUUCAUAUCAGAGAUAAUGUUUUUAGUCCCAAUGGACCCCUUUAGACUCCAUCGUGGUGAACAAACACAGACUCUCUUGACAGAUCCUUCAUGCAUUGACACGAUUCACCUUCAUUUUUAACUCCACAACUUUCUCUUAAUAGAGCAUAUCCAUAGCAUACAUCUAAGACACACAUAUACAACCAAAACCACUUCUCAUAUUCCAUAUCAUAACAUGCAUUCAAUCAUAUAGUUACAUGACCAUCAUACUAUACUUUUUUAGCUUCGAUUUCACCGUUCAAUCAGUUUCUAUAGAGAUAUCUCAGGUGAACAGUAUACAUGCAAGAGUCGGUGUAGAGACUCACCUAACAACCAUGAACAUCUUGAACUUUAGAUCUAACAAGGAAUUGCAACAACCACUGCUUAUAAAUUAGAAGAACACCAUUAAAACUCAUUUGUAACCUUUACCAUCAUCACAAACCUAGAUAACCCUUAUAGUAAGCCUUAAUUCUUCAACUUACUAUUCAUGCACUCUUACAGACCUACCAUUUCAUAGCACAACAUAAAGAGUCAUAAAACUUACCUUGACAAGGAGCAAUCAUUGAUAAAAUACGGGAUCUCAACUUUAGCUUAGAGAAAUGCCUUUGGUUCCUCAUGCCUCAAAUGAUCUUGCCUUAGAAGAAAGAAGAAGAGAACUCCCAUUUCCCAAACUUGAAUAUCUAUUAUUAUAAUCUAAGUUCUUAUUGGAACUUGAAAAAUGUCACAUCAUUACUGAAUUGUCUUAUCAAAUGUCUACAACUUUCGAGAAACCUAAUUGAGUAUUCCCUUAUCUUUUAAUUAUUCUGGUUCACAUUCAGUUGGUUCCUAACUAGCUUACCUUGCAACUUAACUUGCACAGUACCAUAGUUAACGGGGCACUGUCCCUAGGGUGAACUCAUAUUCUCAGUACCAAUUUUAUUUGGCCGCUGAUCUUAGUCCAACUAACAUAGCCACCUAGCAAGAAACUUUAUUAACUUAACCACAUAACUGUACACACCCGCUCUAUACGCCGAAAGAUGCACUUGGGCGAAGCCUACUCCGCCAAUCAUACUUCCUUAGGACUAUGCAUCAAACCUUAUACCCGCCAGAACCGGGGUGUUACAAGUUCAAUGUUUAUAAUAAUUAAUUUUAUUUUCAAAGCAUAAAAAGGAACAAAUUCAACCAUUAAAAAUUGCAACAUAGAUUAAAUUAAUUAAAAAAUAGAUUUUUUUUCUAAGUUUCUUAUCUUUCAUUUAUUUAUGAAUGAUAAAAUAGAAAAAAAUUAAAUUCACUAUUAUUAUAUAAAAUAAUCGUUUAAUAUUUUAUUUAUUUUUAUUUGAAUAAUUCAAGUCAUAAACUUUAUUUAGUCUAAUAAUAAUGAUAAUAACAAUAUAUAAAAGCAUGAAUUUGAUUUUUUUUAAAUUUGGCGAGAAUAUUUUUAUUUUUCAUCAUAUUACUAUUUUCAUAUUUUUAAAAAAAUUUAAAUUAAAAUAGAAGUUGUGAUAAUUAUACAUUUAAAGAUAAUUAUAAUAUAAUUUACUAUUGUUAGUUAAAAAUGUUAUAUACUAAUUUUAAAAUAGAGUUAUUACUUGAAUAGAACUCUAAGCAUAAAAUAUAGGAAAAAAAGUUAAACACAAUUAUUGGCAAUUAUUAAUUAAAAAAGUUGACUAAAAAAGGAGUUAGCUAAUUUUAUUAAUGUAAAAUCAAGAUAUUACUGAAUAUUAUGUUAAUUAGUUUUUUUUGAAUAAUGUUACUUUGCAUUAAUUACAUAAAUAAAGUUAUAUUAUAUUUUAAAUAUGUUAAAAAUAAUUUAAUUAUGAUUCGAAAUUUUCUAUUAUAAUAUUUGAAUUGAUAAGUUAAUAUAUUUUUAAUUAUAUUCAAUAAUUCAAAUAAGAAAUAUUGUUUUACAUUAAUUACCGCAAUUAGGAAUACAAUAUUUAAAAAAAAUGAUCAAAUAUUAAACGCGUAAAAUUAAACACAACCAUGUGGCAUUAGUAGCUAGUAUAUAUAAAACUAUAGGUUUGGAAAAACUUUUGAACUGAUAAGUAUACCAUUUACUGUUCAUUAUAUUAUUGAAUUAGCAUUAAAAUAAUAUUUUAUUAGUAUAUAAUUGAUUAUUAUUAGAUAAUAAUAAGAGUGAUAUUAAUUAAAUUUUAAUUUAUUGAAUAUAAUUGGAUAAAUUAAAAAUAAUAAAAAUAUACACAGAUAUUGUAUACAUUAUUAAUUAUUAUAUAAUAAUAACUAAAGUAAUCUAAUCAUGUAUGUUGUUUUCUUAAAAAAGAAGAAGUUAUUAUCACUUAUUUAGUGUUAUAUACAAACUAAACUAAGAUUUAGCAAAUAAAUAAAUGCAUUAGUGAGUCAUUUUCAUUUAAGUAGUAUUAUUUAUUGUUUUAUUCUCACUUUAGGGAAAACAAGGUUAUUCAAAAUUUGAAUUUUAGAUUUAUAUUUAAUUUUUACCUUGUAGAAACUUUUUUAUGUUUUUAUCUAAGUCGUUUGUUUCUUUUCUUUUAUAUUUUGCUCGGUAGUAGUGUUAGUUUUUAAGCUAGUUACUGUCUGUCUUUUUCUCCUUUCCAUUAAUUUUUUCUUUCUUUUUUCUUGUCUUUUACUUCACGUGCUUCUCUCUUUUCAGUUUGUAAAUUUAUUUUGUGGAUAUCUUUGCUUGUUUCACAAGUUGUGAUGGACAAAUUACGAUACCUGUCGUCGUUGAAAUUUCACCAACCAACAAUAGUUUCUCUUUAAAAGUAUGUGACUCUUUGUUGGCUUCUUAAUCUAUUUUGUUUUGAGAGUAUUUAAGAAUAAUAAAUUAUUUCACGAGUCGGUUUGGACUUUAUUGUUUUAAUUAUAUAUAUAUUUGUUUGUUUUCCAUUGUUUAAAAAGUUUACUUUUAUAAAUUUUUGUCUGCUCUUGUAGCACAUUUCUUAGUCUUACUCAUGCAUGUAGUCUUUGCUUUUGCAAGUGAUUUUAGAGAUUGUUUUGUCACCGUCUUAUCCAGUUUGGUGGAUGCUCGGUUCUUUUGUCAAUUUUUACUCGCCACUUUGGGCCAUUCAGGGUUGAUUUCUUUAUUGUAUUAACUAUAUGCAAUCACUUUAAAUAGUUAUGCUAGAGUUGUGAUAAAGUCAAUUAUCAACGUACCAUAAUGUUCAACUGAUGUUAAAGCUAAAGCCUUUGUUGUGGUGAUAGAACUUAUACUGUACCAUAAUGUUCAACUGAUGUUAAAGCUAAAGCCUUUGUUGUGGUGAUAGAACUUAUACUUCACUACCUACUACGUGUGUUUUUCUUUUCAAAUUGUAUGAUACUAUUCUUGAAAUGAAUUAAUGAAUUUUCAUUUUAAAAUAAACUUUUAUCUUAAUUUCACCAGAAAUUUAUUAGCAGUUCAUAGCUAUUUAUUCAAUUUUCGACAUGACUUUUUUAUUCUUUCGAAAUAAAUUUGGUGAAAUGCUGAUCCAUCAACAUGAAAAUGAUAGAUGAUUGUUUAUUUCUAAAGUUAUUGCUUAUUAAAUAAGACAUUUUCAGUUUUUGUUCUUAGUUCGUUAAAACCCCUUUUUCUUUUCAAUUCACCAAAAAUAUUGAAAUUAAACUACUGUUGUUAACUUAUUAUUACUUUAAGUGUCAUAAUUUUAUUGAUUAAUCAUUAUCUAUAUUUCUUCACUUCUACGUCAAAAAUAAUAUGACUAUUUAUUUAAAUUAUUCUUUUAAAACUACAAAUAGAGUAGUAAAAUUAACAUAAAAUCAAACUUGAUCACGAAAAGUCUACAAAAGGUCUUCAAUGAAUUGAUAUUGUUCUUGUUGGGGUUGCCUUUUAACUCUGCCAAGAGCUCGAUGCUUGAAGUAACAACAGGUUCACAGAAUAAGAGCGCCUUGUCAGGUGUCUGAUAAGACGAACUAUGCAUGUUACGUAGGGUGUUGGUUGGAAUCGAACCCAUACGCUAUCGCAUAUAUGACAUUACUGGAGAAGAAUUAUUAGACUCCUGAUGAGGUGUUCUCGCUUUGUGAACUCAUCGCUUCCUUUGACUACCUCUUCAAACACUUUGGCUCUCAGUAGAAUUGACAGACAAAACCCCUUAUCAAGUACAAUAACAACCCGUUGAAGGAUCCAUUAGUUUCCGACGAAUGACACUUCACGAACUUCUCCAAAUAGAGUUGGGCCCCCUCAAUAAAUUGAUGUAAUGAGUGUGGACAAUAUAACUUACUCUAGCUUAGGUAUCCCUACUGCUAAAAAAGAAGAACCAAGACAGAAUACACAACCCCUGCCUCAUCCAAACAACCCAAGACCACCCUGGUCAUCCCAUUAGCAACCAUAACCUCAAGCUUAGGUAAGGCACCAUUAUGAUCCAUACAAUUCCUAUAAUAAUCUACAUUAUUCUUAUUAAUCACUUGCACAUAGCACCCGCCACCUAGAUAUUACACCGCUUACCCAAAUCAACAACCUUAUCCACUUUUUCCCAUGCCUAUCCCUACUUCACUCCUAGGGAACAAACCUCUCAAAACCCUAACAUCACCUCACAACAAUUCAUGAAAAUGCAAGAAAAGAUGAAAAUCCUUGAAAAACAGCUCCUAAAUAACAAUAAUUAUACCACCAACAAUAGGAAGUGAAUAUAUGCAACAAAAAAAAAUAUUAAAGAGUUGCGAGCAAACCAAAACUCUUAACCACGAGCCCUCAAAUAGGAGUACAACACAAGGAAAUUGCUUAAUCUUUUUCUCAUACACAAGGAACCUAAUUACACACCAAUCAUAUCAAUUUGAAUUGAGUAAAACUCGAUUUAAUUCGGAAAAAAAAUUUAAAAAUUUCGAAUUAAUUGAAUCGAGUCAACUUAAAUAAGUAAUUCGAGUUUCGUGCAGCCGAAUUUUACAAUUCGAAUAAUUCAAAUAAUUUGACUACCAGAUUGGUGUAAAUAUCUCUUUGGUCCCUGUUAAUUUUGAAAAUUAGUAAAUUAGUCUCUCUCACAACAAAAAUUACAAAAAGAAAUUCUAAAUAAUCUUAAAAAAUUUAAAAUGUUUAUAAAAAAUUCAAAAUUUAUAUUUUUAAAAAAAUAAUAAAAUUUUCAAAUAAAAUCUAAAUAAUAUAUAAAGAAAUUUUAAAAAAAUUAAAAUAAUAAUUUUGGAGACCUAAAUAAGUUAAUUAAUGAUUUAAAUUUAUCAUACUAAAGUAUCUUAUUUUUAUUAUUAUUUUACUUUGAAAAAGUUUUCAAAUAUAUAUGGUUUUAAAUUUAUGUGCUCUAACAUGAAAUUAAUUAUACUGUAACAAGAUUAGUUAUACUAUUACAAGAUUUCAUUUCACUCGACUCAAUUCGAAAAAUUUCAAAUCGAGUUGGAUAAUAAAAUAGAACUCGUCAACUUAAUUAACUCAAAAUUUUUUUACUCAAUUCAACUUAACUUAAUCCAACACUCACCCCUAAUAUCAACCACAUACACUGAACCCCUCAGCAAUGGGUUGAUCUCUUUGAGGACCAAAUCCAAUACUUAAGGAAAGAAUUGGAGUCUUUUCAGAAGUCAAUAUUAACAUAUAUGGAGUGGGAUUACUCCAAUGAACAUUUGGCCCUAAAAAUAGUAACGGAAUACAUGUCUCAAGCCUUCAAUUACCUAAGGAGACAUAACAUGGUCAAAAGGACCUCAAGACCAUAUUUUCCAAUACAACAAUUACGUGAAUAUUCUAAGUAUUUAGUUACACAAAUAUAAAAUAAAUACUAAACAAUAUAUUAUUAGUGAAACUAACAUUUUAACAACACGAAAAUAUUAUUAAUAACAAAAUUAUAAUAAUAUAAUUGAAAACAUAACAUAUUUAUAAAUAGUGUUAUAAACAAUAAAUUAAAACUUUAUAUAAUCAUUUGUCAAAAAAUUAAGGUUUAAAUAAAAUUAGGGUUUUUUAUCUGCUACAUAUAAGGGUAAAUGGUAUUUAAUGGGAGAAGAGGGUGGGGUGGUGUAACACCCUAUACCUGACUCGAUGACCAGGUUUGAGCUACGGGAUGUCACAUUUAUUUUUGAAGCAACUUGAUAAACUAAAUUCAAAUUCCAUUAUUAAACACUUAAAUACAAAUAUAACAUGCUUAAAACACGAUAUAUGAUCAUUUUCAGGCUAUAUACGGGCUUUAGAAAGCUCAAUACUAUCCCAGGGUUGAACUAAGAUUAAAUUGCAACGUUUUCAAAACUUUCCUAGUUGGUGUCAUGCCUUCCAUGGUUGGGUGUUGUGACAUUGAAGGCAGUAUAUAAGCUUCCCAACUUGAGGACCAAAUUGUAAAAUUUUCAAAAUAAAACAGAGCCAACGUUGUGAAACCAAAUAGGGGAUGUCACGACUAGUGUCGUGACAUUUAGGGUGUGAAAUCACGACAUCCUCGGCAAUCCACUAACUUCUAAUUUUAUACAAUUCCAAACUAACAUAUGGCAAAUCAUGGUUGCCCUCAAGGCCUCAAAUGACCAUUUAACAUAUACACAACCUAUUUAGCAUACAAUUUCCAAAACAUCAACAUUGUUCAUGCAUAACCAUUAACUAUUUCAUUCAUUUACAAUAUCAUUACUCAAAUUGACCAUUUGCAACUUAAUAACUUUUCCAACCUUACGUACAUGCCACUAAGUCAAAAUGAAAAAGCUAUACAAACUCUUUUGAGUUGAGAAUUACUGACUGGAUGUUGAAUCAAGACUUAGGACUUCGAGGAUCACCUAUACAUGCACACAGAAUAAACAAAUCGUAGGCUAAAAGAUAAAUCUUAGUGCUACUUUUAUGAUUCAAAUUAAUCUAAUAAAAGAAUUAACCAUAUAAACAAUCAAUUCAUAUUCCAUAAUCAAACAAGUUACAAGUCAUUCAUGUCAAUGCCAAACUUAUACAAAGUUUACAUUUAGCCAAAUUUGUAUACAAAUAUUAUUCUUAUAUUGUAAUAACAUAUCAUAAUCAAUUUUUCCCGUUUCACCUUAUCUAUUCACCCCUUUUUAGUUGAAAUUUCUCGAAACACUUGAUUUGUUUCAUUAUCACAUCAAACAUAUAAUCUUAAUAAACAAUCCAACAUGACUAUGUUAGAAGAUUCAUUCAAUCCACAACAUAAUUUCCUACGUCAUGAACCAAUAUAUAUAUCACUGACCGCAUGUGUGCGUGUGCAAAAAAUAAAUAGUUUUAUCAAACAAUUUAAAAGUGCGGUUUUAACUGCAAGCGUACAUUGUUAGUUGUAAUAUUUUUAGUGUCAAUGGGGCACCCAAAUAUCCCAAGGAUCGAACCCAAAGGAUUUCCAAAUUAGGUAUUAUCAAGUUAAUUGCACGUUAAGCAAUUACUAAUCUAAUAGAGUUGGAAAUUAUUAGUGCAAGUCCAAAUAAAAUACAAUUUUAACUAUACCUAAAUUAACAAAUAAAAAUACUAUACUAACUUUCUUCCUUUUUACUAGAAAAAAUGCAAGUGGAUUGAAAUGAUGGUUGAAUGAUUCAUGGAUUACUAACUAAGCUAAUAAACCUAUGAUAAAUAUAUAUUGUUUGCUACUCUUAACUAGGAAUCUCCUUUCGGUAUCAUUCUAAACUAAAAGAUACCACCUAAGCUCUCCUCUUAGUUUCACUUAGGCAAAUAGAUCUCCUCUUGGUCUCACUAUUCGACACAAGUGUAUCAAAGUCCUACACGAUAGACUCUCCUUUCGGUCUCAUCUAUCUAAAUCUUCUACUAGAAGCGUCAAUUCUAGUAUAAUAUGUAAUUUAAUACACUAGAACAAACCACCAAUAAAUGCAUAAAUCAUAACUUAGCUAAGUAUCUCACUCAUCAAUCAACCAAUAAAACAACUCAAAACAUGAUUAAACUUGAGUUCCACACAAGCAUUUUAACAAACACAUGAUAGGCAUAAAAUAUAAAAGAUAAGGGUUGAAAAAAUUCUCAUUAAUAGAUAAACAUCUGAUGAAGCACAAGAGUCUGACCAUCUUCAUUUACAAGAUCUUUAACAAUAAGGAAGAAAGAAAAAAACAACAAAGAAAAUUUAUUCUAAAAAGAAAAGAGAAAAACCUAAACUAAAAAAUGAAAAGAAAAACCCUAAAAUUAUGAAAACUAAGGAAAAAUGUCUAGCCACCAAAUCUCUUAUCUAAAAACUUAUAAAGUGGUAUUUAUAGGCAUCCUAAAUUUAACCAUUAUGCCCUUAGACGCUAUAUUUUGAUUGGUGUUGGACAAAAACUACCCCGACGGUCAUUUUUUUCCUCGUCAAAUAGGGAUAUCGCUAUAUCUAUAGUAGUCUCAAAAUGGGGUUUGCCUUGGAUGUUGGGUAUUGCGAUACCAAUGCAAGUGGUCUCCAUUCUCUUUAUUGCAAGACUAUUAAGAGUAUUUUGACUUUCAUGCUUCGAUAUCGCGAUAACCCUCUUCUAGACAAUGUUUUUGCUCAUGUUCGGGCCACUGUUGACUUCCUAAAACACUCAAUCAAAUUGUUAGGUUUCCCAUGGCACAAUCGGCCAAUUUGGGUCUUAAAAUAGUAUAAAACUCACAAAAAAAUUUAUUAACAAAAAAACUAAAAAUUGAUAAAUUAAAUAAAAGAUGCUUAAAUUGCUUUAGAAUAAGCUCUUUAAGUGUAAUAAAGAGCCUUGAUGCAUCAAAUUACCGCAGGUCAAACUCCCCCACACUUAAAUUUUUGCUUCUCCUCAAGUAAACACCUAAGAAACAUGCAUAAAAGAGGACCCUUGAACAAUGAACAAAUUUGACAAUCAAUUAAUGGGUAUGUACAGUGUAAUAAAUUCUUCUGCUAUACAACUUAAGAAUGAAACACUGCAAAUUCACACAUUUGGAAGCAAAUCAUUUUAUUUCACAAAGUUACAGGAUAAACAAAUAUAGAGGUAAUCUAUCAAUACAAUAAGGUAUGCAAAUAUGAUGCAUUUAUACAUGAAAGAAUUUAACUUAUUUAUUCUUACUAAGUUCCACAAGUUUCGAUUUUACAAACAUUAAUGCUAAUGUCACAUAGAGCUUUUUGGCUUAUAACGUUCUGAGGCUAGGAUUGAUAUGAAUUCAAAGAAAAUGUCAACUCAAAAUGGUUCAAGAACCAUGAACAGUAUAACACAUGACAUUGGUCCCAUUUCCCCCAUAUAUAAUCAUUAAACCCUGCGCCUUAUUUCUCCUUCUCUCCAAUAAUGCAGAAGAUGUGGUUCAAUAAUAGCUAGUAUAAACAACUUAGUGAGUACUUGCACCCUAUGACAGUGAAAAUCUAAUUUUAUGCUCCUUAAUUGAUUUCUCAUUUUGAGCAUAUUUUUCAAAAAAAAAAUUCUUUUAGCCCUAACCAUGCUUUUAUUCAUUCAAUUUACUUUUGUUCACUCAUAUUUUUCAUUCUAAGCACAUAUUUGUAAAAGUCUAUACAUGUCAUAUCAAACCAUCUCUUCACUAUUCACUCAAUUCAUUUUAAAGGCCUCCAAAAUGUUUCUACCUAACCCUGAAUGUUUGUGGUCUAACAUAAAUUCUAUAGUGCAAAUCCAAAUUAGGGACCGUGAAGAGUUGAGUUUUUAAAAUUUUGGCUCGAGGUCUAGAAAAAAAAGUAGGUUCAUCAAGAAGGAAUAAUUAAAGGCUCAAAUCACGAUACUAAGGAUAAUGUAGCAUAAUAAUUGGUCAUUUAGACUCUAGGCUAAUAAACAAUGCCUUAGGUCAUCCCUUAACAAUUCAAUGAAUAUAAAACCAAAGCAUGCUUUUACUUAUUUCCAAGAAUAAUGUUGAAUUCUAAUACAUGCAUGUACACAUUUAUCUACACACUUAUUGAUCAUUUGGAAAAAAAAUUCACACCUUUUUAACUACCCCUCUCUAUUAGGCAAUGUAACUAAUUGAACUAAACAAUUUUCUUAUAAAGAAUAGAAUUCAUCGAGCAUCAUUCAAAAUUUGUACAACUAAAAAAAUCUAUUACACAAAAACAUACAACAAAUCACCAAUGGUAAAUCAAAUCAUGUUCAAGUACCAUGUAAUAACUAAAAUAGAAAGAUAAAAUAAACACACAACCAUAAAAAAUUGACUAAGCAUGCAAUUUUUCUAUGAAUGCCCCCACGCUUAAGUUACACAUUGUCCUCAAUGUGUCCCAACUAAAGAUAAAGUUUAAGGAGAUUCCCCUUAUCUAAUGUAACUGUAAAAAAAUGUUGGAGUAGUCCUCAAACUUUAUUAAAGCUCUUAAUGUUGUGUAGCUCUCGGUUGGUCAACCUACAUAGAAAAACGAACACACCAAAAAAAAUAUGAAAUAAUAAAAAAAACUAGAAAAAAUAAAACUUAUCAAGUUUCUGGUGAUCCGUAUCCCCUACAUAAAAGAACUUCCAAGAGGUCCUUGACAUCUUGAAUCGUCGUUUGUUCUUCAUGACUAGAAUCAGGACCCCUUGGAAUUUGAGCACAUUUUUAAUGUCUUAUUUUUUACCUUCUAAACAGCCACAUCAUGAGUCACUUUUUUCUAAAGCCUAACCAACUCCUAAAUUAAUUUUGGGGUACUAUAACUUUGGUCAACAUGAACUCAAUAUGAUAUAAAGUCGUGUCACCUCGAAUCGUAGUUCUCUCAUGAGUUGUGUAAGCUUCAGAUUCUUGUUUCCAAGGUUAUAAGCAGCCUAAAAACUAGCAAAAUUCUUGGACAAGCUUUUGAACACAAUAUUUAUUUGGGUUUUCUGGUCCAAAUUAUUCUUAUUGUCCGUGGCCUCGACAAUUAACCCAUAAGAGUGAUCAUAUGGUCUUUGACCGAAGUGUCGGGCUUUUGCUGGGCAUUCAUCAAACUAGUUAUUGCAGACUGUCGAGCUAAGGUAGUUUCACCUCCAAACAUGUCUUCUAGCUUAUCUAGAAUUUCUUUAGCAAUAUUACAACUCUCCAGUUGCUUAUGCAAAGUGUUAGUCACGCUUGGCAGUAUAUAGCAAUGAGUUAUCUCAUCAGAAUCUUCCCAGCGUCUUCUAGCCUCAACUUAAGUGGCUGGAGGACACUUAGUAUCAAGAACUAUUUUAAGUUUCUCACAACUCAAGACAAUCAUUAGGUUCCUUUUCCAUUCCUUAUAGUUAUUUCCAUUUAGUUUUUUUUAGUGAGUAUGUUCAAUAAAGGAGUAGGUGUCAUUUUUGAACUGAAAAUAAAAUGUUUGAAAAAAACAUUUGCAACAUCACGAUAUACAUUAAAAUGAUGCAUGCAUUUUACAUUAAACCUUGAAAAACAUUUCUAAGUCAUUGUAACGAUAAUUCCCAUACUCAUUGAAUCAAGCCACCAUAGAGUGAUCAUAAUCAACUAAUAAGAACAUGGAUUUCCAUCCAAUUACUACAUGAACCUAAUUCCUUAGGCAUUCACAUGUGGAACAUAGUCUAGUGAAAAAAUAAAAAUAGAUCCAUGUACGAGGAACGAAUCGAGUUAAAAUAGGGUUGAAAAUAUACCUUUUAAAAAUGAAAAUGAAAAUGAAAAUGAAAAAUAAUGUUGUUGGUUGAUAUCUGAUAACUCUUGAAAAGAGUUAUAUUUCAUGCCUUUAGACCUAGCCAAUUGCUUGUACUUAACUACAUUUUGUUGAAUUUUAGGAUAUUUUAGUUAGCAAUUUUAAUAUUACAUUAGGACUUGGAAUGUGUUGGAAUUAGAUGCUUUUAAUCGCUUGCGGUGGAGUUUUUUGUGUGGCAGGAACAUGUUUUGGAACAAGGAAAUAAAGGUGUGAAGUUUUGUCAGGGCAAAGUGCAGACAGUUUGCCAGCAUGGAUGUCGUGGCAAUACUGGGAAGACCAAGUCAAUAUUUUAUGCGCAACAGUCCCAGUUCAAAUUCAAAUUCAAACUUGUAUUAGAUAAAUCCCCUUAAAAGAGGAGAAUAUAAGCACGAGCUGUUAGCCAACCCUAGCCUAAUCUAUCUACAAAAACAGAUGAAGGGGACCUCACAAAAGGAAGAAAAAAAAGUGGGAGAGAUCCUUAGGCGUGAAUAAGGGUUCGGCUACCCAAAGGACAAAAAAUCGAAGGCAGCCAUUCUUAGACAUCAUAGGACGCUAUGCUGUCAAAGUGUAGACUGAGCAAGUGAAAGCUGCUUCCCAAAGUUCUUCCAUUACUUCCAUUAGUAUUCCUUCAAAAGAUUGAAUUGAAGUAGUUGAACGCAAUGUCAGAUAAUAUUUUGGUUUGGAAUUUUACUUCCCAUCCCAUAAGUUAAAUCUCAUAGGGUUGGGAUUACUUUCAAUGAAACCUUAGCUAUUUUUAUGGAUGCAGUAUAUAUCUAAUUUAUUUUACUAUUUCAUUUUAUUGUUCUUAUUUCUUAAUUAAAAUGCAAUGAUCUCUAGACAAAGAAGGUUGUUCACAUGCUAUAAACUAAUUCUAAUUCCGAAAGGGUUGGAUUGGUUGGAUUAACAUUGAAUGAAAUGAGCAAGUAUUCGAUAGACACUUGUAUUCGACUCUAGGCAUAGAGUCAUAAUCAAACAUAAGGAACCCAUGCAAGAUAUCUAAAAAGCCUAUAGGCAUGACCAAGGUAACUUGAUGUUUUGUCCUCACGAGAGGCAACCAUUUUAGAACUCUUCUGUACAGUAAAGUAAAUACGAUUUUACCAAGGCAUUAUUGAUAGUAUAGGUCGAUUAUCUCGACCUUUCAAAGCAACAUCACUCUAUCCUUAGUCUUUGUCGUAGUAUCUUUGUCACAACAUAUUUAGUUGUUUAUUUCUUUGUUUACAUUCUAUUCGGAUAAUCACUCUUAUUAUUGCCAUUACAUUUCUGCUUCACUUUUGCCAUAACAUCUUAUUCAUCAGUCUUGCCAUAUCAUUAACUAGAGUAUAAUAACUUGACCCCUUUUGUGCCUCAACUUGAUACUCGUGAGAACGAUACUCACUCAUCACUUUAUUACUUGAUUCGACGUGUAUACUUGCACAAAUCACACAUCAUUUUACACGCGAAAAUAUCCUUUGCCUAAUGUCAAUCCUAGCCGCAACAUAGUCCACCCAGUCAAUUACAAACAAAAAACUCUUCUGAACUUUUUAGAGAGUAUCCAAACUUUUGGAUGCUAAAACUAGUUUGAUUUUCUUAGUCACCCCUUCAUAAUCUAGGAUUGUAUUCCUUUAAUAAUAUCAUGUAUAUUAAAUACGGAAUAAUUUCAUUUUACUUUUUAGAGAAAAUCAUGGAAGAUAUUGAAAUUAUAUUCUUUUCAAAAGAAUACUAAAUUUCAUAAAUAUUAACUCUGGAAAGAAGUUGUGAAUCAUAACCGCCAGUUGUGAAUCAUAACCACCAGUUAUGAAUCGUAUUCGUUAGGUAACAGGGCCUGCCAAGCGAUACUAUUCUCUAAACGAUGUUGUCCCAUGGGCGAUACUAUCUGUCGGGUGUUACUGUCCGCCAGGCGAAACUAUUCGCCUCAUGGUACUCAUCCACCAACGAUAAGAAUCUGCCAUUGUUGCAUGUAGGAAGGUUUGCGCCCGUUCUAUUGGCAUGAAGUCUAUUCGCUUUAACCAUAGGGUGUAACCCUAUAGGUUCUUGUAACGUUGGUAGUAAUACUAGAACAUUUCUAACGUUACAAUAAAUAAGUGGCAUCUAGCAAUGCGUCAUUGCUACCCAGGUUACAAUAAGUCGUGAUUUGACAUAAACUUUUCAUGAUAAACAUUUCAUGUAUUAUAUCCUUUUAUCCUUUAUAUCUAGAUUGGACACAAAUCAUGGUUUAGUCAUACUUGUAUAGUUCAAUAUCAUAUUUCUUGAUAUUCUGAAUAGACUAUAAUAAACAAAUAAGUGUGAUAUCUCAUAUUAACUUAUUUGAGCAUGAUUAUGCAUUUCUAAUCUUAAUUUAUCAAGUAGCCCAAGAUAUUACUCCUAUUAUGUCAGAGGGGUAAAUCUUAUGUUGAUCAAUCAUUUCCCACUAAAUAGAUUGUGGUAUAUCCAACAUUAGUCUUUAUAGUUCAACUUGUUACGAUAGAUGUUUGACUAUAUCAAAAUAUACAACUCAUGAUGUUGGGACAAUGAUAAUCCAAGAAACAUACUCAUGGUCGGUCAGUCUAGUAUGUUGUUCUCUAACACAUACUCAAGUAUUGAUUUUGACAUCCCUUUGUUAAUGGCAACACUUUGUCAUCAUUCAACUACACAUUAGUUUCAAAGCAUUAUUAAUGUCCAAGCUGACAAUAAUACUUGACUAAGAACCUUUUAAGUAUAAUCAUAUUAUUCUUAGGACUUUAUUAUUUUUUUAGUUUGUUUAUAUACACAUAAAAAGAAACUAAAAUAACAAUGGCAUUGCCUUAUAUUAAUAAACAAGGUAAAAUAGGUAUGUAAUUACAACCAUCUCAUGAUUAGUCUUUGGGCAUGCUCAAACAUAACACCAUUUCAAUCAUGAUUCAAUUCAAAUAACAUUUAUCAUGUUCAUAUUUUAUAUUCUCUAUUACCUAGACUUGGGCUUAGGACAGAUACACGGAUCAUUCAACCAAUAAACCAGUUAGGAAAACUGGCACACAAAUUGCAUACUGGCGCAUAAGCGCAUCCUGACACACGAAGUGCAUACUGGAGCAAUUCAAAGACGCAAUUCAUUUUUGGUUUCAACGAGCUAGUGGAGGGACCGGUUGGACAUAUGUAAUUAGGGCUCAAAUAAUUUAUAAUUUAGUUUUAAUUUUUCACCUAUUAAUUAUAAACUCAUUUAAUCAUGAAGUCAUUCCAUUAUAGUAUCGUGAUUGAGCUCUCUCUAACGACAUACCAUUAUGAAAGCAACUAUUUAGUGCUUGUCCAAUGACCUUGUCAUAAGUGUGUUACCCUAAUAUUAUAUCAUUGAUCUCUUUGGGAUAAUAUCCGUUCUCCCAAUAUGAUCCUAUUUUAUCUUAUGGUAACUAUUACAUCUUCCUUCAUGAAAAUUCAAUCACUAUCAAAUAGUUAUCAAGUUAUCCAUCACAAAGACAAAUGACCUAUUGCCAUGUUUAAUACCUAUGAGAGGAUAUCAUUUACUCAUGUCUUGGGUUAUGAAUUCCAUUUUUGUGAAAGACACUACAAAUUGUAGAAGUCAUACACCCAACGUACCAGCUUUCGAUUAUUUAUCUAUUCAAACUCAGGCUUUUACUUACAUCAAAGUGUAUGAGUCACGCAUACAUAGUUCGCCAUCCACUAAGGAAUUAGAUAUGCCACAAUAUAUGUCACAAGUGAAUAAAUCCAUAAACGAAUGCAAGAUCUUUUCUACUUGGGUCUAGUCUGAUGUAUUGUCAGUCCAGUUAACCACACCUAUAUCUUUAUCUUCUGGGAGUCAUCCGCUCUGAUGUCCAAGACAAAGCAUCUCCCCAAUUGGACUUGAUAGAUAACAUAUUAGUUAAAUAUUAAUCAGUCCAGUUAGUCCGGUUUGCUCAUUUUCAAUUAGACUAAGGAUAUGUUUAGGUUCAUCUACUAAUACAAGUUGUCUUUCUGUAUUAUGAUCCGGCCACGUAAUAGUGCUAAAUAUUAGUUAAACAAUAGACAACCAGUGAGCAACAUUUACUUCCAUUUUGCUUUGCGUGCAAAAAACCAUGUGAGAAUAAUAUACAAAAUAUUAAAGUAAUUCAUGAAUAGUUUUAUUAACCAAUUUGUUCAAAAAAUUACAAGUAUACUUAGACGAAAAUACUACACUUAAGGCACCAGAUCCAACAAUAUAUCGAUUCAUCAGACAUUUUCAACUAUAAAACAAAAGAAUUUACAAUCAACGUUUAAAUCCCGACUCAAACUUGACUCAACUAUGACAUGUACUUUUAGACUAAAUUACAGGCUCAAUUUAGUAAAAACCAGCUAAACCUAUAACUUUGAUCACUAAAUGUAACACCCCAUACUCGACUUGGUCAUCGGGUCCGAGCUACGAGAUGUCACAUUCGUUUCUCAAACAACUACUGUCAACUAAAUUCAAAUUCCAUUAUUAAACACUUAGAUACAAGUAUUACAUGUUUAAAACACGAUAUAUGAUAUUUUCGAGCCAUAUAUGAGCUUACAAAAGCUCAAUACUAUCCCAGGUCGAACUAGGACUAAACGAAAAUGUUUUCAAAACUUCUCUAUUUAGUGUCGUGACUUCCAUGGUCAGGGGUCGCGACAUUGAAGGCAGUACAUAAGCUUUCCAACCUAAGGACCAAAUUGUAAAGUUUUCAAAAUAAAACAGAACCAACGUCGCGCCACCAAACAAGGGACGUUGUGAUGAGGAGGGCUAGUGUCGCGACUUCAGGGUGUGAAGCAGCAACAAAAGCCAGGGAAAUUUUGAAAACAUUGCAUUUUAGUCCUGAUUCGACCCCGGGAUAGUAUUGAGCUUUCGCAAGCAUGUAUAUGGCCCAAAAAUGAUCAUAUAUAAUGUUUUAGGCAUGUAAUACUCGUAUCUAAUUGUUUAAUAAUGGAAUUUGAAUUUAGUUUAUUGUAGUUGUUCCAACAACGGAUGUGACAACUCGUAGCUCAAACCUAACGAUCGGGUUAGGUAUGGGGUGUUAAAGGUGGGAACAAAUGUGACUCUAAGGGUGUCAGGGGCCUUUCCCUUCAAAUAAAAAAUUGUUAUUUAAGUUCCCUAUAAAAUAAUUAAAUUAAAAGAUAAUUUAUGGAAAAUUGUACUUUUGGCCCUCAAAAAUGAAGAAAAUGAUGUUUUAUUCCUUAAAAAAUGAUGAAACCAUAAAUCAAUAGAUUAUAAAAUUUAUUAUUCAAUUCUAACCUCCUAAAAAGUUCCUAGAUUUGCCCCUGAGUGUGAAACCCUUUUUCUCAAUCUAAAAGGGUCUGGUUAGGGUCUCAUUAAUAGGGAUGACAACGGAGUAGAACAAGGGUGGAUGUUGUCAAAUCUAUUACCAUUCUAUUGUUGGCAUCAUUUACCCUACCACCUGCCCCACUCCAUUAUGAACGUGUAACAUUAAAAAUCUCUAUAGACGUUGGAUGCAUCCAUCCUCACAUCGUACCAUCUUGAUUCGAUUUAAUUUUUACUAGUUAUUUUUAAUCUUUUUAAAAGGCAAGUAAAUAUUUAAAGAUAAUUCUUCAAAAAGAAUGUCUAAACAUAAAACAUAUGAGUUUUCUAUAUCACAUUUCUAUAUUUUUACUCUUUUACUAAUUAUAUACACAAAGGUAAAAUAACAAUUUUGUAUAGUGGAGUGGGACGGGAUGAGCCAAUUAAUUACCAUAAUCAUUACACCCAUUGUCAAAAGAAAGUCCAACUUGUUCUGCAUCCAUUUUAAAUAAAAAAAAAUCUCUCCAUUCGAAAUAGAAUGGUUCGAAAUCUAUUGAACGGUUUAGAUUUUUUUUAUCCCUACUCGUCGAGAAAAAAGUUCUCUAACGCCUUGGGAGUUAAAUCGCCAAUGUUUAAUAAAAUUAAAUCACUUUUAUCUAUGACGAUUCAAGGAUAAAUCGAAAUAACACUGUUCAUUUCAUACUAUUUCAAUAAAUAAUUCAUAGAAUAUAUUAUUAUUUUUUUAUUUGUAUUAUUUACAAAAAGAAACCAAAUAAUAAUAACAGGAAUAACAACAACAAUAAGGGUAAACUACACUUGUAGUUACUCAAUUAUUGGUAAAUAUUUUUUUGGUCACUCAACUAUUAAAUUUUUUUUUAUCACCGAAUGUUAAAUGACUAAUGGGAAGAUGACGUGACAACUUUUAAAAUUGGUAAAUAGCAAAUUUAACCAUCGACAUUUAUGCAUUGUAUCAAUUUAGUUUUGAUUCUAAAAAUAAAAUCUUUAACGUCUACACAUAGUGAUUUGUUUUUUUUUUCAAUUUUUUAUUUUUGUUUGUGACCCUUUCACCUAAAAAUCUAAAAAAGAAAAUCUAUCAACUAAUUUUAGUGGAAAAUAUAUCAAAAAUGAAAAUACCAAAUUCAAGAUAAUAUUUUUCAUCUUUUUUUUUUCAUUCUUUUAAAAUUAACCAUCAAUGUCUCAAAUAAAAAAAAUUACAAAAAAAUCUAAUUAUAAAAUGUGUAAAUGUUGAGGGUAAUUUUUUUAUAGAAUUAAGACUAAAUUAACCCAAUGUAUAAAUAUUAAAGUUAAAUUUUAAAAAAUGUGAAAUUAUAUUUGUGGUAGUAAAAACGGAUGACUAAAGAAUUUUGGAAUAAUGGAAUGACUAAAGAAGUUAAAUGGAAUCUGACGAGUAACGCUAAUAAUGACAAGAAUAAUAGUAAGACAACUUUUUGUAGUGUACUUGCUUGGUGUUGCCGCAGCAGUUAUGUUUUGUUGCUUGUUUUGAUUAAUUUAUUUUAAAGUGGUCUAGGGGACAUGCUGGGUCCCAACUUUUCUUAGUUAUCCUCUGCAAAUGCCAACCUGUUCUUUUAUUAUUAUUUUCCGCCAUUUUUGCUCUCUUUCAAGCUUUAUUUUUUGCCUAGAUCCACUUCUCUCUCUUCGAUUUUUAAUUACUGCAUUUUUGUUUUAGUACACAAUAAGAACAACUAAGAGAUAGAAUGUGACUUAUCAAUCUUUUAACUGAGAUCUGUGAGAAUUUUUCUAUGUACCAAGGUAUUGUAAAUUUUCAGUAGUUUCCUGGGUACAUUUUUGUUUUCAUUUUGAACGUAUUUAUUGAGUUUUUGUCUUAAUAAAACUGUUCAAAUUUGGAAACUUUGAUAUGGUUUUUUUUUCGUAAAGAUCUUCUAUUUCUGGAAUCUGGGUUGUUCUUCAUUUCUCAGAUUGAAUUCAUUUUUCUUUUAUAAAUAUUAAUUCUCAUUGAAUUUCAUGUUCUUGAAGAACAGGAAUUAUUUACAGAUGGGAAAAAAAGGUGGCUGGUUUUCUAUUGUGAAGAAAGCUUUGAGCCCUGAAUCCAAGAAAUCUCAGGUUUCAAUGAUUUAAUUCAUAAUCUAAUGGAUUUCUUUUUUCGGUUUGGGUUUUCUUAGAUUUGUUGUUUUUAAUUAAUUUCAGCACCAAACUCCAAAGCCAAAGAAAAAAUGGUUCGGAAAAAGCAAAGAUUUGGGACCUGUGUCUGUGCCUGAAGAAACUGAAGUGAUAACUGAAGAUGUAAAGUUAAAAGAAGCUGAAAACGAACAAAGCAAACAUGCCUACUCUGUGGCUCUUGCCACCGCUGUGGCGGCCGAGGCCGCGGUGGCAGCUGCUCAGGCGGCUGCUGAAGUUGUCCGUCUCACUUCUCAGCCGCGCCGUCUGGGGAAGUCAAAGGAGGAAAUAGCUGCUAUCAGGAUUCAAACAGCAUUUCGUGGAUAUUUGGUAUAUAUAUAUAUAUCAUUCCUUUUCUUUUCUUUUCUUUUUGCUUAAUUUUGAUGUUUUAUGUUCUUAUUUAUUACUUAAUGAAUUCAAACAUUUUUGAAGGAUCCGAAAAUACAUUGUGUUCGCCUGUUGUUUAUAUAAACAUAUAUGUAUGAACUUUUACUGGAUUUUCCAUUGUUGUCGUCCAUGUCGGUGCUAUUGCUUGAAUUGAAAGUUGUUAUUGAUUUUGAAAUGAUCGUUGGACAUUUUGUUCGUAUCGGCCUUUCUUGAUGAUUACUUGUGGCUAAUUAUGUUGAUGAUGAUUACGAAAGGUGUUCUUGAGUGAUGGUGAUGUGUAGUAUAAUCAUAAAUUCUCCUGAAUCAUUUGUUUUGUGAGCGAUUAAUCAUAUUCAUGCUAUGAGUUAUGGCAUUUGAGUUCUCAGGCUAGGAGGGCACUGCGAGCUUUGAGAGGGUUGGUAAGGUUGAAAUCGUUGAUCAGAGGGCAAUCCGUCAAACGCCAAGCAACUACAACGUUAAGAUGCAUGCAGACUCUAGCUCGUCUGCAGUCUGAGAUUUCUGCAAGGAGGAUUAGAAUGUCAGAAGAGAACCAGGCUCUUCAGCGCCAGCUUCAACAGAAAUGCCAGAAAGAGCUCGAGAAGUUGAGAGCUCCCGUAAGUGCCUCGAUUUUAGCACAUUUUAUGCUUUGAGCUCAUGAUUUCCUAAAUCUUCUUCGACUUUUCGGCUUUCCUUGGACCAUUUUUUUAUGGAUCUUGACCCUAUUUGGACUUUACUGUACCUUUUACCAAACUCAUAACACAAUCUGUCCUCUAGAGUUUUGCAUACAAAUACUGAAUUUCUAGAGGGUUGAGCCCUCAUGUUUUUCUUUGAAGUAAUUUUAUUCCAUUUGAUGAUCGGUUUUGUUGUAUUUUCCACUACCUUUAAAACUCCUUUAGUGAAAGAUCCGACCUUCCGGAAAACAAUGAAGGUGGUAUUAUGUAUGAAACCUGUCUCAUACUGAAAGACUACCUUUCCCAACAUUUGGACUUUGUGGAAAACCUUUUAAGGCUGAUAGCAGAAGCAUUUUACUUAUAAGUCCUACUGUUUCUACUAUUUAAGCAGAAUGUAUAUGAACGCUGUUGAAUCUACGGAUUUGUUGUUUAAACGUGUAAUUUGCAGAUGGGAGAAGACUGGAACGAUAGUACACAGUCGAAGGAGCAGAUCGAAGCAAGACAACAAAAUAAGCAAGAAGCUACUAUGAAAAGGGAAAGAGCAUUGGCUUAUGCAUACUGUCACCAGGUAUCGGGUUCUACAAACUUUUUGUUUGCAAGAAUGUAGAUAACUGUGUAAUGCUUUUCAUAUUUACAAUCCAAAUGUAGAAUCAUGAAUCUAAAUUUGUUACAGAGCUAAAUGACCCUUGUUUUUCUUUUCUGUUAACAGCGAUCGUGGAAGAACUGUUCUAGAUCAGUGAAUCAAACAUUUAUGGAUCCAAGUAAUUCGCACUGGGGUUGGAGUUGGUUAGAGCGAUGGAUGGCAGCCCGGCCAUGGGAAGUCCGAAGCACAACUGAUAACAAUGACCGUGGCUCAGUCAAGAGUAUGGGUGCUCGUUCGAUAUCUAUAAGUGAAAUCAGCAGAGCUUAUUCUCGAAGAGAUCUUAACAAUGAUAACAAACCAAGUCCAACACCUCAGAAGUCAAGUCGAGUUCCUAGCCACCAGUCUCCAUCGACUCCACCUUCAAAGGCACCUUCGAUUUCAUCGGUUUCUGGUAAAACAAGACUGCCAAGUCCGAGAGGAAGUCAAUGGGGAGGGUAUGAAGACUCAAGGAGCAUACUCAGUACCCGGUCUGAUCGUUAUAGGAGACAUAGCAUUGCAGGGUCCUCAAUGAGAGACGAUGAGAGCCUUACAAGCUCACCUGCAGUUCCGAGUUAUAUGGCACCAACACAGUCCACAAAGGCCAGGUCCCAAAUACCAAGCCCCUUAGGAAGUGGCACACCAGAUAGGAGAGUGGCAGGGUCUGCAAAGAAACAGCUUUUGUUCUCAGCGUCCCCAGCCAGUAGUAGGAGACAUUCAGAGCCUCCUAAAGUGGACAUAAGUGAGGUUAGAAAGAAUCAACAAGCACCAAGCAAUGGAAGGCAAGUGGUUUGGUGAAGAGUGCAACAAAAGUUAGAUUGAAUAAACAUGGAAGGGUUAUUACAACUUGAAGCUCUUGUAGUGUGUUUGUGAUUAUCUUUUUCUUCCUAGGUUUUAUGAUUAUUAAUUAUGAAAGGGUUACUUUUUUCUGGGUGAGAUUUAGUUUAUUGUUUGUGGUUGACAAACAUUCUUAAAAAUCUUCAAGUUUAGUUUCAAUUCAUGAAAUUUGUAAUUAUUAUGAGUAGACCUAAAUGAAUUUAUGUCCAACUUUGCUCUCAUAAUCAAUACAUAUAAUUAACUUAUUUGCUUUGAAUUUAAUAUUUUGCCUAUCUUUAAACAAUAAACAAAGACUCCAAUUUGAUAUCUUAUAAUUUAUUUUAUAUAAACUUUGCAAUAAAAAAGUUUUUUAUAUUAUUAAAAAAUUAAAAUAAAUUGAUUUUUUUUAAAAAAAGAGAUAUUUAAAUUAUCAUAUUUAUUUUUUAUUUAAAACUAUUUAAAAUUGUUAUAAAAUAAAGAGAGAUAGAGAGAAUAAAGAACAAACAAAAUAUGAAAGCAAUAGAGAAUGUACUUUAUUGAUAAAAGGGAUUAUUACAAUAUACUUCAUCAGAGUCUCUAUUUAUAGGCAUAAGAAGUAUAAAAGAAGUAAAGAUCUAAUUCUAAUAACUAUUAGAAUUUAAAAUGCAUCAAAACUUUAUCUUGAUCAUGAUAAACAUCCACUUAAUAAGAUAUUCAUAACACUCCCCCUUGAAAGUCCAUUGGUAGAUAAUGUGUCUCGUUAAAACCUUAUUAGGAAAAACCCUAUGGGAUAAAAAACCUAAUGAAGAAAAAAGAGUACAUAAUCUUCUAUUACAAGCUAUCUUGUUAAAAACAUUUACCAGGAAAAUCUAAUGGAACAAAACAUUGGUUAAAGGAAAAGAGUGCAACUUGUUUUUAGACUCCCCCUGAUGGCAACAUUACAUUAUAUCUUUGAGUCGACGCAUUCCAAUAUUGUGUAGUAGUUUUUCAAAUGUUGAAGUUGGCAAUGCCUUAGUAAAAAGAUCUGCUAAAGUUUCAUUAGAACGAAUUUGUUGAACAUUUAUAUCACCUUUUUUCUCAAGAUCAGUGGUGAAGAAUAAUUUUGGCAAAAUAUGUUUCAUUCUAUCACCUUUGAUGUAACCAUACAUGUUGCAUUAUCUUCAUAUAAGAUAGUUGACAUCUUUUCCUAUAAAGGCAAAUUACAUAUCUUCUGGAUAUGUUGGGUCAAUAACCUUAGCCAAGCACACUCUCAACUUGCCUCAUGCAUUGCAAUUAUUUCUGCAUGAUUAGAAGAAGCAACAGUUAAUGUUUGCUUUGUUGAACGCCAUGAUAUGAUAGUACCCCUAUAUGUAAAUAAAUAUCUUGUUUGAGAUCGACUUUUAUGUCGAUCUGAUAAGUAUCCAGCAUCAGCUUAGACAACUAAUAAGGAUUUUGAAUCAUUUGAAUAAAAUAACCCCAUAUAAAUGGUUCCUCUGAAAUAUCUAAAUAUAUGUUUAAUUCCAUUCCAAUGUCUAUGUGUUGAAGAAGAACUAAAUCUUCUUAACAAGUUUACAGUGAAAGCUAUAUCAGGUCUUGUGUUGUUUACAAGAUACAUCAAUGCCCCUAUGGCACUUAGAUAUGGUACUUCAGGACCAAUAAACUCUUCAUUAUUCUUGCAAGGACAAAAUUGAUCUUUAUUCACAUCUAACAAUCGUACAACCAUCGGAGUACUUAAUGGGUGUGCUUUAUCCAUGUAAAAUUUUUUUAUAUCUUUUCCAUAUAAGUUGAUUAAUGAACAUGAAUUUCAUCUUUUAAAUGUUCGAUUUGUAAGCCAAGAAAAAAAUUUAUUUUUCCAAAAUCUUUCAUGUAUUUUGAAGCUCUUCAAGAGUUCCAAUAAUAUUUAGAUUAUCAACAUAAACAACAAUUAUCACAAAAUCUAAUCUAAACCUUUUUAUAAAGAAACAUGGACAAAUUGGAUCGCUUUUGUAACAUUCUUUUAACAAAUAUUCACUAAGACGAUUGUACCACAAAAGUCAAGAUUGUUUUAAUCCAUAUAAAAUUUUCUUUAAUUUGAUCGAGCAAUUUUCUCAAAAAAACUCUAUAUCUUUUUGGGAUUUUAAAUCCUUCAGGGAUUUUAAUAUAAAUUUCACUAUCAAGUGUAUCAUAUAAAUAAGAUGUAACAACAUUCAUUAGAUGCAUGUAAAGUUUUUCACGUACUGCUAGACUAAUAAGAUAUCUAAACAUAAUUGCAUCCACCGUAGGAGAAUAUGUCUCUUCAUAAUCAAUGUCAGGCCUUUGCGAAAAUCCUUGUGCUACAAGGUGAGCUUUAUAUCUUACGACUUCAUCAAUUUCAUUUUGUUUUCGCACAAAUACCCAUUUAUAUCCUACCGGCUUUACACCUUUAGGUGUUUGGACUACAGGUCCAAAAACUUCACGUUUAGAAAGUGAAUUCAAUUCUGUUUGAAUUGUAUCUUUCCGUUUUGACAUAUCUUUUCUAUUUUACUUUCCUUAGUAGAUUUAGGCUCAGGAUCAUCAUUUUAUUUUGUUAUUUCAAUAGCAACAUUAUAAGCAAAAUUAUUGUCGACAACUACAUUUUUUUUGGUUCCAUCUUUUUCUCGUAUUGACAUAACUUAUCAAGAUCUCUUUAUUUUGAUCAUUUCCAUGUUCACUUUUAGGUACCUGAAUCACUUCUUGAGUUUUAUAAUUAGUUAUGUCAUGGGUCUCUUCAAGAACCCUGGCCUCUACUAUAUGACCAUCUUGAAUAUUAGCUCCUUUUUUUACAAGGAUUUUUAUAUUUGAAACCGACUGGUCUUCUACGCUUCAAGCAUAGAUUACUUUCUUUUGCACUAACAUUUUUCCUUAUUAGAACAUCAAUUCGUAUUGGAGCAUUUUUAACUGGUAUGCGAGAUUUAAUGAAUUUUGCAGUUGAUUUGUAAAAUGAAUUAUCUGUUGAACUUCUGGUUCACAUUGCUUUGUAUGAGGAUCUUAUACAUUGAUAGUUCAUUUCAAGUACUUUAUUAAUCCAACUUUUUAUUCUCUCCCCUUAAUGUUGGGAAAAUUGACAACUCAUGUCAUAACCAAAUAUCGAAUUAAUAGCUCAAAAAUAUUAUAAGAAGACUCAUAUAGAUAUAGAUUCCCAAUCUCUUAUGAUGACCCAUCUUUGUGUGUUGUGGUGGAGCAGUUGGAACAUAUACCGCACAUCCAAAAAUUAUAAGAUGAGAAAUAUUUGACUCUUGACCAAAAAUCAAUUGUAAUUGAGAGUAUUUAUAAUUUAUUGGCUUGAUACGUACAACAUGUAAAUCAAUACAAUCUCAUGCUGAAAUAGAAAAUUUUGUUCUCAUAAGUAAUGAUUUAGCUAUUAGUUGGAGGCAUUUGAUAAAAAAUUCAGCUAAAUCAUUUUGUGUGUGAACAUGAGCUACAGGAUGUUCAACUUUUAUCCCAAUUGACACGCAAUAAUCAUUGAAAACUUGAGAUGUAAACUCACCAACAUUAGCAAGAUUAAUUGUUUUAAUUGCAUAAUCUGAAAUUAAUCAUUUAAACAAGCAAUCUCGUAAACGACAGAUCGCGAGUUGAUAACGCAUGUGAUUAUUUUGUAGAUGCAUCUACCAAAAUCAUAUAAUAUCAAAACCAUUCACAUGAUGGAGGAAUGGACCCAUAUUCGUUUCAGAAAUACAAGACAUUAAAUCUCAACUUUAGCUAGUGAGUUUCUAAUAAUCAAUUUUCAUUGAGAACAAGUAACAAAUGAGAAUUCUUUAAAUUAAAGAAUCUUCUGAUUCUUUAAUGAAUGUCUAUAUGAAUUCUCAAUUAAUUUUCAGAUCAUAUAUUAUCAAGGAUGGUCAAACUGAACAUGCCAAGUAGUAAAUGCAUUUGUAUUAGUAAACUUCUAGUUUACUUUAACAUGUGUUUCAAUUGUACUAAAUUGUAACAAAUUGAUAAUUUUAUUAUCAUCCAUUUUAAUUUGUAUCCACAUAUAAGUACUAUUGUGAAAUUUACUACUGGAAAUGUCUAAAUCAAUGUGAAGUCUAUACUGCCACUAAGUCAAUAAAUAUAAUUUCCAAAUAGUUAUAUGCAAUAUUCGCUUCAGGGAAUAUGUCAAAAUAUUCAAAUGCCCAAAAAACUAUUAAUAUCAAAAUUUGAGAGUGGAUCUUAUUUUCCAGGUGUACAACAGGUACACAACCAAUGACUUUUCAUACAUAAGUUUUGUGAUAUCCCGAAAUAGGGCCUAAUCGGAAUAGUGGUUUCGUAACCCCAAAUCCGAAGUGAAAUAGUUUAAUUUUAUAAAUUUUUAUUAAUUACCGAUUGAAUGAAAUAUUGUGUGAAAAUAUGGAUAGGAAAUUUUAAUGAUUUAGUGCCUAAUUGAAUUUUUAGGACUAAAUUGAGAAAAAUACAAAGUGUGUCUAAUUAGUGAUUAAAUGACUUAAUUGAAUUAUUGCAUGAAAUUGGAAGUGUUUAUGUGGCAAUUAGACCAUAAAUUAGUGUUAUGGACAUAAAAGGGUAAUUCUAGAAAAAUAUCUAAGUAAUGGGUCAAGGGCAUUUUUGUCCAAAUUGAAUAAAAGACAAAAUAAAGAGAAAAUAAGUGUCCAUCUUCUUCAAAAUUGAAGAGUUGCUGCUGAAACUUUCAUGUUCUAUAGGCUAGGGUUCUUGAUUUUUCUAAGCUCAAUUGUAAGUGAUUUCUUGCCCCAUUUUUAAUUAUUUUCGUAUUUUUAUGCUUAUUGAAGCUUGACUUUCAUGUUUCUACCAUUUAAUUUAAAUGAAAUUAAAGUUUAAAAAUUGAUCCAUUCAUGAUAUAAUUGUAAAUUUAUUAGUGAUGUUAAAUAAUGAAUGUUUGAAGUGUUAAUUACAAGUUUUAGUAGAUGAAUUUCGAUGAAAAUGUUGAAAAAAGGACUAAAUUGUGAAAGAUGGUAAAGUGUGCAUAAAGUUGUGAUUUUGUAAAAUUUAGGGCUUUUAUGAGCAAGAAAUAUGAUUUAGUGAAGUUUGAAAUUUAAGAAUUCAGUGAAUUUUAUUUUUACGAACUUUUGGACAAAAGUGGAAUUUUUGAAAAGUUAUGGGAAAAAAUGUAAGUUUGCCAAAAUAUUGUGUAUGAAUUGUAUUUGAAUGGAAUAUUGAUAAAAUGCAUUAAAUUGUGUUAAUAUAGAUCAAGAAAGAAGAAAUAGUGGAGGUGAUUGUGUAAUACCCCCUACCCGUAUUCGUCGUCGAAAUAGAGUAUGAGGCAUUAUCAGAUUUUACCGAAUAAAUAUAUAUAUAUUUUCAAUAUAACCCCUUUAUAAAUAUCUAAUCUUCCCUGAAAAUUUUAAACCGAGACCAAUCCGACACAACUAAUUCAUUUCAAUAUAUUUUCAAGAUAGAUUUAUCGUAUUCAUAAGAUAAUCUCAUCACAUACCAAAACCAAAAUUUGUUAGCCAUACCAAUGGCUAACUUUACAUUCAUUUCACAUUAACAUCUACUUUACUAGCUUAUACAUGCCAUUGAUUUCCAAAAUAAAGUUUCUUUAUAUACCGAGAUCUUGAGGUUGAUAGUGUGAUGCGUCUCCGAACACUACAAAACAAGGGAAAAGGAAACAGGGUAAGCACUUUGUGCUUAGUAAGCUCAUGUAACAAGAAUUAUACUUACCUAAUAUUUUCAAUACAAUGCAAUAAACAUUCAUACAUCCAUUCAAUACAUUAUUUCUCUAUCAUGCACAAACUCAACAUUCAAAUUAGUCCAAUAAUUUCCAUGUAUCAAUAAUAUAUAUCAUGAUUGAUGAGCUCAUCAAGUCCAUGAUUUCCAUUUCCUUGUUAUUUUUCCAUAUUUAUCCCGUUGAAUUUCUCGGAAUUUCGAUGGAUUUUUAGAGGUACACUUUAGUGUACAAAUCCGGGUCCGUCAAUUCAUAUUCAUGUGCGCACAUUUCCAUUUCAGAGAGCACACUCCCGCGAACCUCAUCCUUACAGCGGGAUUACUAGUCCAGGCUAAAUCCCCUGUAAUAUAAACUCAUAGAGUAUUGUCGGGAUUACCAGUCCAGGCUAAAUCCCCUGCAACGACAAUUACUCUAAUGAGCUUGGAUCUGAAUUACCAGUUCAGGCUAAAUUUAGACCCUAAUUCGGAUUACCCGUCCGGGCUAAAUCCAUUUUCCACAUAUUCUUCGGGAGGGCUAAAUCAUGAUAGGAUCACCCGUCCGGGCUAGAUCCUUUUUACCGUCAAUUCCUUUUCAGAGAUCCAUCGAAUUUUCCUUCCAUUCAACCGAGAUUUCUUCCCUUUUUUAUCAAAUAUAUCAAUGUUUCAUUAAUUUUCAUAUAAUGAACAUUCAAAUCAUAUUCACAUCAAUAACAAACAUUUCAAGCAUUUAAGAAUAUAAUUCAAGUUACAUGAACUUACCUCGACACUUGUUCGUAAAUAAAAAUCUACUAAUCUUGAACUUUUUCUUUUUCUCGAUCUAGCUUCGUAUUUGAAUUUUCUGGAUUUGGUGCAAAAAUUAUGAAAAACCAGCUUGAAGAAACCCUUAGGACGUUUUUGGCUGAUGAGAAUGCAGAAAAAUAAAGAGAAAUCUAGAUAAUUCCACUUUAGUCUUAACUUUUAAAGCAAAUUUUGCAAUAUUCCAAUUUUACCCUUAAUUCUUCAAUUCUCCUGAUUUUUCCCAGCUUAUGCCGCCCAAAAUAUCUCCUUUUGGGGUUAUUUGCAAUUUAUGUCCCUCCUCAUUUAACAAUUGAGCUAUUUAAUUCUUCUAGUAACUUUUACACCUUUUUCAAUUUAGUUCUUUUCACUUAAUUGACUACCCAAACAUUAAAAUUUUCUAACGAAAUUUUAACACCAUAUUACUAACACUUCAUAAAUAUUUAUAAAAUUAUUUUUGACUCGGUUUUACGAGGUUGAGGUCUCGAUUCCUUAUUUUUACCCAAUUUCUUCAAUAAUUUCUUUUUCUAACUAACCACUAAAUCAGCAAAAUUUUUCUAUCGAUAUUUUCAUACGAUUUUCCUAUAAUACCAAUAUUCAUGCAAAAAUAUUAAAAUAAAUUUCUCUUUAAAUUGGAUUUGUGGUUACGAAACCACUAUUCUGAUAACCUUGAAUUUGGGUCAUUACAGAUCGGGGAAAAGAGAAGGUUAUUGACUAAAUUUCAAAAAUAGUCGUUUUGCAUCCGAGGUAAGUUAUGUGUAAAUAAUAGCAAUAUAUUUUUAUAAAUUGUGAAUUUUAUUUGAUAUGUGAAUCAAUAUUGAAUGUGGAAGGAAAAUUGUUCAUGAAUUAUUCAAUUGAUAAAGUGUUGAAAAUAAAAUGUUAAGUCUAAAUUCCCGGUUGAACUUAGGAAUAGAAGUGGAUACAAGUGACAUGUCACUAGAGAUCAGAAUUAUAGUGUUACAGUGAGUCCUGGGUGCUGAGUGAUCUAGCAUGUGUUGCAGACACCUGACAGCUUGUGUGAGCAGGCCCGUGGACAUUUCCAAUGUUAUUGAUCAGGGGUAGCUUUGGCUACAUUUCAGUGGUAGCUUCUGCUACAUAUCAGUGUGACACUUAUGUGCUAAAUCUCUACGUAUCUGUGUAUAUUCUAAGUGUUCAACGGGAUUAAUAAUGAGUUAAAGUGAAUAUGAAAUGAAGUGUGUAUGUAGUGAUUUGAGCUUGUUCGAAUUGGGGAUCGUCAGAGCUCGUAUCACACUAUCAUAACCACCUCGGUAUUAUGUGUUUUCAAAAUGUUUAAAACUAUGGCAUGUAUAGAGUCUUAAUCAUUUUUAGUAUGUUCAUAUGAUAUGGCUAAGAUUAGCUAUUGAAAUGGUUAGUAGAGAUUAAGUUUUGGUGUUAUGUAUGUUUAAAUGGUAGCUAAUACAAAGAAGCAGUUUCUUUGACAGCAGCAGUGAUUUGAAUGUGAAAAAUCACCAUAAAUAGUAGAAAUGGAAUUAUAGAGUUAAUUAUAUAUAUAAUUAAAUCUUAUCAAGUCUAUUUUUACAUGAAAGAAACGGUGUAGGCAAAGGAAUUUUAUAUUUUGAGAUAUUUAAAUUUUAGUGAGACAGGGUCAGAAUGAUUUUUGAAGUCCCCUGUUCUAACUUUAGAAAAUCAUUAUAAGUUUUACAGAAAUAAUUAUGGGUCAUAAUUUAUAUUUAUAGAUUCCUUAGUGAGUCUAUUUUCAAAAGAAACAAACGAUAAUAUUAUAUGAAUUAUGUACAAUGAUAUAAUUGAUUUUUAGUGCCAAGAGGUCAGAACUAUCGAUUAGUAAAAUAGGGGAGACUUUAAUGAAUAAACUAUACUAAUUGGCUAAACCAAAAAUUCUAAAAAUUUUAUGGUAAGAAGGUAUAUGAGUCUAGUUUUAGGGAAAAUUUACGAAUUUAAAGUUUUAGUUUUGUAACUCAAGAUAUAAUUAAAUUAGUGACAGUUGUGCAGGUUGACAGUUUUGUUGUGAACAGUGAAUUUAAUUUUAAAAGCAAAUUUUUAUGCUCCGAAUUAGUAAGUUAAGUUGGAUGACAUCUCGUACUCGAUUCCGGCGAUGGUCUCGGGUAAGGGUUGUUACAAGUUUUCUCUCUUUCAAGUUCUCAUCAGUAUUUAGUAAUAUUUUACUACGUAAUUUUAAUUGAGAACUUAUUCUGAAUACUGUAGAGUUGUAUUCAUAGUUUUUUUUUAAAACUUGCAACUUUAUGUGUAUCCAACCAUAAUAAGCUUUAGAUAGAAUUAUCAUAUUCUAUUGCUCAUAAGUAAAAUUUUUACAGUCAAAUAUUUUACUUUCAACCCUUUAAUAGGGAUGAUGACAAAAGAAUAGCAAAAAGAUUAUAAAAUAAAUAUAAAUUAAUAACCCAAUCCCCUUUUUUAUUCAUAUGAAAUAUAAUAUUUUUCUCAUUCACAAUCUCAAUAUGAGAUCCAUUAUGAAUAUAUUUUAGAACUAAUGCAUUAACCAUCACAAACUUUGUGCUUUUUAGAUAUUGAUAUAUUAGCUCUUCUAGAGCUUUCAACUAAUUUUGUACUAUCAAAUAUUAGAAUAAUAUUUGUUUGUUUUAUUACCAAAUAAGAUAAAUAUUUUCUAUCUAUAAUGAUAGAAUUCAUUAUUACAUUUUCAUAUCAUUCCUCAAAGAAUAUUAACAGAAACAAAAUAUUUGGGUAUACGCCACAUAUGUGGCCAAUAAUAUUUCAUAUCACAUUGAUAACAUAAAUUAUCUUUAUCCUUUGAAGAGUUAUCUUGGGAACUCUCAUUAUUCUCUUAUUUGUUACUAUAUUCCCACUUUUAAUGGUUCAUAAUUAUAUCUUAUAUUUUCUUUAUGUUUGCAUUCACUUCAGGAAAUGUAACAAAUCUGAUAGGGUAAACUUCUAAACACCUUUAUUGAUUUUUUUUAUUUCGUAAUCACCAUCGUAAACAUACAUGGAUUUUAAAUAAGAAUUUAUCCAUUCAUUUUGUCAUGAUUAUUCUCCAAUUAUAAUAAAUAUGAUAUAAUAAAUAAAACAUAGUAAAAUAAACCUGAAGAUCUUUAACAUCAUCGCCAUCACCUUGAUUAUUAUCACGAGCAUCCAUUCUGAGAUUAAAUCUUUCAACAUCCUAAAGAUGAAGUUCUAAGGUGGAAGUUUAAGGUGAAAAUGAAUUUGAUUUGUGGGACGACUUCGAAAGAUUUUGAAAAAAUAGAGAAUCAUCGUGUUAAUAACAUGUUAUAAAAUAAAGAGAGAUGAAGAGAAUAAAGAACAAAGAAAAUAUGAAAGCAAUAGAGAAUGUUCAUUAUUGAUAAAAGGGAUUAUUACAAUACUUCAUCAGAGUCUUUAUUUAUAGGCAUAAGAAGUAUAAACGAAGUAAAGAUCUAAUUCUAAUAAUUAUUAGAAUUUAAAGUGCAUCAAAACUUUAUCUUGAUUAUGAUGGACAUCCACUUAAUAAGAUAUUCAUAACAAAAAUAAAAUAUUAAUAAAAUUAAAACUAAGAAUACAUGUUAUGAAUAUCUUAUUAAGUGGAUAUCCGUCAAGAUCAAGAUAAGUUUUGAUGUACUUUAAAUUCUAAUAGUAAUUAGAAGUAGAUCUCUACUUCAUUUAUACUUCUUAUGCCUAUAAAUAGAUAUUUUAGAGAAGUAUUGUAAAUAUUCCGAUUGAUCAAAUAAAAUAUGCACUCUUUUGCUCUUUCAUUCUCUUUGUUCUUUAUUCUUUGUCUUUUAUUUUAUAACAUGUUAUCAACACGAUUCUCUUUUAAUUGUUUUUCUCCAUAUGUCAUAAAAAUAUCCCAAAAUUCACUGUUGUUGAUUGCCUCCUAAAGCUAUUGCUAUUUCAAUUGAGGCCUGCGUACUAUGGGUAAUCAUUAGAGCCUUUAACCACUAAGGUAUGCAUAAAUUUCUAAAUUUUUUAUGCCCUUUUAUGCAAAGAAAUUUAUAUAAUCCUUACGUUGUAUGUUUUUCUCCAUUGUUGAUUGAUUUUUUAGUAAAUUUAUUUUAUGAGAAAAUAUUACUACUUUGAGGUUUCUUUUAAACUAAGAUUCUUUUAUUAAAUUAUAGUAUGCAUAAUAUUUAGAUGUUUAAAUAUUUUAUUAUUAAACUCUUGUUAUUAAAUAUUCUUGUAAUUUGAUUAAAAUUAUGGGGGAAAGUUUUAUUAACCUACCAUAGUUGAUUAAAGGGAAAUUUAAUAGGAUCUGUUGAGUCUUAUUAACUUACUAAUGUUGAAUGAUUGUAUUAUAUCUUUUAAAUUGAAUUUAUAAAUAUUUGAUUAGAAGCUUCAUAAGAUUUUAUAACAUAUAUGUGAUAUUGAAAUUUGGUAUAAUGUGUAUCAGAUAACUUUCAAGCAUCGUACACGAAAAUUUUGAUUGUUUAUUAAACGAUUUUUACUAUUAGAUUAUAAAUAUUAUUACGAAAACAAAGUUGUUUUACUACUUGCAAUAGUGCUCGUGAUAAUUGCAGAGUGAUGAAAAUGAUGCUAAAGAUCUUCAUAUAUAUUUUACUAUAAUUUAUUUAUUAUAUCGUGAUUAUUAUAAUUGGAGACUAAUCAUGACAAUAUGGAUAGAUAGAUUUUGAUUUGAAAUCUAUACAUGUUUGCAAUGGUGAUUAUGAAAUAAAAAAUCUAUUGGGAAGUUUAUAAGUUCAUCCAGUAAAUUUGUUGCAUUCCCCGAAGUGAAUACAAGUAUAAAAGAAAAUAAAAACCAAAAUUAUUUCGAUAUUUGAUAGUAUAAAAUUAGUCGAAAGCUCCAAAAGAACUAAUAUAUUAAUAUCUUGUGACGAUUAAUCCAUUGGUUUUAAAAUAUAUUCAUAAUAGAUCUCAUAUUGAGAUUGUGAAUGAAGAAAUAUUAUAUUUCAUAUGAAUCAAAAGAGGAUUGAGUUAUUGAUUACUCUUGUUAUUAAAUUGAAUUGACUGUUACUAUAUUUGUGAUCUUCGUUUGUCAUUAUCCCUAUUAAAGGGUUGAAAGUAAAAUAUUCGACUGUGAAAGAUCUACUUAUAAGCAAUAGAAUAUGGUAAUUCUAUCUAAAGCUCAUUAUGUUUGGAUGCACAUAAAGUUACAUGUUUUUUUAAAACUGUGAGUAUAACUCUAUAGUAUUUAGAAUAAGUUCUCAAUUAAGAUUAUGUGGAAAAAUAUUACUAAUGCGAACUUGUAAGAGAAAAAACUUAUGUAUGGAAAGUCAUUGGUUAUGUACCUAUUGUACACUUGGAAAAUAAGAUUCACUCUCAAAGUUUGCUAUUAAUAGAUUUUGAUUGGAUUCAAAGUCUACUACUAGAGUUUAAUUUGCUUACUUCUUGAUAAAAUCAUCAAGACUCAAUGCAAAAAUUUUUUUUAACAUAUUCCCUGAAGCAAAUAUUGUAUAUAAUUGUUUAGAAAUUAUAUUUUGUUGACUUAGUAACAUUAUAGAUUUCACAUUGAUUUAGACAUUUCCAGUAGUAAAUGUCACAAUAGUACUUAUAUGUAGAUACAAAGUAAAAAAAUGACAGUAAGAUUAUCAAUUUGUCACAAUUUAUAUUGACAUUAUUAGUACGAUUGAAAAGAAUGUUAAAGUAAACCAAAGUUUACUGAUACAAAUGCAUUUACUACUUGGCGUGACCAGUUAGACCAUCUUGGAUCAUAUAUGAUGCAAAAAUUAAUUGAGAAUUCAUGUGGACAUUCAUUAAAGAACUAGAAGAAUUUUUAAUUUAAAGAAUUCUCAUUUGUUGCUUGCUUUCAAUGAAAAAUGAUUAUUAGAAACUCACUAGCUAAAGUUGAGAUUUAAUGUCUUGCAUUUCUAAAAUGAAUAUGGGCACAUUCAUCCACCACGUGGAUGGUUUUAAUAUUAUAUGAUUUUGGUAGAUGCAUCUACAAAAUAAUCACAUAUGUGUUACCAACUUGCAACUUGUUGUUUGCAAGAUUACUUGCUUAAAUAAUUAAUUUCAUAUCAUGCAAUUAAGACAAUUCAUAUUGCUAAAGCUGGUGAGUUUAUAUCAAAAUCUUUUAUUGAUUGAGUCUGAAAAACUUCCGUAAAAGCUUGUUAUUUAUGCGCAUAAUGGUUUAGAGAAAUUAUUGAUUGAACGCAUCUGAUUAAUAUCUAAACCAUUACUUAUGAGAACUAAACGUCCUAUUUCAACAUGAGAUUAUGUUGAUUUACGUGAUGUACGCAUCAAACCAAUACGUUAUAAAUACUCCCCCAUUACAAUUGGUUUUUAGUCAAGAGCUAAAUAUUUUUCAUCUUUGAAUUUUUGUAUGUGUAUAUAUGUUCCAAUUGCUCCACCACAAUGCACAAAGAUGAGUGAAUCCUCAAAGAAAGUUGAGAAUAUAUAUUAAUUACAAGUCUCCUUAUAUUUUUUAAUGUUUUGAAUGUUUUGGAGAUUUAAUUAUGACCUGAUUUGUGAUUACUAUUUUGAUAUAGUUUUCCCGACAUUAAGGGAGAGAAAUAAUAGUUGAAUGAAAUCACUGCUUGUAAUGAGUUAUCAUUAUUUAGAUUCUUAUAGAGAGUAAUUUGAACCAAAAGUUCAAAAAAGAUAACUAAUUUAUUACAAGUUAACUGCCAGAUGUAUAUACCAUCUAAUAUUUUGAAUAAAAGUCCCAGUAGGACAAUCAGUUAGAAUAAAUAAUAGAUAUAUCGGUUCCAAAUGUGAAAAUAGUUCUAGAUGGUCAUAUAGUGGAAGCGGGUACUUUAGAAGAGACCUAAGACAUAACUAAUAAUUAAAACUCUAGAAGAGAUUCAGGUACCUGAAACUGAAGAUUAAAAUAGUGAAAAUAAGGGAUCUCGAUAAGUUAUGUCAAUUUGAGAAAAUGUGGAACCAAUAAUAAAAGUGGUUAAUAAUGGUUUUGCACGAAAUAUUAUUGUUGAAAUAAUGAAACAAAAGAGGAUCUUGAAUAAAUCUAUGGAUUAUAUUGUUCAAAAUAGAAAGAUACAACUUGAGUACAAUUAAAUUCGUGGAGUUUUUGGACCAGUAGUCCAAAUACCUAAAGGUAUAAAACUAAUGAGGGUAUAAAUGAAGUAGUUUUGCAAAAACGAAAUAAAAAUAUGAAAUUUUUUGUUAAGUCCUGACAUUGAUUAUGAAAAUAUAUAAUAUUCUUUUGUGGUGGAUGCAAUAACCUUUAGCUAUAUUAUUAAACGGACAGUUCAUAAAAGAUUUUGUAAUAGGCCAAUUUAGCCCGGGCUCACAAAAAAAUAAUAAACCCAAAAUAAUAAAACAGAGUCUAAGUCCAGUCCAAAAUUAUAUCAUUUGGCCCAAUCGGAAUGACCCAUUACUUGAAAAGGUUGAAGGUCCAUCUACAAGUUUGACACAUAUGGAAACAUAAUCUUCAAGAAUAUGCAAUCUUAGAUAUGAUAUGCAAUCUUAGAAGAUAUGAUUUUGUAAUCUUAGAGAUUUAAUUUGUAGAUAUCCUUUAAUCUUAGCCGUUGAUGUAAUUAAUCGGUACAGUUGGAUUUGGGGAGGCUCAACUAUAAAUAAAGGCCUCUCCCUUCAUUGUAAAGGACUUGAGUUGGGAGUAAUAAUAAUUAUUAAAAGUAUUCACUCAAAUUUCUCUCUCUCUUGUGUUCUUAUUUCAUGUGGCUUAUUCUUAUUUUGUUGAUUUGUGUAUAAUUUAUUUAUUGAUUUGUAUAUUGUUGAUUUCAAAUCUCUUUUUCCCUUGUUAUUCAUAUUUAAAUUCAUUAUUUUCAAAUUUGUUCACAUUUUAUUUUGCCUUAUAUUUUUUUUAUUUUAAAUUUAUUGGUCUUUGAUUAUUGAUGCUAUUUAAUCCUCUAUUUGUUAUUUUAGUUUUUAUUAUUAAAUUAAUUAUUUUAAUAUUAUUAACACUAUUAUGUGGCAUCAUUAAUCUUGUAUCAUUAUUAUUUACUUUUUUAUGCCUUUAAAUUUCAAAUUUUGUUAUAUAUAUGCAUGUAUACAUAUAUACGUUUUAUAAUAUAUACAUAUACGUACACAUUUUUAAAUUUUUAUAAAUAUAUAUAUACACAUACUUUUAUAUAUUUUCUAUGUUUCAUAAUUUUAUAUACAUACUUAUAUAUAUAUUUUACAUAUUAAAAUAUGUAUAUUUAUAUAUAUAUAUUUUAUUUUUUAUAAUUCACACGCAUAUAUAUUUUUCUUAUAUGUACAUAUAUUUUUUUUAUAUUUUAUAAUUUUUAUCUAUUUUCUUUGUUAUUAUUAUUGCUUUACUUGAUGUUUAUUUAUUUAUUUAUUCACAUGACCAUUAUUAUCAUUAUUAUAUUCUUUAAAUGCUUCGGUUUUAUUUGUUUAUUUACUUGAUAUUGUGUAUACAUGAUUGAUUUGUUUUUUUAUUUAUCUUUUCAUUAUUAUUAUUAUUAUUGUUGUUGUUGUUGUUGUUGUUGUUGUUCUUGAUCAUGCUAUUUAUAUUUACAUUAUCACAAUUGUUACUCCAUUAUAUAAUUUUUACCCAAAUUCGUAUAAAGAGAAAAUUUUGAAAAAUAAAGGCAAUACUCGAUAUUUGGAAUCUUCGAGAGGAUUGAGCCCUAACGUAUUGGGUUCCAACUCUUUCGUUGAAUCUGAAUAAUCGAGAAUACUCUUUAAUCAAAACAUAAAUAAAAAGCUCAUUAUCGAGAAUUCAAUACGUUGUGUCCUAACGCAUUGGAUAUGACACGUUGUUUUCUCGAGCUGAUAAUUUUUUCUAAAAAUAAUAAAGGUAAUAUUCAAUGUUUAGAAUUUUGAGAAAUUGUGCCCUAACGUAUUGGGUUGCGAUUUCUUCAUCUGACUUAAACAAUUGAAUAUCCUUUUAAAUUUUAUUGCACGAGUUUUUUGGACAAGCUCGUUUUUGAGGAAGUGAAAUAUCAUGCCCUAACUCAUUGGGUGUGACAUUUUCUCUUUUCGAAAUGAGAGGGUUUUAUCGAGUAACUUGUUUUAUAUAAGUUUCUUAAAAAUAAAAAUAAAAGAUCGUAUUUUAAAUCGCUUCAAAGUUUUUAGUUUUCGACAUUAAGACAUUAAUUAAUUAACUAGGUACCAAUUUUUGGGCGUUACGAGGGUGCUAAUCCUUCCUCGUACGUAACCGACUCCCGAACCCGUUUUUCUGAAUUUCGUAGACCAAAAUCGUUGUUUUAAUAAAGUCAAAUCGCUUAUUAAAAAUAACCACUUUUUGAGGUGACCCCGAUCACACCUAAAUAAAAAGGAUCGGUGGCGACUCCCAUUUUUAUUUUUAUUUUCAAAAUCCAAGUCGACCCCGUUUUUCAAAAUAAAAAUGGUUUCAAUAGAUUUAACUUGCGUUUAAUGGUUGUUGUUACAACCUUUUAUGAAUCACUAUAUAGUAAAGUUUAUAUUAAAAUCCUUGAAAGAUUUAGAAUGCUAGAAACAUAUUAAAAUUCUCGAUAAAUUGUUCAUUUAUAUGAAUUGAAAUAAUUUGAACAUAUGUAGUAAAUUUGACUGAGUGAAUAGUAGUUGAAGGAGGUUUAUAAAAUGAUCCAAAAUACCGAUUUAUAUUUUUAUAGAAUAAUUAUGAUUAAAGUUUCCUAUGACUAUUGUUGAAACUCUUGAAGAGAUCAAAAUAUAUUUUCCCCAAAAUUUUUCCUCACUCAUGACUUUCAAAAGAAUGGUGAUAUAAAUGCUUAGCAAUACAUUCAAAUGGUCAUUUGAAAAGCUAGUAUUCAAGAUUGAAUAUGCAGAAUAUGAGAUAUUAUGUGAUGUUUUUAUGAGGGGGAGUAAAUUCGCGCUAUACUCUUUUUUUUUUAAUCAAGGUUUUGUCCCAUUGGAUUUUCUUGGUAAGGUUUUUAAUGAGGCAAUAUAUUAUGUGUAUUAUAGAAAUUGUACUCUUUUUCCUUCACUAGGAAUUUUUUUCCCCACAAGAUUUUUAUCUUAGUAAGGUUUUAAUGAGACACAUUAUCUACCAAUGGACAUCUAAGGGGGAGCGUUAUGAAUAUCUUAUUAAAUGAAUGUCUAUCAAGAUCAAGAUAAAUUUUGAUAUACUUUAAAUUCUAAUAGUGAUUAGAAGUAUAUCUCUACUUAAUUUAUAGUUCUUAUGCCUAUAAAUAGAGAUUUUAGAGAAGCAUCGUAAAUAUUUCCAAAUGACCAAUAAAAUACCUUCUCUCUUUUGCCUUCUCAUUCUCUUUGUUCUUUAUCUUUUAUUUUAUAACAAUAUAUAAUUUUUAAAUAUUAGCAUUUAGUUUUAUCAAGCAACAUUUAUAUUUACUAAAUUAUCAAAUAGUUUUUUAAUAUCAAUUUCAGUAAUAAUUUUUUAAUGCUUAAAAUUUCAAUUUAUUUAAUAUUAAAAAGUAAAAUUAGUUUAUAUUACUAAUAUUCAUAAAUAAAAUACAAAUAUGAAGUAGUAAUAUUGAAAUUAUAAAAGAUUGGGGGACCCUAAAGAAGUUAAAACUGGUGAGGAGCAUAGCCGGUCUAGAACACCUUUUAAAUGAAACCAAAUUACCUAAACAGAGCCCAAAACCUCGCUCGAUUUUUCGUUUCACUGACAGAACCUGAAAUACGAAAGCCGGAAGCCGCUUCAACAUUUUCAUCUUUGGAUUUCUGAGGUUGUAUCCCAAAUCCCAAAAAAUGGUAAAUUUCUAGAUCCUUUUUAUUAUAAUUAUUUCAUUUUCCCAUUUUUCUCUGUUUUGCCAUUUUUUUUAAAUGUUUUUGUUUGAAUCUAAUUAAAUGCUUAAUUUGGAGUACGAAAGUUCACCUUUUUUUAGGAAUUAUUUUACUAUGGAUGCCAUUCAGUUUCAUAACAUGAAUAAAGAAUUUGUUUCAGCUUAAUAUUUCUAAAGGAAAAAAGAUUAUUUUUUGGGGGGAGAAGUUGUUAUGGUGUUGUGGACUUUCUUUUUAGUUCCAAGUAUAAGCCGAACUAUGUUACCUGAGUUAUUUUUAUUUUAGUAUUCUGUGUCCAACACAUAUUUUGACAAAUAUAUGGAAUAAUUGAGCUUAUCUGUGUCGAAACAUACCCGUUUUAGAUACUCACCUUCGCGUCCAGUUACAAUUUGUUUUGAAUAAAUCUGAUGCUGAUAGACUCCUCUGAGUUCAGGCAAAAGUCCCUUUUGUUUAUGGUGUAGUUUAAAGUAUGUCUGUUGAUAAACUCAUGGAGAUGUUGGGAUUUGGCAGUUGAUGUGAUUUCCAUGGUAGAGAAAGAGCCAAGGGAAGCUUCAGCCUUAGCUUAUGUUUUUAAGUCCUUGAGAGAUAUUUAAUCUUCUUAUCAAUUUAUUGAUUUCAUUGUAUGAAACUUUAGUUUCUUGUUUAUUCUAUGACUCUAGAUUUCUUUCUAAUGUUGCUCGAAUUGAAUAUGAGAAUGUGUCUGCCAUAGGUAUGUGUGCGUAUCUAUAUUGAAGUUUUUCAUGUAUUUUGGGGGUCAUAUCUCCAUAUCUAAAUACACAUUGGACACAGAUACUUCACAAAAAAUGAAAGAGUUGAGGAAACUUUUAGUUUAUGGCAUUUGGUCAGUUUAGGGUAGCUGUGUGUUAGCCUUCAAAGAAUUAGUAAAAAGAUGAAUCUUGAAUGAAUUAAUAGCUUGUUCGCAUUCAAAACCUAUGUAACGUGGUCUCAAGGGGUGAGUAUCAAAUACAGGUAUGUGUUUGACACGGAUACUUCAGAGAGAAUGAAGAGUCUGGAAAACAUAGCUUAAAACUUAUUAUAAUUUGAUGCAACAUUAAAGAACUGCUUAUGCUCACUAGUUGAACUCAAAUUGUCUUUAUUAUGUGUCUGAUACGGAUACUUUAAGGAAUGAAAAAUCCGGAAAGCAUAGUGGAAACCUCGGUGGAAUAAAAUGUGACUUUCAAGAGCUGCUUAUGCUAAGUGAUAACUUGUCGAACUAAAACUUUUUAGCUGCAAUUGAGGGUUAAUAGUGUUUCUUUUCUUUUGUAAAAUAAUUAAUGACUUGAUUCUUCUGCUGCAAUAUAUAUAAACUUUAAUUAAUGAAUUUCUAGAUGUUCAUCAGGCUACACCAUUUUUCGCUGGGCUUGCAGUUGCUGCAGCAGCUCUUGCUGGUAGAUAUGGAAUACAAGCUUGGCAAGCAUUUAAGGCAAGACCACCACAACCUAGAAUGCGUAAAUUUUACGACGGUGGUUUUCAACCUACAAUGACAAGAAGAGAAGCCGCGUUGAUCCUUGGUGUUCGGUAAGCUUUGUUCCGCAUAAAUCAUUAAGGAAAUGAUAUAUUAUGAAUCUGUUAUAUAUUUGUAAUAUCUAUUUGAGAGUUAAUAUUAUGAUUUUAGAUUCUUGAGCAUACAUGAAUGACUCAUUUAUGAACUUUAUCCCCUAGAAUAUUAAGGCAAUCAUAUACUUUGAAUAUUUUAUAUAUUGGUAAUGUCUAUCUGAGAGAUAAUAUUAUGAUCCUCAAGUUUUUGGUGAUGGGAGUUCUUAUUUGAUUACUUCCUAAGUUAAUGUUUGAAGUUUCGAAAAAUUUUCUGGCAUCCGAAUCCAACCCUUGUCACUACCUUAGUAAGACCAAAGGGUGAUUGAGAACUAUGAAGUGAGCCCCAAUACAUGCAUCUUCAAUUAAAUUUUUUUUUCAUAUAUUUGCCCAAAUAUAUAUGUGGGACACGAGUACUUUAGGGACAUGCAGUAUAGAUUAGGGUUGGGGAAAUGAAGAAUGAAAGCAAGCAUAGAUGUUACUUGUGGCAUGCAUUUCUUUAGUGUUUUCACAGAUUUCCAUCUUUGUGAUGAUGUUUCUUUUCUACACCAUAUGAUUUAACAGGGAGAACGCGACAGCGGAGAAGGUGAAGGAACAACAUAGGAAAGUAAUGGUAGCGAACCAUCCAGAUGCGGGUGGGAGCCACUACCUGGCCUCGAAAAUCAAUGAAGCUAAAGAUGUGAUGCUUGGGAAGACGAAGGGCAGUGGAUCUGCAUUUUAAAUCCAAAAUGGCCUUUGCUUUUUAUUUUGGGUGUCAAACUUCUAAACCAUUUGCCUACUUAUAUGGAAGCAUACCAAAAUUUAUUUUUAAUGAAAUAAUAUUAAAAAAAUGGUAUGAAAACUGUGGCUUUGCAAAAAUAUUUAAAGUGGUGUUGUCACACUGAAAAAUAUGCCGAUGUUACGUCAAAAUAUGGGUGUCGUUGGGGGAAUAAAAUAAAAAUUAAAUGCGGCACCCACUUUCAUCUGUAAAUACCUCAGUCUUUCAUCUAAAACACAAGCUAUCAAUUUAAGAAUUCAAGAUCAAACACAUUGUUUUUGGUGUUUUAAUUAUUAUUUAUUUUAUUUUAUUUGUAAUAAUAGUUAUGUUUUUAUAAUUUUUAGUAUUUGUUUGUUGAUCAGAUAUUUGAAUGCUUUUUAUUUAAUCUGUUCUUUAAUGUUUGUUAGAGCCAUGGCUGUUUAAGGCUGAUGAAUCACUGUUGUGUUUCAACAUAACUUGUUCAGAUACAGCGAUGUUGGUAUUUGGACUCGGGCCUACAUAUAUAUUUUUACCAUAUGCAAAUGGAUUGCAUGAUGUGUUUCUUUUCAUCUUAAAUCUCGGUGAUCGACAUCCCUUAUCACGUGGGGCUUAUUUCGUAAUUUAUUUGCUCAAUUUACUUGGAUAAUAAAUUUGAAUUUUGAGAUUACUUUUGGAGGUUUUUUAUUAUUAUCUUGGAUUAUUAUGCACCAAAUUGAAGUCUAAUUUGAAAGGUUGUCUCAUUUAGUCUAUAAAUAGGUAGCUUAUUCGUAUGAAUGAAUGCUUCGUUUGGAGAGUGUUAGUGCUGAUUUUGUUAGUUUAUUUGCUGUCGAUUUUCUUUGUAUUUAUGCACUCGGCAUUAUUUGACAGUGUUAAAUAUGAUUGUAAGUGAGGUAUUGGAUGAGUAGUUGUAACAAGUUGGGACUAGUUACUAGGGUUGUAAUUACUUCUUACACGUGUAAGGGUGGAUUGAGUUUUAACAAACAGGUGAACCAUUCACUGAGUAAAGUUUGUAAAAUAGGAUCAUUUUCGAACUGCGUUAGCAAAUGUUGUGUGCUUAUAUCUAUAUGUUUUAAAUUGUUAUAUAUUAUCCAUGCAAGUGUUUAUAUAUAUAUAUAUAUGCCUUAAAGACUAAAAUGUUGGUAUUAUAUUGUUGUAUUUAUUUAUUACAUCUUUAUGUUAGUAUUAUAUUAGUUGGUUGAAAUUUUUAUAUUUUAUGUUUGUUAAGGUUUGAAAAUUUGGAUAUGAUAAUUGAUUUAUAGUAAAGCUUUGAAUUUUUAUGAUAUAAAUUGUUUUAAUUGCAAUCAAUAUUUUUUUAUUUUUAGUUUAUUUUAAAAUUUUAGUAUAAAAAAUGAAUAAUCAAUUCUACUUAUAUGUCUAUUUCGAUGGGAUAAUUCGUGAGACAGAAAUUGGUUGUGUAUUUGAAUCACGUCAUCAAUAGAAUGAAGUUUAACAUAAGAGUAAAACUUGAAGAAAUAAAAGAAAAGAUCGGUACAAAAAGCACUCGAUAUUGUGAGAGAAUGAUGUCCAAGCUAUUUUACAAAUUUCUAAUUUACCAUAAUAUUACCAUUUGAGUUCAACAUUUAUUUUUUUAAUUGAAAAUUUUUUGAUACAUAAAGUAUCACAGUGUGUUAAUAUGAUAGUGAACUCACCGCCUAACAUUGUAGUUUCAGCUUACACAAAUAAAAAUGUGGACUUUUUAAAAUAAAUUAAAAACUAACUUUUAUGUUUAAAUAGUUUCUUCUUAAGGUAUAUAUUUAUAUAUAAAAACCCAAUAAUGGUCACUUAAAUUAUUCACUAAGCAAAACAAAUUAAUUAGUUAUUAUCUAUUUUCACCCAGCACAUGAAAAAGUCCAAUAUUUUGUGGUUGUCAUUUUUUUUGUAGGCAUAGAAAUAUGGAAAAUAAUAUUUUUUUUGUUUAAUGCUAAAUUUAGUCCUUAAUGUUUAUAUAAUUUUUUUUGUUAAUUUAGCUCUUAUUCUUUUUUUUUAGUUAUAAUUGAUCCUCAACAUUUUAAAAAAGAGUCAAAUUGUAACACCCCUAACCCGAAUCCGUCGCCAGAACAGGGUUACGUUUCAAAAUUUUUCUUAGAAGUAUGGGACACAUGCCCGUGUCUCUACUCGUGUGAAUGGAAAUAGGUCAUUAUUAAACAAAAUACCUAUACUUGCCAUUAUAUCCAAAAUCCAAUCAUUCAAACAUACCGAUAUAACCAAUAGAUAGUGUGAUAUAUCUCUGACAAACUUCCAACCCAAUCGAGCUUCCGAUAAUCUGUAGGGUAAAUAAAAACAAUACGUAAGCAAUGAAUGCUUAGUAAGCUCGUGUAGUCUUUAAUCAUAUUAGUUCAUUUAAAAAAAGUGAAAUCUAUACAUAUCAAGAAUAAUCCAGUAUUAAUACCACAAUACUCAUGUAGCUAUAUUCAACAACUCACAAGGUGAAUAAAUCCACAGUAUCACUUACAUAUUAUCCCAAGCUUAGUAGAAUUUUAUAUAACUUUAACUCUUCAUAAUUUCUUUAUUUUCAUUUGCAUUUAUUUACUUUCCACGCUUAUUCCAUAUAUAUGACACACAAGUCAUAAACAUAUCAUGGUUAUAAGCUAGUGCAUUUAACCAAAGCCUUUUUCGAAUUGAUCACAUGAUAAGGCAUUUCAUAAGAAAUUGCAUAAUUUAAACCUUACCAUUUUUUCAUGAGCACUAGUAUAUUUUCACUUAAAUACUUACCAAUUCAAUGCAUUAUACAAAUAAUCAUUCAACCAAUAGCUUGGCACUUGCCUAAGCAUCAAGCAACAACACUGGUUAGCGUACUUGCAUACAUUACAUAUAAACUCAUCAUACAUAAAUUUUCUUGUAUCAACAUAUUAAAGAUAAUCAUACAUUUACAUGUCAUGAUAUAUAUUAUUCUCUUGUCAUUUCUUCAUUGGCAUAGAUCAUUCAUUUCAUUAUUUCAAUAAUUCAUGUACCAUCACUUUUAUGAAUUUCGCGUACAUACCAGUAAUAGUUAAUUUCAAACUCAUGUUAUCUCACUUCAGAAAUUUGGCCGUUUUAUCAUUUAAAUAUCAAUGGUUACAUUUAUUUCAGAUCAAUACCAAUAAUAAUCUAUAAAUCUUUCAAUUCAAUCACAUAAGUCUUUUACCGUUUCUUUCUGAAUCGAAGAACGACUUACGGAUAUGAGUACAUCGUUCUUAGGUGUCAUAGUCCAACUAUGGUCUUGCACAUAUAAACACUGCCAUGGUCCGACCAUGGUCUUACGUUCAUAGUGCCAUAACCCAGUUAUGGUCUUAUCCGACAAUUCAUCCUUUGCCACAGAAUGAUUUUACUCAAUCCCGCGUUCAAUCCAAAUUGAGUAUUAAAUUCGAUAAUAUAUUUCCAAUAAUAAUUCAUUUAUCAAUAUUUAUAAUUCAAUUUGGCUUUCAUUUGUUAACAUCAUAUACUAUUACAUUGAGCCUUUAUUUAUCUCAUGCACAAUUAGUUCAUGCUUUCUAUUCAUAUUUUCAUAUUCAAUUCACAUUUUCAAAUUAUGUUCCACAAUCAUGUUUCCCUUCAAUGGCUCAACUGUUUCAUUUUGUUUGAUUUAACUUUUCAUUUAAUUACCCCUAUUAACAGACUCGGGCUUUGGCAGAUACGUGGAUUCUAACCAAACACACCAAUACGGCACAUUGUGCCUAAAACGGUACAUAGUACCUGAUUAGUAUAUGACAUAUAAGUACCUGAUACGACACACGAGGUGCCUGAAAUACGACACGCGAGGUGCCUGAAAUACGACAUGCGAGGUGCUUGAAAUACGACACACGAGGUGCCUGAUAUGACACAUAAAGUGCCUGGUGUACGACACAUAAAGUGCCUAGUGUACGACACAUAAAGUGCCUGAUGUACGACACAUAAAGUGCCUGAUCGGCAAAGCCGAUAAAUUCCCGUUCUCUUCCAAUCUUAUGGCAUGCCAACUAUAUCCGACUCAGCCCGACUAGUUAAUAGGGUUUUCAAUUCUCAAUUCAAUUUCACAUUCAUUCCAAAAGUUACUUUCAAUAUCAAAUUCACCUUUUCAUUCACGAAUCAAAUUUCAAUUCAAUACUAACACAUAUUUCUUAUUCCAUUCAAUUUUCUAAAUUCAGUUGAAUACUAACACAUAUACAUAUAUAUUAUUCAUCAUCAAAUGACAUUCGCUUUAAUCAAAAUUGUACAGAAUAUAGUUCAUACGAACUUACCAAGUUAAUUUGCAGAAAUACCAAGAUAUAAGAGCAUUAUGGUAAUUUUCCAUUUCCCUCGAUUUUCUACCCGAUCUUGAUCUAAGUUAAUAUUUCAUUCAAUUUAUUAAUUUAAAUAAUAAAAUAAUUCAUUUCAUGCAAUUUUUCAUUUUUGACAUUUUUACAAAAUUACCCUAAAAAUUUACUUUUAUUCAAUUUAGUCCCUGAACCUAUAACAUGUAAAUUAGCUAUUUUAAGAUAAACUCAUAUUAGCUGAAUAUUUACAUAUAUUUUUCCUCCUCCUCCACUCCAUUCUACAUCCUUGAUAUAUAUAAUACCAUUAUUUACUUGUUUACUCAUAACAAUCUGUUCACUUGAGUCAUAGUCACUAAAUUAAUUAUAUUUUAAGCUACAGAACUUCGAAUUGAGAUCUUUAAAUUUUCUCUGAAACUAGACUCACAUAUAUUAUUACCAUAAAAUGUUCAGAAUUUUUUAUUCAGCCAAUAAGUACAUUUUAUUCUUUAAAGUCACCUCUGUUCUACUGUCUGACAGUUCCGACCCUUCUUCACUAAAAAUUAAUUAUCUCCUUGUACGGGAUUCAAAUGAUGUUACCAUUUAUUUCUAUUGAAAAUAGACUCAUUAAGGAUUUAAAAAUAUAAAUUUAAGCCCAUAAUUAUUUUUCUCCAAUUUUUGAUGAUUUUCCAAAGUCAUAACAGGGGAACCCAAAUUCAUUCUGACCUUGUCUCACAAAACUUAUUAUAUCUCAUGAUUUAUAAUUCCAUUACUUGCAUAGUUUCUUCUAUAAGAAACUAGACUAAAUAAGAUUUAAUUCCAUAUUUUUUCUCAUCCUCUAAUUCAAUUUCCACGAUUUAUGGUGAUUUUUCAAAAUUAACCUACUGCUGUUGUUCAAAACUGUUUUAGUGCAAGAUGUUGAUUACUAAGUUUAUAACUCCCUUAUUCCAUUUCUCUAUAAUAUUUCCCAUCACUUCCACUUAUUUCCCUUCACUAAUAUAUCAAGAACAUAAGACCUUAUAUAAGAAAACUCUACUAUAACAUCAUUUCCAUACUUUUUCAAUAAUAUCAAACUUAAAAAUAUAUUGAAAUCUUAAUGUUCUUACCUUGUCCUAUUGGUUUCAACAUUUAACUUGAUUUUCUCUCUCCUCCAGCUUCUAUUUCUUGAAUCUAACUUGAUAUUUUAGCUCCCCGUAGUCUCCUUGUUAUUUUUCUCUCUUGAGGGAUAUGAAAAUACUUUUGAUUUCUAGGUGAAAAUGAUAAAUUUUUGGUAGAAGGACCAAAUUGUAAAGAAAAUAAAACUUUCUUUCUUCUCUUCCCUUCUAACGUGAAAUGCAUGGAAAGAUGGUGGGAUGGUGGCUUUUUAUCUUUCUUCCCACACACAUAUAUAUACACUAAAUAAAUUAAUAAUAAAAUAAUAAAAUAUCAUUUAAAAAUCAAAUUAACAUAUUAAUAAACUAAUAUUUAUUUAAUUAAUUAAUCUAAAAUAUCACCAACAUCAUCAUUGCCUUCUAGAUUUCUCUCUCUUCUAAUUGAACAUUUUUCCUUUUAUAAUCUUUUAAAAUUUCAUCCUUGAGUCAUCACUUAAUUUGGUAAAAUUGUAAUUUAGUCCCUUAAAAUUCUUCACCUUUUCAAUUUGGUCCUAAUUCAUCCAUUUUCCUUAGUUUCUAGAUUAUUCCACCCUUAAAAUAUUUGCACUAUUGAUCCUUCAGCUUUUUCAUAUUUACACUUUACCCGCUCAAAUUUUGAGUAUUUACAAUCAACAAAACUUUUCUCACUUUUGCGAUUUAAUCCUUUCUUGAAUUAAUAUGUCAUAAUAUACUUCCCAAUGUUGCCAUAACUCAAAAUUUCCCUUUUUGUCACUUUAUUUCCUUAUCUUACUAUAGCAAGGAUACCUACUUUCUUACUGUAGUAAUUUUCGGGGUAUUACACAAAUUAUUUUUUUAAUAAUAAUACUGACUAAAAUGUUAAAUUUUUAAACAUUGCAGCCCAUAUAUCCACAUGUACUCGACAAAUAGUUUCAUGUCAACAUCAAGUAUAUGUAGACUGCCACACAAGUUGCCAUUCCAAUAUCGUUAAAAAAAUUAACGUUUUAGUUAGCAUUUUCGCUAAAAAAUGUAAUUUGACUCUUUUGAAAAGUUAAUAGUCAAAUUUAACUCAAAAAAAUGAAAAUAUGUCAAAUUGAUAAAAAAAUGUAAACCUUAAGUGCUAAAUUUGACAUUAUUUGUUUGCUUUUCAAGGUUAAUAUGUAGUUUAUCUCCUAACUUGUCCAAAAGUAUGUAGGUGAUAUUUGAACUUUCUUUGGACCUAGUUGGUACUUGAAUUAAUACUAUUAGUUUUUGUUGACAUGGUAUUAAUAGCCAAUCUAGUGGUGUCACAUGACAGCCUCUCAAUAUGCCAUGUGGUGGACAUAAAUUUAAAAAAAAACUAAAAAUGUUUACAAAUAUAUAAAUUAAUAAAAAAGUAUAAUUUUUUUACAUCAAGAACGAACUUGUACAAAUAGUUGUGUAGAUACAUCUAGAUGUAUUAUUUAGUUUGUAUAUUUUUAAUUUUUUUGUAAAAUAUUAGUUUUUAGGUUAUUAUUAUUUUUAAAAAAUAAAAAAAAUAUAUAUUUAAAAUAUAAAAAAGCAUAUAAUAUUUUUAAAAUAUAAAUUUUUUUGUAAUAUAUAAUAAAUGAACUAAUUAAAAAAUAGAAUUUAUAAAAAUAUAUAAAUACAUAAAAGAACUAAAAAACACAUCCCGAUGAAUUUGGAUAAAUGAUUGUCUAAAUGCACUUGAAUCAAUAAAUUCAUUUUUGAUGUAAAAACCUUUUUUAUAUUAAUUUAUAUAAUUUAAAAUUUCAAAAUACUAAUAAUAUAAAUAACAUGAUAUUUUAUAAAAAAUAAAAAAAUACUUAUUAAAAAUACAUAUAGAAUGAAUCUAAAUAAAUAAAUAGGUGUCCAAAUUCAACUGUAUCUAGAUAAUAUUUUUUAUCUUCUUUUUUUAAAUUUAUGUCUACCAAGUGACUCACAUGUCUCCGUCAAAUUACCUUCAAUGUCACAUCAGUAAAAGGAAUACAAAUUCAUAUCAACUAAAUUCAAAAAACAAUUCAAGAUAAGUUCAGAGAUCAAUUCUACAAGCUAUAACCACAAAUAAAUAGCACAUCAUUCGAGGAAAAAACUUGGAGACAGGGUAAAAGAGAGUCAAUUAUCCUGUUGAUUCUCACCAAUGCAUCAAAUUUUGGUUUGUAUUGAGGAGUGACGGUGUCAACGAACUUGGGGAUCUCUACACCUGCAAUGGAAGAGUAACAUUUGUAACGGCGAAUCCCUCAAAACUCCAUCCAAACCUUAUAACAAGCAUGAUAAAUAUGAUUACUUCAACUGCUAGAAAUUGCAGACAAGUGAGAAUUGAGUAGCUAGAUGUCUAUAUUUUCUUCAUUCUACUUCGAACAUAAGUAUAGGAGUAUCUCAAGUUUUGGUGUCCAGAAGAAUCUGAUCACAUAAUAGCAUUAUUGAAAUGAAACAUCUACGGCAUUAAUCUGAAAUUGUUAAAUGCUAAUAGCAUUCAACAAGUGAAUUGCACAUAAAUAAGAAUUGUAUUUGCAAACAAAAUAGCAGCCAAUUUAAACAAUGUCCUCAUUGGCAAUUGAUUUCCAUUUAACUUUCAGUGAAGUAUGGGGCAUGGAACUGGUCUAGGAAAGAUCAAGGAGAUCUGGAGCUAGAAAAUGAUUGAUAACUGUGUUACGCAAACUCGAGUGCAAGUGUCAGAUCAGGCUAAAUGUCCAAAAUGGGUAUGUUCAACUUUUUUCCAAGAAUUUGUAGGCUUGAAGGGUCAUAUCCCCAUAUCUAUGGUCCAGAUAUAGGUCAGGCAUUGAUAUUUCCGUAAAAAAGAGUCAGAGAAAUAUAAAGCAAUAGCAAUAAAAUCCAUACUUUAAUAAUACCCCUUCCAAAACCCCAAAAUUUGAGUGUGAAGAAAGGAAAGAGCUAGCUACUUAAGGUGACCAUAUUAGCAUCCAACUAAGUAAUAGUUCCCUUGUACCAUAGAGAUGAUCUUCAAAGUAACAAAUUCAGGAACACAAACAAUUUAUGAUUUUACAGACCUGCAACUGAUCUAAGCAUAACCAUAUAUAGGAUGACUGGAAAAUUGGAUAGAGAGUAAGCCAAAUAUGAUAACUAUCAAAUUAACUUAUUCUCAUAUGCCUCUUUGUACAUAUCUACCAGGCGAGAGCCAAUUCCUUUUCUAUAGUACUCCCAGUCAAUGGGUUCAGGUUCCUGCUUAAGAAAUCGGAUUAUUAACAAGAUAGGACUGAAACCUUGAACAAAACUAAAAUUUCCUUAAAAAUGAAAAAAAAUGUUCCAAAAUCAAACCUUGAAUAAAAAAAUUCAACCUUAUUGAAAAUUUAUUUCAAUAUAAAAUAUUAAAAUCAUCAUUAAAAAACUAAAACCCUAAGAUCUAAUCAACGGAUUAACCCAACAAAUCUAUGAAAAAAAUCAAUAAAAAUGCUAAAAAGGAGCUAGGGAUUAGAGAGAAUAUAAGAAAAAGACCUGGCUGAAUUUGGUUUGUAAAGUAGAGUUAACUUCAUCAAAAGUGCGACGAAGAGUGGCGAACUCUUUGCGAGCCUCAUCGGAGACCAAAAGCUUAGCCAUCCCUUCCCAAUCAAUGUUCUUUGAUGCUUUGAACGCGACAUCGACGACUUUCUUCCCCGGUCCGCUCAUUUUUCUCGCACUUUCUCGCUUCCCAAACGCUAAAAUUUCAGGAUUUUGUCUUCAUGAUGAAGGAUAAAAUUGGAACUUGAGACAGUUAAUGGGCCGGUUUGAACUACUUAAAUUGAGCUUGACCCAAUUCGAUGAUAGACCGGACUUUGGUCCGAAGGGUGGCUUGUUUUAGGUCCAAUUAUAAUUUUGGACCCACAAAGACUUUUGGGCCCAAGAUUUUUAUAUUUAGCAUUUUAAUUGCCCUGUAUUAAAUUGAAGGUGGAAGAGUGGUAUGGGGUUUUAUGGGUGAUUUGAAUUGGAAUUGUCCUGAAGUCUUUUAUUUGGUGCAAAGAUGUAUUCCCAUGUCAACUGCAUUACUUAUUUCUAAAAUAUAUUUACAUUUCCACUAGAAAGGAUAUUGUAAACAAGUAUUCCAUGUACGCAAAACAUUAAGCCUCUAAAUCAUACAUUAAACCUGAUGUGAGAGCUUAAAGAAAAAUAUAAAUUAUAAAAAUCUUUUAGUUAAAGUUAUUUGGUAACAUUUUGUUUUUCUUUAAAACUUUCAUUUUAAAUUAUACCACAGAAAAUUUAAUAAUUGAAACACUUGGUUGAUAUAACAUUGAUAGGUUGAGAAAUAUAAUUAAAACACGAAUUUAAAAUAAGGUCGUAAAAGUCGUUUUCUUUCUUCACCUGCAUGAAGAAAGUCAUCCAUCUUCAUUUUUUUCAUAAGAAAAAAGGUAAAAUUGAGAAGAAAUAAAUUAAGGCCCGUCAGCUGGGUUGUCUGCAUAUUCAACUCUGUGUCUGAAUGCCUUCCAAUUUGUUUCAUCAUAGAUGCCUCAUUUCAUUAUCUUUAUUUACACUUACCUCUUCUCUUAUUUGUGUUCAUAUAAAUUUUAAUUUAGUGUGGAAGGUGUUGGAUUUAAUAAACACAAAAAAUAUAAUUUUAAUCUUUAUUCAAUGUAUGAAAUAUUUUAAAGUCAAAGUACUAUCACGUCUAAAAUAAUAUCAGUAAAAUCAAAUUUGAACCAAAAUUUAUAUAUAAUCUAUAAUAAAAACAUUUUUAAAAUAAUUUCAUUUAGAAAAACAUGGGAUGGAAUCAGAGUUGUUUGUAAAAAUUAUAUACUCAUAAUUAUGAACUAUAUUAUAUUAAAACAUAAGAAUAAGCUCUAGUACAAUAUUUCUUUUGAAACCCUAGUUACGUCGCAAUAAAUUUAUGAAACUUUGUUGAUGAAAUUUAUUUUUGGGUAUAUAUAUUAUCCACUUAUUAUAGCCAUGUCAUCAUCCCAUUUAAAUAGGAAUAUUUUUUGAACAAAUAUUUAAUUCAAUUAUAUUGUUUAUCUUUGUUUUUCUAGUAUUUAGAUAUGAUUAUAAAUAAAAUAUUUUUCAUUAUUUGACAAUAUUUCAAAAGUUGUUCUUUUAACAAUCAAAAUUUAUUUUAUAAUAACAUAAUAAGUUAUAGUAAUUAAUAUCAUAAACUUUUUUUUGCCCAAGUAUACCACACACACAUAUAUAUAAACUUAAUUUGAAUUACAUAUACUACAUAUAUGAGAGUUGAGCGCAUUAGAGUUGCAAGGGAUAAAUAAAACUAAGUAUGCUUUAAACAAAAACCCAUAUUUAUAAGAUUAAAAUAUUCUAUUUUAUACUAUAAAAUUUUUAUUGUUAAUUAUUUAUAAAUUGUAAUAUAUAUUCAUUAUUAAAAUAUCAAUAUAAAUAUUUUUCAAUAAUACAUUAAGAAUAUUAUUUAAAAUUUAAACUUAACAUUAAAAUAAAAUUGUGAUAUUAAAUAAUUUAUUAAAAUAACAAUGUUAUUAAACAUAAAUAAUUAAAUAUGAACGUUUAAUAAUAUUGAACAUUAUAAUAUUUAUUAUUAAAAGAAAUUCUUUAUAAACAACUAUUAUGACUUCUAGCCAAGAAUCAAAAGUUAAGGUGGAGUAUAAAAAAAAAGCUUUGACAAAUGGUAGAGGAUGGCAGUGACAAUAUCUCAACUGAAGAUCACAAUACCGUAAAAGUUCGGUUCAAAGGUUUGACAGUGGAUACGGGCAGUGACAUGGCUGGGGAUUUGUCUCCAGUGCUGAUGAUGUCAUGGAGGGAUAAAGUGAUGGGGAGGGGCUCCCCUAAUCCUGUCUGUGAUGAAGAUUUUAAGUUUUAGAAGGAGACAUAACUAGAUCUACUGUAAAUGGGUUACCUACGAUAGAAGAGAAUCAAACAACUUUUGGUAAGGUAUAUGGAGACCACAAUGGUGGUGAAACUACUAGGCCAAAAUUUAGCAUACAAUUCUCCCCAUAAUAGGAUCUUUAGCCUCUGAAAACCUGCGCACGCUUCCAUCUCAUGGAAUUCGAAAAUGGUUAUUUUCUGGUUAAAUUCCAGAGUAGGGAGGCCUAUGAAAUGGUGCUUACCCAGGGUCCGUGGAUUAUUUUUGGGUAGUACCUCAUGAUUCAACCAUGGACUCUAGACUUUAAUCCCCUCCAACCAUUUCUUAAAAUUGUCAUGACUUGGGUUUGGCUACCUAGAAUACCGGGUUUUCUUUAUAAGCGUCGAAUUUUGGAAGAAAUUGGUGGAUUGGUUGAUAAGGUAGCUAAACUCGACUUCAAGAUAGAUAGUGGAUCAAGGGGAAGAUUCGCCCGAAUGGCAGUGUUUAUCAACUUGGAGAAACUAUUGAUCUCGCAGAUUCUGGUUAAUGAUACGGUACAUAGGGUUGAGUAUGAGGUGUUAUCGGCAGUUUGUUUCGCUUGCGACAGGUAUGGUCACGUACAAGAUUUGUGCCCUUUUGUCGGUUCGAUGACGGACGGCGGUGGGAGCAAAGAUGAAACAACGAUUAAUAUACCUGAGAAAUAGAAGAUAGAGGAGCCAGCGGAGUCGUUUGGACCAUGGAUGCUCAUCGAGAGGAAAUCUUAGCGUAACCCGAGGGCGAAUCUAAGCAGUAAUGUGAUGAAUCCAACUAUAAAGGGGGGUAGGUUCCAUAUUUAACGCUCAUUCCUCUUUAGGGGAAGAAAAGGCUGAAAAUGAAGUGGUGGCUGCUGAAUGCUGAUUUAUUGAGAGUUAAAUUUAAAAAAUGAGAGUUUUUGAAGAAGAAGGAAUGUGUUAACGUACAUGGGCUGAAUAGGGAUGAGCUCUCGGUUGGUAAAGGAACUUCUAGGGAGUGGUCCAGUUUGGGUUCUGGGGCCCCAUUAAAAAAUCAUUAACUCCUUACUUGCUGGGGCUGCUAAACAGAUUUAAAGUGGCAUGUUGUGGGUCGGGUCCCUUUGAUUAGUAUUCUGGAAUCACAAGGGAAUGGUGCAGUGUCAAUAGCUCCUUCAAACCUGAUAACCAAGCAGUGAACUAUCAAGCUGUUAAGCUAAGGAAACAAGAAGAAUGCAUUGAAAUAUUAUUGAAGAAAAAAACCCCAUUCUACAACGUUUACAGAGACAAUUAUUUAUAAUACUGUAGGAGAGGUGGUAAAACAGACGGUAAAUGGUAAUAACAGUGUACUAUGGAUGCUAACAACCUGGGAAUAUUUUAGCCACGUAGUGUAACUGAAUUUGGAUUUGAAAAUCAUUUGUUUGUUUCUAAUUCUUCCUCUAUCAUUCACCCUGCUUCUUUUCCUUCCUUCUUUGCAAAAGUGGCAGCUGUAGUUGAAGGAAGCACACGUAGUUUCGAGCGUUGACUGCAGAAGGCAGAUAGCAGCAGAGGUUUUGUAAGUGCAUCUGCUAUUUGACGAUUUGCUGGCACAUAGUUGACUUGGAAUUUGCCUACCAUAACUUUUUCUCUUACAAAAUGAAGGUCCAGAUCCACAUGUUUUGUUUUGGAAUGAAGAACCGGAUUUGCAGCCAUAGCAACAGUGCUAGUGUUGUCACACCAGAUUUUUGACACAUUGGCUGUAUGCACAUCAAGAUCAGCCAGAAUUGCUUGGACCCACAUGAGUUCAGAAGCAGCAUCAGCGAGGGAUCUAUAUUCUGCUUCUGCAGUUGACCUGGAGACUGCCCUUUGCUUCUUGGAACUCCAGGAGAUGAUAUUUGCGCCUAAAAAGAGGCAAUAGCCUGAGGUAGAUCGUCUGUCAUCUGCAUCGCUUCCCCAGUCUGCACCUGAGUACAUGGUGAGAUUCAUGGAUUUGUCUACUGUAAACCACAGUCCAUAGUCAAGAGUACCUCGCAAGUAUCUUAAGAUUCUUUUAACUGCGGUCCAGUGGGUGUCUCUGGGUUGUUGCAUGUACUGAGCGACCUUGUUGACACUGAAAUUAAUAUCAGGACGAGUGUGACAUAUAUACUGUAGUGCACCAAUCACACUCCUGUAGAGAGUUGGAUCAGAAAAAAGAUUUCCUUCAGCUUUGGAGAGUUUGGGAUAUGCUGCCAUUGGAGUACUUGCAGUGUUAGCUUCAUGCAUACCAGCCCUGCCAAGAACAUCCAGAAUGUAUUUCUUCUGAUUAAGAAGAAGACCUGUGGUGGACCUGUGAACUUCUAUACCAAGGAAGAGUUUUAACUCUCCGAGAUCCUUAAGAGAGAACUUUGCAUGAAGUUGAGAGACCACAAAGUCUAUGAAGGCAGGUGAACCUCCUGUAAUGAGAAUAUCAUCCACAUAGACAAUGAGUAAGGUUGUAACACCAGCAUGUUUGUGCAAAAAUAAGGAUGAGUCUGCCUUUGACGAGGUGAACUGAAUAGAGGUCAGAAAUUGUUUGAGUUUAUAGAACCAGUUUCUUGGUGCCUGCCUUAACCCAUACAAGGCCUUGUUAAGUUUGCAUACUAAGGUUGUUCCAUUUGCUGCCAGUUUUUCAAAGCCAGGUGGCUGAGACAUAUACACAUCUUCAUGAAGUUCCCCCUUUAAAAAAGCAUUAUUUAUGUCUACUUGUCGAAGAGGCCACGAAUUGGAGACAGCAAGAGAUAUGAAGAUGUUAAUGGUAGGGGUCUUGACAACUGGACUAUAAGUUUCCAGAAAAUCAAAUCCUGGAACUUGAGAGUAGCCUUUAGCUACAAGGCAAGCUUUGUAUCUGGAAAUUGAGCCAUCAGGGUGUCUCUUGGUUUUGAAUAGCCAUUUGCAUCCAAUAGCUUUCCUAUUGCUUGGUAGAUGAACAAGAGACCAUGUGUCAUUGUGAAGUAGAGCAUUAUAUUCAGCUAAAACUGCUUUUUUCCAGUGAGGAGUAUUCAUGGCAGCAUAAAUAUCAGAUGGUUCUUGAUCACAACUAGCAACUGUAAGGAUUCUAGGUUUGAAGAUACCUGACUUGCUUCGGGUGGUCAUGCCGUGAGUAUUAAGGUUAGUUGGUGUAGGAUGAGCAGUAGUAGUAAUGGUAGGCUGCUCAGAGGGAUAAAUAGUAGGCGGAGUGGGAGAGGGCAGAGGGACAGUUGCGGGUUGAGUGGGCUGCCUGUGAUCGAGUGAUGUAGGAGGUACAGGUGGCUUAAAGGACCCAAAAAUAGGUAAUGCAGGAGAUAGAUAUGUGUCAGUUGUGGGUUGAGUAGUAGAUGCUGGGGCAGCAGAGAAAGGAAAGACAUGUUCAUUGAACUUGACAUGUCUGCUGAUGUAGAUUCUGCCAGAUGGAGAGAGGCAUCUAUAACCAAGAUGGUUUGGGCUGUAGCCAAUGAAGGUACAUGGCUCAGUUCUGAAACUCAGCUUAUGAUUGUGAUAAGGCCGCAAAUAUGGAAAGCAUUGGUAGCCAAAGACUUUGAGGAAAUCAUAGUCCGGAGAUGUAGAGUAAAGUGUAGAGUGUGGAGUAUCCCCUUGAAGAACUUUGGUGGGAAGUCUGUUAAUCAGAUAUACGGCAGUCUGGAAGGCUUCUGGCCAAAACUUUAUAGGCAUGGAGGCUUGAGCAAGUAAGGUAAGUCCAAGGUCUACUAUGUGCCUGUGUUUCCUUUCAACUAUUCCAUUCUGCUGAGAAGUAUGUGGACAGGUGAUUCGAUGUUGUAUGCCAUGUUGAGCAAGGAGUUGGAGGAAGGGUCUAAACUCCCCACCCCAAUCAGUUUGUACAGUAAGAAGGUUGGUGUUAAGUUGUUUUUCAGCAAGUGUCUUAAACAACUGGAAUGCAGUAAGAGCUUCAUCUUUAGAUUUCAACAAGUAUAGCCAACAAUUUCUGCUGUAUGCAUCUAUACAGGACAUAUAAUAAAGAAAGCCAUUAGACUGAACAGGUGCUGGGCCCCACAGAUCAAUUUCAACAAGUUCUAAUGGUUUGGUAUAAACAGUGGUAGAUGGUUGAAAUGGAAGCCUAUGAUUUUUACCCAGCUGACAAGCAACACAAAGUAAGUUUUUCUUUAGUCUAGGUACUGGUUUAUUACAAACUCGCAUAGCAGUAGCAAGUGAUUCAGGUGCAGGGUGUCUUAGUCUACGGUGCCAUAGCCAGUAAGUGGUAUCGUGAUCAGCAACUUCGGACUGAAAGGUCGCAGCAGAGACUGGGAACACCUUUGAAGUUGGUUCAAGAAAUUUGUACAGGCCAUCUUGCUCAAUGCCAUGGAGUAAAGUGGCUCCUGUGUGCUCAUCCUUAACAACACAGUGAGCAGAAUGAAAUUCAAAGAAAAUAUCAUUAUCACGGCAGAGCUUAGACACAGAGACUAGGUUCUUAGUAAUAUGAGGAACAUGCAGUAAUUGAUCAAGUAAUAAUACUUUGGAGGCAGUGUGCACUGAGUUCUUUCCCACACAAGUAAUAGGUAAUGUAUUCCCAUUGGCAACAGAAACCUUACCCGAGCCAGGAGAGGAAUUCCCAAGAGAAAGAUUGGAGAGGUCAUUUGUUAUGUGAUGCGUUGCGCCUGAAUCGGGGUACCAAGCCUGAGAGGAGAGAUUCAAGGUGGGGGCUGUAAUAGUGUUGGCUUGAGCAGGUAAAGAAGUCUGCGACAUACCGGAGGGCUGAACAGCAGCCGUAACAGACGACCCAGAGUGAGCAUAAGGAGUGUACCCUUCGGAGGAGUACAUAUUGCCGUCGCUAUCAUAGAGAAUGGUGUAGUUGGCAGAUGGGAUUCGGAGGAGAGGACGAUUCGGUCGAGGUUGGUACGAGGGUGAGUCAUUAUAUCGAUCCCAGCAACGAUCGGCCAAGUGACCUCUUUUCCUACACAAUUGACACUGUGGCCGAUUGUUAGGGUUGGAAUAACCACCGCGACGGCCGCGAGUUGAAGAGGACGGGUUAGAUGGGCGAGGAGGAGCCGGGGAGAAAGUAGUCGAGGAAUAGGAUUGUUGAUUGGGAAAGGUUGGGUUUGGUGAAUAAUGGGCUGAGUGUGAGGAGAUAGGUGAUGUAAUAUGGGCUGUAGUGGAUUGAGGGUAGAUUUGAGCUUGGGAAUUGAAAAGUGAGGCUGAGAUAACUGGGUCGGUGUGGGUGAUAGGGUUUGGGGAAGAAAAAGGGUGAUACUGAGUUGUGUUGAUGGAGAUAGGGAAUCGAAUGGGAUCUCUAAGGCGAGUAUCAGCGUCGGUGAGAACGAAAAUAACACUAUCAAGAGUGUACGGUUGCUGGCUGGCAGUGAUGACGGUAAUAAAAGAAUCAAAUUCUGUGGGUAGGCCGUUCAAGAUGGUGGCGAUGUGCUCAAGUUCGGAGACUGGGUUGCCACACGCCGCAAGAGUGUCGGUAAUAUCUUUUAUCUGGGCAAGGUAUUGGGCCAUUGAAAGGUGAUUCUUUUUCAUAGCACGGAGUUUGCAGUGCAAGUGCAUCAUCUUGGUGGUGGAGAGCUUGGAGAAUAACCGGAGGAGACAGUCCCAAAUGGCACAGGCUGUGUCUGCCCCGACAAGACGAGGGAGAACAUCAGGGCCGACGUUGGACAGAAGCCAAGAAGCGAGGCCAGAGUCCUGCUGAAGGUAGUGUUUAUAUGCGGGGUUACGAGUUUGUUCACCAGAGGCAAGGGUUAAAAACUUUGGUGGAGGAGGAAUGGUACUGUCAAGAAAAUCCUCCAAGUCAUGACUGCGAAGGGUUAAAAGAACUUGUUGCUUCCAUAAAAGGAAGUUGGAGUCAUCGAGGCGGAUGUUAAUCCGUUUGUUGGAGAAGGGUUGAGGUGGGUUGGCUGGGCGAGGGGUGGGAGCGAGGAUAGAGUCCUCAUUGUCGGAGUCAGACAUAGUGCGAAGGGUAAAAGAGGACCGGAGGUGCUGCUGGCAGUGGCUCUGAUACCAUGAUAACCAAGCAGUGAAUUAUCAAGCUGUUAAGCUAAGGAAACAAGAAGAAUGCAUUGAAAUAUUAUUGAAGAAAAAAACCCCAUUCUACAACGUUUACAGAGACAAUUAUUUAUAAUACUGUAGGAGAGGUGGUAAAACAGACGGUAAAUGGUAAUAACAGUGUACUAUGGAUGUUAACAACCUGGGAAUAUUUUAGCCACGUAGUGUAACUGAAUUUGGAUUUGAAAAUCAUUUAUUUGUUUCUAAUUCUUCCUCUAUCAAAACCCCAUUGACUUAAAUAAUCCAAUCAUUCUUUUAGAGGAUAAAAAGUCAGUGAUUCCAUCAGUUAUUAAUUCUCAUUUUAAUCCCACCUUUGAAGGUACGGUGGAAACAAUGGUAGAAUUAAAUUUAAGUGUGCUUGAUCCUAAGAGGCACUCGACUGUAUCUUUUAAAGAGAAUUUUAUUCCUAUUUCUUCCAAUUCCUCGGUUAAUGUUGAAUCGAUUGGGAUUGGUAAAGGUAAUUCGAUAGCUAAACGGAGAGGCUCUGGGGGGAAAUGUGGUGUCUCCCGUAGUGGUAAUGUUACAACCUGUUUUCUAGUGAUGCCAGAAACAGUGGUUUCAGGAUUAUAAAUCCGACGAGUGAGUUUGUAGAUAUUAUUAUUUAAUAUUUACGAGUCAAAUAUAGUAUUAUAUAGAACUUUGAUCUAAUAAUUGUUGCUAUUUGAACGAAUAGUUAAGUAUAAGUGGGUUGUCCCUAAAGUCAAGUGGUUUUAGAAAAUAAGGUAUCAAGACCUCAUUUCUAUAAACCGAGCUCGUAAAUAUUCUUAUUAAAUAUUUACAGAGUUACUAUAUAGGUAUAUUGAAGUUUGGUCAAGAAAUUUUAGUGAUUUGAUAGUUAAUUAAAGAAAAAGGACUAAAUCGUAAAAACUGCAAAAGUCAAUCGCUAUUAGUGUUUAAGUGCUAAUUGAGUAUUGUAACGCUGGGGUUUGUGCAAGUGUACGUAUUCAUUAUCAAGUAAUAAGUAAGUAUCGAGUUAUCGUCUCCACAAGGAUUGUAUUUGUGCUAAGUCAAGUAAUUUGUAAAAUUAUAUUAACAAUUUGGUAAAUAAAAACAUAAAAUAAUUGAGAAGUGGUGAUUAAAAUAUAUUAAACUAAAUGCAAUGAUCCCUAAUGCAAAUUAUCCUAAGUAUGCAAACUAUAUGAAUGAAAUAGAUUUUAGUGAAAUUAAACACAAUUUGCAACAAUUAUAACAUAAAUAAACUAGGACAAUUACUUUAAUUAAACUCAAUUUAUUAGCAACAUGCUUAAUAACAUUCGGAAUAACAUUCCAUGGAAACUCGAUCUUUCAUGAGUUUGGAAACCACAUUAGGUCCUUCCGAAAUCCUUUACUUAGUAAAUACACAUUUUACUGAUCGUUAUUUACUAAGGGUUUCUUAGCAUUCGUGUGAGGUAACAGGGACGUGUUAGGUUUGAAGCAAUUUAAUCACACAAAUCUAAAAACUAUGCAUAUAACAGAGCCUGGUUAGAGUUGUUAUGCAACCUACAAUUCAAUCGGGUUAGGAUCUAAAUUGAGCAUGCACAUUACAAUUAUGCGUCCAUUAGCCGUCGUCUAGUUAGAAUCGCUCAGCUAAUUCAGGUCCAUUUCAAUCAUGUAUGAACGAAAUACAAACUUGAUUUUAAUUGAAAACAUGAUCGAUUGAGGCACAAACAUUAUAAGCAUGAAUCAAAUAAAUAUUAUUUAAUCAAAAUAAUCAUCCUAGCUUAAAUAAAUUUAAGCUAUCAUUGUUGUAAACAAGAACAAAGAACACAUAGCAAACAUUUUUAAAUUAAAUUUAAAGAAAAGAAAGAUUAAGCCCAAUUCAGAGUGGUUGUCACCCAAUACUCUGACUGACGAGGCUUCUUCGCUUCUUUGCGUUACUCAUUUGUUGAUGGCUCUCCAAGGUGGCCGACUAAGGGUUCUUUAAGAGGCUUAAUUGCUAAAAUCCUUAUGCAAGGAUGAUGAAGGGGAAAGAUAGCUAAAAGAGUUGAGAGAAUGAUGAAUGAGUGAGAGAUGAUAGGAUGAGGGAUGAUUGAAAAAGUGAGAAAUAAGCUUUUAUUUAUAGGAGGCAAGGGAGCUAGUUUGCUAAAAAUAGGAGUGUCCAUCCUUUGAAAUUUCCUCCAAGAGUGGUCGGCCAUGAAUUGAGGAAAGGUGGCUGAUUUUUCCUUUAUUUUUGGUCAAUUUGAGUGCCACAACAACUCAGGACUAAGACUCGGUCAUCAACAAAUCUUCGGGAAAAUCUCCGAUUUCUUUAACUCUUUUAGGACUUUGUAUAAUUAAACCAAAAAAUGGUUUAUGACAUCCAUGUGCAGCCAAAAAUUGGGUUGACUUGGUCCCCAAUUUAGAUGGUUUUGCAAUUAGAAGAAAACUCUCAAACCUGUCCAAAAAUAGUAGAUAGUUUAGAGGACCAAAUAAUAUAAUUUAACCACUUUAAUUAAUCAAUUUACUUAAUUAAUUAAAACCCAAUUUAUUAAUGAAAUAUUAAAAAUGAAUUAUUAAAUAUAAUUUUAUAUUUUAUUAUUUAAUUUAAUCAUGCAUGACCCACUUUAUAGCUUAAAAAUAUAAUAUGCUCAAAUUAAUAUAAAAUAAGCCAUUUUAUGCAUGAAAACUAUAUAAUAAAGUAUAAAAUCACAUUUUUAUAAUUUCUAUGUCCUAAUUUUAUAUUUUCACAUAUUUCAUUAAUUUAUUAAACAAUUACUUGGUUUUAACAACACAUUUAAGUAAAAAGGUGAUGAAUUAUAUAGGAAAAAUCCUAUAAGGUCUUGCUAAGGCAAAUUUUGCUAAGAGUGUAAGUAGCAUCAAUCUUCGUCUCAUAAUCAUGCAUCAAUAAGUUCAUGCUCAUAGACCUUCUUUAUUAACAAGUAACUCAUAUACAAACAUUUUAAAAAUUUUAUUCGAAGUUUCAAGAUAUGUCAACAUGAAUCAUAGUUUGCAUGUAUGUCACAGCCAUAGAUAAUAUUCUUCAUUCAACACAAUUUCUCAUCAAUCAAGCAAAACAAUCAUAAGGCUUAUUUAUGAUCUUCAUAUGUUGAACUUAGUACUUCCUCUCCACUAAUGUAGGUGACAUAAUCAUCAAAUCAAUAGGUCUUUUAUAAGGUUGUUAUGGGGCUUGGUUAAAGGUAGGGAUUUUAAGAGAUAAGACAUUUCUGUUUCAAAAUCUUAACCUUUAACUUGUCUUGUAUUUUUAGAAACUCAACCUUUUUCUUUAAGUGAACCUUUGGAACACCCCCAAACUUAUUUUGAACUCAAGCUCAUACAAAUUUUCCUUUUUCGAGACUGAGCGAACUUUUCUUCACUCUUUUUUGUCUUUGUUGUUGUUGUUUUUUUUAAGCAUGAGCACAUACAUCUUUAUGAAAAUUUCCUAAAAUGUUGAUUCCCAACACAAAUUUAGUUAAGACGGUGCACAAAAUUAUGAUAGCUUCAAAAAAUAGAGAUAUGGCUUGUAAUGUAGGUUUAUUACAAUGAACAGGCCUUUAAGCUCAAAAUUAUUGUUUCAAGGGUCUAAUAUCAUAAGGUGGGCUUGAAAAGGCUCAAACGAUCCAAAGAAAAAUGGUGCCUAUAUCAUUUUAGAUUUUUAUGUCUCCUAGAAUUUCGCCUCAAGAAAGUUACUAAGUCAAUUCUAAAGAUAUAAACCUUCAUGCAUGUAUAAUCUCAAGAGAAACUAAGUUUUCAUGGCAAACAUUACCUAAGACUAAGAUCAUAAAAACAUUCCAUUUUUCAUGAUAACAUACAAUCACUCAGAUAAAAUCAUCAUUCAUGCUUGCAUACAAGCUAUCUUAUUGAAAAGAAUUUCUUUAAACAUUCAUUUAUUAAAACAUACUUAUGAAAGAAAUGAUUUGAAACAUACUUGAAAAUUUUAAAAAUUUCGAGCAAUAAUUUACCUUACCCCCUUUAAAAAGAAGCAAUGUCCUCAUUGCAAGAACAAAGUAAUGAAUGAAAAAUGAACACCAGGUAGGGUUGUAAAGAAAAAGAGGCGAGUCAAUAAGACUAUCUUUCUUCAUAACCCAAUCCUAGACAUGUUCAUUCUCAUUGCCACAUCACUUAGUCUUUUUCUUUCUAAAGAAGUAUUUAUUCAUGCUUGAUAUGUUUUAUUUUGUAGAAAUUAAAUCCUAAUUAGUAAAAAAAUAUAUUCCUAAAGACCUAAAAAUAAUUAAAUAAAUAACAAGACAAGAAUCCCCCCUUUUAUUUUUCUGACUUAUUCCCUUUGUCUUCUUUAGCUCCAUCUUCGCUUGCAUCGUCAGUCUCUUCUGUAUAUGUCUCAAAGAUAGCAUCUGGGAACUCAGGAACAAAAGUAUUAGAGAUAUUCUUAAAAGUAUUUUGAAUUGAAUCAUCUCUACUUUUUUCAUAUUUCUAGUAAGUUUGUUACUAAUUGUGCAUGAACUUGCACAUAUCCAUCAAAAUUGACAACUCUGAUUUCCUUGAAGUACUUGUAGAAGUCAACAUGAGUUGUAUAUUUAGGUUCAACACUUAGCUUGACUGGUUCUUCUUCUAGCUCAACCCUAGGUUCAGGGUUUUCAGCUCCUUCAGCUGGUUGAGAACUAUUUGGUUCUGAUAGAGAGUUGCGCGCGGACCAAGAUCGAGUUGCCAAGUCACGAGAAACUCCUAUGAAAGCUCUAAAAAAAUCAGAUCUGAAUUCAAAACAAAGAACAAGAUUAAAAGCAAAUCAGAAUUGAAUUGAAAUUCCCCAAAUUCAAUUAAAAGAGCAGCAAGAAACAAAGAAAUAGAAAAAAACGAAUCAAACGGAAUUGAAAGUAUGGAAAGGAUGCGAUUCUGCCAAGUGAUUGAUUCGGCCAAGAAUGCCUAAUUUCCAACAAUCAAUUGAUCCCCAAAUUGAAAGAGAUCCAAUCGGCCAAACCCUAGGAAUUGGGGAUUUUUGAGAACGACUCUUUGCUGCCAAUGAAUGAUGAUUUAAUUCGAUUCUUUGAGUUGAAUAUGGCUGGAAAAACAAAAGAAGAACAACAAACAAAUGAGAUAAAGAAUCGACACAAGUAGGAAUAAAGAAAUAAAAACGAAACAGUAAGAAAUAAAGAAAAGUUUUAAGAACCCUUGAAUUCCCGAAAGAAUUCACAAAUUCCUUCAAACGGCUCUAAUCUCCCCUACAAAGAAUAUCGAUGGCAAGAAUAAGGUUGAAGAUGGCUUCCACAAUCAAAAGAUUGUUAAAACAACUUCUAAAGAAAACUCAAGAGAGAAAUCUUGGAGAAAACUCAAAGAAAAUUCUGCUCUUUCAAAUCUGAAAUUUAAGAAUGAAUCUAAGUGUUAUGUACAAGGGGUGGCUGGGGAUGCCUUUAAAUAGGCCUUAAGUAAUCCUAAUCUCACAAGUAACUAAUAAAAUUAAACCUAAUUAAUAUAAUAAAAUAAAGGAAAAUUCGGCCAAGCAUAUAUAUGGGCUGUUUUUGGGCCGAAUUUUACAUGGAUGUUCCUAUAGCUUAAAAAAUUAAAUUAAACAAUUAAAAUGUUUAUAAAUUGGGCCUUUGACAUUUUGGCCUGAUUUUCAACUAAGUAUGAAGGAAUUUCUUGAUUGGGCUGGAAUUUGGUUAUUGGGCCUCGCCUUCAAGAAUUUGGGCUCGUGAUCCAUCUCCUUCCGAAAUUGGGUCGUUGAUGCUCGUAACGGAGAUCCAAUGCGUGUUGGCUGCAAGAUUUGGUUUCUUGGACCAAGAUUUCCAAGAUUUAAAAUCUUGAUUUUCUUGAUUCUUGAAAUCUCUUUGAACAGCAUAAUUGGGCCAAGAUUCGGUUUCUUGAUUUUCUUGAAAACAAGAAAGUGAAUCUUGAUUUUCUUAUUCUCUCGUGUAUGCAUCUAAGGCCUUCCUAACAAACUCUUGAAUGGUCCCAUUUAGUUUGGACCGCAUUUGUCGGGCCUUUAAUCUCGUUAUUGGGCCUUGUGGCAAUUUGAGCCCAUCACUUUCUUGAACUUGGGUUGGGCCUUUAUGACUCGUAUCAGGUUCCUUAUCAGAUUCUUCUUCUUCAGUGUCUGUAACUGAAUCAACUUCAAUUUUUAUUUUAUUUGUUGACUCUUUGGUUUCUGGCUCAGUUGGUUCCUCUUGCUCACCUUGGUUCAACUCAUGCACUCUUUCUACCAACCUUUCAAGAUCAUGACUUGUAAUACACCCUUGAACAUACUGCCCCUUCAGAUUUACUUGUGUUUUAACACGGGCCCUUAAGAAAAGUGAAGUGAUUAAUGAUGGGAAAUAAGCACUUCCUGCCUUCUUUUUAGCACACUCAUGAAUCUUCUUGAGGAUAAUUUUCCCAACAUUAAUGGAUUUUUCUGUCAAGAUUGCAUAUAACAAGAGCAUCCGUCCCAUCGAGAUGGUGGAACUGUGUGAGAUAGGCAUAAAACUGUAGCGAAUAAAAUAAAACCAUACCUUUGGUAUUGGUUUCAAGUAUUCUCUUCGACAAGAAUGGCUCCCAUACUUUCUUAUAAUCCAUUGGGAUCCCGGAUUUGUCACAACAUCAAGCACUUGUUGAAGAAAAUCCCAAUUGAUAUUGCUCAUCAUAGGGUAGUACUCAUAUUCUUCAACAUAAGGUAAAUUAAACAAAUCAUUGAUGGGCUUAGAAGUAAGAGGUACCUUUUUCUUUCAAACAAUGACUUCAGUAACACCUUGCGUAGUCAAACUAGCAUAGAAUUCUCAAACUAGUUCAUCAUCAAGAAGUGAAUGAGCAUCACAGAAUCGUUCCCAUUUGAGAGCAUUGAUUAUCUUUCUAAUUGGCACAGGAACAACCAUCACAUCAUUGCCCUUAAGAUUAAAACCUUUUUUCGGCAUCAUCGGUUGAUGCUUGAAAAUUGAAUCAAAUCACUCUUUCACUUCUUCAUUAACUACAAUCAGGUUUUCAGAAGUAAUCUUUAACGAUCUAGUUCUUUUGUGAGACAUAGUACUUUCCCAAAAAUUCAAUAGAGUUUCUGCACAAGAGAGAAAAGAGAAAUCGGCAAAGUUGGUAUAACUUGCUACGGCAAAAAUCUUACGACGGUAAGGAUGGUGCGGCGGCGAUCUCUUUGCGGCAACAAUAGGGAAUUUUUGUAAAAAGAAAAAAAAAGACUAGGGUUUCUUUUUGGAUUUGAGGUUGAUAGCACAAAGAAGAGAUUUAGGGAUUUUUAGGGUGAAAGCAAAUUGCUUUAAGGGAUAUGAAAAUUAGUAGAAUGAAGAGGGGUUUAUAUAAGGAAAAAUUAGGGCAACAUGUAGCAAAAAUUUAGCUACAUUAAAGUUACUUGGGUGGCAAGUAAUGGGUGUGAUGGCGAGACCUAAUUUUUUCCCUCAUUUUUGUUGUCUUAGGCCUCAAACUCAAAUUGUAUCUUAAAAAAAACUGAUUAGUACUUGGGUCAAAUUUGACCCCCUUUAUUAACAUAAAAAUUUAAAAUUUAAACUGAACAAAAUGAAACUUAAAAAUUUUAAUUAGAAAAUUUCUUUUUAACAAAUUACAUUAAAUUAAUUCCCAGGAAAGGUUGGACAGGUCACAACGGUCUCGCUUAAGUUCUAAUCUCCUUAGAUAGAAUUAAUUAAUUGUAAUAAAUUAAGAAAAUAAGUUCUAAUUAAUUAUUUAUUUACCCAAUGAGUUCAUGAAAAAUUAAGGAUCUGUUAAGAUGACUGAGGAUUUAAUUCGCUCAACUUCACCAUCCUAUAGUGUUUUAGACGUUGACCAUUGACUUUAAACAUACCUUCAUAAUUGUCGUAUAAUUCAAUAGCUCCGUAAGGAUAAACUCGGUAGAUGGUAUAGGGUUAUUUUCAUCGGGAUUUUAGCUUCCCAAGAAAUAACUUCAGCCUUGAAUUAAACAAUAACACCUUCUGACCUUCUUUAAACUUGCGAAGUUGUAUAUGAGUAUCAUGCCAUCUCUUUGAUCUUUCUUUACACAUUUUGGCAUUCUCAUAGGAAAACAACCUCAGCUCUUCCAACUCAUCUAGUUGUAACAUCUUUCUCUCACCGACUUGCUUAAGAUAAAAAAUUAAGUACUUCAAAGCCUAGUGAGCUUUAUUCUCCAAUUCUAAUAGUAAAUGACAUGUCUUUCCAAAGACUAACUGAUAAGGAGUCAUUCCUAAUGGAGUCUUAAAUGUUGUUCGAUAGAUCUAUAAUGCAUCAUCGAGCCUUCGAGACCAAUCUUUUCUGCUAGGGCGUACUACCUUUUCAAGGAUACCUUUGAUUUCACGGUUCACUCUUUCAACUUGCCCAUUAGACUGGGGGUGAUAGGCAGUAGCAAUCUUGUGCUUCAUAUCAUAUUUGUCAAGCAACCAUUUAAGCCAUUUGUUCACAAAGUGAGAACCUUCAUCACUAAUAAUAGCUCUUGGUGUCCCAAAUCGUGUAAACACAUGCUUAUGUAGGAAUCGCAUAACUACCUUAGCAUCAUUUGUAGGGUAUGCUUCAGCUUCAACCCAUUUGGAUACAUAGUCCACAACAACUAAGAUGUAUUUGGUCCCAUACGAAGAAGGAAACGGGCCUAAAAAGUCAAUGCCCCAUACGUCGAAUAAUUCCAUCUCCAAAAUAUUUGUGAAGGGCAUCUCGUUCCUCCUUGAUAUAUUUCUGGUUCUUUGGCACUUAUCGCAGUUCUUUACAUAAGCGUAAGCAUCUUUAAAUAAUGUAGGCCAAAAGAAACCUGCUUGCAAAAUCUUUGCUGUAGUACGUGAACCACCAAAGUGUCCCCUACUUGGAGAUGAAUGGCAAUGAUAUAAGACCUUAGCAAUCUCACUUUUAGCUACACACUUUCAGAUUACAUUAUCUGCACACUGUUUAAAUAAAAACGGAUCCUCCCAAAGAUAAUACCGACUAUCAUGAAUGAAUUUCUUCCUUUGUUGGUAUGUCAUUUCUCGAGGAAUUAUUCCAGAUGCAAGAUAAUUGGAAAAAUCAACAAACCAAGGUGUUUUAUGAAUUUGACUCACCUCAAAUAAGUGCUCAUCUGGGAAAUUCUCAUUGAUAGGCACACGUGAUUGAGUUACCUCAUCUUACUUUAACCUCGACAGAUGAUCAACUACUUGAUUUUCAACACUUUUUUUGUCUUGGAUCUCAAGGUCAAAUUCAUAGAGUAAAAGUAUCCAAUGAAUUAGCCUCGAUUUCGCAUCUUUCUUUGUGAGCAAGUAUUUAAUGGCCGCAUGGUCAGUAAAUACUAUAACUUUGGUACCUAUAAGAUAUGAACGAAAUUUUUCAAAAGCAAAAGCUAUAGCAAAUAGUUCCUUUUCAGUUACCGUAUAAUUGAGUUGGGCUCCCAUCAAGGUUCUACUUGUAUAGUAAAUGAGAUGGAACACUUUAUUUUUUCUUUGACCCAUCACAGCUCCAAUGGCAUAGUCACUUGCAUUGCACAUCAACUCAAAAGGUGAGUUCCAAUCAGGUGUAAUAAUUAUUGGGGUUGAGAUUAAUCACUUCUUUAGAUCUUCAAAAGUUUCCAAAUGCUUUAUUGAAAUCGAACACUGUAUCUUUCUCUAACAACAAAUACAGCGACUUAGAAAUUUUCGAGAAAUCCUUGAUAAACCUUCGGUAAAAACUGGCAUGGCCUAAGAAACUUCUAACUCCUUUCAUAUUAAUUAGGGCCGAUAAUCUUUUAAUUACGUCUACCUUUGCUUUAUCGACUUCAAUUCCUUUCUUUGAAAUCUUAUGACCUACGACAAUCCCUUCCUUAACCAUAAAAUGACAUUUCUCCCAGUUAAAGACAAGAUUCGUCUCUUCGCAUCUCUUCAGUACCUUAGCCAAAUUACUCAAACAGAUAUCAUAAGUGUUACCAAAAAUAGAAAAAUCAUCCAUGAAAACCUCAACAAAAUUUUCAAUCAUAUCAGUAAAUAUUUCUAUCAUGCAUCGUUGAAAAGUUGCAGGUGCAUUGCAUAAACUAAAAGGCAUUCGCUUAAAAGAAAACGUACUGUAUGGACAAGUAAAAGUUAUUUUAUGUUGGUCCUCAAGGGCUAAAACUAUUUGGUUAUAUCCCGAAUAGCCAUGUAAAAAAUAAUAGAAUUCAUUACCUACCAGUCGAUCUAACAUCUGAUCCAUAAAAGGUAACAGAAAAUGAUCUUUUCGAGUGGCUUUAUUUAGCUUUCUGUAAUCAAUACAGAUUUUCCAACCAGUAACAGUUCGUGUUGGAAUCAAUUCGUUGAGAUCAUUUUCAACAAUCGUGAUUCUGUCUUUUUUCGGCACACACUGCAUCAGACUUACCCACGAACUAUCUGAAAUAGGAUAGAUGACUCCUGCAUCUAACCAUUUGAUCACUUCUUUCCUCACAACUUCUUUCAUAAUAGGAUUGAGCCUCCUUUUCCCAUCAAUUCGAGCUCUUUCACCUUCUUCUAAAAUAAUUUUGUGCAUGCAAAAUGAAGGGCUUAUACCUCGAAUAUCAGCUAUGGUCCAACCAAUUGCUUUCUUAUAUCUCUGUCAUUUCUUCUUGGACAGUAUAUCCUUCAUAAACUUCACAUAAUUCGGCAUUUGUUCUAAAGCCUCCACCAACGGAAUAUUGAUGUGUAACUGCUUCAGAACAUCUAAAAACUUCUUGAAUUGCACCUCCUGUUUCUACUUGUGUUGCUGCAAUCUUUGUGUAUAUGGAGGUGAUGAAACUUUCGAUUGAACCGGUCAACUUUUUUGAGUAGGUAAAUUUGCAUCCAAAGAAGAUGUUAAAAUAUCUGAAUUUACUAAGUUAGGGUUUACCUUGUCAGACUUUGUAGAUUCUGAUUCCUUUGGUGUAGGAACUUUAACAUCUGGUUGACUUUCCUCCUUUUCAACAUGCUUAUCUUCGACAUCAAUCAAUCGGGGUACUAGAGUCUUACCACUUUGUAAUGCCACUACCUUGAUAUGUUCUUUACCUAAAUUCCUUAGAUUCUCAGUAUUGCUCGGCAAGGUUCGUUGUGGUCUACUACGUAGCUCUGCAGCUAACUAACCCAUUUGGUUUUCCAAAUUUUUCAGUGUUGCUGCUUGACUUUGGAUCAAAGCGUCAUUCUUUGCCACGUACGCUUUCAACAAGUUCUCCAAACUGUUUGAUGCCUCAGCUUGAGGUGAUUUUGGAGUUUACUGAUUAAACUCUUGAGAUUGGUUGAGUCUUUGCUGAAAUAAGUUGUUGUUUGGUCUAUUUCCUUGGUUGCUCCAAGAAAAGUUAGGAUGAUUACGCCAUGAAGGAUUGUAGAAGUUGGAUUGGGGUCCUUGUCCACUCUUAUUUUGAUAUUAGUUCCUUAUAUAGUAAACUGACUCAGGAUUUGAUGAACAAUUCUCAAAAGAAUGACUUUCCCCACAAUACAUACAGGAAACUGUUUCAAACGGACUUGGUGGCUGAGCUACAAAAUUAUUAGUACUAUUAGCAGUAAACUGUUUUAACAUAAAGGAAAUAGACGAUAUCUGAGCUGAUAACGAAGUGAAGAAGUCAACUUCAUGAACUCUGACUAUGCGACUUCCUGAAGCUGUUCAAUUCGUUGACCAUUGAUAGUUAUUACUCACGAUCCUCUCAAUGAUCUCAUAAGCCUCAUUAUAAGACUUAGACAAAGUUGCAUCAUUCGCGGAAGCAUCUACCAUCAAUCUUGUAUUUACAUUGAGACCAUUAUAGAAUUUCUCCAACUGGAUACAAUGAGAAAUCUCAUGAUGAGGACACUUACGAAGUAACUCCUUGAAUCGCUUCCAAACCUCAUACAAAGACUCAUCAUCCAAUUGUUGUAAAGUUGUGAUCUUGUUCCUCAACUUAGCGUUUUUGCUAGGUGGGAAAUACUUAACCAAAAAUCUCUCUACUAAUUCUUGUCAUGUAGAUAUGAAACUUGGUGGCAAUGAAUUGAGCCAUGCUUGUGCUCGAUCUUCCAACGAGUACGGAAACAACUUCAACCUCAGUGUGUCUUCAGUCACACUGGCUAUCUUGAAUGAAUCACUCACCUCCAUAAACAAUCGAAGGUGGAGAUGUGGAUCUUUCGUGGGCAUACCACUAAAUUGGCCCACCGUUUGUAGCAUUUGAAACAUCACUGGUUUCAAUUCAAAUGGGUUGCCUCAAUAUUUGGCCUUCUAAUUCCUAGGUUUAACUCACUGAAAAGUAGCACAUCAUAUUGUCUGAUGCAUCUAUCCCUAUCAUCGGCAAUGAGGAUAGAAUUUCGUACAUAAUCGACUUCAUUACCUUGGUCUUGAUUCUGAUUUCUAAGGUCCAUCUUGACUUGUCUUUGAGCUAUUCGUUCAUGUCUUCUUUAUCUGAAUGUUCGCUCAAUUUCAGGGUCUACAGGGAGUAAAUCGAUAAUUCGAUCUAUGCUCAUAAACACCUGCAAAGAAAAUCACAAAAAUUAGAAAGAAUAAGUUAGUAAUGUUAGAAGUAAAUCAAAUUGAAAAUAAAUAAUUUCACAAAAAAAUGACUAUGGCAACAGUUUACAAUUCCUGGCAACGGCGCGAAAAACUUGUAACGCUGGGGUUUGUGCAAGUGUACAUAGUCGUUAUCAAGUAAUAAGUAAGUAUCGAGUUAUCGUCUCCACGGGGAUUGUAUUUUUGCUAAGUCCCUUAAUUUGUAAAAUUAUAUUAACAAUUUGGUAAAUAAAAACACAAUAUAGUUGAGAAGGGGUGAUUAAAAUAUAUUAAACUAAAUGCAAUGAUCCCUAAUGCAAAUUAUCCUAAGUAUGCAAACUUUAUGAAUGAAAUAGAUUUUAGUGAAAUUAAACACAAUUUGCAACAAUUAUAACAUAAAUAAACUAGGACAAUUACUUUAAUUAAACUCAAUUUAUUAUCAACAUGCUUAAUAACAUUCGGAAAAAUAUUCCAUGACAACUCGAUCUUUCAUGAGUUUGGAAACCACAUUAGGUUCUUUCGAAAUCCUUUACUUAGAAAAUACGCAUUUUACUGAUCCUUAUUUACUAAGGGUUUCUUAGCUUUUAUGUGAGGUAACAGGGACAUGUUAGGUUUGAAACAAUUUAAUCAUACAAAUAUAAAAACUAUGCAGAUAACAAAGCUUGGUUAGAGUUGUUAUGCAACCUACAAUUCAAUCGGGUUAGGAUCUAAAUUGAGCAUGCACAUUUCAAUUAUGCGUCCAUUAGCCGUUGUCUGGUUAGGAUCGCUCAGCUAAUUUAAGCUAUCAUUGUAAGCAUGAUCGAUUGAGGUACAAACAUUAUAAGCAUGAAUCAAAUAAAUAUUAUUUAAUCAAAAUAAUCAUCCUAGCUUAAAUAAAUUUAAGCUAUCAUUGUUGUAAACAAGAACAAAGAACACAUAGCAAACAUAUUUAAAUUAAAUUUAAAGAAAAGAAAGAUUAAACCAAUUCAGAGUGGUUGUCACCUAAGACUCUGACUGACGAGGCUCCUUCACUUCUUUGCGUUGCUCCUUCACUGAUGGCUCUCUAAGGUGGCUGACCAAGGGUUCUUUAAGAGGCUUAAUUGCUAAAAUCCUUAUGCAAGGAUGAUGAAGGGGAAAGAUAGCUAAAAGAGUUGAGAGAAUGAUGAAUGAGUGAGAGAUGAUGGGAUAAGGGAUGAUUGAAAAAGUGAGAAAUGAGCUUUUAUUUAUAGGUGAGGCAAGGGAACUAGUUUGCUAAAAAUAGGAGUGUCCAUCCUUUGAAACUUCCUCCAAGAGUGGUUGGCCAUGAAUUGAGGAAAGGUGGCUGAUUUUUCCUUGAUUUUUGGUCAAUUUGAGUGCCACAACAACUCAGGACUAAGACUCGGUCAUUAGUAAAUCUUCGGGAAAAUCUCCGAUUUCUUUAACUCUUAAAGGACUUUGUAUAAUUAAACCAAAAAAUGGUUUAUAACAUCCAUGUGCAGCCAAAAAUUGGGUUGACUUGGUCCCCAAUUUGGAUGGUUUUGCAAUUAGAAGAAAACUCUCAGACCUGUCCAAAAAUAGUAGAUAGUUUAGAGGACCAAAUAAUAUAAUUUAACCACUUUAAUUAAUCAAUUUAAUUAAUUAAUUUAAACCCAAUGUAUUAAUGAAAUAUUAAAAAUAAAUUAUUAAAUAUAACUUUAUAUUUUAUUAUUUAAUUUAAUCAUGCAUGACCCACUUUAUAUCUUAAAAAUAUAAUAUACUCAAAUUAAUAUAAAAUAAGCCAUUUUAUGCGUGAAAACUAUAUAAUAAAGUAUAAAAUCACAUUUUUAUAAUUUCCAUGUCCGAAUUUCAUAUUUUUGCAUAUUUGAUUAAUUUAUUAAACAAUUACUUGGUUUUAACAACAAAUUUAAGUAAAAAGGUGAUGAAUUAUAUAGGAAAAAUCCUAUAUAUUUUUCAGUUUCCAUGUAUAAAUGAAAAAUGAGGUUAUUUAAAUGUCAAUUAAAUCAUUUCUAAUGUUAAUGGUUGGCCAUAUACUUUGAGAUUUGUUUUUUAUAUUGGUUAAAAUGUUUAUUAAAUUAAGUUAAAGUAAUAUUAUUAAAAAAAACAAAAAGAAAACAUGCCAUCAUCUUGUUCAUUCUUUUUGGUUAAAACCAAAAAUUCCAUUUUUGGAAUAGAGAAGAAUCGACCAAGAUUUAAUGUUCAUGCAUGGUAUGUUUCCAAUCUCGUUUCUCGUAAAUUUAUGUUUUUGAGAUUGUUGUUGCUUAAUCUAUCUAGCCUAGAGACUAUUUUGUGAAACUGUCAAAGUUUUGAAAUUUCCAUUGAUUUUCUUGCAGUUUUCUUGAAGUUUAUGUUUGAUUUUAAAGCUUGAUGAUGAAAUAAGACUAUUUUGUAAAGUAAUUUUGAAUAGUUUUGAAGUUAGGAACUAAAUUAUUAAAUUGUUGAAAUUGGCUUAAAAAUUUUUUAAAUUUCAGAACUUGAGGGCUAUUUAGGGAUGCUACUGAAUUUGGUUUUGGGUCUAAUUGUAAAAAAAAAGCUUGUUUCGAUUUUAGGGACUAAAUUGAAUAAAAUGCACAAGUUUAGAAAAAUUGUGAAACUUGUCAAUAAAGAAGUCAUAUUCAUCAAAUGGAUUUUUAUAAUGAUAUCGAGACUGAUUAAUUGAAAUAAAUACAAUAUAGAUCAAGAAUCAAUAGAAAAUUGUGGAAAAUAGUAAAUUGCAGACUAGUUCCUGAUAUUACUAUUUCUACAGUUUGGCCUGGUAAGUUCAUAAGGUUUAAUUUGGUUUAAUUUGUAAUAUUAUGUUGAUUUCUGAAUUGUGGUAUGCUUAAUAUAUAUUUAUAGAUAUUUGAAUUUUUACAAAUUGGUACAAGGUGAGAAAAUGGAUUGAAUUGAAAAGUGUUACACGAUUACUUGUAUCAUGCCCGGAUGAACAUAGGAUAUGAUACAAUUAUCAUGCCAAUAGGUUAUUUUGUGCGCUGUACAGGAUUGAUAUGUGAUGAGAUGAUGUUACAUGACUUGAUUUUUAUACACUGAGUAUAUCGAAAUCUAGCAUUUAUUACGGAUUUUUGAGUUAUAUGUACAAUGAUUCUGGCAUGUUUCUGGGGGUGGAUGUAAAGCCUAUGAGCUUGACACUUGGUGCCCAGACGUUUUACUAGAGGGAUGUUAGCCUACGAGCUAGGCACUCUGUUCCUAGGCGUGUUCUUGGUUGGACUAGCUCAGUUGAGCAUUCUGACAUGUCUUGGGUGGAUAACCACGGAUCUGUAUCUAUUUAUACCAUUCAUCGGGUUGAAUUUUAAUGGUUAAAUGAUUUAAUGAUGAUAUGUAAUUGAUAUUUGUUUAUGAUUUCUUGUGAAAGACUUGUACAUGUGUUCAUGGUUUUCGAUAUUAUAUUGCGACUUGAUAAUGGUUGAUACUGUAUAAAUUACAUGAUUAAAUGACUCAUAUUUGCAGAACUCACCUAUUGAAUGGUUGUGAUUGAAAGGGUUAAUGUUAGCUGUUGAUUUUUUUAAUUAUAAAACUGUAAUUAUACGGUAAGUUAUAAUGUUUCAACAUGUGAACUUACUAAGCUCGUAAAAGCUUACUUGUGUUGUUUUCCUAUUUUCUUGUAGAUCUCGUUUUGCAUAACUGGGCGAUCGAAUCAACUUGAAGAUCACACUAUCCACCUACCUUUUGGUAGACUUUGAAAACAUUUAAUUUGGGACAUGUGACAUGUGAUAGGAGUAUAUUGUAUUUGUUUAUAAGUGUUCUUUAUAAGUGGCAUAUUUUGUGCUUGUAUAUAAGUGGAGUGUUUGUGGCAAAUAAUGUGAUUGAUCAUAGCUUGGUUUAAAUAUUUGAAUGUGGUAUUUGCUUGAUAUGUGAUGGAAUAUAUAUCUAUGAUGGAAUGAAAUGCAUAUAAAUUAAAUAAAUAUGAUAGGUAAUACUUUGGUUAGAGUUGUUUUGGAUGCUAUGAAUUAUUAUAUAGAUGUAUAGCUAGUUUUGAUAGUUAAUGUGUGGUACAUAUGCUUUGUCAAAAAGUGUAAUUGAUGAUUAUGUUAUAGCAUAUUGUCAUUUUAUAUGACCUUGUUUUGUUAAGUUUGAAUUGGUUAGAAAAUGACCUUAGAUGUGGGAUUUGAUUAUUAUAUGUGAUGGUGCUUUAUGACACAUUGGUUAGGUAUUUUUAGGUUGAAAUGUACCAUGUUCAAGUUUGAUUAAUUUAUAGAUGAUGGUGUAUGGAACUAAGAUAUAGACAUGACUUGAAAUGAAUUUUCAACCUGUAAUUUUUCACUAAAUGAUAAAAAGUAUCGAUACCUAAAACCUAGAGUAUCGAUACUAUAUCAAAUGAACAAUUUUCAAAUUUACAGAAUAUAAAUUUGGUAUCGAUAGUUUUAUUUAGUAUUGAUACUCUAUAACUUUUACAAAUACCUUGAUAAAUAUUACCGAUACCUAAAUUUGAUAGAAUCCCAAAAUGGUAUCGAUAAUGUUUUUUGUAUCGAUACUUGUUAAAAAAUAUCAAUACUUCUUAAUUUAGUAUUGAUACUUUAUACCUAGUUUUAAAAAUUUAUAAAUAGGUCCUUAUUCAUGUUUAAAUUUAAAUUGUAAGAGGUUUAAGCUCGAUAUAACUCCGAUAAUAUAUGAAUAACAUGUUUAAAUGUAUGAAUUGAUAUCGCUUGAUUUUUUUGUUAUGUGUUGUAGCAUCCUGUAACCCUGAUUUGGUGACAGAGAUAGGUAAGGGGUGUUACAGGUAAGACUUCUAGUAAAAUUAUCUGGGACUGUGGGGGCCGUUUUAAAAAUUUUGAUAAUGUAAGAGUCCUUUUGUUUGACAUAAUGAACGCCAUGGUCAAACUUAUCAGUUCACAGAUCGAAAUGAGAUUGGUAAUGAGGUGUUGAAUAGUAAUGGGAAAGGUCAUGAAGAAAAAUGUUUGCUCGGGCAUUAAAGGCUAGCCUUUGUUUUUUUUUUUAAAUAAUGUGUUUAUCUAUUUUUUUCUAGAAUUUUCAAUGGUGCACCAGUAGUAAAUUUCCACAUAUUUUUUGUAAGUAUAACCGGGAGCACAAGCUUGAUAUUGUUGGUAUUUUAGAGACUAAAGUUAGUGGUGGCAAAGCUGAUUCAAUCAUCGCUAAUCUCGAUUUUCAAUUUUCUUAUUGAGUAGAGGGAAUUGGUUUUUCUAGGGGUAUUUGGAUAAGAUGGAAGGAGUCGAUUUGUGUUGAAGUCCUUCAGAGUAAUCCCUAAUUUAUUUUGAUAAAGGUUUCUAGUAAUUCUUUAGAAUAACAUAUCUUUGUUGUUUUUGUUUAUGGCAACCCUAAUAGUCAGAAAUAAAGACACCUUUAGGAAGAUUUGAAGCUUAUCAUUUUGAGCAACGGAUCUCCUUGGUUGGCAACAGGGGACUUUAAUGCAUUUUUUUCUUCUAGUGAAAAGAGAGGUAGGAAAAUUAAUGGGAAAAGAUAUCUCUUUUUUGGUGAAUUUAUGGAUUUAACUGAAUUGCAUGAUUUAGGGUUUAGAGACUCUUCCUUUACAUGGCAUAGAGGUGGAGUGUUUGAACGUCUAGAUAGAGCCAUUGGUAAUGAUGAGUGGAUUGUUUCUUUCCCAAAUUGUUCGGUGACUCAUCUUUCAAUGUUCAAACCUGACUAUAGACCUCUCUUGUUGUCUCUCAAACCAUCGUUACACUUUUCUAAGGGUGUACUUUUCGUGUUUUGGUUGGAUGGGUUGAGCAUCUAGAUUUCUCUAAGUUUGUUAUGGAAAAGUCGACCCUUAAUGGGCAUAUGUCAAAUUCUCUAUCUCACUUCAUGAUUCAACUCAAGAGCUAGAAUAAAAAUGUGUAUGGUCAUAUUAGGGCACGUAAAAAAAUGUUGAUUCAGAAACUCUCUAAUAUUCAGAAGGUUAUGGAUUAUUCUCAAUCAGAUUCUUUAUUUUAGUUAGAGAUGGAGGUCCGAGAAGGCUUGAAAAAUGUCCUUAACUAUGAGGAACUUCUUUGGAAACAAAAGGCAAGGUGAUAUUGGCUUUUUUUGGGAUACAGAAAUAUAAAUUUUUAUCAUUGACGCACACUUCAAAGGAGAAAGCAGAACCAGAUCAUUGCAUUGAAGAAUGAUUUAGGAGAGUGGAUUUUUUAUGAGAAAGAAUUAAAGAAUGAGGCGAUUAGGUUAUUUCAGAAUUUGUAUAGAGAGGCAUUAGGGCAAUGAGAGAUUUGCCUUCUAGUUCGUUUCCAAGGAUUACAGCGGGAGAUGUUUAGCUAUUGUGCAAACCGAUCUCUAAUGAGGAAAUAAAGAUUGCUCUAUUUGAUAUAGGCCCAUUAAAGGUUUCGAGUAGUGAUGGGUUUCAAACCUUAUUUUUUCAGAAUCAGUAGAACCGAUAUGAUAAUGUCGUUUGUUCUUAGGUUAAAAAUAUUUUUGUAGGGUAGUGCAUUGAUCCUGAAUUGAACAAUACCCUUAUAGUCCUUAUUCCUAAAGUUCGAAAUCUUGAGAAGUUUUUGCAGUUCAGGCCUAUAAGCUUAUGUUCAGUUCUAUAUAAAUUGAUUAUGAAGAUAAUUGCUAAUCGAUUUAAAGUGGUCUUCCUAAGGAUCAUUGAGCAAGAGCAGUCUGGAUUUAUUACUAGAAGGAAUAUCACAUAUAAUAUUAUAAUCGCACAUGAAGUGAUCUAUUAUAUGAAAAGAAAACAAAAGAAUAGGAAAAGGUUGGCAGCCAAGAUAGAUCUUCAAAAGACUUAUGAUCGGGUGAGGUGAAAUUUUAUUGAUGCACCUAUCUAGGCUUUAGGUAUUCCUGACUCUCUCUGUAAUAUUAUUAUGUCAGUCAUUACAAAUUAUACUAUGCAGAUAUUGUGGAAUGGAACUUCGACUCAGAAAUUCUGUCUAACAAAAGGCAUUCGAUAGGGGUGUCUUCUGUCCCCUUACCUUUUUUCUAAGCAUGGAGUGGAUUGGAUAUAACAUCAUUUGGCUAUCAACUUUGGGCAAUGGGUUCUUAUUCGUUUGUCUCGAUUAGGUCCCCCUUUUUGUGUCUCUUCUUUGAUGAUGACUUAAUUCUGUUUGGUCAAGUCGGUGUGAGUCAAGCUAGGGUCUUAAAAGGUGUGUUGGAUAUAUUUUGUGGCUAUCCAGGGCAUAAGAUUAAUGCGCACAAAUCUAAUAUCUACUUUUCUAAAGGUGUUGGUGAUGUUUCAAAGGAGAAGUUAUGUAAUAUUCUUGGAUUCCACAGAGUUCAGAAUCUUUGGACCUAUUUGGGUGCGCCUCUAUUUCAUAAUUGAGUUACAAAUAACACUUUGAGGUUUGUAGUUGAUAAGGUUCGAAGCAAACUACAUAGCUGGGAUGUUAGGAAGUUAUUAGUAGCAGAUAGCACCACCUUAGCUCAAUCGAUAUUAUUGUCAAUCCCUAAUUAUUUCAUGCAAUCAAUGAUGAUCCCUAAAGGGCUAUGUGAGGAAAUUGAAUAUAUGGUUAGAUAGUUUAUUUGAGGCUCUUCAAUUGGUGAAAAAAACUCGGCUUUGGUUAGUUGGGAAAAUGUCUGUCAACCUUGGGAUCACGGUGGACUUGGUUUUCAGAAGUUACAAUAUCAAAAUACUUCCUUUAUGAUGAAGUUAGGUUUUAGUCUUGUGUCUGAUUCUAAAGCUCUUUGGGUUCGGGUUCUUCGAGCUAAGUAUGGAAUUUCAGUUGGAUUACCUGUUACGUUAUCAAGUGUAAGAGGUUCUUUCUUAUGGAAAGCUCUCACUAAGGCUUGGCCUCUUAUUCGGGAAAAGAUGUUUUGGUCAAUGAGGGAUGGAACUAAUAUGAGAUGUUGGCCUGAUCCAUGGAUUCCGAAUGUAAGAUCUUUGGCUAGCCUAAUUCCAAGACAUUCCAAUCUUGAUAUGGUCUGCCUUCUCUGUGAGAUGGUUAUAGGUGAUGGUGUGUGGAAUCUUGAUAUCUUCCAGCUUUGGUUAUCAGAAGAGAUGAUUCGAAGGAUUGUAGCAAUUCCACCUCAUCUGGAUAGAAGGGGUGAUAGGUUCAUUUGGGGUGGCACAUCGACAGGUUCUUUUUCUGUUAAAAAUGCUUAUAGGAAGAUUCAGGAAAGAUCGUGGAAUCCAAAGGAGGCGGUAUGACAGAUCCCUGGAAAUUUCAAUGACCCCAAUGAGUUAGGUUCUUUAUUUGGCUCACUCUCAAGUAGCGUUUGCUUACCAAUAUGGAAAGAGUUCAUCGGAAGAUUGGGCAUGAUUCGACUUAUGGUGUUUGUGGGCAUGGCUUCGAAGAUAUACUUCAUGCAAUUAGAGACUGUUCUCUAGCAAGGAGUAUUUGGGAUCAGUUAAUUCCAAUAGAUCAACAAUCUUGGUUUUAUUCUAGUAAUUUGUAGGAAUGACUUGUAUCAAACUUGCGGAAUCAACAUGGUAGGCGUUUGGGAGAUGUGGAUUGGAGUUUUCUUAUUGGGAUAAUCAUUUGGCGCAUUUGGAAAAAUCGAAAUCUUUUUAUUUUUCAAGGUGUGUCCUAGAGUUCUAGUGAAAUUAUUAAAGUGUCUUAUAGUUGGGCAAAACAAUGUCUCUCUCAAAAGGGAAUCCUUGGCUGAGAUACGAAAAUUGGGUCUGUUUAAAUGCUGAUGGGUCAGUUAGAAAUGAAAUAGGUUUUGCGAAAGCAGGAGGAAUUGUUCAUGAUCAAAAUGGGAGGUGGAUUCUUGGCUUUAACUGAUACUUGGGAAACUACUUUGUUUUAGAUGCUGAAUUAUGGGGCAUCUUGGAUGGUUUCGCUAUCCUGAUUGGUCGAGUUUAUGAUAAUGUCUUAAUUCAACCUGAUAAUCUUGAGGCGACUAAAGUCAUUUAGGAAAUUUCUUCUGAGGGUUCUAAUUCUACAUUGAUCAGAAGAUUUCAUCAACUUUUGCUACAGUUUGGACAAUGGGGUAUAUGCGCAUCUCUAGAGAAGAUAAUCAGAUUGUUGAUAGUCUGGUCAAACUAGCAUAAGAUAGACAUAAUGGUUUAAUCUUGUUUGAUGUCUCCUCAUUGGAGUGGAAGGUUUAGUUUUUUUUUUUUUUGUAACUAGUUUGUUUAAUUUAUUUUUUCAUAAAAAAAUAUUUAUAAAAUGUGAUUUUAUAAGUAACCAAUCACAUCUAGUUAAAAAAGAUCGAUAAUGACUCCCCUUUUAAUUGAAAACCCUCGUGUUUUUCUUAAAACCAAAGUUUUCAUACUUUAAUAAUUUGUCAAGCUAAUUUUUUUAGAUAAGUGAAAAAUGGUCACGAAAACAAUAUUUACUUAUAAUUAGGUGACAAUUUUGUACUAUAAUCCAUUAUUAUUUUUAAAAAAAUUAAUUUUUAUUAUUAACUAAAUAAAUUUAAAAGUAUUGAACACCUCUACAAAGCGUGGGUUGAUAGUGUGAGAAGUGAAAAAAAUAAUGCACUUAUUAUCAGUGAAUAAUCAAAAACAGCAUCAUUGCAAAUUCAAUAAUUAAUAAAAUUCAACAAAAAAAAUUAAUAGAAUGUGGUUAAUGCCACCGAUCUUUGCUAUUAUUAAUAUUAUUAAUAGUUAAAAGAAUUAAAUUAAUCUAAAUUGUAAUAAAGUUAUCAUUUAUUGUAUAAAAGAUAUUUUGAAAUUUUUUUUUCGAUUGUGGUUCAAUUCUAAAGAAAAUAUUUUAUUUGCAUAACCUUAAAAACUUUAAAAAUAUUAACUCUAUUAAGCAAUAAAUGACAUUUUUAUAUGGUAAAUAUUGAUACUAUUCCAAUUUAACCUUAUUUGAUUCUUUUUAAUAGUGUAGAUACUAAAUUUAUUCAUUUAAUAUUAGAGGGACUAAUUUGAUCAGAUCCCCAUAAUAGUGGGACCUCUCAAGGACAUUCAUCAAUUAUCAACACUACUAAUUAAACAACCAUUGAGGUAAUGAGCAUGUUGAUUAUGGUAAAUUAGGUUGAAUAAAAUGUUGAUAACUUACUCAAGAAUCAUUUGUAUAAUAUUUAUUUAUUAAGUUAAAUAAAGAAGUAUGAACAAAUAUUUUAUGUUCAUUUAUUAAACGAAUAAGUUUGAAUAGAGGUGUGUUCAAUUUGUUUAUGUUCAUGAACAAGCUUGUUUAUAAACUUGUUCAUUUAAAGAUAAUUCUUUCUAUGAAAAAUACUUUAAUAAUAUUAUUUUCUCAAUUUAUACAAUCUUCUCUAUAACCGUUUGAAUUGGACCGAACUAGUCAGUCGAAUCGAUUGAAUCGAGAACCGGUCGAGGUAUCAAUCCGAAGAGUGACUUUGAAUUAGUUAGACUAGGAAUCGGAACGACUAAUUGAAUCAGCUAAAAAUCAAUUGAAUCGACAGUUGAACUAUUUUUUAAUCUUUUUUUUUGAAAAUUUUAUUAUUUUUUAACUGGACCAGUUGGACUGAUCGGGCCGGCGAACCGGUGGCCUGACUAGUUCAAUCACCAAAACAUUGUCUAUAAUAGUCACCCUUUAUAACAACAUUUCGCUAUAAUAGUCAAGCUUUUAGUAGAACCGAUUUUUAAUGUUUUAUUGUAAUCCUGUAUAACAACUUUUCCCUUAUAACAACAACCAUAGUUAUUAAAUUAUAACCAUUUCAUAUAAGCAAACCUAUUGAUUAUAAAUUAUUAAAUAAAAAUGAUCUUAAUUAAAAUAUUAUUUGUUUAAAUUUCACACUAAAAAAAUCUAUUAAUCAUAUUUUAUUAGAUAAAAAUAAUCUCCUGUUAAUGGAAUUAAAGAUAUCAAUUCAAUAAAUUAUUAAGUUCCCUAAUUAAAUAUUUUACUUCGACUUUGGAACAUCAUAUAAACUUAUAUAAAUAAAUUACUUGAAUAUAAUAACUCUUGAUAAAUUAAUUAAUUUAAUUUGGUGACUCAUAUUGAUUAAUUAAAACUUGUUAGACUUAUGAAAUCAGCGAAAGAGUGUAAAAUAAAAGAUGUAUUAAAGCAAUAAUGAAUGAACCUCCUAUGCAUCUUUUAAUUUUAUUGAUUUGAUACUCACUUCUUUAUUUGAUGAAGUUCGCGAUAUGAAUUCUGUUAUAGAUUUAUAACAAUUAUAUCUCUAUAACAAUAUGCUAUUGUAGGUGUAUAGCAACCAACUCUUUAUAAUAGGCGAAAUAUUGAUAAACAAAUGGGGCUAUUAUAGAGAGGGUUGAGUUAUUUAAUUUAGUUAGUUAGUUAGUUUAUUUUUGUUUAAUUGGUUUAUUGUUUGUGAAUAUGUUCAUUUAACAUUCAAUGAACAAGUUUGUUUAACAUUUGUAAAUAUAUAAAUGAACAUACAUGUGAACAUUAAAUGAAUCGAGUCUGAACAUAUCAAAUAAUAAAUGAAUUGAGUUAAAAAAUCAUGUUUAAAAUUUAAACGAACAGGAACCAAACAUGAACAACAUUCAAUGGCAAAAUCUCUAAUUCAUUUGGAUGGCAAGCACAUUUCGAUCGAUCAAUUACAAAUGGUAAGAAUAUUUUAUUAUAUUUAAUCUUAUUUAAUUUAAAUAUUUUCUUGUUAUAUUGGAAUUUAAUAUUUUGUAUUUUUUUAUAUAUAGCCGAAAGAUCGGAUUUUGGAGACGUAUAUUCAUAAUCUACCCACUCCUCCAUCACCUUUAAUCGAACCCUACUUGAGAGAUGCAAGAUUUUUGCACGUGACCCUUAUAGGUAGGGGGUGUAAAUUAGACCCUACACUUGUAAGCGCGUUGGUGGAAAGGUGGAGACCCAAGAUGCACACAUUCUAUCUUCCAUGCGGCGAGUAUUAUCACUCUCAAGGACGUGCAAUUAUAGCUCAGAUUACCGGUGGAUGGGUCGGUAGUGACUAGGUUAAUUGUCGCAGGCAAUUGGAGAGACGUAUGCAAGCAGCUUUUGGGGAAGGUUCCGAAAAUAAUUUAUAGAGCCCGGAUAAAUAUUAAUUGGUUAAGAAGAAAUUUUGGGGGGCUCGAUGAGGAUUGGAGUGAAGUUCAAAGAGAACAACACGCUCCGGUGUACAUAUUUAUGAUAAUCAGGGGUCUUCUAAUGCCCGAUAAGUUACGAAAUCUUAUCCAUUUAAGGUGACUGCUAAAACUCGUGGACUUUAGAGAAGCGAACGAACUUCGUUGGAGGUCAAUUAUGUUAGCGACGUUGUACUGGGAGAUGUGUCAGGUGACAAAACCACAAAAAAUUAAAUUCGGUGGCAGCAUGCUACUAUUACUAUCAUGAGCGUGGUACCAACUGCUAUUUUUAUGUCCUCCAGCAGACUACCCUUAUAUAUUUACACUCGUAACAAGGUAAAAUUCAUUAGAUAAUAUAUUUACCAUAAUAAAGUUAUUUAAAAUUUAAAUUAUUGUGUUAACAUAUUUUUUUCAAUAGAUAGAACCAUGGGCCGAGUUACGUGGGACUACUGGAUGAGCUUCGAGAUAUACGACUUCUGUUAGACCAACAUUAGAAGUGGAGGUCUAUAUUUUUUAAAUUUGAAUUUUAAAAUAUUAACGUAGUUGAUUUAAAAAUUAAUAGUAUAUAUAUAGCUAAAUUUUUUGUUAUAUUAAUAUAGUUUGAAUGAACGUCAUACUUUGAUUCGAGAAUUCAAGAAUACAUCUCGUCCAAAUUCUUGGUAAAUCUCAACAUAUGGCAUGUGAAUGUGCCAUUAGUAGUGUACGCUACGGUGGAGAUGCACAAGUUCGAUAGAGUGUUGCGGCAGUACGGGUUUUGAAAAAUGAUUUCGUCGAAACCCCAAGCCAUCGAAGAUCUGCACCACAUCGACUUAUGGGGGAGAAUGGAUGAGCAUUGGCCUACAUUACAUGUAGAAUAUAUCAACAUUUGGAACAAUAAGUACGAGUUUUUACCUAUUUGCGAGGCCAUUAUAGCUCCGGAGUUAGCCUGCAAUCCGGAGUACAUGCCAUGGUUUAAGGUCCGUGGCAAGGCAUACCUACUAGCGGAAGCGACGAGGGGUAGGCAACUACAUACGAAGAGAUCACAACAGGCGCCUAGGCAACCUAGGUUUAGAGCAACUGCUGAGGCGGGUUCGUUAUCUACACAUACAUAAAACUAACAAUGAUGGCCACACCAUCCCCCAGUCAGUAUGGUUUGACUUAUUUUGGUACUUUCACUAACCUAGUCAUUUUUACAUAAGCACCAUAUUGCACAACAUUUUUUUUGUUUUUACAUCAAUACCAGGUUUUAUUUUUGGACCUUCAUCCUCGGCAUAUUACACAUCGAUGCCAUUGACGUUUCAGAUGACAAUGGAUUCAACGACAAUAUAUAGGCCACCUGUGUUUGGGGCACCGACUAAAAGUUUGACCAUUAUGCCAUUGGUGCAUGGGGCACAAUAUAGUUAUACCCCUACACCGAUGGUGUUGCAAACACCUCUGGGAUCAUUGUUCCACCAAGGUGGAAAUCUUUGCAACCACAUGUUUCUUAAAUAGAUGAUACAUGAUGGAAACCGAAGAGCAACCGAUCGCAAUCAACCAUGAACGAAGGCGAAGAAGAAGAGAGGCCGAGACCACAACUUGAACUAAAAAUAAAUUUGGGUAACAACCAUCGACCACCUCAUUGUGGCACACAUUCUGGCCGAGGAUAUGAAUGAUUAAUUUUUUUGUACUUCUCCUAUAAAUUUAAUUGUUUAGCUAAGUUAUAGUCAAUAAGAUUGUAUCGAUAUUGGAUAUGAAAUAUUUUUAAAUAAAUAUUGUUUUUUGCAUCAAAAUUGGUUUGUGUUGUCAUUUCAUAUUAUUAAAUCAAGUCUGCAUGGGAAAAAUGGAACAAAAUUAUAUAUUUUAUUAUUUUUUCUAGAAUAAUAAAAAUGUGUGUUUAUAAAUUACAAAAAUUUUGAGUAUAAAUGAAAAAAAAUUAACAAAUUAAUAAAUAUGUUAAUGAGGUGUUGUCCUUAAAUCAUCCUGUCGAUCUGGACAUGACGACAUUGAAUGCCUUGGGUAUCUAUACCACUUGCAUAACCUCAGUUGGUUUGUAUUCUCCUGAAUAUCCAUAUUGUCACAUAUUUGAGUUGAUGUCGGUUGACCUUUUGGUUUUCAAAGCAAUGAUCUUUUGGCUAACAACUUGAAUAGAGCAUUCGAUUCCGACGACCACAUACUUUCAUCUGGGACGAGUAGGAAUACGUUUCUCCACAUGUUAUACAUGUGUUCUAGUUUAUACACUUCGUCCACAAAGCUUAUGUGAUCCAGGCGUUGAUUGCUACAUGCUACAAUUGCAUGAGCGUAUGGAAAAUGAAGUGCAUCAAAUCUCCUACAGCCGUAAGUCCGUUGUCUUAGGUGUACAUGGUAUGCUCCUCCGACAAUACCUUGGUUGGGUUUGUCGAAAUCCAUAACCCGAAACAAUAGGUUUUUGUGCAAGUGAAACAUUGGAUGCAUACAAUUUUCUCAUGUUAUAGCCUUCCUAAUUUCUUUACGUACAUCAUCACUCCAAAUAUGGCCGCCCUUCAUCUGUCCAACAUAUUUUUCCGCUAGCUUUGGAAAAAGUUCAGCCAAACUAAAACAUCUUUGACAACAAAGGUUAUCAACAAGUGACGUGUUCCUUUCAAUACAGAAUUGAUGCAUUAUGCCAGGUUUGUCGUUAUGUGCCUGCAUCAUGGACCCCCAUCAUAUGAUUGUGUUUAUUGAUCGAAUGAUAUAUUAGAGAGGUACUCCAUCUCGACACUGUUAAUGGCCCGUAAGUUUAUAAAUAUUUUAUGGAAACGGUGUUUCACAAACUCGUACCCUGUUGAGAAAAGUGAGUAAUUUAUCCACAAUGUCCAACAUUUGUUGAUUAGUUAAAUGCCAAAAAUUGAAAUAGUGAUGAAUACAUACUUAUUGUUAUCAGUUGUACGCGUUGAGUUAUAGAAACGUGUUGUUUGGAGUAGUUCACUGCAACAUCUCUUAGAUAAUACCUAUUGUGUGUGCGAUCCCAAAGGCUUCCUUACCAUUCAAUUGUGACAUGUAUUCUAGGUCCCCUAUUGGAGAUUACACAUAUAUCAGGUUGGGGGCAAACAUGCCUCCUCAACCUAACAUAAAGAAAUCUCAAUCUUCUACUAACUCCCCCGAUGUGAUUGCAAAGGCAACUAACAGUAUUUUUUUAUUGACAUCUUGUGCCACAGCAAACAGCAAUUGAUGAGUAUAUCUCCCGUGCAUAAAGGUACUGUUGAUUUGUACCAGUAGCUCACAGUACUGGAACGUCUGUCAACAUUGCUUGAAAGUCUAGAAGAAACAAUGGAACAUUCGAAAUCCAUGAAGCAACGGAUCAUUGUUGUACUCAAGCAUUAUUUUCAGAAUGGUUAGGCAACCUGGAGCGUACCUCUCUAGUACCUGACACCAUUCCCAUAUUAUUGUACAAUACAUCCCACCCAUUAUUCAUAUUCUCCAAUGCAUUAUGCUUUGCAAUCCGCGCCUUGCGAUACAAUAACGUGCAAUCAAACUGGCUAUGAAUAUUUACAAUUAUAAUAGUUUGUAUUAUGUUUGCAAUCAUCUCCGAAUCCAAUUUUGAAUGAUCCCGUGAAAUACCUGUAACAACACGAGUACGUUAAAAUUAAGAAUUCAACACCCCAAAUAUAAGACAUUCUUGAUGCAGUACCCAUGACAACACACGUAUGCAGAGCGGUAUAUUUCUUUUAAUGAUUUUUCAUGCACAUUUGUUGUCUCGCAUUGCGCAUUUCACCUCGAACUUGUCAGAUCGAGAUUUAACAAUGUGUUUAUCUCAUUCUUGAUGUUGUAUCGUUUUAUUGCAAUGAAAAAACCAUUUUUAGAGGGAAAAUUUUUCCUCAUUUCUAAAUCUCCCGAAUCCAACGAACAACUCACAUGGCCCAAUUUUUUGUGUGGUAGUUCUACAAACUCCAACCCAUCUUCUGCUGAUAACUCUAAAUUAUGCAUGUGCGUUGGAGGUGAGCACACCCUGAAUUGUGGAUUUUCUUCUGCAUCUUCGCCCGAACCUUCACUAUAUGAACCUCCAUCUUCUAGUUUAGUUGAAACCGACUCUAGUUAAAAAAAUAAUGUAAUUUUUGAACUAUCGGUAUCGGGCUCUUGGAUUAGAUCGAUAUCAGAUUCAAUCCCCUAUUUAUUCUCAACCCCACCAGCAUCUCCAAGGUUGGAUGUCCUAUCACCGAUGGACGUCGUAGGGAGUACAUAAUCUCUUCUUAUAUAGUUGUUGAAACAACCAAAAUCACCUGCUGAUUGCCAAUCAUUGGAACUUGAUGCCAUUUCCCUAUAAGUGUUCCCAGCGUUGAACAUCGGCUGAUUGAAGUUCAAAUCAAAAGAACUAAUUGAGUGCUGUGUAGGGGACCAAUAUUUUGUGUUACCACCAAAACCUGACUGUUGGACGUUCGGCCUGCAGCAGUUCAAAUUUAAGGCCAAAAUAGAUGAGUGUCUACCCAUUGAUGAUUUCGGGAUAUCAUAAUGGGAACUUUCUAAGAAAGUAGUGAACCAACUGUACAACUGUGUCCGUAGACUUUCAGCUUGUUCUACCGUUCUGUCCUUUUGAACUGGAACAUAUGUCGACCUCCGAAGGCCUUCAUCAGUGCAUGCAAAUUUCGCAUAUAACUCGAGAAUUGGUGAUCCAUUGGCAAUAUGCGUCUACACCGUCGCCUCCAACCCUCUUCCACCUAUGAUAUCGAAAGCUUCAUAUCUGAUGGGGUUGGCUGAAGCAUAAAACCAAUAUUUAAGUGACGAUACUCUCAUCUAGUUGGAUCUGAUGAUUUUUUCCCUAAUUCUUCCAGGCAGCUCUGGUAAUUGUAUGUUCGAGUUAAAAGCCAACCGCAUUAUGUUCUCUGAUAAAAAAAUGACCUUAUUCUCGGUGGCAUGCACUUCACCGUUUUAAUAAACAAUGACAUUAAUUUGUCCACUCAUUUUCAACAAAAUAAUUUGUUUCUCAUGUUCGAAGCAAAAAUAUUAUGCAAAAAAAUAGUGUUGUAAUUAAUAUGAAUAACAAAAUCUAUCUUUUCUUUAUGCUAAUUUCAUGGUAUCUCCAAAUUAUGCCUUAUGUGCGAACUUCCUAUACUUCUUACAAUUUUUUUUGCUCGAAAAUGCCUUAUGCCACUCAAUGUUGAAAGCCAUGCUUUUAUAGAGCCUAGGUGAGUGACAACUAAAUCAGAAAAUUUUCUCGGGUGAGUGGAGAGUUGAAAGUGCUAGAGAGAAAAUGCUCCACGUUAGAUGUGUUUACAGUGCACUGUCAGAAAAAAAGCACUAAAAGCACGUCUAGUUGGACGCGUUUUCAGCUAACAUGACAUGAAAACAUGUCUAACUUGACGCGUUUUCAGUCUUUUUUUUUCUUAUAGUGCACUGAAAGCGCGUCCUACAUGGAGUGUUUUCCCUCUACCACUUUCAACUCCCCACUUUUUCCCACUCACCCAUUAGAUAUCCCGGGAUUCCUGGGAUAUAUUUUUUGAAGAAAUCUGGAAGUUUGAAAUUAUUUUCAUAAUGCAUUGAAAGUUCGAAAAUAAUGCAUUGAAAAUCUAAUCGACCUCAACCUCCCGUAAAAAAAUUGAUCAAAACUCAGUUGCAUUCAAAAAAUUGAAAAAAUUACAAACAAAGAUUUAAUCAAAUCGAGUCGUUCGAGUUUCAAUUAUGAAUCGAAUUGAAUUUUAAAAUUCAAAUAAUUUGAAUAUACGAUUGGUGUAAAUAUAGAAUUAAAUAAUUAUCAGCUUUACAUCUAAAAAUUUAUAAAAAAAAAGUAAAAAAAAACCUAGACAAAACUUAAACCCUAAAAUCCACAAAACCUUAAACCUAACCCUACUUUUAAAAAAAACAAGCCCCUAACUCUAAAAAAUGAAUUAAAAGGAAAACGCUUCCAGCUCCGGUCUAGCCCCAUAAUUUUUCGAAAAAAUAGCCUGUAAUUCUUUUUUAAAAAUCGGUAUUUUUAAGAAAUUCAAUCAAAAUUGAAAGUUGGAUUUUUGUGUUUGUAAUUUUCAUACUAAUGUAAUUACUUGCUUGUAUAAAAAAUAUUAAGAUGUUACAUUGUAUAUCAGAUCUAUUUUUAAUUAUAACAUUAAUCAAGUGAUGGAAAAUGAUACUUGUUUCUUUCAAAAUUUUAAUUACCAAAUAUUUUUAAUAAAAUUCCUAAAAAAGACAAACAAACUCAUACAAUUUUCCAUCGUUGAAGUAGUCAAGUUUUACGACCUCCCUAGUGAGUAAAGGCUGUUGGGUUGGAAUUUUGAAGAGUUUUUAUUUGAGUAAUUCUCUUCGAAUGUGUGGGUAUAUUUCUACCGUACGUACUAAUAUUUUAAUUAUAGAUUAACAAAAAUAGUAAAAUUGUACUUACGCUUCAAAUAAAUGUAAACAAAAGUUUCAUUGUCACAGAAAAAUUAUAUAUAUAUUUCAAAAUCAUGGACUUAUUAUUCACCACUUAUCAUUGUCAAAGCCAAAGAAAAUGGGGGAUGACUACACUAAUUAAUUACAACUAGGAAAAAAAGAACCAAUAACGAAAGCAUCCUUUUUCCAAACAAAUUGGUUAAAUAGACACAAAUUUUCCAAUUUUUAUUGGUUGAAUAGACACAAAUUUUCCAAUUUUUAAAUAGAAUGGUUUGAAGUUUGAAGAACGUGUUAGAGUUGUGUGACUCGAAUUCGUCAUUUGUUAAAAAAAUAUAAACAUAGUGAAUUUCUCCUCUUCUAUCUGUGGUUUUUCCCGAUAAAGAUCUUUCACUUAAAAUCUGUAUGUUCUUAUUUUUCUUUCUUAUUGCUUUGCGAUUAUUCCUAUUACCAUUAUCGACGUUGAGUAUAACAUAACAAUUUAAAAUGAAAGACAUAGUUUAAAAAUAUAUGGUGAAAUACGACUUAACUAUUAAAUGUAAAUCAAUCUAUUUAUUUAUUUUAUGAUUACAAAUUUAUGGAAAUAAUUGUAGUACUUAUGUCGAAAUUCUUCUCUCAUUUACAAAAAGACUAAACUUAGAAUAAGCUUAAUUGGUGUUUUUGAAAGAGAUUGAUUUUCUUGCAUGUCAUGUUAUUUUCAAGAAAAAACAAAUAGAAGACAAAAUUGAUGAAUUUGGAGUACAACAAUCGAUUGAAUUAAAAUCCAGUAUACUAAAUAUAAUUAAAAAUUAAAAAUUUGCAUUUAUUGUAUUAUGUUGAAGUUAAGUUUUGAUAUUUGACAAUUAAAUAAUAACAGCUCUUUUUAAAUCAAAUAAAAAGUCAACAUCCAACUUUAUAGGUUUUCUGAACCAACGUUACGUUUUGGGAAAAUAAUUAUGGAAGUUUAUUAAAAAAUAUUUUAUUAUUAUUUUUAUUAUUUGGUAUUUUAAAAUUUAUACGAGAUUUGAAUUUAUACUAUCAAUAUUUUUAAUUUUUUAUUACUUUAACCAAAGUUUUAUUUUCUAUGAGUAUUUUAUAUUUGAGAUUUAUUUCAUCUAAUUAUUUGAUAUUUGUAAAUACUUUAUAUAUAUAUAUAUCAAAUGCUUUACAAAAAUUAGCGAUAAAUCUGAAAUGAUACAUCAGAAUGGAGCAGUACCAGUAAAAAACAAUACUUCCACUAAUAUGGUAUUGACUACAUUAAAAAUAGUACGAUUAUCAAAUUAUUUAGGGAAAUAACGUGUUUUGUGCCACAUAAGCUACUCAGUCAGCCAAACCUGCAAGCCUUUUUUUUUUUUAAUUGCUCACUAUUGAAUCCAAAUAGCUGAAAUUGAAGGGCAAAUUACACAUAAAAGUCUUAUUUUUUUAAAAAAAUUUACCGAAAUGGGCCCGGUAUUUUAUUAUUUACCGGCAUUUUCCCCGAAAUCGCGUCCACGUCAGCGCAAUGUCAGGGGAUGUGUCAGUAAAUCGAGUCCACGUCAGCGCGAUUACUUACGUGGCAAUAAAUCGCGUCCACGUAAGCGCGAUUUGCUGACGUGGAAGCAAUAAUUCAUGAACAUUUUAUGUUUUUAGCUUAGAAAACUUUGAAAGGCCAUAACUUUUGUCUCGGUUGUCCGAUUGAGACAAUUUUUUUUAUUUCGAAUAACUUUUUGAGAUCUACGCGCUGACAAACAGCCGAAGGCGGUUUGCUGCAGUUUUCAUCGAAAAAGAUCCUUUUUUGCCUCUAAAUUUUGAUUUUUUCGGUUUAAAAUUGAAUUUUGAAACAUUCAAAUCAUUAUUUUCCUUAUUUAUUUGAAGUAAACACCGGAUUUUUUUUUACAGAAUUGUUGUAUUAUUUUUUAUGAUAUUUUUAAAUAAAACAAUGGCUCUAAAUAAAUAUCUCAAAUAACAAAAAAAGAAAGAAUAUCGCUUUGAUUUCGCGCAACACCGGAUUUUUUUUACAGAAUUGUUGUAUUAUUUUUUAUGAUUUGACACGUGUAUGGAAUAGUCCGAUAAAUCAUUAGAAUGUAAGUAAUAUAAUUAAGAUAAUAACAAUAUUUUUAUAAUAUGUCAAUUAAUUAGUUUAGUUUAGUUGGUUUAGAUGCUUGCUCUUUCCCUUAGUACCUUGGUUCAAAUCUUCUUGCCAAUAAAUUUGAAUCUUUUUUGUACUUGUUGCAUUUAUUUUUUUAAUCAAUUAACUCUUCAAUAUUACAUUAAUAUAUAUUAUUAGUACAAUAGUAUAGACAGAUUGACAAUUUGAGCUACAAUAUUAUGAAUAUUAACUACAAUACAUAAUUUGAGCUACAUAAUACAGUAAUACAUUAAUAUGUAUUAUUAGGGGCAAAAUACCAAAAAAAGGGGCAAAUUACACAUAAAAAGGGGGGUAUUUAUACUUUUUUUUGGACUGUUGGAUACUGUUCACGCACGGGCCGAAAUCGCAUCCACGUCAACGCGAGUUGCUGACGUGGCAGCAAAUCACGUCCUUGAAGGCACGAUUUGUUGCCAUGUCAGCAACUCGCGCUGACGUGGACGCGAUUUCCUAGCGCGUACCUUGACAUCGCGCUGACGUGGACGCGAUUUCGCGGAAAAUGGACCAUUCCAAUAAAUAAUUAAAUAAUUGGCCCAUUUCGGUAAUUUUUUUAAAAAAUGGCUUUUAUUGGUAAAUUGCCCGAAAUUGAUAUACCGGAAAAAUUAGGCUUAUACGUUGUUUUUUUUUAAUUGGCAUUUUAGGUUUUUUUUUUAAAAUUAGAGAUAUAGGUAUUUUUGAAGAGAAUGUGAAAGCGCGCCCAAGUAGACGUGUUUUCCUCUAACGGUCAUUUCCCCAAUGAUUUUUUUAACGUUGGCAACGGUAAAUUUUUUUAAGGGCCAACGGUAAAUUUUUAUUUAAUUAUUUUGUAUAUUAUUCGUUUCGAUUAAAUUUUCACGAAUGACAAGCUCUCUGAUUCGUUUCGAUGACAAACACAUUUCCAUCGCUCAAGCAGUAAUGGUAAGACGAAAUUUUAAAUUUUGUUAUUUUUAAUUAAGUUAAAUUUAAAGAUUUUUUAAAAAAAUAUUUUAAAUUAAUUUAUUUUGUCAAAAUAAUUAAGCAGUUGAUCGUGUUUUGAAGUGGUUCAUAAAUAACUUGUCAAAGAGCCCAAACAUCGAAAUUCAUGGCAAGACAUGGGAUUCUUCCAUGCAUCUCGUAUGCUCAAGGCUGCAAACUCGAUCUACACUCAUCAGCGUGUUGGUGGAAAGAUGGAGGCCUGUGGCAUACACUUUCCAUCUUCCAUGCGACGAGUGUAUAAUCACUCUAGAGGACGUAGCUUUACAACUCGAGUUACUAGAGGAUGGGCUAGUCAUCACGAAGUCAACAGUCGUUCCUUGUAAAAAGAACCUUUGCAAAGGAUUUCUAGGGAAUGUGUCGUACAAGUUUCAAGGUGGUCAGAUUGAAACCAAUUUCAAAGAUCUUCCUCCUAAUGCGCCCGACGUCAUCAAAGAACAAUACGUCUAAGCAUUCAUCCUGAGGUUAAACAAGGGCAUUUUAGUGCCUAGUAAAUCACAAAAUUUGUUACAUGUAAGGUGGCUAUUAGGCAUAGUCGACUUUAAAGAAUUCAGAUGAUUGAGUUAGAGAUCAGCCGUCUUGGUCACGUUGUAUUGGGAGUUGUGUUGGGUUACGAAAUCGGAUAAGAUGUCAAUCGGUGGUUGCCUACUCCUACUGCUGUCAUAGGCAUGGUGAUGGCUACCAUUUCUACGUCCCCGACUGAACGACCCUUAUGCGUUCCCAUUGAUGAAAAGGUAAAAUCAUUUGAUAAUAAUAUUGCUUGAAUAGGUAGAACCAUGGGCCAAGUUACGUGGGACUACUAGAGCAGCUCGAAGACAUCCAAUUGCUGUUAGAUCAACGCUCCAAAGCCGAGGUAAGUUACUAAUUUUUUCAAACCUAUAAUAAUUAUGCAAUGAUUAGUAAGUUAAAAUCUCAUACAUAAUAGAAUUUAUAAUUGUGCACUAGAGUUUGAAUAGAUGCCAUACAUCGAUCUGGAUAUCACAGAAUGUGUCCCACCAUAAAUUUUGGCCAUUCGGAGUAUGUGAGACACGAAGGCGCCAUUGAUAGUGUACGAGAUGGUGAAGAUGCAUGAAUCAAAUCGAGUGAUACGAUAGUUCGGGUGGAGGCAAAAAAUUCCGUCGCCACUGUGAGACAUGGAAGCACUGCACAAGCUAGAUCUGCAGGAGAAGACCAAUAAGAAUUGGCAAGAUUACCAUAAGGAGUACAUCAACAUUUGGGAUCAAAUGAUAGAAUUCUUACCCAUCCGCGAACAUUUUUUCUCAUCAGACAUGAUGGCCUGUUUGGAGUACAUGACUUGGUUCACAGUCGCCAGCAAGCCAUAUCUGCUAUCGGUGUAGGUGAGGAGUAGGAAACUUCAUCAGAAGAGUAUGCUUUUUUGACAACCGAGGUUAUCAGUAAAUGACGCGUCCCCUUAAAUAUAGAAUUGAUGCAUUUAGCUAGGUUCGCUGUCAUCUGCCUGUACUGUAGACCCCCGUCAUAUGAUUGCAUCCACUGUUCAAAGGGUAUGUUGGUGAGGUAGUAUGGAAUUGAUGCAUUUAACUGUAUCUUCUUCCUUAUCUGUACCUUUAUUGUCAUCUUCAACCAAAAGAUUUGAUGCACCAUCGUCGGAUCCAGUCGUAGGGAGUAAGUCAUCAAAUUUUCUGUACCCUAUAUGCUUGGCAAAGUUUGCACCAGAUUACGAACCAGUGUAUGUUGAUGGCCUUUCGAUAUAAGUACUUUCACUUCAGGAAAUCGAUCCACUAAAGUUGAAAUUGAACGUACUGGCUGAGUGUCGUGCCCGGGUGUCGAGGUUCGAGUUAUGCUUAUACCCUGACUGAUAAUGGCCAUCAGAGUUUAAAUUGGCGUCAGAAACCAAAGAAUAUCUACCCAUUGAUGCUUCAGGGACAUCAUAAUAGGAGCUUUGUAACAAAUCAGUGAACUUACCGCACAACCGUGUAGUAGGACUUUCUAUUUCAGCUUCAGUUCCAACAUUUGCUGCAAUGGUGGUUGAAGAUAGACUAGCUCCAUCAGCUCAAUUUAAAACAAUUGGAUAUUUAAAAAGAAAAAUCUUCAAAUGGUGAUCCAAAGAAAUGCAAACAACAUUCGCAACUCAACUCUUCAAUGUUAGAUAUGAAUUUGCUGUGUGCCUAAGUUCUAAAUAUUUCAAUACUUUAAUACCAAAAUAGAACAAGGUGAGAGGGAAUGCGUGCUUCAAAAUUCAUUUCUGAAUACGCGUUUUCGUUGAAUAAUAAUAAUGAAACUAUUUUCAGUGCUCAAAAACCGCGUUUCACAAAUCAAAUAAUUUCAUCAGAUGUAUGCUUCAGAGGGUAUUCAAUACCUCAAAACGUGAUUUAGAUUUUACCCGGGAUUCCCAAGUGAUGCGAACUUGGUCGCAUCAUGUUUCGACACAACUUACCGUCAUCGAGAGUGGCCUAAGCUCGAGGGGCCCAAGUGCAAAAUAAAGCUUAAUCUCAGUUCAUUGAGCUCAAUUCAGCUCAUUUCCAGCUCAAUAAGCUUGUUUGCUCGUUUUGAGUUUAAUUUUAAUUUAUUUCAUUUUAGUUGCUGGAAUAAUUACUUGCUUAGUUAAAUUAGUUAAUUUGGUUCAGCUUAAUUAGUCCAUGCGUUCUAAAACUGCUAGCUAUUUAAUUAAGUUAGUUAAUAUAGUUUAGUCUAAAUAAAUGUGUCUAAAUUCUGGUCGUUUUAAUUAAGUGUUAGUUCAUACAUAAUUUUAAUAUGUUUCAGCUGAAUUUAAAUGUGCAUUAAUUUAUCACAUGUUUUUAAUAUGUCCAGACUAUUACAUGUUUUAAAUAUGUCUAGCUACAGUUGAAAUUAAUUAGUAACUUAGCUUAAAUAUGUGUUAUAAUUAUGUCUUAGUUUAAACUUGAUUUUAAUGUGUCUUGAGCUAUCAAAUUAAUGUGUCUUAAGGUGAGUUAAUUUGCUGAAUUAAUUUACUGCAGGUACAUUGCUUAGGACAACAAUAAGUGAGCUGAUGGUUCAGCUAUUCAAAGCACCUCUUCAUGGACUUGAAUGGCCAAAGAUUAGUUGUUGGUUAUUCUUCCCAAAGUGGCCGGUUAGCUCCCAAAAACUACCUUGAAAGCUUUCACACCAACUGCACAUUCCGUUCACAUUACAAGGCUGUCCAGAUUUUUUUUUCACACACUCAAGAUUGUUUCCAUUCGAUUUCAUACUUGGGUGACCAUUAGAAUACUUGAGCUACCAAUUAAAGCUCCAAAACUAUUCAGCUGAACAAGGGAGUUUCAAUUAAAGCCAUUCAAGCAUCUAGGCCGAAUCUACCCAGUCAUUUCAGCUCAUUUCAGCCCCUACUUAAUUUCAUUAAUGUCCAACUAAAUGAUCACCUUCUAGAUGCUUUCCAUUGGUGUCUCCCAUGCUAGGAAACUUCAAGGAAGCUGCCAAGGACGUUUAAGAAGCUUCAAGGAAAUUUCCAGCCAUUUUAGCUUUAAUUUCCUGUCCAUUCAGCACCCUUAAUAGCCUAUUCGGCUAUCCCAUGUAAAAGGCUAUAAUAUGUAGUUCAAAUCACUUUGUAGGAACUUUUUACUUCUUUGAUUAAUGCUUAUAACAUUUUGUGAGUUUUUCAACUCUCUUAUUUCGUUUUAGACUCAGCGUGACUUAUCUAGCUUGCUAGUGGUGCCAUUCUGUUUCUUUCGAACUUAGCACUCAUUCCGAGUGUGGCAUUCUCCAAAAAUAUACCUUUGGUUCCUAACUUUCUAGUUAGCGGGUCAAGGUCCACUUUAAGUGACGUAUAAGUCUCGGGUCAGCACUUUGAUAUAGUGUUGGUUCUUUCUUGUCCUUAAGAUUGUUUUCCUAUCCACAUCUAUCAACUUAUUUAUCUUGUUUCUUUGAUUAGCUGGAUUAUCAUAAUCCUCAUUCAUUUAACCAUUUUUCCAUUAUCAUUCUACUUAACCAAACCAUCCUCAACACAUUCAUAACCUCUGAACCAUCUAGCCAACCUUUGUUUAAAGUCUUACUUGGCCAAAUUCAACCAUUACUCUGUUCAGGAAUGAUACUUCUCCAUUUUAAUGAUUGGGCAACAAAUGACUCGAAUCAUCAUUGAGGCGAGAUCGUAUCAUUCCAAGAUCAGGUAAUUUUUUGAUAGGCUUUAAUGGAAAUGUAAAGAAAACUUGUCCAGCUAGGUGAGCUUCCCUACUGACAUGAUAGGAAAGCGCGUCUAGUUGGACGAGUUUUCUUAACAUUUGCACUAAAAUCUGCAAAAAAAGUACCUUAAUCUCAGGAAUUUUUUAGUAGAUAUGAAGCACAUUUUGAAGAUGUUCGAUGAAAACACUAGUCUUGCUACGUGUUUUUGACCAUAGAGAUUUUUUUCUUUGCAAUCUCACCCCUCUCUCGCGCCUAUAAAAGGGGUUCCCCUCCAUGCUCUAUCAUCCUUAUAAAACAUCAUCUCUCCCAGCCUUCAUCCCUCCAUUUUACAAUAUUUCUCUCUCUCGAUUUUCUUCCCCGCUUCAAUGUUAAAAAUUUUUGUCACUAAUAAAAUUUCUGGUUUGAGGUAUUCUUGAGUUGUCGGUGAUGCGAUAUCGCUCUAAGACGCUCACAUUUCAUAUAUCUUGUCGAUAUGAGACCAUUAACAUUGAAAUAGACAUAUUUGGUUCACAUUGCAUGUAAUUUCCAUGCUACACAUUCAUGAUUGAUCUAUGUCAAAUAUGUGACCAUUAAUGAGUUUAGUCAUGAUUAAUGUGACAAAGACUGCUUUGAUCGUAUAUGGAUAUAGUCGAUGGAUGAUAUUGUUAUAGAAUACCUAUCAUAUGAUAUUAAAUUUUGAGCUCAUAAGGUUGUACAUUUAUUAGGAAACAUAUGUUGCCCAAGUGGAAGAUUGUUGGAUUAAUAUUCUCAAUUAUGGGCACAUAUGUAUAAUGUAUAAUGCUAUUAUAAAGUGUGAUACAACAUUAAGUGACCAAUUAUGUUAUAAGUGUCAUAGAUAUUAAAGUGUCAUGGAAAUAAUGUGUAGAUACUAUAAGUAGUAUUUAUAAUUUGAUGAUGGGCCAAAUUAUAAAUACCCAAAAUUGAUUUAAUAAUCAAUUAUUUUAAAAAGAGGAAGUGGUCCCCAAGAAAUAGAUAUAUAUCUUGUAUUUCUUUUCCAUCCGAUCAGAGAGUUAGACGGAGAAAACUAUUUUCCUGAAAGAUCAAAACUUUCUGGGGAAUUUCCAACAAUGGUUUCAUGUAAGCUUCCUCAUAUAAUUUUGUUUUUAAUAAUUUGACAUGACAGAUCCUAAUUUAUAGUUUUAAGUUUACAUCAGAUUUUUAAGAUUCUAACACGUAGUACAAAAAUAAUUAGAAAAUUUCACAACUUUUGAUAUAAUUUAUAAAAAACAAAAACAAAAACAAAAAAAAAAUGCUUUAUUCUCCUUCCUCCUUCCUUCUGCCAUUGUGUGUUUAAUAGGUUUUGCAAAAAUAUUAAAAAAAUGUACUACCAUUAAUAGAGAAAGCAAACAGCUAGAAGGGAUGACACCACUUCUUUUAUCUUCUUUUAUUGUGAUAACUGGCUGCAUACAUUAGGGGUGAGCAUUCGAUUAAAUCGAGUCAAAAAAUUUUGAGUUAAUCAAGCGGAUAGAUCCUAUUUUAUCAUCCUAACUCGAUUCAAAAUUUUUUUCGAAUCGAAUUGAGUCGAGUGAAAUGAAAUUCGAGUCAAGUCGAAUCAAAUAAAAUUGUUUGAGUUAACUUAAAAAUUAAAUAUGUAAAAUUAAAAUAUUAUUACAGUAUAACUAAUUACAUGUUAGAGCACAUAAAUUUGAAACCAUAUAUAUAUUUGAAAACCUUUUCAAAGCAAAAUAAUAAAAAAAAUUAAAAUACUUUAAUAUGAUAAGCUUGGAUCAUUAUUAUUUUAGAAAAUUUUAAAAUUUUUAACUUUCUUUAUAUAUUAUUUAGAAUUUUUUUUAAAAAAUUAUAAUUUUUUAAAAAUAUAAAAUUUGAAAUUUUUAUAAAUAUUUUGAAUUUUAAAAAUUAUUUUGAAAUCUUUUUUAUAAUUUUUGUUGAGAGAGAUCAAUUUGUUCAUUUUCAAAAUUAACAAAGACCAAAGGGGUAUUUACACUAAUAUGGUAUUUGAAUUAUUCAAGUUAUAGAAUUGUAAAGUUCAACUCGACUCGAACUCGAAACUCGAAUUAUUUAUUCUAGUUGACUUGAAAAUUUUAAAUAACUUGAUUCAAUUAGCCUAAAAUUUGAUUUUUUUUCUAAUUGAAUUAGUUGUGCUUACCCUAACCACACACUUAUCGCUAAAAUAUGAUAUUUUAUUCCAAAGGUGAGACGUGUUAGGAUCCCACUUAAAAAGAUCACAUUGUAGUGUUUAUCAAAUUUAUGACUUAAAAAGAUUGACUUUAAGAAAGAAACUGAAAUUAUUUUUAUUCCUUGUAAAAUUUUUUCAUUAUAAUUUGAUUAUUUUUACUUAGUAAAUUGUUAAUUGAAUAAAUCCAAUCUGAUUUUUAUGAACCCAAAAAAUGCACUAGUUGUGAUAUUAAUAAAUUAUGAUUUUAUGUUGUUUGCGAACAACAUAUUAUUAAUACCCAAUCCAAGAAUUUAAUACAUGAUUUGUCCCACACCAUUAUGGAGUUCACAACUCACAUUUAUAAUGCAAUUUAUUGCUUGCAUGAAAGAGAAUUUGAUUCGUAAGAGCAAAUUAACAUUCAUUAAAAUCUUUCAUUUUCAGUGUGAUUUAUUCUUAAUUAACCUAAAUGUUUCUAUUUAUAGUGUGAAUGUCAUUAUGUCCUACAAAUGAACCCUAAUUUUAAUUACCACACCUAACACCAUCAAUUUCAUGUUGAAAUAUUGGUUUGAGAAUGUGAAGAGGAGAAGAGAGGUUCAAAAUAUGAAGGCCAUCCUUUUUUAUUUUAUAAAAUUUGAGAAAUCAUUUUUUCUAUUUUAAUUUGGAAAUAAAUAAUCCCUCUAAUUAUAUUUAUAUUACUAUUAUUCUUGAUAUUAAUAAUUUUUAAUUAAUGAAAAAUUAAUUAAAAAACUUGUGGAAUUUUAUCAUAUUUUUAUACAACAUAAAUGAAUAGUAAAAUGUUUGUAUCUUUUCCUUCUGAGUAGAAACUCUACCAGACAUGUCGGGCGCAAGUGUUAUGGUAAAAGUGCAAUCAAGCAGCUAAGAGCUCAAAACGCGUUUUUAUUUAUUUAUUUAUUCCUUUAGGGACAAAUAUAAUUAAGAUGGGAGGUCCUUUUUCUUUUUCUUUUUUUAAAAUAAUAUAGAAAGACCCGAUUUUCGCCUUGAUUUUUCUUUUUUAAAUAUUUAUACUUUUUUAAUUCUGAAUGAUAAAAAGCAGAAAAGAAAAAAGUUUCAUAGAAUGAAAAUUUUGCUUUUGAGGAAGAAAUAUUUUUAUAUUUGUAUAAGUUUCCUUUAUAUGAUAAAUUAUUCAUUCCUCUGGCUUUCUCUAACUAAGCUAAUCUAAGAAACAUUUUUAUAAUGAUUUGAGAAACAAUUUAUUUUUUUUAAUACAAUAUUUAAUACUAUCCAUAGUCUAUCCCAAUCCUUAAAUAGGAGGAUAAUAUAUUUCAAUGCACUUAAACUUACGUCCUCCUACACUGGUAACAAUGUCGAUGCCAAUUGAACUAAGACUCAAUAGGCAGAAACAACUGAUUCUAAUCUCUACUAAAAAAUAUUGCGUAAUAAAUUAAUUAAAUGUUGGAAUAUCAAUGCAGUUCAAUUGAUACAGUUGUUAUUGUAAAGAUAAAAAAUUAAAUAAUUUUUCGAUUUAUGAGUUUGAGGUUGGAAUAUCAAAAUCUACCAUUCUAUUUAUUUUUAAAUGAGUGAAGAUUUUAGGAAAAGAGGAAGCUAGUUUGACAGGUAACCAUACGAGAAUCUACAUCUAGAAUAUAAAAUUAGGUAACCAAAGUUGCUUUAAUAAAAUAGUAGACAGAGGGAUAUUAAAAAGAUUAGAAAUUAUAAAUAUAGAGAAACCUUCAUAUGAAAUCAAUUUCCAAAGGUACCUUUAGGUCAACAAGAUCGAUUGAAAAAAAAGCUAAGGCUACAUAUCUCCCAUAACUAACCUAUAUUCUCAUUCCCAUAUGGGUACAUAUCCGACAUAAAUGUAUUAAUUUUUUCUUUUUAUAUUUAUAUCGGGAUAUGUAUUGAACACAAAUAUUUAAAAGAAAAUCCUGAUAACACCGUAAUUAAUUAUUUUACUGAAAAUUCUCAACCCAUUCUUCAAGUCCAGAGAGGCUCCCAAGGUGAAACAAUACAAGUAUCAUCUAGAAAACAAGUGGUGUCAAUGGGUUCUUUAGAUUGUGACAUUUCCAAGAUUAGGGUUAACACAUUGGCUUGUUGGCAUUGCAAGGUCACAACCUCAGCUUGUGCCUUGGCCAGCUGUGCUUGGAGGUCACUCACUUGCUUUUGUAGCUGGAAAAUCGCUCCGGCACACCCGUAUACCGGAUCCCGAAUCCGAGAACUGGCCUCGUACACCAUGCUACUUACUGCAUCUUCUCUUUGGGACUCUGGUAGUUCCUGAGAAUAGUUUCAGUUUUGUUAGCAUAAUUGAUUGGAGAUCCAAGGUUUUAAAGAAGAAAAUUACCAAGUUAGAGAUUAUUUGGAAAUCUGGCAAUCAUGCAUCCCUUGGCUAGUCAACUUUUGAUUUUUUUUCCUUAUAUUGUUAGUACUUGUAUUUUUUAUAUAAAAGAAAUGAGAAAAGAAUUAGAGAUAUUAGAAUACACAUUUUAAAUUCUAUUAUCUAUUUCGAACAAAACAUAAUAAACAUGAUAAAUUUAAUGGAAUAUAUAUUGUAAUCUUGACCGACUUGUAUAAACCAUUAAGUUGCACAUUAAUUUAUUGGCAAUUGAAGUCAAGAUUUCCUCAUUGCAUGUGAACUGUAAUCGUGACUUGACUUAGACCUUUUCACAAUCAACACUGUGACCCUUUUUUCCAUUUUUAAUUUGAUGAAAUCAAUAUAUUGGUUUUUUAAAAAAUAAUGUCAUUUGAUAAUGAGAUUAAAACAGGAAUUUGACAAGAGAAAAAAAGGGGGGUACCUGCAAGGAUUUGAUGAUGUUGCUAGCUCCAAAAACUCUAUGAGCAAUGAUGAACUUAGAAGGCUCAGUUGGUGGGAAAUAAGGAGCCAAAACACACUUGUCGACGCAGCGACGGCGAAGGAUUUUGCAGGCAGCACAAGGGCUGAGAACAAGCUGAGGAGAAGCUGCUGCUGCUUGCGGUGGUGAAGAAGAUUGAGAGUCUGGAGAAGGAAGACUUGGUGAAAACUGAGAAAGUGGUGAAGAAGACGACGACGAUGGAGAAUAAGAAAACGUGGUUGGAAUUGAGAUUGGAGAGAUUGAACCUCUCUCAUUGUUUUCCAUCGUUGCCAAAAUGAAGAAAAUAAAAACCGAGUGUUGUUUGUUUCUCGGGAAAAAGAAGAGAGAGAUAGAGAAGGUGGUUUAGUUUAGUUGAAAGCAGGGAAAGGGAUUUGUAUAAAUAGAGAAGGGAAAUUGGAAAAUAAAAAUAUCAUAAAUAUAACCCCAUCAAAACCCUUCGAUGAUGUCAUGGUUGUGUGAAAAGAUAUGCUUUUGUGGGCGCAAAUUGUUACUAUUAGUUAAUAUUGGUAUUAAUUUAUGAAAAAUAUGUAUUAUCAAUUGAUAAUAAAAUGAUGCAUGGUCAUUUGUGUAAGAUAAAAAGUAUUGAAGGGUUUAUAGAAUAAAUAUUAAUUAUAGUUGUUAAAAAAACAUAAAAUUUAUAAUCUUAAAUCCAAAAACCUUCGAAACCCAAACCUAAAAUCCAAAAUAAGAAUAAAAUAAUUAUGGUUAAUAAUAGUAUUUAUUUUCCAAAUCCUUCUAUAUAUUUUAUUUUACAAUAAUUAUUAUAUCCCAUUUUAUCAGUAAUUGAUAGUAUAUGAGACUUAUGCAAUCCUUAGUUCAUUAAAGUUUUUUAAUAAUUGUACUAAUAUAAAAUUAAUUACUUUGCAUGCUUCAAUAAUUUUAUAUAUGAUUUUGCAACAAAAAAAUAUUAAUACUUUAAUAGAUGAACAACUUAAUCAUGCAAUAUAAUAAAAUCUAAAGUCUCAUAUUUAUAUUAUUACUAGUUGUUAAUGUAAAUGAUUUUAAACAUUUAAUUUUUUUAAUUAAAUUUUAAAUAACGUGUUUUUAAUUACUAUUACCUAUCAUUAAUAAAGAUAACUUCUUUUAUUUUUUGAAUAAUAUAUGAAUUUGGAAUUAUAAAAUAAACUAUAAUAUUAAUUUGAAAAAAAAUUAAACUAAAACAACAUGUAACAAUUUUAAUAAUAGUUCAUUAUAAAUACGAAAAAUAUUCACAAUUUUAAAAAAAUGAUUUUAAGAGUGCUUGUUUCGCACAAUAUAAAAAACUUAUUGAUUUUUUUAAAAAAACAUUUCAUAAUAUUAUAUUACUUUAUCAUCAAUUAAAAUAAUGUUUGACCACUCUUCAGCGUCAUUGUCGUUCGAAUGUGAUUUUGAUAUUGCCUUUUCCAUGAAUUGUUGAUUUAAUGUCCAAUUAUUUUUUAUAUAAUUCUAACUUACUAAUAUUAAUUGUCGAAACCAUUUUUUUUUGUAAAAGGGUCGACUUUGAUUUAAAAAAAAAAACAAAAAUGGACAUGGGAGUCGCCACCAAUCCUUUUUGAUGAGGUGUGAUCGGGUCACCUCGAAAAGUGGUUAUUUUUAAUAAAUGGUUUAAUUUUAAAAAACGAUUUCGACCUACGAAAUUCAAAAAAAUGGGUUCGGGAGUCGGUUAUGUACGAGGAAGGGUUAGCACCCUCGUAACGCCCAAAAUUGGUACCUAGUUGAUUAAUUAGUGUCUUAGUGUCGGAAAUUGGAAACUUUGAAGAGAUUCAAAAUACGAUCCUUUGCUGAGAUGCUAAAAAUUAAAAAAAAAGCAUAUUUCACGUUAAUCGAGAAAGAUAAUUAUAUCCCGUAAGUUAGGACACAAUGUCUUUAAAUUCCCGAUUUGAGAAUAAAUGCCGAAAAAUUAACUUAAUUGAAAGAUAUUCGAUUAUCUCGGGUUUAGAAAAGAAAUCAUGUCCCGUAAGUUAGAACAUGAUCUUUUAUUAAUUCCCGAGAUUAUUAAAAAUUUAUGCUUAAAAAAGUUUGUGUACUUGGAUUUGUCGAGAAAAUCGAAACCCCGUAAGUUAGGGCAUGACUUUCGAAUCUCAAAAUACGAAGUUUUACUUAUUUUAAAGUCAUAAUUUAUGCAUCGAGUAAAAUUAAUGUAAUGUGAUUUUGUAGUAACACGUAAAAGUAAAUCACACUGUUAGUAUGGAUAGAAUAAUAGAUGUGAUAACAUAAACGAUAUUAGUAAAGGCAAAAAUAAAAUAAAUAAAAGAUGAUGAUAAAUUAAAGGAAAAAACAAGUAGCAAUCUAAAACUAGAUUAAAAACAAUAAUAAACAAAUACGUAAAUAAAUGGUGUGUAAAACGGCUAAAAAAAUAUAAAUAAAAAAAUAUUACAAAGUUUGAAAUUCUAAAAAAGGGUAUAAAUAAGUAAAUAAUAAUAUUAAUAAUAGAAUAGCAAAUAAUCUAAAGUUGAAAAAUUAUAAAAAGAUAUAAGUACAUAAAUAAUGAUAAUGUAAAAAUUAAUUAAGUUAACAAUAUGGUAAUAAUAAUAAGUGUAUAACUAAAAAGAGUAAAAUAAUAAUAGUAAUAAUAAUAUUAAAUUAAUUAAUUUAACAAUAAAAUAGCCAAAAUAAUAAAAAGGACUAAAUUGAGCCUUAAAAAAAAAUUUUGGGGCAAAUCAAAAAUAAAUAAAAAUCGGGAGGACCCUUCUGAACACGCAAAUAACAAGGAGGGACUAAAAGGGUAAUUUUCCCUUCUCUUCCAAAACGCUGUCGUUCAAAUAAGGACCAAACUGAAUUCUCAAUAAAUUAUGGGAUACAAUUUAAAAAGACCAAAGAAACUUGAUUACAAAAUCUCUAAAAAAGCGGAGGGGCUAAAAGGGUAAAUAACCAAAAACUCAAAAACGCGCGGAUCCCCUAGUCGGGUUGGGUUGACGAGUGGAUCAUAGGGGGUAAAACCAUGUCGUUUUGGCCACGGGGAUCAAGGCCCAAAACUGUGCCGUUUUUAAACUUCUAUAAAAACCAAAUUUAUUUUUGAAAUUUCAUUUCUCCCAUUUCUCUAAAAAAAACAGAAGUUUCUUUCAAAAAUCCCCCUCCCUCCAAUCCUGGCUCCGACCGAUGGUCACCGUCGCCGCGCCGCCGUGGGUGGUGGUCGAGAUCGCUAAAAGAAAAAUAUAUAGGGUCCUUUAGCCCUUUUAUAAAACGGACUUGAAGGUAACACCUUCUUAGUCCAAAAAGUCGAGAGAAAAAAAAGCCUCCGCCCACUUUUAAACCCGUUUAGGCGACGGAGAUGGAAACUCCGACGAGGCGGUCACGGGCGUUCAGGUGAGCUCUUUCCUCUCCUCUUUUUUUUAUUAUUUUUGUGUAUGUAAAGAAAAAGAAAAAAGAAAUAGAAGCAAACAAGUACUGAAAACAAAAAAAAAAGAAAAAGAAAAUCACCUCUGAAGUAAUUUUGUUUUUUGUUUUCUAAUGUUUGUUUUUUUUUUUGAAUUCGUUUCUGUAUUCCCAAAAAAGACCCUUUACAAUCGGUUUGAAUGGCCUCUAUAUAGUCAUUUUUACACAAAUUUUUAUUCUAUUUGUUGGCUGUCACUUCUUCUUCUCAUAUUUGCAGGUGCAAAUGGCAGUGGCAGAUGGGGUUGAUGGCUGCGGCGGUGGCAGGAUAGCUAGGGUUUCAGCUUUUCUAAAACCCUAGUUUGACUAUUUGGAUCACUUGGGGUUUGGGCCUAUUGGGUUUAGUUUAGUUGGGUUGUCUGAUUUGGGCUCGGGCUAAAUUGGGUUUGUUUUUGGGUUUUUAAUUGGACUCUGGACUUUGGUUAUUAUCUUUGGUUUGCUUGGAUUUUAUUGGGCCCCGGGCAAAAUGGCUUACGACAUUAACUAUUGAAUGUUAUUUAUAAAACUAAAUUUAAAUUUGAAUUGGUAUAUAACUCUAAUAUCAAUUAAAUGAUUGUUAAUAUGCUUAGACAUAUAUUUAAGUAAUAACUCUAUUUUAGAUUAAUAAAAUUAGCACAAAUUAAAUAAAUUAAAUUAACACAACUUUUUAGUGUCAAAUUUUUAACUAAAAAUUAUAAAUUUAAUUUAAUUAUAAUUAUCACAAUUUUUCCUAUAUUUUAUGUUUAAAGUUUUAUUCAAAUAACAACUCCAUUUUAAAAAAUAAUACAAUUUCUGUCCCAUCCCAAAUAUCGAGUUAGUGGAAUUGAGUUUGUGAAACUGAGAGUGGUCACGUCUUGAUUUAAAAGGUUAUCUUUAUUCUUUAUUACUUAAAAGAGUUACUAGCCCCUCCUUCCCCUUUUAAUUUUUGUGAAUUUCAACAAGGAUAGGGUAAAUUGCUUGUGCUGGCUGGUUUACAAACCCUAGGUAUUUAACCAAUUCUUUCCUAAUUAGAAUUUCACCUUUUCAAAUCCUAAUUGAAUUUGUUCUCCAUCUUCAUCUUCUUUUCUUUUUCUCUUCUCUUCUCUCAUUCUUGCACCUUAUUUCCUUCUUUGUGCUGUUAAUUAUUUUUCUUUCCCCUAUCGAAUCGUUCCCCGAUCAUUUAAUUUCUAUUGCUAUUUAAGAAUUGUCAUCAAUAACACUCGUUAUCUUUGCCAAGAAUUGAUAAGUAUACUUCGUUUCAAUGAUUAGAUUUCGUAAUUCUGUUGUACGAAUAACCAACGUAAAUCUUUCUUUUGAUUAAUCAAUCUUUUUCAAAUCUUGCCAAAUCUUGAUACCAAUAGUUAGUUGUGUGUAAUUUCCGUUGAAGGAUCAGAUCUAGGUGAAUCAGAUCAGAAUUGAUCAUGAGAAGUGUCAAUCAGACCCAUGGUGAAAUGUGUGUGUAUUUUCCAAGUGAAUCAGUAGUGAUCGUGUGUAGGUUUAGGGCCACACGAUCUCCCACAUGGGUGUGUAGACCACACAACCAUGUGCACCUAUAAAUUGUAGGGUAAUUCGUGAACCACAUGGCCUCAAGCCUGUUACGCGGCUUGCCACAUAGUCGUGUCCUUAUUGUAGGGUAUUUUAUUAUUUUCUACACGACAUCAAGUUGUUACACAGCCUAGCCACAUAGCCGUGUAUCCCUUCCACAUGGUCACAAGGCUCUCACACUGCCUGACCACACCGUGUGACCCAUGUUUUACAAUUUUGCCUAGAAUUUUGUGAUAUGUUCAGUUUAGUCACUGCAUAGCCCCCAAAUUGUUUUAAGAGUUUCUAUUCACUCAAUUGAGUCCUUAAUAUUAUGUAUAUUCUGUAAUAUGUGAUUUAAUGUCUGGAUUGUUAUUGUUACAAUGUAUGAUUUGUGAAUGUUACAUGCCUACUAUCAUUAUAAUUCUGAUAAAUUGUUACUGUUAUUACUACUUCUUCCCUACUGAAUGCAUGUUAAGCAUGUCUACUGCUAAUGUUGAAUUGAAUACAUGUUAAGCAUGUCUAUCUUUUCUGCAUUGUUCUAUUACAAGCAUGUCAUAUUGUAUUACAUGGAGUGGGACAAUAUGAAUGAAGGAAGUGCUGGAAGUUUAAUAAUCUGAAAGCAUGGGUGGUUCAUCCACAACUUACUGGUAGUUUAUUUGAAAAUAAUGGUGGUUUACCCUUAAUUUUUACUAGAAGUUUAUCUACAAAUUACUAGUGGUUUAUCCACAAAGUGAUGUGUAGGGAUGGAUGAGCUAUGGGAAACUCUUAUUGUGGUGUGUAGUGGAGUUGGCUAGGAUCUUUUCUAAUAAAUUGAUACUACAUUGUCAUUCAUAAGCAUUUACAAACAAACUAAAAAAAUUUGAAUUGCUAUAUUGAUGUGUUGAUAUGAAAAAUUGAUAUUUUGUAUUGUUAUACGAUUGUAUUUGUUCUGAGAACUGUUAUAUUGUAUCCUUUGUCUAUUGUUUGACACUAAUUUUCUUGUGUUUAGACUCACACUGAGCUUUUUAAGCCCACCUCCCUUAAUUUCCAUAUUUACAGAUAACCCACAAAGUUAGGACAUGGACAUGGACUCGACAUUCAGAGGGCUUGUCUCAGAUAGUUUUUUUUCAUAAAAGUAUUUUGGACAUAAUAUUUAUAAUUUAUGUUAUUGGGGAACUUAUUAUUAUUAUUUUGAAUUGUGGCAUGAGACUUAGAUUUUAGAUUUAUUUGGCAUGCAUCAGGUUUAGAUUGAUUUUAGGCUAUUGAAACAUGAAUUUUGAUUUAACUAUGCAUGAAUUUUUUGUUUUCCAUUAAAACUAUAUUGAAUAUCACCUUUUUGCUACAAUAUUAGGUGAAUAAUAAUUUUUGCAAAGUAGAUAAAUUAGAAAUCAACUAAGUUUUCAAAAAUAGACACCAUUACAAGAAAAAUGUUAAAAACAGUCAGUUUUCGAAACUUGUAAGUUUUUGUGAAAAGAGAGAUGAGGCUAAGUUUUCUUCAUAGGUAAACAAAUGUUUUAAAAAACUAUUUUAUAAACUCUGAUAGUUUUAUUGGGCCAUUUUAGUGGCUAAUGUAACCUUCAGAAUUUGGCCGUAGCGUUUAGGUCGGGUUAGGGAGAUUACUUUUGGUGGUAUUAGAGUCAAGUUUCAAAACUCCAACUGUGAAAUUUUAAAUAAGUUUGCAUGCAUGUCUUAAAAAAGGAGGGUAUUUUGAGUAAAACCAUGUGCCACAAAACUUUUGGAAAUGAUUUUCUCCAAAGAAAUUAUAUUUGAGACUUCGAUGCCGAUCCUAACUUAGUUACUGUUAUUUUUGAAAACUAUAGUCAAACUUUAAACUUUAAACUAUAAACUUUAGACUAUAAACAUUCAGAAAAAUAGUUAAUGUUUGAACUUUUUAUUUGAAAAUUGUAGAUAAACCUUAAACUCAGAGAAAUGAGAAAUGAUAGUGUUUCUGUUCAACUGAGAAUUUGGGGUAGACAAAACUAUUAGUGAAGUUAUUGUAGUUAGUCAUUUGGGACAGUCCUUGGUAGUGAAUAUGAUCUUCAAGAAAAGCCCAUUGGAGGUUUAAGAAGAAGUAUUGUCUGGAAUUGUAUUGAAAUCAGAGUGGCGCAACGGAAGCGUGGUGGUUGGUUUGAAAAGAGGGGAUAACGAAUUUUGUGGCUAAGUGAUUGGCGUGUCAAGAGGGAAAUUUUGGGGACGAAAUUUCUUUUUAGGAGGGGAGAGUUAUCACAUCCCAAAAAUUGGGUUAGUAGAAUUAGGUUUGUGAAACCGAGAGUGGUCACGCCUCGAUUUAAUAGGUUAUCUUUGUGUGUUUGUACUUAAAAGAGUUACAACCUAAUGAUUAAGGGUUAGUAAAUCCUUUCUAGAGAUCCUAUGUUCGAGCCCUUCCUUUCCUUUUUUAAUUUUUGUGAAUUUUGGCAAGCAUAAGGUAAAUUGCUUGUGUCACCCCUAGGGUUUAUAAACCCUAGGUAUUUAACCAAUUCUUUUCUAAUUAAAAUUUCACAUUGCCCCUUUUCAAAUCCUAAUAGAAUUUGCUCUCCAUUUUAUUCUUCUUUUCCUUUUCUCUUAUUUUCUUUCAUUCUUGCACCAUAUUUCCUUCUUUGUGCUGUUAAUUAUUUUUGUUUCACUUACCGAAUCAUUCCCCAAUCAUUUAAUUUUUAUCAAUAUUUAAGAAUCGUCAUCAAUAACACCCAUUAUCUUUGUCAAGAAUUGAUAAGUAUACUUCGUUUCAAUGAUUAAAUCUCGUAAUUCUAUUAUACAAAUAACCAACGUAAAUCUUUCAUUCGAUUAAUUAAUCUUUUUUGAAUCUUACCAAAUCUUUUACAGAUCUUGCCCAAAUCUUGAUAUCAAUAGUUAAUUGUGUGUAACUCUCGUUGAAGGAUCGGAUCUGGGUGAAUCGGAUUAGACUUGAUCAUAAGGAGUGUCAAUUGGACCCAUGGUGAAAGAUGUGUCUUUUCCAAGUGAAUCAGUAGUGAUCGUGUGUAGGUUUAGGGCCACACGGGCAUGUGGACCACACGACCAUGUGCACCUGUAAACGAUGGGGAAAUUCAUGAACCAUACGACCACACGACUAUGUUAACUCACUAGUUAUUCUAAAAAUAGGCUAAGUUUUUUUCUAAGAUAAACAAAUGUUUUAAAAUGACUGAUUUAUAAACUUCGAUUGUACUAGGUCAUCUCGAUUGCCGAUGUAAUCUCUCGAAUUCGGGUCUAAUAUCUAGACUAGGUUAAGGAAGUUACAUAUUUAACAAUUGAGAUAUAUAGUCUAAAAAAUUCGAGAUAUAUAUAAUUUUUAGAAAAAUUACAAGUACAAUCAUAAUUGCAAUUAAUAUAUUCGAAUCACAAUAGUCAAUAUCAAUGUUAAAAUGUAUAAUUUGAUUGAUAGCUAAAAUAUAUAUACAUCUAAACUAAAAUAAAUUUGGACAAUCAACAUAUUGUGAGAUUUAAAUUAGAAUAAAUUUAGAGAGAACUCAAACAAAUCUUAAAAAUAUAUAAUUUACUCAAAAUUUAAUGUGCACAAACAUAAAUAAAAAAAUAUAACAAUCAAAAUUACACAAAUACAAUUUAUAUAAUUUAAAAAAAGAACAUGUAAACUAAAAUAGCUUUAUACUAUUUUGAUUGAGUCCCUCCUUAUCUAUUUAGUAAAUUUUAUCAUAUAAAAACAUACAUAUAUGAUUUACGAAAAAAAUAAAGUUUUAAAAGUUUUAAAAUUUCAAUAAAAAAAACUAAUAAAGACAAAAUAAAAUAACAUGUAUACAGUUUUUUUAUGAAAAAAAUAUGAUUAUUUACUUGUUAUUUUCUGUGCUUAUUAUUCAACGAAGAAACUAGACGUCCAUUUUCUUGAUUGCAUACGUUUUUAAUCAAAAUCCAUUUAAUUAGAGCCAAAGACCAAGUAAAAGUUAAAUCUUUCAAAGAAGGCAAAAUAGUUAGGCCGAUUUUUGUUUGAAGGGAAAUGUUUUCUUGACUAGCUUGUCACUUUAAUAGACUCCAAAUUUCUUUUACUUGUGUUUUUUAGAGGCUCAAACUCGUGUAAAUUUGAUAAUUAAAUAUCCCUUAGUUAUCAAACCAAUCAUAAGAGUUCAAACUCGCAUCGGAGAUAGUAAAAUUCCACCCAUCCCAUCAAUAAGUCACCCUUAUAAAAAUAUUAUUGAAAUUGUAUAAUUGGUGUGUGAUUGACCUGUGACAUUAACUCAAUUAAAUACUUUAGUAAAAAUUUUAUAUACCUUUUUAUACUCUUUUGAUACAAUAUUAAAAUUGGGAGGAUGGAGAUAACAUAGUUCGAACCUAUGCCAAGUGAGUGUUUAAUAAGAGCUUUAAUCAUCGCUCUAUACAAACCAAUACAUAUUUUUAUAUUUUUAGUACCUAUACUCUUAACAAAAUUCUUGACUGAGUUGGUGUCACAAGUCAAUCGGGUACCAACUCGAUUAGUAAAUUACAAAAAUAACUUUUUGUAUUUAAAAUAAAUUAUAUUAUUUGAGAGUACUUUAGUCUUUUUAAUUAAAAGAACAAUAAAAACAUGCAAUUUGUGGGAUUUGAAACCAUGCCAAUUACAUUGGAAAAAAUAAAUAAAUUUACCACUCAACUAAAACUCUAAUUAAUUAAUUAAUACAUUUUAAUUUUAUUAUGCAUACUUUAUUAUAUCCAUUAAUUGUAUAUCUAUACUAUUAAUAAAUCCCUAAUUAAGUUGGUAUCAUGAGUCAGCUGGAUAUUAACUCGACUAGAUAAUUACAAAAAUGACAUUUCCUAUUUAAAAUAAGUUAUUGAUAGGGGAUCGUGCGAAAGAAGGAAAUCGUAUUCAAGUUGUUCGACUCGAGAAAGAAAUAUUCGAAUCUGAAAAGAAUAAACUAAAUAAAUUUAAAAAACGAACAAGAAAAACAAAGAAAAUAAAAAAAUAAGAAAUUUAAGAAUAAAAAAUAAAUAUUUAAAGUAAUAAUUAAAUAAAGAAAAAAAAACUAAAAGUGCAAGAUGGAUAAAAAAAACCCCAAUGGAUAUGAUCGAUAGAUGAAUAAGUGUCCAAUUGAACCCUUUGAGAUAUAAAUCCCAACAAACUCAAUUAACGACUCUAAUCAACCCUCCAAGAAAUAAUCUUUAGACAAAUUGAAGAAUGAAGAAUGAAGAAUGAAUUAUCACGACUCCUUGAAGAAAAUCGAGAAGAAAUUUACUUCUAAAAAUCACAAGAAAGAAAUAUCGCACAAAGAAACUAAUUUGCAGAGUUGAAAAUUUUAUUAAUGAAAACAAUUGUAUCCUUUAUGAACAAUGAGGAAACCUUUAUAUAAGCUAACUAAGUACAUUCAAAUAAAUCUUGCAACUAUACUCAAACUUUAAUUAAUCUAAAAAAGAAGUAGUUUUAAACUAAACUUUAUUGUUAACUAAGAAACAUAAAACUCCUAAAUAACUUAAAAUACUUAAAAAAACUACAAAUUUUAGAAUAAAUAAAUAAUAAGAUAAUAAAACCUAAUAAAUACAAUAUUUGGCUCCUAUAUAAUACAAAUUAAGGUUAAAAAUCAAACCCAAUAUUAUUUAGACUCGAAUUAAAAGCUUGAAACUCAUAAUUUCUGUAAUAAUCCUAUCCAGAAAUUUUACUCGCACAAUCUUCACUAAAACGGUUAUAACUUGAGCUCCUGAAUUUGAAAUUGAGUGAUUCAAAGCGUGUUUCGAAUGCUAUGGAUACAUCUCAACUCAGAAAUGCCUGGAUUCCAUCCAAAAAGUCAUCAGAAGUUGCUUGAUUUUCCAAACUUGAAAAUUGACAGCUUCGGUGAAUGAAAUUUAAUAAAUUUCACCCCAUCCAUGCAUGUAUCAAUCAUAUUAUUCGAGGGUAUUUUAAAUAUACAUCCAUGUUCUAACUACAUGUUUUCUAUAUGCAUACGCGUGCAAUAGAAUUUCUAGUAUACUAUACUAAUAUAUAUAUAUAUAUAUAUAUAAUGCACACAUAUUUUAUAGUCUUUAUAUUUGUAUAUUAGAAAAUUGUAUAUAUUGAAAAUAUGUUGAUUAAUAAAUUAUAAUAUAUAUUUACAAUAUUAAAUUAAAAAACAUUUGUAACAUGUUAAUAAUUCUUAGUAUUAUGAUAAAUUGGAUCGACAUCUUGUGAAUUGAGGGUCAAGUUAUUAUAUACUUGAUGUUCAAUAAAUUUUAAAAACAAAAUAUCUAAUAAAAAUAACGCUAAUUUACUACAAAAGCAAGUAAAAACAAUCACAUAACUUAUAAAAUAUAUAACAUAUUUAGCAAAUGAUAAUAAUAAUACUUACAAAUUUACUAUGUUUAACAAUAAGACAUUAAUACCAUAACAAUGAAAAAAACACGAGAUGUAAUAAAUUUUGAAAUUAAUCAUAAAAAGGGAAGAUGUAUGGGUAAAUAUAAAAACACUAAUCAUGACACCUUGAGUGGGGAGAUCUCAAGUUAAAUUUGAAUAAGCUAAAUACAGGAUUCCCUCAAGAAUCCUAAAAAGAUGUUAAAAAACCUCAACAUUACUGGGUAAUAAUUACCAAAUGAUUCAACUUCAUAUUCUCCCACAAUUCUAAACAAAGAAAAAACACUAAACUAUCUCAAUAUUCUUGAAUGUUGAAGUAAUUUUAAAAAUUAAUCCCAAACUUACUUAUCAUGUCCUAUAUAUUAUUUUAAGACCCAAAGUUGAUGUGAACAACUUGCAUAAUCAUUAUCUUUUUAAUAAUUUUAAAUAUAAAAGGGUUAGAUCAAUUUUAAUUAAAAAUAUAUUGUAUUUUCCUAUCCAGUAUAGAAUACAUCUCAAGAUUAUCUUUUAUUUGUUACAACAUUUUCUCAAAAUUAAUUGAACUAAAAUAAAUUUUUAUCUAUAUUGUAUUUAAAUAAAAAAUUUACCGCUUUUAUUAUUAAUAAAUAUAUUUUUAAAUAUUUAUGGUAUUUGAUUUCUUUUAACAUGUUCUUUUUUAAUUCAUCAAUGAAAUCUUCUGUGAAAUAGUUUUUGUUUUUAUUAUUAAAAAAUGUCAUUCCUAUUUUCGUAAUAAUUAAACUUAAACCAAAUAAAUUUCAUGUGUCAUCCAAUAUGUUACCCCAUUAGAAUCAAUUGAAUUAAAAUUUCUUUUUACAAACUUUUAUACUCAUUUUGUUUUUUUUAUCACUAUUUGUCCACUAAUUAUUAAUACCAUAAAUCCCUCAAUUUAAUGUCAAAUUUAUUUAAAAUAUAUUUUAACUUUAUUUUUAAACAAAUAAAUUUAUAAAACUAAACUUCUUUAAUAAUUUGUAUACAUUUAUAAUAUAUUUUAAUUGCCUAAUUUAUUAUAGUUUUUAAAAAUAUAAAUAUUUAUUUAAUAUAUUUAAUUUAUAGAUAUAAUUUGUAACUCCCCAACCCGGCCUAGACGUUAGACCCAAAUUCGAAAGAUUACAUUAGCCUAUCAGAGUUUUGAAAACAGUCAUUUUAAAACAUUUGUUUAUCUUUGAAAGAAAACUUAGUUAAUUGCCAAAUAAUUUAUUACUCAAAAUCUUAAUUACAAUUUAACAGCAGAAAAAUGAUAACUAUUUGUUUUUAAUAAAAACCAAAGUUCAUGCAUAAUUAAUUAAUAAUCAUAACACGAUAUCCUAAAAUUUAAAUUAAAACCCUAAACCCUAAACAAACCCAAAUCCUAAGUCCCAUGUCAUAGUUCAAAAUAAAGUUGUACAGACUUUGAAUAAUAGAAUAAAUCAAUUAAUAAGCCUAAAUGAUUCAAUAAAUAGAAACCGACCCGAGACCCUCCGGAUGUUGCGUCUGCAUCCUAACUUGGUGGGUUAUCUGUAAGGAUGAAAAUUUAAGGGGGAGUGAGCUAUGACACUCAAUGUGAGUUCAUUCACAAAAAAAUUAGUACAAACAGUUGGUAAGAUACAUUAAAUAAUAUUGCAUAAAAUAAUCGAAAUCAAACAACAGUUAGAGUAUCAAUUUUUCAAUUUAACCAUCAUUAAUAUCACAUAACUCACAAUAGAAAUUUUAAAAUAACGAAUUUUCAGGUUUCUCACAAUAUACAUAUAUAUACAUAUGUGUCAUAUCAGAAAUUCCAGAUUUGUAUGCACAAGAUUUUAUAGAUGCCAUACAAUUUCGGUAUUAACAUAAUAGAUCCUACCCCACCGCUACACACCACAAUUGGAGUUCCCUAAAACGCCAACCACCUACACACCGGGUUGUGGAUUAACCACCAAUAAUUUGCAGAUUAAUUGCCAAUGGCUAUGGACACACAACAAAACACCACAGAUAGAGUUUGCCUAUGGCUGUGGGUACACAACAAAAUAAUAAAGGUAAAAUUUGUCAAUGGCUGUGGAGGCACAACAUGCUUCCAGAUGAUAGCUAUCAAAAGGUUGUGAAUGCACAACAAAAAUGUCACAUAUGGAAUCUACAUAUAGCUGUGGGUACACAACAAGACCGUCACAGAUGGAAUCUACCUAUGGCUAUGAGUACACAACAAAAGAAAUGCAGAUAAAUUGCCAAUACUUCCUCCAUUCAUAACGUCCCACCCCAUGCGAUGUAAUAUGGCAUGUUCGAACAGAUCAAUAUAAUAGCAUUUUAUAUGUUUUUAACAGAACAAUAUAGUAGUAAAUAAUAUGCUCAAAAUAGUUCGAUUCAGUACCAAUUAAUAUCCUGCGACAAAUCAACUCAAUAGAAAAAUUCAUGCAUUUUAUGUGAGUUUAACGAUGUCAUAAAGCAUACUAUACAUACAAUCACAAACAUCGAAAUAUUAGUCAUACGUAUUGUUUACAAUUCACGCAAAUAUAUAUAAACAUCAUAUUAAUACGACCAAUCAAUUCAUAAUUCAUAUUAUCAGGGACUUAAUUGAAUAAUAUAAUAUACUAAAAUAGUUCAGGAAUCAAUUAGGGACUAAACUGAACAAAACAUAAAAUUCUAGGUCAAAACUAUAAAAUUUGAGAUACAAGGGACACACAACUAUGUGUUUGGAUCGUGUACAAUGCCCUGGAUUGUGUGUGGACGGGUUAUAUGACUGUUUGGCUGGGCCGUGUGAUAGGCUAUGGCCGUGUGGUAUUUGCAAAAUCAACCUACAAGGGAGACAUGAUUGUGUGGCAAAGCCAUGUGGAGAGUCUUAAGCUGUGUGAGAAUAGAAUAUUUUGAAGCACGGUUUGCCCCGAUUCGCUUAUAAAAACACACACCUUUUUCUAGGAUCUCGAACGACAUCCCUCACAUUCAAAUCUGAUCUGAUGCGCCUGCAAUGAGUCCUUCAAACUACAUUUAUACAAGAAUUAAUGGCCGGGCUUAAGAUUAAUUAAAGAUUAUCGAGAAUUUUGACAAGAUUCGUAUAAGAUCCAUUAAUUCGAAUGAAAGAUUAGUAUCAGAUGUAAAUACUAUAAGAAUUUGGGAUUAACUAUUAGGAUUGAAUUGAACUUACCGAAUCUUGGCGAGGAUUAAAAACAUUUCUAAUGGCGACUAUAAAAUUGGUUGAAAAAUGUCUUGAAUCGAGAAUAGAUUUUGGUUUGAGAAACAGAGAAAAUAUUUAGCAACAAAAUAAUGUGAAAUAUGAUGUAAAAGGAAUGAGAAUGAAAGAAAAGAAAGAAGAAAUAUGGAAGAGAAACAAAAUAUUGGUUAGGAUUGGAAAAUAAAGAAAAUUUUAGUUCAAUUAGGAGAAUAUUAAUUAAGGCCUUGUUUAGCAUUGCUUUGGAGAAACACUUUUGGAAGAAAAGUUGUGCUAAACAAGAAACUUUUGAUUAAAAUUUUUGGUUUUUCAAAAGCACUUUUGGCCAAAUGGAGAAGUUAAAAUUUUUAGCUUUUCUUCUCCCAAAAGCAUUUUUCAAAGCUUAAUUACUUUUUCACCCCCUUCAGCACACGGUACUUUCCCUUCUCUGGUUCUCCCUUCUCUUUCAUUUUUUUUGCUUCUUCCAUUUUCUCCAAGGUUUUUGCUGCUCUCCCCUUCUUUCUUUCUACUCCCCUAAUCCCAUAUUCUCAUUUUAACUCCUCAUUUAACUUUAUCGUUUUUCCCUAUUUCAGGUUAAGAUCUUUUUUGUUGUUGCUGAGUUUGGUUGCUCCCUAUUUCAGGUUAAAUUUCUCGUUUCACUUUUGAUUUUCUUGGGUUUUCUGUUUGGUUACCUAGUUUGAUUCUUUUUUUGGGUUUUUUCCCCAUUUCAAUUUGAUUCUUUUGUUGGUAUUUUCUCCUUUGAUUUGUUGGAUUGUAUCUCAUCAAUACCUUCUAGAGUUUUGUUUGAUGCUAUGCUAAAACUUUUGAAGAACAUGAACGAUUAGAAGUUCCUCUUUUUUAAUCUUGUUUAACACUCGAACCUGCUUAUUCUUGCCUUUAGAAGUUCUUGUUUAGACUUAAUGGACCACUCUUUUUUUCCUAGAAGCAAUUCCCAGACCUUCUGUGACGAGUAUUUGACUGCAACUUGUUCCAAAAGAACAUACCUUAUCGUCUAGAGUUUAUAGUUGGUGGAAUACAAGAUUUGGAAGAUAGAUGGAUAUAGUGGUAGUUAUAGAAAGCCUUAUUUUGAAUUUGGCAAGAGCUUGACUACUUACACUAUUGAGCUACAGUGAUAUUGACAUGGAAAUCAACAAGUAAUUCAUAUUGUUAUUUCCAGGCUAACCACUUUAAUUGUAGAUAAGAAUCCUUUCAUUGUAUGUUAUAAGCUUUAAUGUUCUCUUUAUGGCAUGUGAUUAUUUAUAUGAUUGUUAUUUGGUAAAUUACUACUAUGGAUAAACCUAAUAUCUAAUAUAUUGGACAUUGUGAUGAUAGCAUGUUCUUUCAAUUUUAAAAAUAUAUGAGCAAAAUGAAAUGAAUUAGGAUGCUGCAAAUGAGUAAUGACUUUGAUAAGUAUUAUUUAGUGAAAUCUUCUACAAUGGUGGCACUAGUCUGCUUGGAUUCUCUUACUUUCAUCAACAUCAUGAUACGCUUAUAAAAGUAAUCUAAGAAAAUCAGUACCAUAAUUGUCUAUUUCUCCAAGUUUCACUUUUUCUUCUCUUUUCUUGAUGAUGUCUAUCACAGAGUUAUGUAUUACACUUUGAAGCUUGCUGCUUCAAUCUCAUCAGAAGUUUUCCAAAUUUUACUGCAACAACAAAAGGGACUAAAAAUUAUGAGUGAAAACUCUCGAGUACAAAGGUUUCUAGUUUUUCCCCUUCAUGUGUGCAAAAAUUUCACAUUUAAUGAGCAAGGUGCCAUUGGUAACCAACCAAACAUCUUCUGACUGGAAUUUACUUCUCACCAACUAAUACUAUCAGUCUAUUUACUUCCCAACCAAACUUAUUUUAUCCAAAGCCAUAAGUAAAAAAAACAAACAUGCUUAAAAAGUUUUUUUACAUGUAAUAAAAUGAAAGUUGAGGGAGAUGUAGUAAUAAUUUUUUAUAUAAGACUGCUUGGAUCCAUUGAAAAAAAAACUUCUUCAUGUUCCAAAAACACCAUGUCGAAGGUUCCAUUCCAUUCCUUUGAUACCCUAUUUAGCUUACUAUAUUUGCCCUUUUCAUUUAUGUAAUUUGAUGUUUGUUUGUGAAAGCAUUUAAUUUUGAACUCACCGAUUCCUGCUUUGCCAUUCUUUCCUUCUAGCCUGCACUGACAUUAUGUAAAUUUUUAUAUAAAUUCUGCAUAUAAAUUUUUGAUUCAUUGUUUCCAAAGUGCGGGUAGAAGAUAAAUUUUUAUAUAAAUUCUACACAUAAAUUUUUGGUGAGAAUAGAUGAGUACUUCGGCCGUUGAAGUUAGUGGUGAAAAGGCUAGAGUAAUGUGGGAUAAGAGAUUGAUAGAAAUAUUCUAUGAUAUUUGUAUUAAAGAGAUAUUGAAAGACAAUAAACCUAAUACUCAUUUCACAAAAGAUGGAUGGUUGAAAAUAAUGACCAAUUUCGAGAAAUAAACAAGAAGGCUUAUUCACAAAGACAACUUAAAAAUAUGUGGGAUGCCUUGAAAAAAGAAUGGAAGGCUUGGAAGAAACUUAAAGGCGAAGAUACUAGUUUAGGGUGGAAUCCUAUAAAAAGAACUAUCGAUGUAUUGAAUGAUUAGUGGGAGAGUAGGCUAAAGGUACAUUAAUAAUUCUUAACAUUUUUGUUUAUUUAUUUAUUUAUGAGGUUAUUGAUAAUUUCUUAUUAAACUACCAAUUUAUACGUAGAUUGUGCUUAAAGCUAAAAAAUUUAGAGCAUUGGGCAUUGAUCCUGAAUUUGAAGGGAAAUUGGAUCAAAUGUUCAUGGGGGUAGUUGCAAUUGGUGAUAAAGCAUGGACACAUUCUUCUAGUACACUCCGUAGUGAAUUUUUUGAGGAUGUUGACAAUGACAUACUUGAAUAAAAUGAGGAAGAAAAUGCGAUAAAUGAUGUUUAUAUUGAUAGAAACGGUAAAAAAAAAUACGCUUGUGAUUUCUACUUCACAUUUUAAAAUUGGAAGGAAGAAAUCCUCAAAGCAAAUUGGAGGGGCUGCAAGAUUGUCUGGUCAAAUUGAAAAAUUAUGCAAUGCAACUGACAAUAUGAGUCAAGCCAAAUUUAGUUUGACUCCUGAUAUAGAUCCAUAUGGUAUUCCAUAAGCAGUCAAAGUACUUGAUAGCAUGUGGGAGGAAGUUCUAGAAGCUAGUCCGCUAUACUUUUUCUCACUGAAAUUAUUACUUAAUAAGGACAAGCGAAUUAUGUUUUUAUCAAUUAAUCCCAGCAUUAGAGCUUUGUGGCUUAAGAUUAGACCUGCUUAUGGGCCAAGUCACUCGGCCUGACCCGAAAGCCCGCUUGAAAUGUGAGAGGGUUUGGGCAAAAAUAUAGGCCCAAAAAAUGGGAUUGGGCAAAAAAUAAGGCCGUUUUAAAAAUGGGCCAGGCCUUGGGUAAAAUAUUUUUUGCCCGAGCCCGUCCCAACUUGAAUUCACUAAAUGACAAAAAAAUCUACUAUUUUUUUUGUUAUUUUAAUGAUAUUUUCUUGUUGUUUUCUCCCAAUUUUGCUACAAUUUCACUAUUAUAUUGCUACUAUUUUGUUGUUGUUGUUUGAAUAUUGUAUAACACUUGUUUUAUUAUUAAUUUUGUUAUUAUUUUAGAGACAUUUUCUUAUUAAGUUGCAUCUAUCUUAGUAUUAUUUAAGUAUACAUAUUUUUUUAAAUUUUGUUUUCAAUUUGCCAUAAAUAUUUAUUUUAAUUUAUUUUAGUAUUUUUGAUUUAUUAUAUAUAUUUAAAAAUUAUGUAAAAAUAAUAUAAUAUAAUAUUUUUAAUACGGGCCGGCUGGGUCGGGCUGGAUUUUAGCAUUUUAUCUGGUCGGGCUUGGGAAAAUUUUUAGGCCCAUUUUUCGGGCCAGGCCCUGGCCUAGCAAACAGACCUAAAUUUUUACUUUGGCUCGGCCAGAAACCACCUGCCCCGACCUAUGAUCACCUCUACUUAAGACGGAAAUAGAGGAGAGUUGAAAAUUUUCUAGCCUUUUAAGGUCUAGAGAUAUCUACUAUGUGACUAAACAACAAUGCUAAACUAGUUUUAUCAAUAGUUGUUUAUGUUUGGUUUUUGGAUUUUGAAUUUUGGAGAUAAGAUACAAAUUUCAAACUUCAAAACACAUAUCUUCUAGUAAAAUGUUGGGAAUUUUUUUUGUACAUCUUAGGCACCGGUGCAAAAGUUUCCCAAUGUUAAGAAAGAUUUCAAAGGUCUGGAGCAACAAUAAGUCGAUACUUUGCAAAUGUGCUUGAGAAUGUUUCAAAGAUGGUCAUUGAUCUAAUUGCACCCGAUGAUCGUUUUUUAGCCCAAUACCCAAACAAAUACGUAAUGAUUCUAGAUAUAUGCCAUAUUUUAGGGUUAAAAUUUAAUAUUAUAUUUUUAUAUAUUUUUUAAUUAAAAAUAUGCUUGAGACUAAUAUGAUUAUUUGUUCAUAAUUGCAUAGGUGCAAUUGAUGGUACUCAUACUGCCGCUAUUCUUCCACCAAAUGAACAAUUUCCUUACAUUAGAAGAAAAUGUGUCCCGACUCAGAAUGGUAUAGUAGUAUGUGAUUUUAGUAUGUGUUUCACCUUGUUAUGGUUGGAUGGGAAGGAUUGUUGCAUGACACUAAAAUAUUUCUUGAUGCAAUUUGGGAUCCAAAAUACAAAUUUCCGCACCUACCAAAUGGUAAGAUAUUUCAUUUUUUUUUAAAUAAUAAAGUACAAGUUAUUUAAUUGAUACUUUUUUAAAAAAUAAACUACUUUUGAAUUAAUUAUUUAUCAUAUUAUGACAUGUAGGAAAAUAUUAUCUUGUUGAUUCUGGAUAUCCUCAAAUGAAAGGUUAAGUUGGACCAUAUAGAGGACAACGAUAUCAUUUACCUGACUUUCAUAGAGGUAGACCUAUAUCUGGUAAAGAAGAGAUAUUCAAUCAUUCACAUUCAUCAUUAUGUAGUGUGAUUGAAUGAACUUUUAGUGUUUUGAAAAAAAUGGGGUAUUUUAAGGGAUAUGGCAAGUUAUAGUUUUGAAAAGAAAACGUUGAUCGUUGUUGCUAUAAUGGCGAUACACAAUUUUAUCCGAAAACAUGUCGAUCGAAAUGACGCAAAUUUUAUGGAAUACAAAAAUAUUAACAGAGUAUAUGAGAAUAUUAUUGAUCCAGAAGAUGAGCAUGAUGAAGCAAGUGAUGAUGAUGAUGAUGAUGAUGAUAAUGGUGAAUCAAACAAUUUAAGUGAUUUUUAAAUGGAAUUAACAAGAGAUGCUAUAACGUCUAGUUUAAUGAAUUCACUUUAAAAUGCAAAUGCUAAUGUAAAAUUUUUAAUAUUUAUAUUUGGUAUAUAAAUAUUACCCCUUUUUGAAACUUUAAUCCAAAUACAUGUAAUAUUUUAAUUUGUUAGGUUUAUGUUUUCUAUGUUAUGUUAAUAUCUAAUAUGAGUUAUAUAUUCAAAUUAUAUUUUAGAAUAAAAUAAUACAAAUGUGCUAAAAUCUUUAAUUAAAAAUAUUUAAUGGUUAUAUUAAAAUAUUUAAAAUAUAUUUUAUAUAUUCUAGUUAAAUUUUAUAAAUAAUUAAUAUUAAUUGCUUAAAAAUAUUUAAAAUUUAUAUUUCAUAUAUAUAAAUAUUAACAAUAAGUUAUAAUAAAUUAUUUUUUAUAUUCUUGUUAAAACAUCAUAAUAUUAACAAAUUUGAACAUUAUUUAAAUGUAUAUUUGUUACUUUAUAAUACCAUGUCUAAAAUAGUUACAUCUUGUUUCUAAAGCUGAGCUCUAGUUUUCUUUCUAAGUAAGUUACAUUUGUUGUUAACUUUCUAUCACUUUUUUUCUUUGUUGUAAAAGAUAUAGAGGUGAUCAUAGGUCGGGCCGGGUCAGGCCCAGAAAAUUUUUUUGGCCCGUUUUCCAGGCCUGGCCCGAAAUAUGGGCCUAAAAAUUUAUCCAACCCCAGCCCGGAGGAAAAUUCCUAAGCCCGGCCCAUUUUUGUUUUUUUAGUAAACACCAAAAUUGUAUAAAAAACCUACAAAAUAUAAUCAACCAACCAAAAUAUCCAUACAUUAACCAAUAAACAUAUUUAAUUUUAUAACAAAAUAUAAAUUGUAAGCUAAAUUAAAUUUUCAACAAUUAGAAAGGAAGGUAUCCUAAAAAAGCAACGAAAGAAACAUCAUCCUCAUAGUCCUCAUCAUCCUUCUUGCAACCAAUUUCUAACAUGAAAUAAAAAUAAAUAAUUAGAUAAUCAAAUUGAUGAAAAAAUAAUAUAAAAUUACAACAAUAAAACAAGAAUAAUAAUUACCUGUUGAAAAUCCUUUAGCUCGCAUCCAAUCAUCCAAGCAAACAACACAUUGAACCUUUUUUGGCUUAAGUGAACUCCUCAAAGGUGUGAUAACUUUCUUACCCAUGCUAAAAGCCAAUUCGAAAGCUACAGUCGAUAUUGGAAUUGCCAAAAGAUCACAAGCCAAUAAUGAAAGCUCAUUGUAUCGAACUGAACAUUUGCUCCAAUAAUCUAAAACAUCUAUUUGACUAUUCAACUCAAGCUCCGGUUCUUCCAAAUAAAUGUCCAACUGUGGCUUUUCACUCCUAGUGCUAGAUUCAUUUAAAUAACGUUUAUAAUCAUCACUCUCAUCAAAAUAUCCCCCAAAAUUAGCACUAUUAACAUUGUGUUCAUCUAAACCAGAAUCAACAGGAUUUUUAUCCGAAACAUUAGAACUCCCAACCAAAGAGGAAGACGUGGAUUUGGAUUUCUUAACAUACUUGUCAAACAAGAGUCUAAGAUUGCUAAGAAUGGUCCCAACAAAAUCUGAAGUAUGAAUACCAUAGAUUGUAGUAAAGCAAUACUGCACAUAAUUCAACUUGUAACGAGGAUCUAAAAUUGCAGCACAUGACAAUAUCAAAGAAUACUCAGCCCAAUACUUAUUAAAUUUCUCUUGCAUUUGCUUAACCAUUGGAGUUAAAAAUGAAUAAGGACCUUUAACUGUAUCAAGCAAGACCUUGUGACCCUUCCAAACCCCUCUAAAAUAAAGAUUAGCCGUUGGAUAAUUAGAACCAGAAAAAACACAAGUCACAUAAUAAAAGACCUUCAAAAUUUUGCAAAGAAUAUCAACAUUUCUCCACUCCUCGUUAGAAAGUACAAACAUUUGUUAAUCUUUAUCCCGUUGGCCCCAAUAAUCUAGCACAUAUUUAUAGUAAAGAGAAGAUUCAAGCAUCAAAUAAGUAGAAUUCCAUCACACACACACAUUUUGACGUAACUUUUUGGUCACAUUCAAAUGAAAACUUUUGUCGGCCACAUCAUAAAAUCUUUUCCUACGAAUUCCUGAAUUUUUUAUGUACUUAAUUCCAUUUUUAAUCUUACCAACAACAUCAUCAGCAAGUUCCAAACCAGCUUUAACUAUAAGAUUUAAUAUAUGUGCACAACAUCUAACUUGAAAAAAAGUACCAUCACACAAAAUAGCUCAGUUUGCACGAAAACGAUUUUUAAGACAAGAAACCAUAACAUCAUUAUAAGAAGCAUUAUCAAAAGUGAUGCUAAAAAUUUUCUUAUCUAUACCCCAUUGAGAUAAACAUAAAACAAGUUCAUCCGCUAUGUUCAAACCAUCAUACGGAGAAAAUAAAGCCUAAACCUUAUGAUCUAUUUUGUAGCUUCCAAUCUUUGUCAACCCAAUGAGCAGUAAUGCAAAUAUAUUCAUCAUUAGUAUGCUCCGAGUUCCAAUUAUAGGAAGUUAAACAAAUUAAAUCAGGUGCUUUAGCCAACUCUUCUUUAACACGAUCUCUUUCUUUUGCAUAAUACAUUAGGACAUCCCUAGCAACUGUAUGUCUACUUAUAUUCUUAAAAUUAGGACUAGCAAUUCUCAUCAUGUAUCUAAAUCCCGGUUCUUCAACUAUCUUAAAUGAAUGCUUGCCACACACAAGAAAAGUGGAAAUAGCUUGACGACACUCAUCAGCAUCAAACUUGUAGUUUUUUUAUAGAUGGAACACCUCCUGGUGAUGGUUGAGUGGCUAUGGUGUAUUGAGUGAUGUCCUUAUUAACUUUUUUCAAACAACUAUUUAGAUGACGUCUUAAAUGAGAGGUUUCACUAGAAGAUUUAGUAGAGAAGAUAGUCUUACAGUGAUUACAUUGUGCCUUCAAUUCAUUUUUGUUCUCGCAGUCAAGCUGUCAUUUCAUCCCACACCUUUAAAGUGGUAGACUUUUGACGUUUGCGAGUACUUUCAUACUCAUUAAACCCAUGUCCACAGGUAUAGGAGUGUUCAAACUAGCCAUAGUCAUAAAAACUCAAGUCCUGAAAUCCAAAAAUAAUCUUAAGACACCACAUAAUAUAAAAAUAGUCAUAAUUCGAAUAUACCAAUAUAUUUAUAAAAAUAUAUAAAUGGCUUUAAUAAUAUAAUAUAAAAAUAUAUAUAUCUAUUAAAAAAUUUUGGUACAGAAUCACGCUAUAUAAACUACUAUUCAUAACAAAGUUAUUGUUUAAAACAACAUUAGUAUGGAAAUUAAAAGCAAACGUUGCCCAUCUUGAUAUUUCCUUGUUGAUUUGCAAUCUCGACCUCGACUCUUCCUCCUCAUAGGAAACAUUUCUAAGCCUCUUGAUAUCCUCUAAAGGUCUAUGUCUCCAAUCGAGCUUAUCCUAUUUUUACCAAUUAUUCUCACCAACCAAUUGCUCUUCUUAGCAUGAAUGAGAGCUUCACUUAUUUGUUGUUAAAAGCUUACACCAUGUUUAAUAGUUUAAACCAACUGGUUGUAUUAAUUGAAUUAUUGAACCACAAUAUUAGAAGCUUACAUCAUGUUUAAUGUUUCAUAUACUAUCAACUAUUGUCAAAUCUUAGCUUUUCCCUAUUAUCAUCUACAAAUAUACAUUUAACUCAAAUAUAUUCUUAUAUAUUUGAAAUAUCAUACAUCAUUUAUAUAUUUCAAUUGCAUUGCUUAGAGCAACAGACAAACUUGUUAUGCGAAUGUAUGUUUGGCUAGGUUGACAACUAGAACCAUUUUAAGAGUUGCAAGAGAAUAUAGAAUGAGAAAUGAAUUUCUUUAGUUGAUUGAAUUCUCUACUUUUUGUCAUUUUUUAUAUUCUAUUAUAGAACUUUUUCAUGAAAUUCACACCUUAUAGGCUCAAUUGGAAGGUGAAAAAUAUGAUUUCAAAAUUACUGCAUUGGUGCACUUGUUUCGACAUAUGUUUUUGUUCUUGUUGUAGUUUGUAUAUUGAUGUAAUUUCUAUAGGAUGUAUAUUGUUCUGGUCAUGAUACUCAUAACUUUAAUUUGGAUGCCUAAGAUAUACUUUAAUAAUUGCCUGUGAUAUUGUCCUAGCUACUCUGUAAGGUUUAGACUAAUGUUUUAUUGAAAAUAUUGGUAUAUUUAUGUCUUCUCUUAUUGUUGAUUAUUCUUUUAAAUCAUCAUUAAAAAUACCUUUUUACCAUGUCUUAUUGUCCUUUUUCAGAAAUGGUUUUUUAGGUUGUCCUAGAUGAUUGGUUAUUUUUAUAACUUGGAUUAAAAAUGUUUUACUCAUCAAAUCCAAGUGAAUACUAAAUGGAAUUCUUGAGUGCGUACCGUGUAGCAUUGAUUUUAUUAGACUGUAAGUUGCAAUAGUAUUUGCCGAAAUUAGAGUAAUUUGAAUUUUCCAUGGAACUUUAUUUUGUUGCCUACAGAUUUAGUGCUUUCCAACAAGCUGGUUUUGUAUGAUUUAGAAAAUCAGACCAUUGGAUGGACUGAGUACAAUUGUGAGUAUUAUGUUACUUUUCCUUUCACGAUUGCUUUAUAAAUUUUUUACUAAUUGGUGUAAAUUUCAGUGUAUUAUUAUUAUUAUUAUUAUUAUUAUUAUUAUUAUUAUUUUGUUUUAUGAGAGGUGUUAUCUCUCUACAAUUGUCUUAGCUAGAAAAUUUAUCUUAUCAACAGAGUUGAUCCUCGAAGCUUCCCCAAAGUUGAUCCUAGUAACACUAUCUACUGAUUCUUGCUGCUUCAUAUAGUAUGAUGUCUUUGUAAAUUUAUGGGUUUCAUAUCUCAAAUCAUUGGCAUUAUAAAAUAUUCAGUGCCUUGAAUUUGGAAAACUGGAAACUGUCAUUUUAUGAAGUGCUGGAUGAGUUUAUAAAGUCUUGUUAGAAUACUCAGUUCUUUGUUAACUUGUAAUGUUUCAUUUUAUUCAUUUACAGUGCAUAAGUGAUUUCCUUUUGGAUUCUUCUUUUGAUUUGGGCUUUCUUUUUUUUUUUGGUAAGUUUAAUUUUUUAUUGUUGUCUUUUUGUUGAUCGUGAAAUCAUAACAAACAUGGGGUUACACAUUGCUCAAUGCUAAUUAGAUUGCUGUAGUUUUUAGUUUAACUUUUUUAACUUGGUGUACAUAUAAGUUCAUGAGCAUCACAACUGAUCAUACAACUCUUAUCUGCUCUCUUUCAACUAUUGUCAAACGAAGACCCGAAAAUAGCAACUUGGUUCGUUUUGUUGAAGCAUAGUUUAGUUUAGUUUUGUAAGUAAAAAUUGGUGUAUUUGAAGCAUGUAUGUAGGCUUCAUAUAUAUUUUUGGUGUAAAUUUGACAUGUAUUUGUAGGUUGUGGUGGUAGCUGGUGAGCCCUGGGACAUGGUUGACUGAUAUGUGCCUAGAAAGAUAUGAAGUUAGGGAAAAAAGAGUUUUAAGAAGGUAACAUAUGAUUUGGUUUCUCUUCUUUUACAUUUCCUACAAUGCAAUAAUUUUUUUGUUGUUGCUAUUAUUCAUGUUUCUGAUGUGGGGUUUUGGCAAGAUGUACAGACGAAGAGGAUUGGAGGCCAUGGGGAGUAUGGAAAGUGAUUUAGAUUGAAGAUACAUUAUUGGCAGCAGCAGAGCCCUUUUUCUUUUCUAAUAUUUUUUGGGGAAUAUUUUUAGAGUUGAUGUUAAUGGGUUGGAGAAAAAUAUAGAGAAGUUAAAAUAGGGUCUGCUUGCUGUGGUUUGUUUGGUGUAUAGAUGUUUCAUAUUAUUUAUAUAAUGAGAAUAAUUAUUGUUUUUGGAUCAAUAUUUGUAAUUUUGACAACUAUGAUCCCAUGAUAUUAUGUUUUGUCCUUCAUAUUAGACAUGCAGUAAGAUGAGGUAUUGGAUUUGGUAAAAGAAAUUGUGUCAAAUUUGAUGGCUGGAAUCACCCAUAUGACAAAAGUUAAGUGUGUGUUGGAUGAGAUGGUAGCAUUUGUCAAGGACUGAUCUGCACAAAUUAUUUAUUAACAUUUGUUUAUUAAAUUGUAUUUAAUAAUAAUUAUAUUAAAACAUGAUUAAAUUAUUUAUUUUUAUUUUUAUUAAAUUAUAUUUAAUAAUAAUCCUAUUAAAAUUUAAUAAUAAUAACAAUAAUAAUCAUCUACUUAAAAAAAAUUUCUACUAAAGGUAUUCUAGUCAUUUAAGCAUUUUUCUUAUGCUAUUACAAUAUCUAUUCCAUUCAACCAGACACAAGAAUACUAUUACAGCUCUAUUCCAUUCCAUUCAACCAAACAACUGAAUUACUUAUUACAACUCUAUUACAUUACAACUUUAUUCCAUUACAACCUUAUUCCAUUCCCUCCAACAAAAUAUGGUGUUAAAUCUUAAACCAAACUUUUUAAAAGUACUUCUGAAAAACACUUUUCCACAAUACUUUUUAAAAGUACUUUUCAAAAGUAAUACUAAACUAGCCCUAAAUAGUUAGGGUGGUUUGGCAAUUAACCCAACAUUUGGGCCGAAGUUAAGGGGGAAUAAUAAAGAAAAUGGUGAAGAUGGAGUGAUUAAAACCUGAGCAUAUAAAUGAGGUGUUAGGCAUGUUAAACAUUGGGUUGUUGCCCAUAACUUACUAAGUUUUUACUCUAAAAUAUAUAUAUAUAUAUAUAUAUUAUAAUGCGAUUUUCAUCCCGAGUUGCUGAAAGUAAAAAGAAAAGAAAUGAGAGAGGAGUGGAUAAAAUCUAGGACCUCUAAAAAGUAUGUUAAUUACUUAACUAUCAAACUAAGGUAAUUUCUUAAUUAUUUAUUUAAAAUCUAACCCUAUAUAUUUUGAAGUGAUAUAUAAUUAACCCGUACAUUACACGGAUAUACAAAGAAAUAUUUUAUAAAAUCACAAUACUUCGGUCAAAAUGCCUAGUUUCUUUAAAGUCACUUUUGGCAAAUUCUUUAAAGUCUUUUAAUAUAUUUAUUUAAAUAUUUCUUUUUAUAAUUUAGUCUAUAUCAGCCCAUGCAUUGGAUUAUUGGUCUAAAUGUAAAAGGUUGGUUAAAUAUUGGGAUGAAACUAAUUAGUUUUACGUGCUUUAUUAUUUCAUGUUACAAUAUAAUAAAAUUCGAAUAAGUUUGAUAUCUAUAUCUAUAUCAUAUUAUUGAGAAUGUCAUCAUAUUUAAUAAUUGAUUUUUUCUACAUAAAAAAAGUAAUUUAUUGAAAAAUAAAAUACAACAACUACAAAUUGUAGGUUUAAAACUAAAUGAAUCCCUCCUUACGUAAUUUACGAAAGAAUAGGUAAAGUUUUAAAAGAUGUAGAAUUUAAAGAUGAAAGCAAAUAGCUCAUGUAUAUAAUAUAGGUUUUUACGGGAAAAAAAUGUGAUUACUCGUUAUGGGUGCUUAUUUUUGUAGGGAGAAAUUUGAAGUCCACGUUCGUCAUUGCUUAAAUGACGAAAUCACGGAAGGCAAAGUUAACGUGACUCAUGUCCCAAAGACCAAGUAAAGCGUACCAUAAAAUAAGGCCAACUUUUCUUCAAGGGGAAUUUGUUUUCUUGACUAGCUUCAUGACCGCAAUAGGGAGAGCUUUCACGCCGGGGUCGAGGUUACCUGGGCGCUUCCCGUGAUCUAGGGGCUUUGUGAGAGUGAUGAAGAGGCCCUAUGAAUGGUUUAAACACUCCUUCAAUUCCUCAAACUCCUCACUUCUCGAAGCUUCAAGGAAAAAACUCCGAUGUGAGUUGAAGAAGUUGUGACUACUCUAGGCAGGGGAGAGUGUUUGUCAGUUUAAACUGAUUAAACCAAUUAAAUUGACCAAUUCAACUUAGUCGGUGUUGAUUUAAUUAGUUUUUACAGUUGGAAUUCGAUUUUAUUGGGUAUUUAAGCUGAUUUUCGAUUUUUGAAUUGUCAAAUCCAUCCAAUAAAAAGAACUUAUUUUUUAUUAUUUAAAAUAUAUUUAAAUUUUAUUUUAUUAAAAUCUAAUGAUCCAACCCAACAACUGAAAAAACCAUUAAAUAACUAACCCAAAUAUCAAAAUAUCCAAUUAACUAAAACCACAUUAAAAAUAAAAAUUAAAUUAAAAACUCUUGUCGUUCCUUUCUUCAACAAUCCUAAACAAAAUCCCUAAACUAGACAAGAGCCCCUUCUUUAUUUCUUCUACCCAAUGCCGCUCUUUCCUCUUCGCCUCUUCAUUUCUUCUAAACCCUAAACCUCUAAUGCUAAUUGAUUUUAUAUCCUUUUGUUUCCUUUUUAUAGUCGGUCACGAAUUUUUCUCUACAUGUAAAUCUAAGGUUUGAGUUUAAUAGAUUUUUUUUUUGUUCUAUAAUGAGAAAUUCCUUACAUGUUCUAUGUAUUUUUAGAUUUUAAUAUUUCACUCUCCCAAAGUUCCAAGUUGUUUUGUUGUUCAUUUCAUUUCCAAUGUAACCUUCUAUAUAUUUUUUCUUACAUAUAUUUGCAUCUGUUUCAUAAUAUGCUUGCAACUGGAAUGAGUUUGAUGAUAUAUUUUGUCUCAAUUAAUUUAGUUUGUUUUGCAUUAUGUUGUUAGACAUUUUCUUUCUAUUGGGCUUUUUAUUUGUAUGAGUUCUUGGCUAUAGGAAAAUAUUAUACGGUUGAAAAAAUCGAUGGAAAUUUAAAAAAUUUCUUUUGAAAUCAAGUCGUUGUGUUAUUUGUAGCAAUAUACUUGAUUGAAAUAUAAAUGUACUCUGUACGAGACGGUAAAGUCAAUACUAGCUUUCUACCGAAAAAUCUUUUUUGAUAUUCUUAAACAAUGAAUUACCUCAAGUAUGGGCUCAAGUAACAUGAACCAAAUCAUAGAAUGAAAACUUUAAUCUUUCUUUCAGAAGAAAAGUUAAUUUUUUCUUUAAUCGGAAACUAUACGUUAUUUCCAGAAAAUAAAUUUCCAAAUCAUAGAAUGGAAACUUUAAUUUUUCUUUCAGUAGAAAGAUUAUUUUUUUUCUUUAAUCGAAAACUAAACAUUAUUUCUAGAAAAUAAAUUUUCACUAUUUUUUGUUAGAAUAACGAUAUAUGAGAAGUAUGUGUAAAUUACUUAACACAUAAUUCCUAUUUAUAUAGAAAUAGUACUAGAGUUUUGUUCAAAUAAAAUUAGACUAAAUAAUAAUAUUUUAAUAGAAACUAUAGUACUCUAAGUAGGAUUAGAGUAUUAGGGGCGGCAAGACACCCUUAUGGAAUACUAGAGUUGUUGCCCCUAUCCUGUUACAUGGCUUUAUUGGGCCUCUUCAAGUAUUGAGUUCAACUAUAUGUAUUUAUUAGACUUUUUAUCCACCACUUUAUAAUUUAUCUAACCUUAUAUUUAUUUUUUAUUUUCUAAAUAUUAUUUAUUUAAUAAAUUAAUUUAAUUAACUAAAUUAAAUUACCAAUUAAAUUAUUUUCUCAACCCACUUUUAAUUUCGUUAAAGUCAUGACAAUUUUACCAUAAUAGAAUCUACAAGGAAGAUAUAUUUAAUUGUCUUAUUCAACAAAUUCACAAUGACUAAUUAAUUUGAUUCAUUUAUUUGAACUUCAAUUAUUUAAUAACAGUUUGAUUAAAUAAUAAUUCGAAAAGCUUAAAUUAAAUCUCAAGUCAUCUUUUGUACUUAACGAGAAAACCUAUUCAUUAUGGACAGUGAUAUAAGCGAUCUAUUUCUCUACUUCAUCGUUUUCAUUUAUUUAUUAUUAUUAGUUCUACAUGCAAUUCAUUUAUGGUUAUCUUGAGCUAGCAGAGGGACUGAUUAGACAUAUAUAAUUGGGGCUCAAAUAAUUUGUGAUUAAGUUCUGGCUUUUCUGUUGGAUCAAGUGCCACUAGUGUAGUAUUUCCGUCAAUGUAUACUUGUAUUUUUCGAACAAGUUGGUUUAAUAUAAUAUCCAUUGAGUACAUUAAUAUUCUUUGUAUAUUGUCCUCAAUGAUUUUUACACGCAAAACAAAAUGGAAGUAAAUAUUGGUUCACUUAUUAUCUAACACUUAACUAAUUCUAAGUUGUAUUGUGUGGUUGAAUUGUAAUACAAAAAGAAGACUUGUAUUAGUGGAUAAUCCAAACAUGUCCUUAGUCUAAUCGGAAAGGAGAAAACUGAUUGAAAGACUAAUAUGUUGUCUAUCAGGUUCAAUUGGGGAGAUUUUUUUCUUGAGCAUCGAAGCGGAUGACUCCCAUAAGAUAGAGACAAAGAUGUGGCUGAUUAAACUAACAGUACAUCAAACAUGACCCAAGUAGAAUAGAUUAUAGAUUUGUUUAUGGAUUUAUUCACUUCUAACAUUCAUAGUGUAACAUAUCUUAAUCUUAAGUGGAUGAUGACUAUGUUUGCGUGACUUGUAUACUUUGAUGUAAGUAAAAGCUUGACUUCAAAUAGAUAAGGAACUGAAAGCUGGUGCAUUAGGUAUUGACCACCUUUGGAUGUACUAAUGUCCAAAGUGUGAAUACUGCAACUAAAUAUAUAGAUUUGAGGCGGAGUCCGCAAGUAUACGAGUCAGGUUGUAACAUAGUUACAACGAAGUAUGUAAGUACUCUAAGGAUUGUACCCAAGGUAUUACAGUUUGGGGAAGACUGUUAUCAAACAAAUUAUGAGAAAUAAUUACUAAUCUACUUGAGUCAUAAAUUAGUAGUGUUAAUAUGAAAGCAAGAUGAUAAUAAUAUUAAUAAACUAAAUAAGUUAAAUUAAACUUAAAUCUAAUCCUAAGUUCAUGUAUUGGCUUCUCCUAUCCCUUGUUUCGACUAUGCAAGUUCCUUUAGCCUAAAUCCAAUUAUUUAACCUAAUUAACUAUUGAUGUAGGGUUCUAAUACAUCAACUAGUCGUUACCGUAGCAGGAUCUCUCGAUCUUCUACUAAACUAACGAGUCAAUAAGAACUAUAUAUCUUUCAACCUCAUAGUCUAGACUAGUUUAGGGUUAAGGUAUUUAGGAAUAGGCCAUACCAAUUUUGGGUUAAUUCCCAUUUAAAUGACUUCUUGUGGUUGUUAAGCCUAGGGUUUAAGACCUACAAGACCAUGUAACCUUAUUUAGAUAUAUAAAAUGUAAUAAAAACUACUUAGAAAGCAUAAAUUACUACUUUAAGUAUGAAAACCUAAAUAUAUACUAAGAUGCUUUGAUUUAGAUAUUAAACAAGCUAAAGUUAUUUGUAAAAAGGAUGUAAAUACUAGUGUAAUUCAUGAUAGAUCAGGUAUAUGACUUCUGCAGUAUGUAACAUCAUUCCAUAAUAGUGGAAUUCAUAGCCAAACUAAUGGUAAAUGAUAUGCUCUCAUCAACAUUACAUGAUAGAUGAAAAGGAAAAGUGGUCACAGGUCAUUUGUCUUUGUGAUAAAUGACUUGAUUACUAUUUGAUACUAAUUGACUUUUUAUGAAGUAAGAUGUAAUGGUUACAAUGUGAUAAAAUAGGGUCAUAUUGGGAGAACGAAUUUAUCCCAAAGAGAUUAAUGAUAUCCUAUGAUCGUAACAAACUUAUGAUAAGGUCAUUGGACGAGUACUUAUCAAGUAGUUUCUGUAAUGGUAUAUAAUUAGGGAGAGCUUAGUUACAAUACUAUAGGAACAACUUCGUGACUAAAUAAGUUUAUAAUUAAUAGGCAAAAAGUUGGAACUUAAUUAUAAUUUAUUUGAUCGCUAAUUAUAUAUGUCCAAUCGAUCAUUCCGCUAGCUUGUUGAAAUAAAAAAUGAAUUGUAUGUACGUAGAACCAAAUGGAUAGAAAUGAUGAAGUAAGAAAAAUGAAUCUCAUGCACAAAUGAAUGUGUUUUCUCAUUUAGUACAAAAUUUACUUGAAAAUUAAUUUAAGGUUUUUUGAAUUAUUAUUUAAUUAAUUAUAAUUAAAUAAUUGAAGUUUGAAAAUGGAAUUAAAAUUGGAUUGAGAAAAUUAUUUAAUUGACAAUAAAUUUAGUUAAUUAAAUUAAUUGAAUAAAUAAUAUUUAAUUUUUGAAAUAGAAAAUAAGUAUUUGGUUGGAUUAAAUUAUAAAAUGUUUGGUUAAAAGUCUAAGAAGUACAUAGAAUUGAACCCACUACAUGAGAGGCCCAAAAUCUCCCUUAUAUAACAUGAGGGGCAACAAUCCUAGCAAUGUUUACAAGGGUGUGCUGCCCCCUCCUAAUCUAGUUAGAGUAAGAGUGCAUUUUUUAUUCAAUAAUUAUUAUUUAUAAAGAGCUUGUUCAACUAUUAUUCUUGUACCUAAAAGCACACUUAAUUUAUUAUAAAGUUAUCAUUAUUUUGCCAUAAAGUAGUGAGAAUUUAUUAACUAAAAAUAAGUUCUACAUUUUUGGAAUUACGAUCUUUACCGAUUUUUAUAUAGAGAAAUUACUUUCCCACUAAAAGUAAUUAAUCCAUUUUUUUAUGAUUUGGUUCGUGUUGCUUGAGUCCACACUCGACGUAAUUCAGGGUACGAGGAUAAUGGAGAAGGUCAUUUGGUUGAAAGCUAAGAUUAGUUCGAAUCUGUCUUGCACAAAGCAUAAUUAUUAUUCAGCUUUAUUGCUACAAAUAUGACAAAACGUCUUGGUUAUUGAAAAAUUUUAAAUCUUCCUCUGUAACUGUAAAACCAUUUUCUUAAUUGAUUUUUUUUUCAACAUUUUCUCCUAUUAAUUACCAUAUUAUUUAGUCAUGAAGUCAUUCCACUAAGGUAUUAUGAUUGAGCUCUCCCUUAUUUUAAACCGUUAUGAACCCUACUUAUCAAGUGCUCAUUCAACGACAUUAUUAUAAGUGUGUUACUCUCAUAGGAUAUCUUUAAUAUCUUUAGGAUAAAUCUUUUCUUCCAAUGUGAUAUUAUUUUUUCUCAUGGUAAUCAUUACACAUUCUUUCAUGAAAAGUCAAUUACUAUCAAAUAGUAACUAAAUAAUUUAUCACAAAGACAAAUGACCCAUGGUCAUGUUUACUUUUCAUCUAUCAUGUAAUACCAAUAAGAGAAAAUCAUUUACCCUUUAUUGGGCUAUGAGUUCCACUAUUGUGGAAUGAUGUUACAUACUCUAGAAGUCUUGUAUCCAACAUACUAGCUUUUAGUUCCUUAUCUAUUUGAACUCAGACUUUUAUUUACAUAAAAGUAUAUGAGUCACGAAUACAUAGUCCAUCAUCCACUCAGGAUUAAUGUAUGUCACACUAUGAUUGUCACAAGUGAAUAAAUCCAUAAUCAGAUUUAGGAUCUAUUUUACUUGGGUCAUGUUCGACGUACUAUAAAUCCUGCCAGUCACAUGUAUGUCUCUAUCUUCUAAGAGUCAUUCGCUCCGAUACCCAUGACAAGGUAUCUCCCCAAUUUGGACUUGAUAGACAAUUUUAGUCUUUUAAUUGAUUUUCUCAAUUUUGAUUUGACUAAGGAUGUGUUUUGAUUAACUACUAAUAUAAGCUGCCUUUUUAUAUUAUGAUUCGACCAUACAAUACCACUUAAUAUUAGUUAAAUGUUAGAUACACAGUGAGCCAAUAUUUGCUUUCAUUUUAAUUUUAGUGCAAAAACCUUUGAGGAAAAUAUACGGAGAUAUUAAUGAAACUAAUGGAUAUUUUAUUAAACCAAUUUAUUCGAAAAAAAAAUACAAGUACAUAUAGACAUAAAUACUACACUAAGGGCGUUAGAUUACAUAUGAGUCACGAAUACAUAGUCCAUCAUCCACUCAGGAUUAAGGUAUGUCACAUUAUGAUCAUCACAAGUGAAUAAAUCCAUAAUCAGAUUUAGGAUCUAUUUUACUUUGGUUAUGUUCGAUGUACUAUAAGUCCAGUCAGUCACAUGUAUGUCUCUAUCUUUUAGGAGUCAUUCGCUUCGAUACCCAUGACAAGGUAUCUCCCCAAUUAGACUUGAUAGACAUCAUAUUAGUCUUUUACUUGAUUUGUUCAAUUUUGAUUAGACUAAGGACGUGUUUAGAUUAACUACUAAUAUAAGUUGUCUUUCUAUCUUACGAUCCGACCACAUAAUACCACUUAAUAUUAGUUAAACGUUAGAUACACAGUGAGCCAGUAUUUGCUUUCACUUUACUUUGCGUGCAAAAACCUUUGAGGACAAUAUACAAAGAUUUAAUGAAACUAAUGGAUAUUUUAAUAAACCAAUUUUUUCGAAAAAAAUACAAUUACAUAUAGACGAUAAUACUACACUAAGGGCAUUAGAUCCAAACACAUACAACUGUGGAUAAAGCCUGCGUGGUACAUUUGUUAUAUAAUUUUAUGAUUAAAGUAUUGCAUUGGGUUGUAAAUUCUUUUUAAAUUUUCUUUAAUUUGUAAUGCCACUAUGUUUUUUUAAUUUACUUAAUUGUUUUAGUAUAAUGCUUUAUUCACCAAAAAAAUUCAAUUAAGUCUGUUAAUCGAUCAAACUGACCAAUCUAAAGUCGAUUUAGUUAAGUCGGUUAUUUAGUUGUAGUUCGACCUAAUAUAUUUGAGUAGAUUUUUGUCAAUUAAGUCAUGUAAAAAAAUGAUUGAAUCGACUGAAAAAAAUUGAAUACACUCCCUGAACUCUAGGAGUGAACAUGCUAGACACCAAAGGGGUUGUAGAAGGACCUAAAGAGGGCCUGUGGGUUCCUUAAACUCCUCAGACUCUUUGGUGGAAGGAUCAGUGGUUCCCCAAAUAUCUAAGGGAAAGAAAAUUCAGAAAUGCAAGAGAGAUAGGCGAGGAUGUAGGGUAUUGAUUUCUUGAACUCCUCUUGAUCUUAGAGAAUUGUAACUCGAACCAUAGAGACCCUGAGAAGGCAACAUGUUAGGCGAUCUGAGGGGGAUAUAGAAGGAUUUUAAAGGGGCUUGUAGACUUCUUUGACUCUUUUGAGAUGAAUGGACCUAAACUCUUUGGCUCAAGCUGUUGAGGUAGAGAGAAACUAUGGGUGGAAAAAGGAGUUCUUGGUAUCUAAGCUUGAUUUUAAGCAUUAGAGUGCCUUAGGGCUUAGAGAGAUUUCAUCCCAAGGUUUCGUAGUAACAUAUGGGCGCUUUAAAGUUUUUAGGCUCUUCUUAGGGAACAAGGGUUUCGGGGCUAUGAUUCCGAGGCUAUUUGGGCAUGUGGUGUUAGAGGUUAAAAGACUUGAUCCAUGGUUUGUAUGCAGUUACAAUGACUUAUAGACUCUUCAGACUCAAUAAACCCAUGGGAGGGAAGUUAGGGUCAAUGUGUGCAAGAGGUUUUAAAUUUUACCUUUGGGGCACAUUACAAUGCUUAAGUUAGAUAUGUGAGUAAAUUGAAGAAUUUUUAUAGAGAAAAAGAGUAGAUAAAUAAACCUUAUGAUUGGGUUACUAUGGGGUAUUUACAAAUGGCAAGUGAGCUUGCUAUUUAAUGUUAUUGGUGGCAACUUGGGUGCUAGGUGGUGUACCUCUAACAUGAGACUUUCUUUCAUGGACUUCAAAAGAUGUCAUCUAGGUUGGACAUUCUAACACUCAAUCCCUCAUCAGUUUGAAAUGUAUAAAUAUUCUUGAGGUUUAUGGGUUGGCUUAGUCUUUAUUUACUUAAAGAAUGGUAACUCAUUCACCAUUUGCGGGAACUAACUUGGUAAAUAUUCUCAUCUUCAAUGAAUUAUCUUGUGCGUCUUCCACAUUCCUUAUUUUGUGGCUCUUUGAAAGUUAAGGUGUGCCCAAGGUAUCUUUUGUUAGGAGCACCAAUCCUUUUAGUCGGGGCUCUUUUUCCUUGCUUUAAGGCUUCAUUUCUUUUUUUAUCAUUGAUUUGACCUUCAUUUGUUUGUUCUUGGUAUUUCUUGAAUGGAUGCUCAAAUUUAGUUGUGAUACGUUUCGAAAUAAUGAUCUUUAGUACGUGAAGGACUCCUCAAAUUUCUUGAAGCCCUUUAAGAAGGGUCCCUUUGUGAGUUACUUUGGUGUAUCUCAUAGCAAUGACAAUAAUCUUUGGGAUGAAUAUUGAUGUUGAACAUGAUUUUUCUCAAAAAAAAGGAAAGCUUGGUACAAGGUCUAUCCCUAUUGUUAAUGAAUUUCUUCUUGUUUAUCUUUCUAUAGUUUUGGGUAAAGGGUUAUGAAAUUUUUGACAUUUCUUUUUAGUGUUAAUCCAUUGACUUAAGGUUUCUUUAUUUUUAUGAGGUUUUAUUAUAUUAUUCACCACAUCACCUCUAUUUUUGUUAUGACCUUAGAUCAAGGUCUUUCUUAUGUUAGAUAGUCUUCUUGGUCUGACUUUUUCAGUUGGUGCUUUUUCAAUCCUUUCUCAACUUUCUCUUUCCUUCCAAUGUUUCCCUAACCUACAUCCUCGAGAAUUUGUUGCACAAUCCUUUUAAGAUAUUCAUUCCUGAUAAGUUUCUUGAUAUGAUUCUUGAGGUGGAUAGAUUUUUUAAUGUCGUAGUCGUGGUUGUGGUCUUUGUGCAAGAGGAAACACCUGUUACUGUAAUCCUUACAAGCUAAUCGUGAUUCACUUAUAAGCUCUAAACAAUAUUUAAUUGUAUUGAAAUUAUUAUAGUUUUAUAAUAAUAUAUUGGGAUAUUUCUUUAUCCAUAAGUGAAGUAUAUGAUAUUUAACACUUGUGUAUAUAAAUCCCAUGGAACACAUUAGACUAUGUAAGGGAAUUAUAUAGAGUUAUAAUUAUGAGAUCUUUAUGCAUUAAAGCCAUGAUUCCUAAAUUGAACCUGACCAUUGUAUUAUUGGGUUGAGGUAUUGAUAAUGCUCAAAGUUUGGCACAUGUUAAUGCUUCAUGCAUAGGAUGCAUGCAACUAAUUUCAUAAGUUGAAGUAUAUGAUACUUAAGCAUAACAUGUGGGUGCUUGUUAUGAGAACAAAUACAUUGAACAUGACCUAUUAUGACAGUUCCAUUUGGCAUUUCACUCAAGUGUCUAUGGAAAUACUCCCAUGUGUUGGUAGUGUAAGUAAUUCUUAGACUUAUGACACUGACUCACCUUGUAUGUUGAGUUUCAUACUUUGAUUCAUUAUGAAGUGGGUUUGUAUCGAUAAAUUGCUUAAGUUAGGAUAUUUUGGGUAUAUGACAUAAGGCAUAUAAAGGUGGUGGAAUGGUCCAGAAAGGAUCCAUCACCCUAAGUGAUAUGAAUGGAUAUAUCCUACAUGCUCUUGACUCAUAUUAAUCGCACGUCCUUGGCCAAGGAAAUUUAUUAGGGUUAAUACAAGGAGUUGUAAGACUAACAUGGAUAAGUAAAGGUAGACAUCGUGCCAUGACUUUUAGCUUAUUUGAGACAUAUGAUACAAGGAUAAAAUUACACAUAGAUAUCGAACACUAAAAAGUUUUGUCAAAAAAAUAUUUUGUCUCUUCCAAUAAUUGGGGGUUAUGAUGGGUUUCUAGAUCUCGCUCAUGAUGUUCAAAUAUAAUUUAAUACAAAAUAUAAUUAUUUCUUAAUUGAAAUAAAUUGUAUUUGUUUCCAACAUAAUUGUAAGCCUAAUGUGUCACGCAAUAAUGGAAUUUAGAAAUUAAAAUGAGAAAGGACUAAAAUUGAAUAGUUUAAUAAAGUUUAAGGGUUUAAAGUGUAAUUAAUCAAAAGUUGAUUAAAACCCUAGCCUAUAUAAUCCAACUUAGCCAUACAUCUUGUGCAGUUGUUGUUUUUCUUUAGGGUUUCUCUUUUCAUGAACAAACAAAAAGAAAAAUAGUACAAAAAGUAUUUUUUGAAUUUUUGCUUCAAGUUUUUCUUUUGAAAUUGAGAUUGAGACAAAAAGGGUGUGGAUCUGCGUGAUCAAAUACCUAUCACUAUCUUCGCAAAAUGGAUCUUGACCUUACGAAGGUUUUCUAAAUUCCUAGUGUGGAUUAUGUUAGAUCUGGUGCCCUAAGUGUAGUAUUUUCGUUUGUAUACUUGUAUUUUUUUGAACAGAUAGGUUUAAUAAAAUUAUCCAUGAGUUGAAUUGAUAUUCUUUAUAUAUUUUCCUCAAUGGUUUUUGCACACAAAAUAAAAUUGAAGCAAAUAUUAGCUCACUAGUUAUCUAGUGUUUAACUAAUAUUAAACAGUAUUACGUGUUCGGAUCGUAAGAAAAAAAUAAAACUUGUAUUAGUACAUGAACCGAAACAUGUCUUUAAUCUAAUUGGAAAUGAACAAACCAAUUGAAAGACUAAUAUGUCAUCUAUCAAGUCCAAUUGGGGAGGUGUUUUGUCUUGGUCACUGGAGCAGAUAACUUUUAGAAGAUAGAGAUAUAGAUUUAAUUGAUUGGACUGACAGUACAUCAGACAAGACUCAAGUAAAAUAGAUCUUUAAUCUAUUUAAGUAUUUUUUCACUUGUGAAAUUCAUUGUGUAGCAUACCCUAAUCUUGAGUGGAUGGUGGACUAUGUAUGCGUGUCUCGUAUACUUUGAUGUGAGUAAAAACCCAAGUUCAAAUAGACAAGGAACCAAAAGCUGGCGCGUUGGGUAUACGACUUCUGUAGUAUGUAGUAUCAUUCACUGUAACACCCCUUACCUGAGACCGUUGCCGGAGUUGGGCACGAGGCGUUACCUGACUUAACUUACUAGUUCAGAGCAUAAAAAUUUACUUUUUAAAAAAAAAUUAUUUGCUAACGUUCAUUCAAUAUGUCCCUAAAAAGGACCUUCGAGACCCUAAAACAUGCAACGAAAAUGGUUCGGGUCCAAACCGAGAACAUUAAAAAUUUUUCUGAAUACUUAAAUAAAUCAAAAUAAAUUAUUUCACUAUUCACAAUAAAACUGUCCACUUGCGUAAUAGUCACUAAUUUAAUUAUAACUCGAGUUAAAAAACUUAAAAUUUAGAUCCAUAAAUUUUUCCUGAAACUAGACUCAUAUAUCUUCUUAUCAUAAAAUUUUUAGAAUUUUUCGGUUAGCCAAAUAGUACAGUUUAUUCGUUAAAGUCCCCCCUAUUUCACUGUCUGAUGGUUCUGACCCCUAUUCACUAGAAAUCAAUUAUCUCAUUGUACAGAAUUUUUUUAAUGUUCUCGUUUGUUUCUUUUAAAAAUAUACUCACUAAGGAAUCUAGACAUAUAAAUUAUAACUCAUAUUUAUUUUUGUACAAUUUUUAAUGAUUUCCUAAAAUCAGAACAGGGGACUUCAAAAACCAUUCAGACACUGUCUCACUAAAAUUCAAAUAUUACAAAAUAUAAAAUUCUUUUGCCUACACCAUUUCUUUCAUAUGAAAAUAGACUCGAUAAUAUUUAAUUCUAUAUCUUAUUUACUCUCUAAUUCCAUUUCUACUAUCCUUGGUGAUUUUUCAAAUUCACGUCAAUGUUGCUGUCCAAAAAUUGUUCCAUUGCAAAUUUUUACUCUUUUAUAAUUUCUUUGUGUUAACUAUCAUUUAGGCAUACAUAACACCAAGACAUGUUCUUAAUAGCCAUUUCAAUGGCUAAUCAUUAUCAAGUAUUUACAUGCUAUUUAUUAGCCAUAUCAUAAGGACACACACAUAAAAUGACUAAGUCCCUAUACAUGCCAUAACUUAAAACUUUUCGAAUCACAAAAUACCGAGAUGAUCUGUUGAUAGUGUGAAACGAUCUCCGAGGUCCUUACGAUCCCUGAAUUUGCUUGGCGAUACUAUAAAAAAAGAAGGAAAAUAAAGGGAGUAAGCGUAAAGCUUAGUAAGUUUACAAGUAAAUAAAUAACAACAUUUAUCAUAAAUAAUUAUACUCAUAAAUUAUCAUAAAUUAUCAUGAUCUUUACUUUCUUCUUUACUUACUCUCUUACUUGUUUACUUACUUGCAUACUUAAAUAACUCAUGAUUAUAACUUACUCCUCCCUUGCUGAAAUUUCUUUCUCAACUGAUAACUGAGAUAUUUUGAACCCUUAUAACUCACCUAAAUCUAUUUAUUAUGCUUUUACCUAAACUUUCAUGUAACAUAGUCUAUUUACUAGCCCGUUGAACCACUUGGAAUACUAAGGAUACUUGGGUCUUCUAUCUGAUAAUAACAUGCCAAAGCCAUGUCCUAGACAUGGUCUUACAUGGGAUGUUUCCUGUACUGAAAAUGUCGUAUCCCAGAUAAGGUCUUACAUGAAAGUUAUCAUAUCGGUGCCCAUGCCAUGUCCCAGACAUGGUCUUACAGGGGACCUCUCAUUUCGGUGCCAACGCCAUGUCCCAAACAUGGUCUUACGUGGGACCUCUCGUAACCUCAAUAAUGCCAAUGCCAUGUCCUAUACAUGGUCUUACAUGGGGUCUUAUCCCUCUAAUGUCAUGACAUUUGUAUUUGAUACAUUCCUAAUGUUUCAACGGGACUUUUUAACACUGAUUAUCUAUCAUCUCAUACAUGAGUCAACAUUAAAUAAUUUCAUGAAAUAAGUACAUAAUUUCUGGAAAAUAACAAAAUUAAUAAUAAUUAUUGAAAUAUUUUAUUUAUUUACCGUAAACUUACCUCGGUACAAAAUACGAUCAAAUCUAGCAACUUAGUCUUCAACCUUUUUCUUUCUUCAGUCUAACUCCAAAUUUCAUUCCUCUUGAUCUAUAAUAGUAAAUUUAGCUUAUUUAAUACUCACAUUCAUCAAAACAGUCCUUGACUCGAACUUUUCCAAAAUUAUGAUUUUGCCCCUAAAAUUUUUCAUAUUUACACUUUUGCCCCAAAGCUCGGAAAUUAAAUUUCAUCCCUUAUUAUUAUGUUUUAUGAUAUGCUGAACAUAUUUCCCUUCUAUGGCAACAUCAAAUUCUCACUCUAACAUUUACUUAUGAACAUUAGGUAUUUUUACCGAUUAUGUCAUUUUACUCGUUUUCACUUAAAAUCGCCUAGCAAAAGUUGUUUAACAUAAUUUCAAGCUUCAUAUUAUACCAUAAAAAAUAAAAAUAAACACAUUUCACCUAUGAGUAUUUUUCCAAAUAUGAACCCUAACAUGAAUUAAUGGUAGAAUAAGCUAAAUUGAGCUACGAGGACUCCAAAAACAUAAAAAAAACAUUAAAAAUGGGGCUUGGAUGCACUUACUAUGAGCUUGAGAAAGUGAAAAAACCCUAGAUAUGGAGUCCCUUGAAGUUUCGGACUUAUGGAGAAGAUGAACACAUUUUUAUCUAUGCAUGCCCAUUUUUGUCCAUGAAAAUCUAAUGGUCUAAUUACCAGUUAAGGACCUCUACUUCAAUUAUGCACUUUUAUUAAAUCCUUUAUCAUGUAAAGCUCAUAUUUACCCACUUUUGCAAUUAAACCCUAAUAUGCAAUUCAGACAUGCAAUCGCUGAAAUUUCUUAUCGGUAUUCUAACACAUGCAUCCAAUAAAUCGGUAAAUCAUAAAAAUUAAUCACAAUAAACUUUUCUAUCUUGGAUUCGUGGUUUCGCAACCAUUGUUCCAUUUAGGCCCUAUUUCAAGAUGUUACAUUCAUGAUAAUGGAAUCAUAGCCCAAGAAAUGGGUAAAUGAUAUCCUCUCAUUGAUAUUACAUGAUUGAUGAAAAAUAAAUGUGGUCAUGAGUUGUUUGUGAUGAAUGAUUUAAUUACUGUUCAAUAGAACUUUUCAUGAAGGAAGAUGUAAUGGUUACCACGAGCUAAAAUAGGAUUAUAUUGGGCGAACGAAUUGUUCCCAAAUAGAUUAAGGAUACCAACACACUUAUGACAAGGUUAUUAGCCAAGAACUGAUCGAGUAGCUUUCGUAAUGGUAUAUAAUUGGGAGGAGCUCAAUCAUGCUAUAGUGAAAUGACUUCGUCAGUAAAUGAGUUUAUAAUUAAUAGGCAAAAAGCUAGAACUUAAUUAUAAAUCAUUUAAGCCAUAAUUAUAUAUGUUCAAUCGGUCCCUACGCUAGCUCGUUAAAACACGAAAUGAAUUGCAUGUAGAAUCAAAUGAACAUAAAUGGAUGGAAAUGAUAAUGUUAGAGAAAUUAAUUACAUUAAAAAAUGAAUGUGGUUUCUCACUAAGUAUAGAAAUGGCCUAAGAAUUAAUUUAAGUUUUUUAAAUUAUAUUUAAUUAAAUAAUUGAAGUUCAAAAAUAGAAUUAAAUUAAUUGGUCAUUGUGAAUCCGUGAAAUAUGAAAAUUAAAUAUAUUUUUCCAUAGGUUCUUUUAUGGUAAAGUUGUCAAUUAUUUAAUCAGAAAAGUUAUUAAUUUAAAUUAAUUUAAUAAAUAAUAUUUAUUUUGAGAAACAGAAAACAUGUAUUGGGUUGGAUUAAAUUAUAAAGUGUUAGGUUAAAAUUCUAGAAAACACAUAUAAUUAGACCAAAUACAUGAGAGGUAUGAAACCCCUCAUAAUGUGUAUAAGGGGCGACAACCCUAGUAAAAUUAACUACGGUUAACUGCCCCUCUGUCCUAAAAGAAGUAGGAGACUUAUUUUUCUAGUAGAUAAGUAUUAUUUGUAGUUUACUAAUUAACUCAGGAUUCUUCAAUCUCUCUUUAUAAAUAGAUGACACUGGUAGGAUAAAAACGUGCAACUUUGAUGCAUUGUUAUUCUGCCCAAAAAUAGUGAUAUUUAUUUUCUAAGUAUAAAUUCAAUCGAUUUCUGUAGAGAGAUUUAGUUUCCUACUGAAAGUAAGAAAAUUAUUUUUGGUUCUGUGUUUGAUUCUUGAUUGUUCGAGUCCACACUCGAAGCAAUUUGUGGUACGAGAAUAGCGAAGAAAGUUACAGAUAUAGAUACAAAGCACAAAGCACAUAGCACAUGUAACUUCCAUCUUAUUCAAUCCCAACCCCAAUGCAAAUGCAAAUUUAUAGAUAUAGGCAUAAGCACACGGUAUUCUACAAUUUGAUGAUAUGUAUAAUAAAAGUUUAUACAAAAAUAGAUUAUCAAUUAAUGGUUUUAUAAUCCAAAUUGGAUCAUACAAGCCCUACGGUAGGCCUAUGUUUGAUUGGAAUAACAUUUACAGCCUUAACGAAAAAUUUAGAAUCUUGGCCCACACGCCCGUGUGGAUUAACACGGCUUGGAGGCUAGCCCGUGUGGUCCACAUGGCCAAGCACACACCCGUGUGGCUCCCUCCUUGAGAAACACGACCUGGAACAUGAUCACGUGGCUCAAAACAGUGAGUUACACGAUCUAGCACACGGUCAAACAUACGUCCGUGUGGAUGAAAACACAAAAUAUCUCUCACACGGCUUUAACACACGCCCUUGUGUCACUGCCCAUGUGACUUUAAUUCCAAAAUAGUGAGUUAGAUGGCCUGAACACACAACCAUGUCCCUGGCCUAUGUGUUUCUAAUUCCAAAAUAGUGAGUUACACGGCCGGGACACAUGCCUGCGUGACUCUAAUUCUGAAAUAGUGAGCUAUAUGGUCUGGACACACGCCCAUGUCCCUGGCCUGUGUGACCCUAAUUUACAAACAGUGAGUGACACGGCCUGUCACAUGACUUGACACAUGGUCGUGUGAUCCACAUGGCCUACCACAUGGCCUGACACAGUAUGGUGUCGACAACCCUAUUUAUUAGCGUUUGAAAUUUGCAGAAAGUCAGGUUUCGUUACACACCUAAUGCGAUUCUGACAUAGAAGUGAUUAAAGUGAAUCCAAAGCCUAAAAAUAGCAAUCCAAUACCUAAAUAAACAGCUAUUUGCAAUUAAAAUGUUAUAAUUCACAUACGAAACCCAAGGCAUGUCGAAAGAUUCGACAUCAAAACUCAAUUCAUAAAUUUAAACACUUACCACACGCACUACAACAAUUCAUAGACUACUAACAUUGGAGAAAUCGUUAUUCUCAAGGCCUUUGCCUAAAAUAGAACCAAUUAAGCAUUCAGAAAGAGAUAUAGGACAAAUAAGGAAACACCCGAAUUGACAAUAAUGAGCGAGAGCAAUAUACACAGAAUUUCAACUAUAAAACUUACACUGAUACUUUUUAGUUGAACACGAAAAAAUACGCAAUACCUUCAAUAGAGUAGUAGCAAGAUUAACGGAAAGAAAUUAAAAGAAAAAGAGAAGUAAUCUAGAAGGAAACGAUAAAGAAAGGAAUGAGAAUGAAAGAAAAAGGGGAGAAAAAGGAAAGAAAUAAAAAAUGGAAACAAAUAAGUUAAUUAAAAAUUCAAGAACAAAAAAAAAAUAAAGAACAAGAACCAACUUAAUGACAUAACACAAAUAUUCCUCUACAUUGGCUGCAUGGGGACUCGAACACAGAAUCUAGGGAAAUACAGAUGCUUAACCAUUGAACUAGCAGGUUCUUUCUUGAAAUAGAUGAACACAAAAAUAAAUUUAAAUUAAGAGUUCAAGGAUAAGGAUUAAACCAAAAUAAAUAGAAAAAAUUCAAGCGAGAAGACUCGAACCCUUGAUCUAAAAGACAUAAACAUAACACUUAACCAUAGAUACAGAGACUUAAUUAUUUGCAGAAUUUAUUAAACAAUUGUUCAAAAUUUGGGGCGUUACAUUCACUUUCAUUCUUAAUACAAAUCAGACUUUUUUUUAAACUCUAUACUUUUGAUUCAUUUAUCAUGUUUACUCUUUAUAUUGAUUCUAUAUUGUUUACGAAAAUCAUGGAUACUAAUCCCUUUAUGGGGGAUUAGCAAGUGGAGGUAUGAUCUGUUAACUAUUUUGUAGAAUUACAUAACGGAUCAACUUUUUGGGAAAAGAAGAACUUAAACCAUAGGUUGAUGACCCUAGGAAGUUAUCAAGGUGGGAAUUAACCCAAAAUUGGUAUGACAUAUCCAUGAACACCUUAACCCCAAAUUGGUCUGAACUACGAGGUAGGAAGAUAAGUAGUAAUUGCUAACUUGUUGUUCUAGUAGACGUAUCAGAAGAUCCUGCUAGGGUAUCGACUAGUUGAUUGAUGAGGAACCCAAAGCGACAAUUCAUGAAGAUUACUGAAACAAGCUAAUCACCCAAAAUCAGAUUUGAUCAAUUCCAAUUUUCUAAUUUCUCGAUCAAAUAUAUCUGAAAGAUCCAUAUAUGGACUUAUUGUUAUUGCUUUUACUAUAAAACCCUAAAAAUUCAAAUUAUCUAUAUUUUCGUAAUAUAGCCUAUUUCAAGUACUAAUUAGAUCUUUUGGUGUUUAGGUUAAAAUUGGUCUAGUACUAGCCUCCUUUGGGUAUGAUCCUCUGAGUACUCACCUACUCCAUUGUAACUAUAUUACAACCUAACCUGUAUACUUACGAACACUGCCUCUUUUAUAAUUAUCUUUUGCUGCAAAUGUUAGUACGUCCGAAUGCGGUAAAUAACAAAGCAUACAUGAGACUCCCUACCGUAGAAGCAUAAGAAACAUCUUUCAUAUUUUCUCUUUUUUUUGCUAUCUUAGGAUAGUCCUCCAAAGAAAGAUGAAAUCUCAAUAUAGAAGGUUGAGUUCCCUUUUUAGAAUUGUUAAUUGCAUAACGUUCCAAUACUUGUCUAUGUAUGGUUAUUAUGAUAUUGUUAUCACUUUGUUCUUUUGAUCCCUUAGGAUUCGAAUACUAAGAACAAAAUUAGCUACUCCCAAGUCCUUCAUGCUAAAUUGUUAAGUUAACCACAAUUUAACUGAUGACAACGUCCCUAUAUUUCCAAUGAGUAGUAACCACAAUUUAACUGAUGACAACGUCCCUAUAUUUCCAAUGAGUAGUAUGUCAUCGACAAAUAGAAUAAGAAAGACCACCUUUCCAUCCUAUAUACUUUUUUAAACACAAGGUUCAUCAACGUUUUGCUCAAAUCCAAAGGUUUUGAUCGCUUGAUGAAAUCUUUGAUCUCAUGAGCGAGAUGCUUACUUAAGUCUAUAUAUGGAUCUAAGCAGUUUGAAAACUUUAUGCUUGUUUCCUUUUGCUAUAUAUCUGGUGGGUUGCAUCAUAUAGACGCUCUCUUCAAGGUAUUUGUUCAAGAAUGUUGUCUUGACAUCCAUUUUCCAAAUCUCGUAAUCAAGAGUCGUCGCAAUGGAUAACAGUAUACGAAUUGAAUUGAACAUGACAACCGAAGAGAUGAUCUCAUGAGCGAGAUGCUUACUUAAGUCUAUAUAUGGAUCUAAGCAGUUUGAAAACUUUAUGCUUGUUUCCUUUUACUAUAUAUCUGGUGGGUUGCAUCAUAUAGACGCUCUCUUCAAGGUAUUUGUUCAAGAAUGUUGUCUUGACAUCCAUUUUCCAAAUCUCGUAAUCAAGAGUCAUCGCAAUGGAUAACAGUAUACGAAUUGAAUUGAGCAUGACAACCGAAGAGAUGGUUUCUUCGUAAUUGAUAAUGUCUUUUGUAUUAUAACAUUUUGCUACAAGUCUAGCCUUGUAAGUUUUGACUUUUCCAUCCAUAUUUCUUUGCUUCCUGUAAAGCAAUUUACACCUUAUGGGUUUGGUAAGUUUAUAAGUUCUCAUACUGAGUAAGACUACAUAGAAUCCAUUUCAUCUUUCAUAGCUAUUUCCCAAAGCUUAGAAUCAGUGCUUUGCAUUGCUUCAUCAAAUGUGAGUGGGUAAUCAUCUUCCUGUUUGACAGACUCAGUGUUUAGAACAUUUUCGCCAGAUUGGAAGAACUCAGGCCUACGACAAAUCUUCCAACAACGACGAAGCUCCCUAUGUUACUGAUCAUUUACAGGUCUACUAUUAGGAGUUGAUUCUAGAACUGUUUUAAUCAAGCUUUGUGUAUUUCCCAAAAGUUGUGUGAGUUGACACUAUCAUUAUUCUCUUUCGGGUUAUAAAACACACCACCCUUUGAUCCCCUAAGAUAUCCCAAAAACAUACACAAUUUUGUCCAUGAAUCCAUCUUCCUCAUAUCUUUAUCCAAUACGUGGGUUCGUUAUCCCAAAAUCCCUAAAUGAUUUAGAUUUGGCUUCCUAUCGUUUCAUAAUUAAUAUUGAGUUUUAGAUGCUACCUUAGUUGAUACAUCAUUCAGAAUAUAAGAAGUUGUUUGUAAUGUAUACCCUCUAAAUAGAAAUUGGCAGCUUCGAAUAACUUAAAAGCGACCAAACCAUGUCUAAGAAGGUUCAAUUCAUUCCCUCUACCAUGCCAUUUUGUUGUAGAGUGCCCGACACAGUUGAUCUGCCAUAAUUUGAUACGACAAAUUAUGCUCUCCAUUACACUUAAAGAGUUUAUUCUUGAGCAAUUUAGAUGUCUUUUUGUUACUUUUCUUGAUUUUUAGUUUUAUCAUUAAUAAAAUGUUUUUAUUAGUUUUAAGUCAUUUUUAUACCUAAAUUGGCCAAUCAUGCUAUGGGGAACCUAACAAGUUGAUUGAGUGUUGUAGAGAGUCGACAGUGGCCCGAACGUGAAAAAUACAUCACCUAAAUGAGGUAUCGCGAUAUCGAAGCAUGAAAAUUGUGAUACCCCUGACAGUGUCAAAAUAAAAAGAAUCGAGACUAGAUACAGUGAUAUUGCGAUACCAAUUAAUGGGUAUGACGAUACCAAGACAUUUCAAGACCAUUCAUUUCAAGACUGUUAUGGGUAUCGCGAUACCACUGCCUAACGAGUAAAAAAACUACAAGGGCAAUUUUAUGUCAAAACAAGCUUAAGUCUAUUUUUCAUUUAAGGGCAUAAUGGUCAAUGUUAGGUUAAAUGUUAGUAGGCUAUAAAUACAAAUUCAUAAGCCUUUGUUUUCAGAUUUUGUUGGUUGAUAGUUUCCUUCAGUUUUCCAUAGUUUUCCAUGUUAGGUUUUCCUUUCUUCUUCAUUUUUGAAAACUAUGUAAAAGAGAGAUGACCAAACUCUUGGACUUCAUUGGAUUUCCAUAAAUCAAAUGAACAGUUCUCAAACUCUUUACUCUUAUUUUAUGCUUACCAUGUGUUUGAUAAAAUGCUUGUUAAGAAUUUAAGUUUGAUUAUGUGCUAAGUUUGUUGAUGAUUGGUUGAUUAGUUAUUUGAUAGUUAAGUUAAUUUUUGUGUUUGAUGUAUUGAUUGUUCAAUUAUAUCAAAAUUCUUAAUACACUAGAAUUGACGCAUCUAGUGGAAAAUCUAGAUAAAUGAGACUAAGAGGAGAGUUUAUCCUUAGAUAGUUCGAUAUAAUUGUAUCGAGUAAUGAGACCGAGAGGAGAUAUAUAUGCUUAGGCAAGACCAAGAGUGGAACCUAGGUGGUAUCUUUUAGUUUAGGAUGAAACUAAUGGGAGAUUCCUAACUAAGAGUGAUAAUCAAUAUAAUCGUUAUAGAUUUAUUAGCUUAGUUCAUGAUUAACAAAUCAAUCGACCAUCGGUUUAUCAUUUACAUUUUCUAAAACAAAAUGAGAGAAAAUUAGAUUAGUUAGUUUAAUUGAUAAUUUAAAUUUAGUUUAUAAAAAAGUUUCUAUUUGAAUUUUCACUAAUGAUUUCCAACUCGAUUAGAUUAAUAAUUGAUUUACUUGUAAUUAACUUGAUAAAUAUAUUUACCCACUUGGAAAUCAUUUGGGUUCAAACCAUGGGUUACUCAAGUGUUCGAUUGACACUAAAAAUAUUACAACUGACACUGUACGCUUAUUGUUAAAACCACAAUUUUAAAUUGCAUUAUAAAAUUAUUUAUUUUCUGUGCACAAGCACGUGCGGGUCAAGUUGUUGGUGUCAUUGUCGGGGAUUGUGACGGUGUAAAUGUGUAGUCAAGUUAGUUACUUUUGAAGCGAUAUUAGUGAAAAGAAUAGGGAAUUAGAUAGUGUUUUUUUUCUAUAUAGUGUUUUAUUUUUAUUUCUUUAGUUUCAUUUGACUUGUUGAAGAUUUAACUUAAUCAUGUUUAAUAAAAAUGGAUAUAGGUUGUCGAGUGACCGAUACAACUAUAAAGAUCAAUUAAGUUCGACGAAUGGAGAUUCGAUGAAUCAUUUGAGUUAUGACAAUGACUAUGAGAGGCAAGGAUACGAGUAUCCUUAUGAUUCUUAUGGUUAAGAGUAUGGAGAGGAUGGUUACAAUAAAAAAUGGGUACGUAGUAACUCGAAGUAUGAUCUGUAUGAUCUAUAUUCCUCAUAGGUAUGAUCUGUAUGAUCUAUAUUCCUUAUAUUAUGAGGACGGGGGCAAGCAUUUGGAAGAGCCUAAUGAAGAUCACUACGAAACCAUUCGAAUGAGUAAACUUGAGAAAAGUGUGUAUACGUUGCAGGCUGAUGUGCACCAAAUACAUGGUCGAUUAGACCAAAUUUUCCAGUGGAUGCAAAGCCAUGCCUCCUCGAGUAUACCAAGUAAGCAAAUAGUGGAAGUCGUCCAAGGCCGAGCUGUAAUGAACACUCUAAUGGAAGAGGUCGAGCAUGAUAUUACUGAGCUCAAGGAAAAGGUCCACUCCACUGUUACUGAGCAUGAUGAGUUAAACAUAGGAUUAGGCUUAGGAAUAAGAGUAGGAGAGGGAAUAGGUGUAAAAUUAGAGAUUGGGAAAGAGCUAAAUUGGGAACUAAGUGAAGGUGUGGAGGAGCCAACACAUUUUCUGACUAUUUUUGAAGAUGAUCCAACUGACGGACUUAAUGAACAUACUUAUUUUCAAUUCAAAAUGAGAAUUGAAGUCUGGGUAUCUACGGCUUAUGGCGACAUUGAGUUUGUGAUACUCGAAGCUAUAGUACCUUGGAACGAGUUGUAGAGUUUGGUAGGCUUUGGGAGGAAGUGUCCUGUGGCAUGGCUAUCUAGAAGGUAAAAAAUAAGACAACAGCAAUAUGCUCAAACGCCAAGGGGUUCUUAUUCUAGUCAUGAAGAACUAAUGACGAUUCAAGCUGUCGAGGGUUGGAUUCGGUGCCCUAAGUGUAGUAUUUUCGUCUAAGUACACUUGUAAUUUUUUGAAUAGAUUGGUUAAUAAAAAAAUUCAUGAAUUACAUUAAUAGUUUACAUAUUGUCCUCACAUGGUUUUUGAACGCAAAGCAAAAUGUAAGUAAAUGUUGCUCACUGGUUGUCUACUAUUUAACUAAUAUUUAGCAGUAUUAUGUGGCCAGAUUCUAGUACAGAAAAAUUGUUUGUAUUAGUAUACGAACCUAAACAUUUUCUUAGUCUAAUCAAAAAUGAGCAAAUUGAUUGAAAAAGUAAUAUGUUUACUAUCAAGUCCAGUUGGGGACAUGUUUUGUCUUCGGCAUUGGAGCGAAUGACUCCUAAAAGAUAUAGACAUAUAUGUGAUUGAAUGGACUGGCAGUACAUCGGAGUGGACCCAAGUAGAAUAGAUCUUGAAUCUUUUUAUGGAUCUAUUCACUUGUGACAUUCAUAGUGUGUUAUACCUAAAUCCUAAGUGGAUGGCGGACUAUGUAUGUGUGACUUGUACACUUUGAUGUAAGUAAAAGUCUAAAUUCAAAUAGAUAAAGAACCGAAUGUUGGUGCGUUAGGUGUCAGACUUCUGUAGUAUGUAGCAUCAUUCACAACAUGGAAAUUCCUAGCUCAAGACAUGGGUAAAUGAUAUCCUCUCAUAGGCAUUACAUGGUUGAUGAAAUGUAAACGUGACCACGGGUUGUUCGUCUUUGUAAUGGAUGACUUUAUCACUAUUUGAUAGUGAUUGACUUUUCAUGAAGGAAGAUGUAAUGGUUACCAUAAGAUAACAUAGGAUCAUAUUAGGAAAAUAGAUAUUGUCCCAAAGAGAUCAAGGAUAUACUAUGAGGGUAACAUACUUAUGAUAAUGUCAUUGGAUAAGUAUUCAAUAGUUACUUUGGUAAUGGUAUAUCGUUAGGGAGAGCUUGGUCACGAUACUAUAGUGGAAUGACUUCAUGAGUAAAUGAGUUUAUAAUUAAUAGGCAAAAAUGUAAUGCGCCAAAAUUUUAAUUUUGGGUAUUGUGAAUGUGUGACACAAAAUAUCUGUCUGCUUUAGUGGUUAUGUGUUCUAGGUGUGUUUGGGAGGUCCCAAGUUCAAGCCAGGACUUGGGCAAAUUUUGGUAUUUUUAUGAAUAAGCCUAUAUUUGGUCAGUAGGCUUUUAAGUAAAAGUUGACAAAUAAUUAACAGAAUAGGACUGGUGCUUUGGUGGAUAAGUGGAGUGUUGGUGUGAAGGAGGUCCUGUGUUCGAAUCUUGGCGUGGGCAUUAUGUUUGCUCGUGUGUCCAGGAGAGUUUGAGAUGGACUAAAAAUCUAAGUAGUGGAUUUAGUAGGGAGUUUGAUGGAGAGAAAUAAGGGAUUGGGGUGGUAAUCAAAUAGUCUGUUAAUUCUUUUUUCUUUUUUUUUUCCUUUUUUUACUUUCUCCAUAAUCCCUCCACCCUCUUGUCUUUUUCUCUUCAUUGCUGCCGAAUUUUUGCACUCUUUCACCCUUCAUCUUAUUGAUUUUUCUUUUCCUACUUUGCCUCGUGUCACUCCACGUUUGUCUGCGAUCAUUCAGUAAGUUUUAGAUAAGUGAUUUGUCUUCAUUUGUUAACUUUCUUCUCAAGUUUUUUUAUGCCAAUUAGGGGAGGAUUCAAAGGCACGUUAUCACCAAUCAGAGUCUUAGUUUGUGUGAGAAUUACUAUUCAUCGAUUGAAGGUAAUGUCUAGUCGCCUAUGGGUUAAAACCUCGAUUCGAGUUCAAUCUGGGAUCACAUUAUGUGAGAUGAAAUUAGUGUUUUUUUGUUCAAUUAUAGGCUUUGGAGUGCUUGGGGACUGUUUUAGCAUCAAACAAAACCAGGUGUGUACCCGAAACGCAGAAAAUGGGAUUCAGCAAAAAGCAGAAAUUGCUUGUUGUUUGGACAAUAACAAUAGGCUAAUUUUAAAAAAUCACCAUAAAUUGUGAAAAUCGAAUUAGAGGAUGAAUAAAAUAUAAAAUUAAAGCUUAUUGAGUCUAGUUUCCCAUAGAAUAAAUGUGUAAGUAAUGAAAUUAUAAAUCCUGAGAUAUAAUAAGUUUUGUGAGACAAGGUCAGAAUGAAUUCAAGUUACCCUGUUUUGACUUUGGAAAAUCAUCAAAUAUUGGAGAAAAAUAAUUAAGGGUUAAAUUUUACAUGUUUAAAUUAUUAAUGAGUCUAUUUUCAAUAGAAAAAAAUGGUAACAUCAUCCAAAUUUUUUACUAAGAGAUAAUUAUUUUUUAGCAAAGAAAGGUCAAAUCUGUCAGAUAGCAGAAGAGGGGUAAGAUUGAAGAUUUUACUGUACUUAGUGGAAGAACCAAAAAUUCUAUAAAUUUUAUAGUAGAAAGGUAUUUGAGUCUAGUUUCAAAGACAUCAAGUAGACCUUAAUUUGGAAUUCUGUAGCUCAAGAUAUAAAUAAUUUAGUAAUAGUGACUCAAGUAGACAGCUUUGAAGGAGCAUAUAAGUAAAUAGUGAAAACAUAUAUGAAUAUUUAGCUAGCACGGGUUACAUUAUAAAUGGACCACGCGGCCAAGGCCAAUUUGGGUCGAGUGGGCCACACGGGCAAACCACAUGGGCGUGUGAGCCCAUUAUCACUGAAUUGAUUGCUAAGGUUGCAUGGGUCUCCCAAGUCGACUAUGAACCUAUUGUAGGGUCGGUAAGCAUCACUUAGACCCUUAAUUGUACAAACUGGCUGUUUGAUUUAUAUAUGUGUUGAGCAUGAUGAUAGUAUACUUGUAUACUGAACUAGUUAUAUGUACUGAUGUCCUGAGAUAGCAUGUCAUGACUUGUAUGUUGCAUUGCAUGGAGUUAGGUUAAUUAUAUUUGGAGGAAGUGUACUGAGAGGCUUUUAAGCCUAACAUACUGGCAGCUCAGCUGCAAAUUACUGUUUUGUGCUGCAUUCGGUACUACUUGGAGUGUAGCGAUGGGUGGGUUGAUUUGAUCCCCACAUGGAGUGUAGGGUUGGAUGGAGAUGGUGUGUAGAGGAUGGUUGGGUAGGAAUUUGUUACUGAAUAUUGCAUGACUGCAACUGAUAUUGUGAUGGGCUAAGGCCCAAACUAUUACUGAUACUGAAAAAGGGCAUAGGCCCAGGACUACUUUAACUGUGCACUGUGAUUUGCUAUUGUUUGUUUUUUGUGGGAUUACACAUUGAGUUUUCGUAAAAUCACCCCUUUUGUUUAAAUGUGCAUAGGUAAUCCCCAGAUCUAGACGGAUCGGUGCGGCGGGGGACUUAGCGAUGACCACAGUUUUGGACUUUCAUGGUUUUUAACCCAUAUUUACGAUAAUUUGUUUUAUUUCGAUUCUAUUUUUACUGGCUAUGUUUUUGGGUUGUAAUUGGACAAUCGAACUUUGGUUUUGGGUUUUAAUUAUCUUUACCUUAUGGAUUACUACUACUGCUAGUAGUAGGAAACCUCGAUUUUCAAAAGAAACAAAUGUUUUUCCUAAACGCACAAUUGUUUAAUCUAUUUUAAAAGCUUUUGCAAAUGAAUAAUGUUUUGAAACUAUCGAUUAAAUGAGCAACACAAUUUUGGAACUAAUAAGAUAUUAAGAUAAAGAAUUCAAUAGAAAUGGUUUUAAUGUGACGACACAGUUUUCAAACACCCUAUCAUGUGACAUCGCUAGAUUCGGCCAUAAAGUCUUGGCCGGGUUUGGGGUGUUACAGAAAAGAUGGAACUUAAUUAUAGAUCAUUUGAUCCCUAAUUACAUAUGUUCAAUCAGUCCCUCUGCUAGCUCAUUGAAACUAGAAAUGAAUUGCUUAUUGAACAAAAAUGAAAUAAUGAAUAGAAACAGAGAAAUGGAAAACAUUCAAAAAUGAUUAUGGUUUUCUCCGAAAUGGAAUCAUUUGGAAAUGAAUGUGGGUUUCUCAAAAAAUGGAAAUGGAAAUGAAAAUGAAAAUAAAAAUAAGAAAUGAUCAAUUUGCAAAUAUAUAUGGAUUACUUAGAAAUGACAAGAAGAAUGAGUUUAUGUUUUUGUGCAGUUAUAAAGAUAAAAAAUUAAAAUAAAUCAUUCGGUCAUAGUAAACAAGUUGAGUUGUGAAAUAUUGAAUAUAUUUUCUUGGUAAUUUUACUAGAGGUAAAAUUGUCAUAAUUUUAUUGGGUGUAAAAUUGGGAUGAAUAAAUUAUUUUAUUGGAAAAUUAAUGUUUAUUUUGGAAAAUAGAAAAAUAUGUAUUGGGUUGGAUUAAAUUAUAAAGUGUGGGUUAAAAGUCUAGAAAGCACAUAUAAUUAGGCACAAUACAAUGAGAGGCCCAAAUCCCCAUCAUAUUACAUACGAGGGGAAACACACCCUAUUUGCCCUUCUCCCUCUCCUAGUUGGACCAGGAAGUUGAUUUUCUAUUUGAAAUAAACUUUUACAAUUCAACAAAGGUUCUACCUUCUCUCCCUAUAAAUAGAUAGCACCAGUAGAGCUAUUAACACAAUGUGAAAAUAUUAUUACUCUUUUGAGAAAUAGAGAGCAUUUAUUCUCAACUAUUAUAUAUAUUUUUCCGAAAAAAUAAUUUUGUCAAUUUCUAUUUUGAAGAGAGAAAUUUUUUUACCCCAAAAGUAAAGAAAACUUUUUCUAAUUCUGUGUUUUGUUUUGAUUGGUUCGAGCCCACACCCGAAGCAAUUUGUGGUACGGGAAUAGUGGAGAAUAUCAUUUGGUUGAAAGCUGAAAAAUGUCAAGGAUCUGCUUAUCCAAAAACACAAGUAUGAUUUCGAUUCAAGGUUUAUUGCUAUAAAUAUCACAAACCGGGUCGAUUUUCAAAAUUUUAAUUUUUCGUUGUGUAAGAAAACUAUUUUCAAACCAGAUUUUUUUCGACAUCGAGUACCUUUUGGAAGUUCUUUAAUGGAAAGGAUACAACUCGCCCAAAAGUUGAUAAGUUUUCUUUUUACUAGUUUUUAUUUUGUUUUUAUUUUCUUGUUAUUGCAUAUUUUGUUCUUGGUGUGUUUUGUGUUUUCCUAUGUAGGCCACUCACUUAAGAAUUACACGACAAGCUUGAUCCUCAAUGAGGAGGUGGAGGUGGAUGACCCUAGCUACAUUGAUGAGCACUCACAAUAUUCAAGGAAGUCUGGUAAUCCUUCUAUCUUUGUUUGAGGUAUAAAUAUUGGGGACAAUGUGUAAUUUAAGUGUGGAGGCAUUCAUAUAAAAUUUACAUGUUUAUUCAAUUAGUUUUUUUUGGUUUUGUUUUAUUUUUCUUAUUUUAAUUGUUACAUGGUGCUUGAACAUGAUUUGAUUAACAACUGGUGAAUUGUGGUAUGUUUCUGUGUAAUAGAUUCUUUGAGUUGUACAAAUUUUGAAUGAUCAUUUGUGAAUUUUAUUCUUUGUGAGUAAAUUAUUCAGUUCAAUUUAUUACAUUGUAUAAUAUAAUAGAGGUAAUUAAAAAUUCAUGAAUUUUUUUUCAAAUUUAUCUAAAUGAUUAAUAAGUUUGUAGAUAGAUGUGUAUAUGGAUUCAUUAGAAUUCAACAUUAUUAAUGGAAAUAAGUAGAAGCAUGUUUUAGUUUUGUGAUUGUUAAGAUAUUAAGGGAUGACCUAAAGCAUUCUUGUGUAUCAUAGAGCUUAAAUAACUAACCUAUAUGCUAUAUUAUCCCUAGUUCUUGUAAUUUAAGCCUUCAAUUAUCUUUUCUUGAUCAACCUAUUUUUUUAAGCCUCGAGCCUAAAGGGAGUUAAAAACUCAACAUUUCACCAUCCCUAUUGUAAUGCCCCUCACCUGUCUCCUUCUUUGAAUUAGGGUUUUGGGAUGUUACCAUACAAAAUAGAAAAAAAUCAUACUAUAUCAAUGCAAAGAAUCCCUAAAAAAUUGUUAAACAUCAAUCCUAUAAUCAAAAACAUGUUAUUCAUAUUUUAUCGGUGUUAAAUCGAGCUUACAGAAGUUAUGAAACAAUUUAAAACAAAGUAAGGACUAAUUUGAAACAUUUCAAAAAAAUAAGGUAAAAACACAUAACAGGGGUCACACGGCAGUCGUGUUGUUUAGCCGUGUGCAAGGCUAAAAACCAUGUAGGUGGAGGCACACGGUUGUGUCUCAAGACCGUGUAACAGACUAUGUGCAUAUGUGCCAAUUGAAACCAAAAUCACAUAGACCACACGAUCAUGCCAUAUACUCGUGUAUGGCGCACGACUGUGUGUCAGGUCGUGUAUCAACCAAUUUGAACCUAAAUGUCCCUUUUUUAGCAAGUUACCAAUUGCUAUAACACUUGUGCCACAAGUCUCAUUAUAGCAACAUUCAAACCUAUUAAAAAAUCAUCAAAACAUACCCAAAACAAUGCAUUUUUUAAACAUUUUAAGUGCCUAAAAAAUAUGCCACAACUGGUACCACUAUUCAAACAUUUUCAAACUAACAUUCAUCACCAUUUAUAAAACCAUUCUCAUACCAUAAACAUUUCCAUAUAAGCACCAUCAAAUCAAUAAUCAAAAUUCACCACACGAGAUAAAAAUAGUUACCAAUUCAAUUCAAAACAGAACAAAACUAGAGAUUUGCAUUACAAGCCAAUUCAAACACCAACUUAUACAUAUACACUUGUAACCAAAAUACCUAUUUACAUGCCACUUAUAACCUAACACAAAAUGAUAAAAAAUCUAUCAAGCCGAAGAACGAAUAGUGUGAGCUCUUAAUUGACUUCCAACCAACAUUAAUUUCUAAUGAUCUACAAGAACCAAAUAGAAUAGACGUAAGCAACACAGUGCUUAGUAAGUUCGCACGAAAAAUUAACUUAACUUACUAAGUUUAAUGUAAUUUAAACAUUAAAAAUAAAAGUACACAACCAAGAACAUAUAUUCAUUAAUUGCUUGUUCAAAUCACAUAUCUCACAAGGUUAGUGACUUCGCAUGUGAAACAUAUAACUAUUUCAUGUUUAUAAACAUAUACAAGUAACCACACUUAGUAUACAUAUCAUCUUUCCUGUACAAAUUUACCAUUACAUGCCACUAUUAUCCAUAUUAUAUAAUCCAUAGUCAUUUCAUAUAUUCCUUACAUAUAUCUAGUUUUCACUCUAUGAACCACAGUGAAAUAACAUUGGAUAUGUGGGAAUAACACUCACACGAGCUGUGAAUAUAAUGCUCACACGAGUUCUAAAAUCGGCAUACUCACAUGAGUUGUGGGUUGAGAUGAUAGGAUACAUGAUGUUGCUCACACGAGCUAUGAAAAAUCCCCAACAAAUGCAGUAUCUUAGCCAUCGAUAAGACAUACAAGACUGUUAGAGUAUGCUCAAAGACCAAUCAUGAGAUGGUUGUAAUAACAUACUUGAUUUUUCAUGUUUAUUAAUAUCGUUACCAUUAUUAUUUCAGUUUCUUUUCUGUGUGUAAAAAUAAGUUGUUUUAUAAUAAUGUCCUAAGAAUAAUAUGAUUAUUCUUAAAAGAUCCUUAGUCAAGUAUUAUUGUUGGAUAGGACAACGAUAAUGCAUUAAGACUAACAUGUAGUUGAUUGAUGAUAAAGAGUUGUCAUUGAUAUGGAAUGUCAGAAUCGAUGCAUGAUUAUGUGUGUAAUAAUCCCAACAUCAUGAGUAGUAUAUUUUAAUACAGUUAAACAUACACCGUAACUGGUUGUUCUAUAAAGGCUGAUGUUGGAUAUAUCACAAACGAUGUAGAGGGAUAUGGUUGGUUGAUAUAGAAUAAGUCCCUCCUACAUAAUGGGAGUAAUAUCUUAGGCCACUUGAUUAAGUGAGACUAGAAAUGCAUGGCCAUGCUCAAAUAAGUUCAUAUGAGAUGUCAUACUUAUUUGUAUAUCGUAGUCUGCUUAAGAUAUCAAGGAACAUGGAAUGGACUAUACAAGUGUGGCUAUUCCAUGACUUGUGUCCAAUCCAGAGAUAAAGGACUUAAGGAUUAUUGCAUAAAAGGUUAAUCAUAAAAGGUUAUGUCGAAUCAUGAUCUCUUGUGACUUAGGUAGCAAUGAUGCAUUGCUAGAUGCCACUCAUUGUUUGUAACAUUGGAAUCGUUCUAGUAUUACUGCUAACGUUACAGGAACCUACAGGGUCACACCCUAUAGUUGAAAUGAACGGAAUAAACCAUAUUUGGUUUUAUUUUUGGGUGUCACUUGAAUUAAAUUAAUUAUAGAAUUAAUUUAGUUCAGUAAUCAAAUUUCCAACACAUUAUGUAUAAGGUUGUUGUACCCAUAAUGAGGACAUGAAUUUGAUUAGCAUAUGAAUUUAAAUAAAUAUAUGGUUUACCGAAAUUAUAUUAUAAUUAAUGUAAUUAUAAUUUUCAGUUUAAAAUAUUAUUCUAUUUAUUUAAUUUCUUAAAACCCUAAAAAUAAAAAGUAUAUAUUAGAAUCCCGUUUUUCAUUAUUUUAAGGUCUAGCAGCCGUCAAAGAAAUAUAACUCUCAAAACUGUUUUAGGGAUUUUCUUCCGUUCGUAGUCAACUGGGUGGAUUACGUAGAGGUCGGAGUCUCGAUAGAUUCCGGCUUGGUUUGACUGUAGAUCAGACUACACAUUAUCGAGAAGUUACUGUCUUCUCAAUCGAAAUAUUAGGUAAUUUCGUAAUCUUUUCACCCCGAUUCGUUCUUCACACAUGGAUCCAUGGUUAGGGUCACCGAUUUUAAUUUUUUUCGCUGCGCCGUAGGGGUGCCGGCGAUCCAACAGUGGUAUCAGAGCCACUUGUGUGAUACGGACUCGGGUUUAAAUACUUGGGUGAUGCAAUUGUAUGAGAUGCAUGCUUCAAUCUUUUUAAAUUUCCGACUGUUUAAAUCGUUUAAGAGUAACCUGAUAGUCGUUCCUUUUGACAAUGGAUUAAAUGUUAAUCAUGGUGUUAUGGCCUAAUCGGUUUUAUGUUAUUACUAUUAAGUGUUAAUAAGUCUAUGAUCGUGCGACGGUGGUGUUGACAGUUUCCAAUAAGUGUUAACUGGUUAGUGGAACAAGGGUUGUUCCGGCAUAAAACCUUAGGGAUUAAAAUCCCGAAAACACGAUUCUGUUGAUAACAGUUAUCAAAUCGUGAGGUUUCGUUUUGAAUGGCCUGCUCCCUCUGCCGUCUCAGCCCCCAUCUUCUUAAAUUAUGUUUGUAAUAAAUAAAACUUGGUGGGCCAUAAAAGUUGAAAGGAUUUGUUAUAAUUCACCUUAAUAAAGUGUUUUUAUGAAUGCUAAUUUUUUACAUGAACGGUGUUUGAAAUGCAUAGUUAUAGCCCAACAGCCCAUUUGAUAAAAAGGUUGUAAUUUUAUAAAUACGGCCUGCGUGUCGUGCCUUGCUACUAUUCUCUUGUAUUUCUUUUCUGAUCUUACUCCCUCGUAUGUAAAACGAGUUUCUGCAUAUUGUAAUUUGCAAUAGUUGCUAUGGGCUAGUCGAGAAGGAAGAUGGGCCAUCCAGUGUGGAAUGAUAGCUUGAAAAUCGGCUUACACCUUUAGGUUUCCUUUUGGUUCUCCCAUUGUCUUGGGUUGCGUCACCUUAGUUUAUGGGUUAUAACUAUUGCAUUUAUUUAUUGCUUUAUUCAUGUAUGAGAUGCUAUGGAUGUCUAAAGCAUGCCAAAUUUUUAAACAUGUUAAAAUUUGAUAAUAUUGAACCACAUUAAUUGAUGAGAUCAAUUAAAUGGCUAAAUGGACUAAAGUAAACCGUAAUUGGUGAGAUGGACUGAUCUUAAUAAAAUCCCUCUAUUAAAAUAUUAAGUCAACAUAGCCUUCUAAUUUUGCCCUCGUUAAGGCCUCGAUCAAUACUGUGUAGGUUCUGCUAAAGCGAAGUACUAGUAUUUAUCUUGGUUAAACGCAAAGAAUAAAUAAGUGAUAUUCGCUGGUUAAAAUUGGUUAAUGACUUAACUAGGUUAUUCUAAUAGGAUUAGAAACCUAGAGGCGAGUUAUUUGGAUAAAUCAUAAGAUGAUUAGAACAAGAGUUGUUCACCAAACUUUAGGAGUUACAUAUGAUGUAUUUAGCAAAGUGUUGCUUACCUAGAUAACCAUAAUCUUGAGAGUAAAGCAAAGCUGACUUAAGAGGAGGUGAAAUAUGGAUCCUUAACCUACUUGAAAUACUUUUCGAGAAAGUCUUUCCGAAACUAAUCUAUGAGGGUAUUAGUUUUGUAAUAAAAUAGUGGGAACAUCAUUUAAUUAAGUCAUUUUAAUGUUUGAUAUAAAUUUGAUAAAUUUUCACACGCAUAGUUUCAUUGUUGUAGAUAUAUUAUGGUUGCAAACACAAAUACACUAUCAUUACGAUCGGUCCUUGAGAAGAACAAGUUAAAUGGUUUAAAUUUUCUUGACUGGUUCCGUAACUUGAGGAUUGUCCUCAAACAAGAACGGAAAUUAUAUGUCAUUGAACAACCAGUUCCUAACGAACCACCCACUAAUGCCUCGAGGGCUAAUAGAGAUGCUUACAAGAAGCAUAUCGAUGACAUGGUAGACGUUGGAUGUCUUAUGCUUGCCACUAUGAAUCCUGAGCUUCAGAAGCAACAUGAGGACAUUGUUGCUUAUGAAAUGAUUGAGCACCUGAAAGAACUUUAUCAGGGGCAAGCACGGCAAGAGAGGUUUGAUAUCUCUAAGGCCCUAUUCGAAUGUAAGCUCGCUGAAAGAAGCCCAGUAGGACCUCAUGUCCUUAAGAUGCUUGGCUAUAUUUAAAGCCUGUCUAAGCUUGGGUUUCCAUUGAGCCAAGAGUUGGCCACUGAUGUAUUCUGUAAUCGUUGCCGGAUAGCUACAGCCAGUUUGUCCUCAAUUUCAAUAUGAAUGAAAUUGAUAAGACUCUGCCACAGUUGCUCAAUAUGUUACGAACCGCUGAAGGCAACAUGAAAAAGGUUGGACCCAAGCCGAUACUGAUGGCCCGUAAUAAUAAGGGCAAGGGAAAGGCCAAAGUUCAGACAAAGCCCAAGGGCAAAGGUAGGCCCAAGCCUGGAAAAGUAAAGGCUGCAUUGAAACCUAAAGGAGGGGUGGCUAAGGAAGGAAACUGUUUUCAUUGUGGUGUGACUGGACAUUGGAAGCGGAACUGCCCUAUCUAUCUUGAGGAAGUCAAGAAGGCCAAAAUAAACGGAAUGUCUGCUUCAGGUAUUUAUGUUAUUGAUAUUAAUUUAUCAACUACUACUUCAUGGGUAUUAGAUACUGGUUGUGGUUCUCACAUUUGUACUUCUGUACAGGGACUGCAAAGGAGUAGGACUUUGGCUAGAGGAGAUGUGGACUUACGAGUUGGAAAUGGAGCAAAAGUUACUGCAUUAGCUGUAGGAACAUAUCAUUUAUCUUUGCCUAGUGGACUUGGUUUAUGUUUAGAGGAUUGUUAUUAUGUGCCCAGUUUGACUAAAAACAUUAUUUCAAUUUCUUGUUUAGACAAAAUUGGUUUUGAGAUAAUUAUUAAGAAUAAUUGUUGUUCCUUUUAUCUCAAUAAUGUUUUCUAUGGUUCAGCACAAUUGAUUAAUGGCCUCUAUAUUUUAGAUCAAACAAAUCCCAUCUACAACAUAAAUACUAAAAGAUCAAAAAUAAAUGACUCAAAUCAAACUUAUCUAUGGCAUUGUCGUUUGGGCCACAAAAGUGAGGAACGCAUAUCCAAGCUCCAUAAAUAUGGUCUCUUGGAUUCAUUUAUUUUUGAACAAUUUGAAGUAUGUGAAUCUUGCUUAUUGGGAAAAAUGACUAAAUCUCCUUUUACUGGUAAAAGUGAACGAGCUAGUGAUUUAUUGGGCUUAAUACAUUCUGAUGUAUGUGGGCCAAUAAAUACACAGGCUAGAGGAGGGUUUCACUACUUCAUUACUUUCACUGAUGAUUUCAGUAGAUAUGGGUAUGUCUAUCUCAUGUGCCAUAAGUCUGAAUCCCUUGAAAAGUUCAAGGAAUUCAAAAAUGAAGUACAAAAUCAACUAGGAAAAACUAUCAAGACACUUCGAUCUGAUCGAGGUGGGGAGUAUAUGAGCUUAGAGUUUGAUGAUCUUUUGAAGCAAUGCGGGAUUGUCUCACAACUUACUCCUCCUGGUACUCCUGAAUGGAAUGGAGUUUCUGAAAGAAGAAAUCGAACUUUGUUAGACAUGGUUCGAUCCAUGAUGAGUCAUGCUGAUCUGCUGACUUCCUUUUGGGGACAUGCACUUGAGAUAGCUGCUUUCACACUAAAUCGUGUUCCAUCUAAAUCGGUUCAAAAGACACCAUAUGAGAUGUGGACUGGGAAACGUUAUGUCUUUUAUAAAAAUUUGGGGUUGCGAAGCUUAUGUUAAAUGUCAGACGUCUACUAAGCUUGAACCCAAAUCUGAAAAAUGUGUUUUUGUGGGGUAUCCAAAAGAAACCAAAGGAUAUUAUUUCUUUAAUCCCAUUGAGAACAAAAUACUUGUUGCUCGGACUGGUGUCUUUCUAGAGAGAGAAUUUGUUUCUAGAAAAGGAAGUGGGAAAAAGAUUGAACUUGAUGAAGUUCGAUAAUCACAAAAUACCACUGAACCAGAGAUAGAACAACAGCAAAUUCCACAAGGGAUUGAGGGACAAGUAAUUGCUGUAGAAACACAACCAUCGCGUAGACCUUUAAGAGAACGCCAAGCACCCGAGAGAUAUGGAUUUCUCAUUACAACGCAUGGUGACGUUCUAUUUAUAGAUCAAGAUGAGCCUAGAACUUAUCAAGAAGCGGUGACGAGCCCAAACUCUGAAAAAUGGCUUGAAGCCAUGAGAUCUGAGAUGGAUUCCAUGUAUGAAAACCAAGUAUGGACUCUGGUUGACCCACCCGAAGGGGUUAAGCCCAUAGGGUGCAAGUGGGUUUUCAAAAAGAAAACCAAGAUGGAUGGUAAUGUACAAACAUACAAGGGGCAAUUAGUCGCUAAAGGGUUUCGCCAAGUUCAUGGUGUUGACUAUGAUGAAACUUUUUCUCUUGUAGCUAUGUUUAAAUCCAUCAGGAUCUUGCUCGCUAUAGCUGCAUUUCAUGACUAUGAAAUCUGGCAGAUGGACGUCAAAACAGCUUUCCUUAAUGGGAAACUUGAAGAGGAUGUGUACAUGACACAACUUGAAGGUUUUGUCAAUCCAAAGGAUGCUAGAAAGGUAUGUAAGCUACAAAGAUCCAUUUAUGGAUUAAAGCAAGCUUCUCGAAGUUGGAAUAUUCGUUUUAAUGAUGCAAUCAAAGAGUUUGGAUUUAUCAAAAAUGAAGAUGAGCCAUGUGUUUACAAGAAAGUUAGUGGGAGCACUAUAACAUUCUUGGUACUGUAUGUGGAUGACAUACUUAUCAUGGGAAAUGACAUACCUACCCUGCAGUCUAUUAAGACUUGGUUAGGAAUUUGUUUUUCCAUGAAGGACUUGGGCGAAGCCACUUACAUCUUAGGAGUAAAGAUCUAUAGAGAUAGAUCAAGACGACUAUUAGGUCUAAGCCAAAGUACAUACAUAGAUAAAGUACUGAAAAGGUUCAGUAUGGAAGAAUCUAAGAGAGGAUUCCUACCUAUCAGACAUGGUAUUUCACUCUCGAAGGAAAUGUGUCCUUCAACUCCACAAGAGAGAGAACGCAUGAGUAAAAUUCCAUAUGCUUCCGCUAUUGGAUCUAUCAUGUAUGCCAUGUUAUGUACUCGUCCAGAUGUCUCAUAUGCCUUAAGCAUGACGAGCAGAUACCAAGUAGAUCCCGGUGAAGGUCACUGGACCACAGUCAAGAAUAUCCUUAAGUACUUGAGAAGGACUAAUGAUACUUUCCUAAUAUAUGGAGGUGAGGAAGAGUUAAGUGUAAAAAGUUACAAUGAUGCCAGCUUCCAAACCGAUAAGGACGAUUCUCGAUCACAAUCAGGUUUUGUGUUUUGCCUUAAUGGUGGUGCUGUGAGCUGGAAGAGUUCAAAGCAAAGUACAGUAGCCGAUUCUACAACAGAGGCCGAGUAUAUUGCAGCCAGUGAGGCAGCAAAAGAAGCAGUUUGGAUCAAAAAGUUCAUUACUGAACUAGGGGUUGUGCCUAGCAUAUCAGAUGUUAUAAAACUCCGAUGUGAUAACAAUGGAGCCAUUGCACAAGCUAAAGAACCUAGAUCUCACCAGCGAUCCAAACAUAUACUUAGGCGCUACCAUCUUAUUCGAGAGAUUAUCGAUCGAGGGGAUGUAGAGAUAUGCAGGGUACCUACAGAUGACAACAUUGCUGAUCCCUUGACCAAGCCUCUGACACAGCAGAAGCAUGAUCGUCACACUAAGUCACUUGGUAUUAGAUAUAUAAGUGAUUGGUCUUAGUGCUAGUGGGAGAUUGUUAGAGUAUGCCCAAAGACCAAUCAUGAGAUGGUUGUAAUAACAUACUUGAUUUAUCAUGUUUAUUAAUAUAAGGCGUUACCAUUACUAUUUCAGUUUCUUUUCUGUGUGUAUAAAUAAGUUGUUUUAUAAUAAUGUCCUAAGAAUAAUAUGAUUAUUCUUAAAAGAUCCUUAGUCAAGUAUUAUUGUUGGAUAGGACAAUGAUAAUGCAUUAAGACUAACAUGUAGUUGAUUGAUGAUAAAGAGUUGUCAUUGAUAUGGAAUGUCAGAAUCGAUGUAUGAAUAUGUGUGUUAAAGAACAACAUAUUGGACUGACCCAUUAUGAGUAUGUCUCUUCGAUUAUUAUGUAAUUGUCACGACAUUACUCAUAGUGAUUAAUAUGUAUAUGAUCCUCAGACUUGAGAUCAUCAUAAUCCCAACAUCGUGAGUAGUAUAUUUUGAUACAGUUAAACGUACACCGUAACUGGUUGUUCUAUAAAGGCUGAUGUUGGAUAUAUCACAAACGAUGUAGAGGGAUAUGGUUGGUUGAUAUAGAAUAAGUCCCUCCUACAUAAUGGGAGUAAUAUCUUAGGCCACUUGAUUAAGUGAGACUAGAAAUGCAUGGCCAUGCUCAAAUAAGUUCAUAUGAGAUGUCAUACUUAUUUGUAUAUCGUAGUCUGCUUAAGAUAUCAAGGAACAUGGAAUGGACUAUACAAGUGUGACUAUUCCAUGACUUGUGUCCAAUCCAGAGAUAAAGGACUUAAGGAUUAUUGCAUAAAAGGUUAAUCAUAAAAGGUUAUGUCGAAUCAUGAUCUCUUGUGACUUAGGUAGCAAUGAUGCAUUGCUAGAUGCCACUCAUUGUUUGUAGCAUUGGAAUCGUUCUAGUAUUACUGCUAACGUUAUAGGAACCUACAGGGUCACACCCUAUAGUUGAAAUGAACGGAAUAAACCAUAUUUGGUUUUAUUUUUGGGUGUCACUUGAAUUAAAUUAAUUAUAGAAUUAAUUUAAUUCAGUAAUCAAAUUUCCAACACAUUAUGUACAAGGUUGUUGUACGCAUAAUGAGGACAUGAAUUUGAUUAGCAUAUGAAUUUAAAUAAAUAUAUGGUUUACCGAAAUUAUAUUAUAAUUAAUGUAAUUAUAAUUUUCGGUUUAAAAUAUUAUUAUAUUUUUUUAAUUUCUAAAAACCCUAAAAAUAAAAGGGAUAUUAGAAUCCCAUUUUUCAUUAUUUUAAGGUCUAGCAGCCGUCAAAGAAAUAUAACUCUCAAAACUGUUUUAGGGAUUUUCUUCCGUUCGUAGUCAACUGGGUGGAUUACGUAGAGGUCGGAGUCUCGAUAGAUUGCAGCUUGGUUUGACUGUAGAUCAGACUACAUAUUGUCGAGAAUUUAUUGUCUUCUUAAUCGAAAUAUUAGGUAAUUUCGUAAUCUUUUCACCCCGAUUCGUUCUUCACACAUGGAUCCAUGGUUAGGGUCACCAAUUUUAAUUUUUUCCACUGCGCCGUAGGGGUGCCGGCGAUCCAACAAAGACCAACACCUGAAACGAUAACAACCCGAAUGACAUAUCUUUUGUAUCCUAGUCAUUCACUAAGUUCAUACGAGCCUUAAUUGAUAACCUUAUCAUUUAGUUAUUUAAACAUUGUCACAUUCACAUGAAAUCAACUAUAUAAUUCUCAUUUUCAAUCAUAUACCUUAAUUAUAAGUUCAUUACAUUUUGAUCCAUCCACUGAUUAAUAUUAAUAUACAAGAAAACUCAAUCACAACAUACACAACACAUUAAUUAACGAAGACAACAAUUAAAUCAGUUUAUAAACUAUACGAACUUACCUAAACUGAAUCAGCAGGAACCACAACAGCAAGGACUACUCAGUAAUUUUUCAUUUUUCGCGUUAGUCUACUGGUUGAUUCGUUUCUUGAUCUAUAAUAUAAUUUUAAUUCAAUUAACCAUUUAAAUACCUUAAAUCAUGCUAAUGAACCCUUUAUUAAAAUUUUAAUUCAUACAAUAUUACCCUAAACUUUUACAUUUUGUUUAAUUUAGUGUUUAAAAUGGAAACUUGCAUAUUUUUCACAAUUUGACCUAAAACCUUAUUGCUAAAUUCAACAUGGUCCAUUAAAAGUCCCUAAAUGACUAAAUUUCACAAAAAAAUAUCCUUGUUAAAUAUCAUAUUUUAUUAAUUUAGUCUCUAAGUCGAAAACUAACUAAAGUUACUUUACAAAUUAGUCUUAUCUCCACAUCAAGCUUCAAAUUUAAUCAUUUAACAUCAAAAACAUCAAAAACUAUCAAUUUUAACUUUUCAAACCUUCAACAGUUUUACGAUAUAGUUCCUAGGCUAGCUAGAUUAAGCUACAAUAAUUUUAAAAACAUAAAAAUUACUAAAAACGAACUAAUAAGACACUAACAUGCAAGGGACUAUAUUUGGCCAAACCUCUAAGCUUUCAAAAAUGGUGGUUUCUUUUGGUUUUCUGGUGGAGUAUGUAACAGCCCGAUUUUAGAUAUAGUCGAAACAAUAGUUUUGGGACCACAAAUUUGACGAGGAAAAAUUUAUUUUUUAUUAUAUUUUUAUGGUCUACAAUUUCACGGAAUGGUUUCGUAAAAAAUUUGUUCAAAAAUUUCGACGUUUGGGCACUCAAUUUGUAAAAAGUGCAAAAGUUGAGUUCUAGAAGCUAGAGGUGUUAAACUGCUAUGAAAUUUUAAAUUGGAGGUCUUUAAAUGGUAAUUAGACCAUUGGUCAACUUGUUGUACAAAAAUGGACAAGAGAUAAGUGAAGUAGGAUUUUUUUUAAGUUGGGGGCAUUUUGGUCAUUUAGUAAUUAAAAGAAUUAAAAAGGCCAAAAUAGCCAAAAAAUUGUCCAUCUUCAAGCUAAGGUAGAAUUUAUCAAGGGGAGAAGUCAUAGUUAGGGUUUUCAAGCUUCCAAGCUCCAUGGUAAGUGAUUCUAAUCCCCGUUUUUAAUGUUCUUUACAUUUUUUGAGUCCCGGUAACUUGUUUUAGCUAUUUCUAGCAAUAAUUUAACCUAGGGUUUAUGUUUGGAAAAAUAACCAUAGGUGAAAUAUGUUUAUUUUGAUGUUUUAUGGUAGAAUAUAAAGCUAGAAAUUAUGUUAAACAACUUUUGCUAAGCGAUUUUAAGUGAAAACGAGUAAAACGACAAAAUCGGUAAAAAUACCUAAUGUUCAUAAGUAAGUGUUAGAGUGGGAAUUUGAUGUUGCCAUAGAAGGGAAAAAUGUUCAGUAUGUCAUAAAACAUAAGAUUAAUAAAUCAAGUUUAAUUUCCGAGCUUUGUGGCAAAAGUGUAAAUAUGAAAAAGUUUAGGGGCAAAAUUGUAAUUUUGUCAAAGUUUGAGUUAAUGACUGUUUUGAUGAAUGUGCAUGUUAAAUAAGUUAAAUGUGUUAUUAUAGUUCAAGAAAGAAGUGGAAUCGACCUUGAUUAGAGAAAAGAAAAGAUUAAAGACUAAAUUGCUAAAUUUCUAUAUUGUUGCACCAAAGUAAGUUUGUAUGUGAAUAAAUGCAUUGUUUUAAUGUUAUUCAAUAUAUUGUUGAGAUUUGAGUGAAUAUAGAUUAAAUUUUUGAUGUAGAUUAUAAAAAAAUGUGGUUAAGUUUGAGAAAGGUGGUAAAAUGUUAAAAAAAACAAGGUUUCGGAUUGAACACUCGGAAUAGACCAGAAUAUAUUGGAUAAAAAGGCGUCACUAAGUGUUGAUUCCCCGAAUUAUUGAUUCUAAAGGUGGUUGCUAAGUGCUGAUUCCACCGUAUAUUUGAUUGUGAAAGGGGUUGCUAUGUGCUGAUUCCCCAUAUCGCUGAAUAUAAAGGUGGUUGCUAAGUGCUGAUUCCACCAUAUAUUUUAUUGUGAAAUGGGUUGCUAUGUGCUGAUUCCCCGUAUCACUGAAUAUAAAGGUGGUUGCUAAGUGCUGAUUCCACCGUAUCUUUGAUUGUGAAAGGGGUUGCUAUGUGCUGAUUUCUCAUAUCACUGAAUUUAAGGUGGUUGCUAAGUGCUGAAUCCACCGAGUAACGGAUAAUAUUCUGAGUGUUCAACAGGGAAAUUGGAAAAUUGAAUGUACAUAUUAAAUGGAAUAGAUUAUGUGAGGAAUAUUGGGUUUGAUACUUAAUCGACCCAUGUGUAAGAUGGUAUGAAAUAUCAAAACUAUAAAAGAGUAAAUUUAGAAAUAAAACUGUUUUGAACAGAAGCAUUUGUGCAAUUUUGAAAAAUCACCAUAAAUGGUGUAAAUCGAAUUAGAGGCUGAAUAAUAUAUGAAAUUGAAGCUGAAUGAGUAUAUUUUCACAUGAAAGAAACAAAUCAAGCAAAAGAGUUAUAUAUUUUGAAAUAUUUGAAUUUUAGUGAGACAAGAUUGAAUUGAUUUUGAAAUCCCCUGUUCCAACUUUGGAAAAUCACGAAAAAUUGUAAAAAAAAUAAUUAUGGCUUGUAUUAUACAUGCUUGAACUUCUAAAUGAGUCUAUUUUUAAGAAGAACAAACAAGAACAUCGUUUGAAUUUUGUACAAAGAGUUAAGUAAAUUUUAGUGAAGAGGGGUUAGUGUUAUCGGGCAGUGAAACAGGGGAAAUUUUAAAGAAUAAAAUUCUGAAAAUUUUAUGGUAAGAAGAUAUGUGAGUCUAGUUUCGGGGAAAAUUAAUGAAACUUAAUUUGGAGCUCUCUAGCUCUAGAUAAAAAUAAUUUAGUGGCUAUAACUCGACUAGACAGCUUUAAAUUUAAAUAUAAGUGGAUAGUGAAAUUAUGUAUAAUGCUAUUUAAGCAUGUUAUAUACAUAAAGGAUGUGGGAUGGAGAGGAGGGGGAGGACAAUAAAAUUUAUGAAUGAAUUGUGUAUAAAUGGUCAUAUGCCCGAUUAUAAUCGGUAAAUGUUAAAUUGAAUGGUAAAUACGUAUUGGUACUGAAGGAGCUAGUGCGGUAUUGAAAAGAAAAUGAUCACAUGUUGAAGAAAUUUAGUCAUGAUAUAUAUAUGUGUGUGAUAAUAAUGAUGUAUGGAUGAUUAUAUUAUUGAGUUGCAAUGAUUAAUUCGGUUUAGGUGAUGGAAAUGUCAAGAACAUUUGUCUUUGAUAUGUGAUGAUCAUGUAAUGCCAUGAAAAUUUGUUUAAUUGUGUGGUUUAAAAUGUAUCUAUAUUUUUUAUAUAACUUAUUUUGUAAUCUAUUUGACAAAUGAUAAAAAAAUUAAUUCGGUUACUAUGUGAGGUGAAUUAUGAUUUGUGAAGCAUAUCUAUAUUCAGCAAUAAUGGAUAAAAUACAUUUAUGUCAUGGGUGAAUGGUUAAACACUUGGGUUAGUAUAAAGUAUAUAUUUAGUAACGUUUGUUGGAAAAGAAAUAACAGGUUUUGGUUUAUAUCGAAUAGAGAAAAUUUCUACUAUCUUUGUGGCUAAUUUUGUUAGCUGUGUGGGAGAUGAAUGGUUAAUGUAUGUAUGUGACAAUUAGCUUACCAGAUAGUGAACUAUUGAUAUACUACAAUAGUUAAAAAGGAAAAUUUGACGAUAUGAGAAUAUGUAAUGAUACGGAUCAAUUCAGGUGCAGAGGACGAAUUCAACAAGUAAGUGAAAAUUUAUAAAUUCAUACGACGAGGAAGUGAAAGAUUGUGAGUAUAUUUAGCCAAAUAAACCCUAAUUAAAGACCCAAGAAUAACAAUUGGAAAGUUUUAAUUUGGAUAAAAUUUUAUAACUCGGAUUAAUAUGUCUAUAAGUGUAUUUAUUCUGGUAAUGCCUCAUACCCUAUUCUAGCGUUGAUACGGGUAAGAGGUGUUACAAUGUGACAUCACCAUAUUCGACCCUAAUGUUUAGGCCGGGUUUAGGGUGUUACAUUUAGUGGUAUCAGAGCUACGAUUUAGUCAGUUCUUGGACCAAACAUAGCAUAUGUGAGUCUAGCUAUACAUGCCAUGUUAUUACUCGUGAUGAUGUGAUAUCUCCGGGCUUUAAUGAAAUUGUUUUGUUAAGACAAAGAUGAUUUUCAAUCGAGCUAUUUUUGAUAUUGCUGAAAAUGAUAUUGAGAUGAAUGAAAUAUGCUCACGUUAUGUUGGAAUUUGGAAAGGUAAGAAUAAAAAUUCGUGAUAUGUACGUUUUCAUGUAUGAAAAGAGAUGAUCAUAAGUUAAAAAAAAAGUUUAUGUUGUGAUAAGCUCAUCCAAGUAUGUUGGUGAUUAUAUGAUGCUAUGUGAUCAACAUAUUUGAUUAAGUGAAUAUGAUAAGCGAAUUACUUAAAUAGAUGGAAUGUGUGUUUAUGUACAUCUGCUUGAAUAAGUAAAAUCAGUAUGUUCAUAUGAUAGAAUCUUAUGUUUAAUUGUUAAAUUAAAGAUAAUAAGAUAUUUUGUUUUAUGUCUUUACUAUUAAACCAUGAAUAUUAUAAUAGCAUGAAAAUUGAAUUGGAAGAUUAAAUUGAGUAGAACGCAAGAAUGAGUACUUUCGUUCAGUGAUAUGUAAUGAAUCGACAAAAAAGACCACAGUUGGACCAUGGCAAUAUGUGAUUUCCGUAUAAGACCAUAUAUGGGAUAUGACAUUGGUGUGAUAUGUGCUACUGUGUAAGACCAUACCUGGGCUAUGGCAUCAAUAUGUAAAUAUGUGUAAGACCAUAGUUGGACUAUGGCAUAGAGAAAACAAAGUACUCAAUUCUGUAAGACGUUCUCUAAUUGAAUAAAUGUCGGUAAGUAAAAUGGAAGCUAAGUAUUGGAAUUUAAUUAGACAUUAAUAUUGAGCUCGAGUAAGUAAAUUCGUUGUGUGAAAUUGUGGGUGACAGAAAAUAUUCAUAAUACAUAGAUGUAUUAAUUUGCUUGGAAUGAAUUACAUGGUUUUGAUGGUAUUACAUUGAUGAUGAAUGCAAAGUCAUAUAUAUAUGUAUUUAUGAGAGCAAGUUAAAAGCUUUAUGACCUCAACAUCACCCCCUAAUUAGUAUUGUUUUAUGACGAAAAUUAUCUUGAUGAGACAGAUAUAUUUUUCAACUGAGUUAAUUUUGACAGUAUAGAAGUAAACACUUAAAUGUUUGAGUGAAAAUGUAUUUAUUAUGAGUUGAAACUCAUAAAGGUAUAGAUCAAAGAAUAUAACAUUUUGUUAUUGAUAAAUGUUAUAAUUAUACAAGCAUAUGAGUUAUGAUAUUUGGAUUAUGAUGCUAUAUAGAAAUUUCAAUUGUGAAUUAGUGAUUUGAGUUGGCAUAUGAAUUAUGUGUUGAGAACAAAAGUGAUUAAAAGCAAAUAUUUAUUAAAUUCUUUGAGAAUUUGAAAUUAGUAAUGACUUGGCUAUUUGUGAUAGUAUGUGUUAUGCGCAUUUAUGUGUAAGAUAAAUUUGAGGCUUUACUACACUCACCUCCCAUAUCAGUAAAAUGUUACAAUAAAAUUUGUGAGAUUUUGGUUGAAUAAGCUUACGAGUGCAGUGUUACAGAAAUUUGUGUACGGGAGAUUAAUAAUGUGGUCGGAAAAGUGAAUGAAUUAGCAAAUGAAGACAAUAUAAAGAGAGAGAAUUAUUGGAUAGUUCUGAAAACUACUCAGAUUAUGCAAAGUUACUGUCACAAAAGAAGUUAAAUCCAAUUAAAUAAUUUAUUCAGGUAUGUUAUUUAAAGAAAAAAAAUUAACCGGAAGUUUUUCUGGAUCGAUUUCUGUUAGUAAAGAGAUAAUGUGAAAAUUUUGAUGACAGAAUUAGACAAUUGAGUAAUGUUUGUAUUAUAAUAAUAACUGAGUACAAUAGCUAUAAUGGGUAAUUACUAUGAAUCCUUUUAGACAUUCCGUGUGUACAAUUAUCCUCAGAAGUAUAUGUGACUGUUUAGUUUCAAAAAGAAUUCUUAUUGUAUGAGAACAUUAGCUAAACAUAUUAAUAGAUGAAAGAAUUAUUAGUUUGUUUGGGUUAUGUUCGACAUCGCCAUGUCUUUUUCUGGUAUUUAUUCCCUUGUGUGAAUAUGAAAAUUGAUGGUAAAGUCUGAGUGAGGCUAAUAUUUUAUUUCUACUGGCUAUUGUUCUGUUGAAUAUACGUGAAGAUUAUAUUGCUUCUAUUACUUAGGAUUUUAAUAUCUAUGAGAGACAUUGAGAGACAUUGAUCUUUUAGAGAUCUUUUGGGAUAUCAUUGGAAUUGAUAUCAUUUUAUAUGAUGGUUGGGGCUUCUGUAUAAUGAUACGUCUAGGUUAUAUGAGUUUGAAUAUAUCUACCGGACUUGAAAUAAACUUUGAGUGUAUAUAUAUAGAUUGAGGUUUAAUCUAGAAGAAGAAUUUGUAUUCUUGAAGACUUGAUACAGAAUUAUAUCUAUCAUAAUGAUUCUAAUUGAGAAAUAUUGAGGUAAAUUAAAGUUAAUUGAUUGUUGAAGCUUUCUUUUGCACGAAAAUAUUGUCAACUGAAACAUCAUUUAUGAUUCAGCCUAAGUUGAAUAAAGAGUUAAUGAUUAUCAACAUACGUUACUGAACUGUUUGAAGAGUGUUCUAGUGAAAGAGUGUACAGAGGUGUUUUGUGAUUUUUAUAGUUAAAAUUGCAGGAAAAGAGUUAUGUAACAUAUUUGAUAACUAUAGGAGUUUAAAAUGUUUAGUGUCAGUGAAAAAUCUAAAGUUUCGUCUGAAUUUGAAAUGUAUUGAGUGGAAGCAAAUCAUUAAUCUACUUUUUGAUAGCAAAAUAUUACAAAUAUGUAUAUAUUUGAAUACUAUAAUUAUGAAUCAACUUACCAACAUGAGUUAAUCCAUGGGUCACUCAUGACAUCACUUCAUGCCAAAUAUACCACACACAUGCUAUCGAACUUUAUUUUCUCUCAUGAGCUUACCAUGACUAGUAAUGCACCAAUAUAAACAUCACUCCUAUUUCAACGUUUAUCGAUUAUAAUCAGGCAUAUAACCAAUUAUACACAAUUCAUUCAUAUACUUUAUUGUCCUCCUCCUCCUCUCCAUCCCACAUUCUUUAUGUAUAUAACAUGCUCAAAUAGCAUUAUACAUAAUUUUACUAUUCACUUAUAUUUAAAUUCAAAGCUGUCUAUUUGAGUCAGAGUCACUAAAUCAUUUUUAUCUGGAGCUACAGAGCUCCAAAUUAGGAUCCGUUAAUUUUACCUGAAACUAAACUCACAUAUAUUCUUACCAUAAAAUUUUAAGAAUUUUUUACUUGGCAAAUUAGUACAGUUUAUUCUUUAAAUUCACCCCUAUUUCAUUGCUCAACAUCUCUGACCUCUCUUCACUAAAAAUGAAUUAUCUCAUUGUACAGAAUUCGGAUGAUAUUUUUGUUUGUUUCCUUUGAAAAUAGACUCAUUAAAGAUUCUAAUACUAUAAAUUAUAACUCAUAAUUAUUUUUUUACAAUUUUUAAUUAUUUUCCAAAUUAAGAAUAGGGGAUUCUAAAAUCAAUCCGACCCUACCUCACUUAAAUUUAAAUAUCUCAAAAUAUAUAACUCUUUUGCUUUCUUUGUUUCUUUUAUGUAUAAAAAGACUCAUUAGGCUUUCAUUUCAUAUCUUAUUCACUCUCUAAUUCAAUUUUCACCAUUUUUGGUGAUUUUUCAAAGUCAUACAACUAUUGUUGUCUAAACUGUUUUGUUGUAAAAUGUAUUCUUUCAUAAUUUCACUUUUUCACUAUCUCAAUUCCAUUCAAUUUUUCACAUCUCAUUCCAAUAGUUCAUUUCAAUUCAUAUACAAUUCAUUCAAUUGAUCACUAUAUUCAAAGCAAUCCAAUUUCUCAUUUCCAAUUUCAAGUCAAUCUUCAAUUCAAUUCCACAUAUAUAUUCAUUAGUCAAUUACACUUAGUCAAUUUCCCGAUGAACACUUCGAAAUAAUAACAGAUACACGGUGAAAUCAACACAUAGAAACCACCUUAUAAUAAAUGAUACCCGGUUCACAUAGUAGCCUGCACAUAGUACUACACUUGUGACCAUUUUAAUCCGAUACACGUAGUAGCAUGUACAUAGUACUACACACGUGAUCGAAGCUAUUCGGUACGCAUAGUAGCCUGCACAUAGUACUACACAUGCGACCUAUCAUUCCGGUACACGUAGUAGCCUGCACAUAGUACUACACACGUGAUCGAAGCUAUUCGGUAUGCAUAGUAGCCUGCACAUAAUACUACACAUGCGACCUAUCAUUCUGGUACACGUAGUACCUUCACAUAGUACUACACACGUGACCUAGCAACUUCACUCGUAUCUCUUUCAUUCCGAAGGUUCAAUUGGGAAUUUUCACUUUUUCUCACUUUUUUUUACCAAUAAAUGUCAAUUUCUCGUCUUUCUCGAUUUAUAAUAACAUAUUUAGCUUAUAUAACGUUCACAUUAUUCAAUCCAGUCCAAAAAUCACAUUUUGAUAAAAUUACAUUUUUGCCCCUAAAGUUUCACAAAAUUACGAUUUUGCCCCUAGGCUCAGAAAUUAAAAUUUAUUCCUUUUUCUUAUGUUAUAUAACAUGUUGAAAAUUUUUCCCUUCUAUAUUAACAUCAAAUUCUUGCUCUAACAUGCACUUAUGAACAAUAAUAAUUUUUACCGAUUAUGCCGUUUCAGUUGUUUUCACUGAAAAUCGCUUAGAAAAAAUUGUUUAACACAAUUUCAAGCUUCAUAUUCUAUCAUAAAACAUCAUAAUAAACACAUUUCACCUAUGGAUAUUUUUCCAAAUAUAAACCCUAGGUUAAAUUAUUGCUAGAAUAAGCUAAAUUAAGCUAUCAGGACUUCAAAAACGUAAAGAACAUUAAAAACGGGGCUUGGAAUCACUUACUAUGGAACUUGGAAGCUUGAAAACCCUAACCAUGGCCUCCCCCUUGAAAUUUUGGUUCAUCAUGGAGAAGAUGGACAAAUUUUGGGCUAUUUUCGCCUUUUUAAUUCUUUUAAUUACUAAAUGACCAAAAUGCCCCUAACUUAAAAAUAUUCUAUUUCACUUAUCUCUUGUCCAUUUUUUUCCAAAAAGCUAACCAAUGGUCUAAUUACCAUUUAAGGACCUCCAAUUUAAAAUUUCAUAACAAUUGGACACUUUUAACAUGUAGAACUCAACUUUUGAACUUUUUACAAUUUAGUCCUUUUGGCUAAAUUGAGUGCCCAAACGUCGAAAUUUUUGAAUGAAUUUUUUAAGAAAUCAUUCUGUGAAAUUAUAGACCAUAAAAAUAUAAUAAAAAAUAAUUUUUUUCUCGUCGAAUUUGUGGUCCUGAACCACUGUUCUGACUAGGCUUAAAAUCAGGCUGUUACAAAACUACCAUUUUCGACGCCACUAAAAAAUGGGUUGUUACACUUAUUCUUGAAAGGCACUAUCAAAGGAUGUCAGGCUACUGACAUUGAGGGUUAGGUAGAAACGUUUCGGAGAUCGUGAAAUGAAAUUAAGUGAAUAGAUUAUUCGAUAUGGCAUCUAUAAACUCUUACAAAAUGUGCAUAAAAUGAAAUAUGAGUGAAUAAAAGCAUGGUGUGGAUUAAAAGCAGAGCGAGCAAAUAAAAAACAUUACUAAAGGUAAAAGUAUUGUGAGUGAAAAGAGAGAAAAAAUUGAAAAUUUGUUCAAAAUGAGUAAUCAAGUAAAUUUGUUUUCCAUUAUCAUAGUGCACUAGUACUUGCUAAGUUGUGUAUACUAACCAAUAUUGAGUCUUUUCUUCCACAUUAUUGGAGAGAAAAGGAAGUCGAAAGAGGAGAAAUAAGGUGGUGAGCUUAACGAUCACAUAUCGGGGGAAUUGGGAGCAAUUCCAUGUGUUAUACUAUUAAUAGUGCUUAAACCAUUUUGAACUGAUCUUUCCCUUGAAAUCAUACCAACCCGAACCUCAGAACGUUACAAGCCAAAAGACCUAUGUGACCUUAACAUCGAUAAUUACUCAAUUGGAAUUUGUGAAACUUACUGGGAAAUGAAUAAGUUAGAUUAUAUACAUCAUAUCCAUAUAUCUUAUUUUGAUGGAAUAAUGUGAAAAUUAUUGUUUUGAUAAAUUACCUCUAUUUUUGUUUACCCUAUAACUUUUGUGAAUUAAAAUAAUUUACUCUUGAAGUUGUGAAUCUGCAAUAUAUCAUCUUUAAGUUGUAUAGUAGAAGAAAUUAUUGCACUUUACAUAUCUAUUAAUUGAUUGCCAAAUCUGUUCACUAUCCAAGGGUCAUCUUUUAUGCAUGUUUCUUAGGUGUUUGCUUGAGGACAAGAAAAGAUUUAAGUGUGAGAGAGAUUGAUCUACCAUAAUUUGAUACGUUAAAUUAGGCUCUCCAUUACACUUAAAAAGUUUAUUCUCAAGCAAUUUAAAUGUUUUUUAGUUACUUUUUUAUUUUUGGUUUUAUGUUAAUAAAACAUUUUUACUAGUUUUAAGCCAUUUUUAGACCCAAAUUGGCCAGUUGUGCCAUAAGGAACCUAAUAAGUUCAUUGAGUGUUGUAGAGAGUCGACAAUGGUCCGAACAUGAAGAAAAUAUCACCUAGAAGGGGCAUCGCGAUAUCGAAACAUGAAAGCCAUGAUACCCCUGACAGUACUGAAAUGAAGAGAAUCGAAGCCAGCUACAAUGAUAUCAUAAUACCGAGCAAUGGGUAUCGCGAUACCAAGACAUCCUAAGAUCACUCAUUUUAAUACUGUUGUGGGUAUCGUGAUACUGUUGCCUAACAUGUGAAAAAAACUACAAGGGAAAUUUUAUGUCCAAACAAGCUUAAGUCUAUUUUUCAUUUAAUGGCAUAAUGGUCAAUUUUAGGUUAAAACUUAGUAGGUUAUAAAUGCAACUUUAUAAGCCUUUGUUUUCAGAUUUUGUUGGCUAAUAGUUUCCUUUAGUUUUCCAUAGUUUUAAGAUUAGGUUUUCUUUUCUUUUCAUUUUUAUAUUAGGUUUUCUCUUUUCUUUUUAGAUUAGAUUUUUUUUGUUUCCUUUCUUCCUCAUUCUUGAAUACUAUAUAAAAGGGAGAUGAUCAAACUCUUGGUGUAACAGCUCGGUUUAGACCCUAGUCAGACAGUGGUUUCAGGAUCACGAAUCUGAGUCAAAUAAAUAUUUUAAUAUUAUUUUUGGUGUCUACAGCAUGUUAAUUUAUAUGUGUGAAAAUUUCGUGUGAAAAUUUUAUAGGUUAUGUCCUCGAUUUUAUAAUAGGACUUAGCCGCGUAAAAUGAAAAAGUGGCUAGCUAUUUGUUAAAGUACUAUUUUGCUAUGGCUUUUAUAAUGUGGGGUCCUUAUGUUGAUAUUUGACCACUGUAAGUAUGCAUGGACGGAAAUGGGCUUACAUUAUAAGUUUUAUCAUUAAAAUCAUUAAGGUUGGUUUACUAAAUUAGUAAAUUAUGUUAAAAUAAUAAAACACAAACUAAAAACCAUGCAUGUUGUUCAUCUUUUUGGCUGAAAUUACCAAAUAAAAAGAAAGAAAAAGAGCAAGCAACAUUCAGCCAUAGUCCAAGCUUAAUUCAAGGUUCAUUUUUGCUCGAUUUUUGAUAAUUUUUAUGUUUUUAAGAUCGUUGCUUCGAAUACUAGCUAGCCCGUACUUGAAUUUUUGAAUUGGUUGUGGAUUUUGUGAUUUGCCAUUGUUGAUAGCUUGGGAUUUUUGUGGUUUGAUGAUAAAAAAUAAAUAUUUGUUGAUGGAUUAUUAUGUUUAAUUAAGUGAUUUUUAGUAAAAAGUGUAUUAAGGAUUACAUUGUGAAUUUUGUAAAUCAAAAGGUCAAAAUGUAAAAUAAAUGAAAUAUAUGGGCUUAUAUGAACAAAUGGAAUAUUCGGCCAAGCUUAGGUGUGGUAAAAUUUUGAAUAUUUUGUGUUUUGUGAAUUAAGGACUAAAUUGUGAAAAAAGUGAAAUGUUAAGGGCUAAAAUGCAAUUUUCCCAUUUAUGUUUUUUGAAUGAAUUCGCAUAAAUAUAUGAUUAAAUAUUUCAAAUUUGUAUUGAAUUAGAUCAAGAAAAGAAGAAAUCGGAUUUGGAUCGGGGAAAUCAAAAGUUGUCGAAUAGUCGUCCCGUUCCGUUCGUCUUCGUUCGAGGUAAGUUCGUAAGCGAAUAAAUGAUGUUAAAUUAAAUUUAUUUAUAUCUAGCCGAAUGGAAUUGUAUGUAUGUCCACUACAUUGCCGAAUUGAAUUCAGCAUAGAAAGAUUAGUUACGAGCUUAAUUCGAUUGAAUUACGACAUCUGAAAGCCCUAACAAACUAUAGGAAUUCUGAUAUGCGAUAUCGUGUAAGACCACGUCUAGGACGUUGGCAUCGAUUUGAGAUUUGCAUAUAAGACCAUGUCUCAGACAUUGGCAUCGUAUAUGAUUUAUGUUUAAGACCCUGUUUGGGAUAGUGGCAUCGUUAUUUGAUUACAUGUAAGACCACGUCUGGAACACUGGCAUCGUACGAGCUUUUUGAGCUAUCCGAGUAUCCUUUUUGAUUCCAAGUGGUACAAUGGGAAAUGAUAUAGCAAAACCAAAUGUGAGUUUGAAUUAAAUGAUUCAGGUAUGUUUGAGUUAUAUGAAGUUUGGAAGUAAAGGUAAGUAUUAUGGUAUAACAUGAAAAUAUUGACUAAUCACUUAAAUAUGAGUAUAUAUAUGUGUUCAAGAUUGGGAGAAUUCGACCUAUUUGUUUGAUUUAUAUAUGGUCUUUAAAAAAAAUAUUUGCUUAUGACUUGCUAAGCUAUUUAAUCUUACUAUGUGUUUGUUCACUCGUUGUUUUAUAGAUUUUGGAAGCUAGUUACGAGCUCGGGGAUCAGUAAGAAAGUCCGUCACACUAUCGAUCUUUAUUUCGGUAUUUUGAAAGCUUGAAACUUUGAACAUCUGGCAUGUAUAGGCUACCAUUUUUUUUGGUUGGUCUCGAAAUUUGUAUAUAUUUAGCCAUGCGAAAAUGGCUCAAUCUUUGUGCUAAUGUUCUAAUGUUUAAGUAAAUUUGGUCAUGAUAUAUGCGUGUAGUAAUCUUGAUAUAUAAAUCUGUUUUGAUUGUUAAUGAUGUUCAUGGUAAUGCAAUUUCGGUCAUGGUAUAGAUUAUGUGGUGUGUUUAGAAUUUGAUUGCAGUAUGAAGCAAUGAUAUACAUAUAUGUGGCUUAUGAUUAGUUCACUUUGGUAUUUGCUUAUUACUUGAGCUUAUUAUGGAGAAAUGUUCCAUUGUAUAUAUGCUUGUGAUGUUUUGAAAUAUAAUUCGGUAUUGGACAAUGAAAAGUUUGGUUUAUAAUCGGCUAUGAAAGUAGCUCACUUUAAAAGUGUGUUUAUGGUAUAUGAAACAUAGGUUAAAUAAUGGUUAUGUCAUUAUUUUUGGUUGAUUAUUUAGAUGUGAAUGGAGAUAGUAAAUUAUGGUUAUGUUUUAUGGUAGUUUGGUUUGGUCAUAUAAGUUUGAAUUUGGGAACCGAACAUAUAAAUAAUGAUACGGUUGAACAUAAGUUAUUUGGUUGGUUUUAAUUUAUGUGAAUUUGGGAUACUAUUGAUAUGAUCAUUUGUGGCUUAGUUAUUUUGAUUCGGUUUGUAGUGUCAAAUAUAUAUACAUAUAUUAUGUUUGAAUGUUUAGUCAUGUAAGUUCUGUUGUUAAAUGAUAAGUAUUGAAUAUGUUUCAUGAUUGUUUUUGUAAUUGUUUUGGUAUGGAUCUAAAUGUUAAAUGAUGGUUAUGAUUUAAGUAUGUUUUGGGUAGCUUAAAUGGAUAGUUUAAAAGUAUCGAGAUAAUGUUAAAUUUUCAAAUAGGUAUGCGCAUAUGAGUACUUCUAAAUUUCGUUUUGAUAUGUGGUAUUUUUUUGUUUUUUUAGGGAAAGAUGUGCAUUAUACAUAUAUAUACAUCAAUAAUAUGUUCGGCCAAGUUGCAUUAUUACUAAAGUUGCAUAUAUGAUUGCAUAAUAAUUAUAGUUAUUUAGUUCGAAUGGCUUUAUUGUAUGCUUGUACAGAAGUUACGAAAUGUUGUAUUUGAUUUAACUAAUGAAUUAUAUAAAUGCCAUUAAUAUUAAAGUUAUGUUGUUCAGACAUUAAACUGUAUUUAAUUAACAUGAUUUUGUAGAUGAUUGAUAUUGGAUUUAGAAGUUAUAUGGUAUAGAAGUCGAUAUAACCAUGUGUAUAAAAAUGAUAAAUGACUAUGCUUAUCUAUGUUUUGUCCGGUAAUGCCUCGUAACCUUAAUUCAGCGAAGGAUACAGGUUAGGGGUGUUACAUUUGAUUAGUAUCAGAGCUACGGUUUAGUCGGUUCUAGGACUAACAUAGAGCGUAUGAGUCUAGCUAUACAUGCCAUAUUUUUAUACUGCGAUAGUGUGAUGAUUCUUGACAAUUAAAUUUUGUUUUUGUAUAAUGAAUGGAUCCCGAUCGAGCCGUAGUAGAUGAUGUGGAAAGUAAUGCACCCACUUCCGCUCAAGGGGCAGUGCCUUCUGAUUCGAGAAACAUAACUAGUAGCCAUGAGGGAGAAGCUAAACAAGCUUUCUUUAAAUUGAUGAAUGAGUGGUUCACAGAGUUCAUUCGUACGAAUCCGGCUGCUCAACAACCUCUACCCUCGCCUAAUCCCCCUCAGACUUCUGUUGUACCUCCUGUUACGAAUUCGAUUCUGAUGAGUAAGCCUCCGGUCAAUAAAAUCUGAAAAUAUGGGGCCGAAGAGUUCAAGGCCACUAAUGAUGAUGAUGCUGAGAGAGCCAAGUUUUGGCUCGAGAAUACCAUCCGAGUGUUCAAUGAAAUGUCUUGUACUUCCGGCGAAUGUGUUAAAGUGUCGUUUAUUUGUUGAGAGAUGCAACAUAUCAAUGGUGGAAAACUCUGAAUUUUGUUGUUCCCAAAGAACGAAUUACCUGAGAUUUCUUUCAAUUUGAAUUUCGGAAGAAAUACAUUAGACAGAGAUUUAUUGAUCAAAAGCGAAAAGAGUUUCUUGAGCUUAAAAAAGGUCGUAUGUCCGUAACGAAAUACAAGCGAGAAUUUGUUCGACUGAGCCGAUAUGCACGAGAAUCUGUAUCCACCAAAGAAAUAAUGUGUAAAAGAUCUGAAGAUAGUCUGAAUGAAGAUAUUCGUCUGUUAGUCGGUAUUCUAGAGAUAAAAGAGUUUGUUAUACUUGUUGAUCGAGCAUGCAAAGUCGAGGAACUCGGUAAAGAGAAAAGAAAAGAUGAUUCUAAAGCUAGAGAUGUGAGAAAAAGAUCUUCGAGUAAAUCAUUUCAGUCUGCAUCAAAAAAAUUCCGAGAGGAUUGUAGCGUUCAAAGGCUAAUAUGGGACAUUCGAACAGAGGUCGAGCUAGAUAACAUUUGAGCUUCAAAGCUCCAACUACUUCUGUUGCUAGUGUUGGAAAUGUCCAAUCUGAUCGACCUGGGUGUAGGCAUUAUGGUAAAGGACAUCCAGGUAGUUGUAGAUUGAAUGAUCGAGCUUGCUUUAGAUGUGGAUCUUUAGAUCACUUUAUCCGAGACUGUCCCGAGUCUGCUGAGCAAGAGAUUGCACAGAAUCCGAGAUCGAGUAACACCUCAGCUAGAGGCAGGCCUCCCAGAAAUACGGGAAAUGUGAGUGGAAGUUAAAGAGCAACAAAAGAUAUAGUAGUUUGAUCUGAGGCUAGGGCACCUGCUAGAGCCUACGCCAUCUGAGCUCGUGAAGAAGCUUCGUCUCAAGAUGUGAUACCUGGUACUUUUACUCUUUACGAUACUUUUGUGAUUGCAUUGAUGGAUCCAGGAUCAACGCAUUCGUAUAUAUGCAUGAAUUUAAUAUCCAGUAAUACUUUGCUUGUAGAGUCUACUGAAUUUGUAAUUAGAGUAUCGAACCCCCUUGGCAAAAGUGUCCUGAUCGAUAAAAUGUGCAAGAAUUGUCCGUUGAUGAUUUGAGAUAUCUGUUUUCCGGCUAAUCUAAUGCUAUUACCUUUUGAUGAAUUUGAUAUAAUUCUAGGUAUGGAUUAGCUAACUUGGCAAGAUGCUAUUGUGAAUUGAAAACGGAAAACUAUUGAUUUGAGAUGCAAGAAUGACGAGAUAAUCUGAAUUGAGUCCAGUGAUCUAACGGGUUGCCGGCUGUGAUAUCUAAAAUGAAAACUUUGAAUUAUGUGAAAAAGGGUUGUGAAGCCUACUUUGCCUGUGAUUGAUUCGAAAGUGACAAAAAAGAAAAUAAAAUUUGUAAUGGUUGUCUGUGAAUUUCUUGAUGUGUUUCCUGAAGAACUUCCGGGACUACCUCCGAUCCGAGAAGUUAAAUUUGGCAUUGAGUUAAUACCGGGAAAAACUUCGAUUUUGAUAGCUCCUUACAGAAUGCUAGCGACCGAAUUAAAAGAAUUGAAAGCUCAGUUGCAAGAAUUAACUGAUAGAGGCUUCGCACGACUGAGUUUUUCUCCCUGGGGUGCACCGAUUUUGUUUGUGAAAAAGAAAAAUGGAGCUAUGAGAAUGUGCAUCGACUACCGACAGCUCAAUAAGGUGACUAUAAAGAAUAAGUAUCCUUUACCACAGAUUGAUGACUUGUUCGAUUAGUUGAAAGGGGCUAUCGUGUUUUCAAAGAUAGACUUGAGAUCAGGUUACUAUCAGCGGCGAGUUAAAGACUUUGAUGUGCCGAAAACUACUUUUGAACAAGGUACGGACGCUAUGAGUUUCUGGUUAUGACUUUCAGACUUACUAAUGCUCCUGCUGCUUUUAUGGACCUCAUGAAUCGGAUCUUCAGACCAUAUUUGGAUCAAUCUGUGGUUGUGUAACACCCUGUACCCGAGUCCGUCGCCGGAGUCGGACACGAGGGGUUUGCAGACUUAUAUCACUUCUUUGCACAAUCCAUUUUAAAAAUUUCCAGGCAGUUGGCUAACUGCGUCACUGUCACCUUAAAAAUCAUAUCUUGAGUUUCAAAACUCAAAAAUAAGUUUCGUCAAUUUUCCCUGAAACUAAACUCAUAUUCCCAUCUAUAUAUUUUUUUCUAGAAUUUUUGGUCGGACCAAUUAGUACAGUUUAUUAGUCAAAGUCUCCCACGUUACAGGGAUCGACUACACUGACCUUUGCACAUUACGACUUGGAUAUCUCCCUGCACAGAGCUUCAAUACUUAUGCCGUUUGUUUCUAUAGAAACUAGACUCAGAGAGGAAUCUAUAAAUAUAUGGAAUGACUCCUAAUUAUCUCUGGUUAAUUUAUAAUGAAUUUCCAAAGUCGGAACAGGGAAUCCAGAAACCGUUCUGGCCCUGUCUCACGAGAACCUGAAUAUCUCUUAACAUACUGUCCAUAUGAUCAUUUCGUUACUUUCCUAUGAAAAUAGAUUCAUCAAGGUUCGUUUACAUAAUUUAUUCACUAUUUAAUUCCAUUCCUACUAUUUUUAGUAAUUUUCUAAAUAUACAUCACUGCUGCUGUCAGCAUCUGCCUUUAAGGUAGACUUUACCUAUUUCAUAGUUUCCAUGAUUCAACUAGCCCUUUUAGCAUAAAUAGCACAAAUUAUGAUAGUGAUUAACCAUUCCCAUGGCCAAUCCUUGUUAAGCAUAUCCACACCUCUCAAUAACCAUAUCCAUACCAAAUGAUUAUAACAUUAUGCUCAAACAUAUAUAAGCCAUUUUCGCAUGGCUAUCCAAAAUUAUACAAAUCCAAAGGGUCCAUGACCAACAACAAAAAGGGUAGUCCUAUACAUACCAUAUCCAGAGUUCAACUAAAACAGUACCAAAAGGGCUUUGAUAGUGUGGAUGACUUCGACUUCGAUGAUCCCGAAUCCGAUAUCUAACGAACAAAUCUAUAAAACAGAGAGCCAAAGCAACGGGGUAAGCAUUUUAAAGCUUAGUAAGUUUCAAGUAAUGAAAUCGGCUUUGACUAAAGUAUUACAUUCACAUAGCUAAAUGAAUCACUUUAUUAAUACACAUUCUCAUAAACAUACUUACUUCACAUUUCAUCAACAUAUACACACAAGGUAUUAACCUAUCUAAAAGCUGAAAGUUCGUUAGUCGAUUGAACGAAUACUAUUUAAAACGAAUCGACUUUUCCGAUGCACACGCAAACAUACCUUAUCGUUUGGGUUUUUCGAGCGUAUUAAUUGAAUUUAUUACAGCACAACACGCUCACCUUCGAACCCAAGUUUCUUCGGAAUUUAGCCGGAUAUAACCACAAGCACAAUUGCCUUCGGGUCUUAACCCGGGUAUAGCAACUCGCACAAAUGCCUUCGGGUCUUAGCCCGGAUAUAUCAACUCGUACAAAUGCCUUCGGGUCUUAGCCCGGAUAAAAUCACUAGCACAAAUGCCUUCGGGUCUUAACCCGGAUAAAAUCACUAGCAUAAAUGCCUACGGGUCUUAACCCGGAUAAAAUCACUAGCACAAAUGCCUUCGGGACUUAGCCCGGAUAUCAUUCAAAUGCUCAUGCACACAUAUAUCAACAAUCAUGACACAUCCAUAUUUCAUUUUCGUUACUAAGGCUCAAACACAGAACAUUUAUUAAACCUUUCCAAUUUCGGCUCAAUAGCCACACACAAAGAGCAUGAUUUCAAUUGGCUUUAUAACAUAGUCUCUAUGCACAUUCGGCUAUCCGUCAUAGUAUGACUAAUCAUUUCAAUAUAAUUCAAGUAGGGUCAUUACUCGAAGACUUACCUCGGAUGUUGUCGAACGACUUCAAUGGCUAUUCAAUUACUUUUUCCUUCCCUUUAUCGGAUUUAGUUCCCCUUUGCUCUUGAGCUUAAGUUCAACAAAUUUUAAAAUAGUCAUUAAUCGACUAUUCAAGUAUUACUUUCAGAAUAUAAUAUAUAUAGAUUCGACUUUCACACACAUAGAUUACAGUAAGCUUUAUAAAAAUCAAUAAAUAAUUCAUUAGCAAAUUUUCAUUAAUGUUUACAAUAUAAUUACAAUUUCCCUAUAAGCUGACUUCCUGAGCAACAGUCACUAAAGUUUUUAUAACUGGAGCUACGAAACUCCAAAUCAAUUGACGUAAAUUUUUCUUGACAGAAGACUCAUUUAUCUAUUAUCCAUAAAAUUUUCAAAAUUUUUAGUUUAGCCCAACAAUACCAGAUUUUUCUUAAAUUUCACCUUGUUUCACUGUUUGACUAAACUGACUAUCCUUCACUACGAAUCAAAUUUCUCAUUGUACAGAAUUCAAAAUAUGUUCUUGUUUAUUUCAUUUGAAACUAGACUCAUUAAGGAGUCUAAGCACAUAAAUUUUAUCUUAGGGCCAUUUUUGUACAAUUUAUACUGAUUUUAUAAAAACAGAACAGGGAAUCUAGUAGUCGUUUUGACUCAGCCCCACAAUACUUCAAAUAUCUCAAGAUCGGUAACUCUUUCGUUUUUAUAGUUUCUUUUGUAAGAAACUAGACUCUUCAAGAUUUAAUGACAUAAUUUACUCAGCUUCUAAUUCAACUCCUACAAAUUAUGGCGAUUUUCCAAAAUCACCUUACUGCUGCUGUCCCCAAGCAGAUUAUUACCAAAUCAAAUGCUAACAUUUGCAUUUCACCUUAGUAGCUAGCUUAGCAAACCUUAAUUUAACAUAUAAUUGUUCAUAACACAAUUAAAGCAUCCUCUCCAUUCCAUCAAUUCAAAACACAUACAUUGCCCAAUAGUAUCCAAAAUCAUAUUCGGCCUUAGUACACAACUUGUUAGCCGAUUUUUCUCCAUUUAGCAACUAAUGCACAUAUGUGCUCAUUUGUUAGACUCUACUUCACCUAACUACCAUUUUCUUUUUCAUCCAAAUAACAUGAACAACAACCAUUUCUUGAACAUUUUCUCUUCAACAAUUCUUCAUAAAACAUAAAGACUAUAACCCAAUCUCAUCCUUUAAUAACUAAAACCGAAUGCUCAAGACACCACACCAUUUCAAAUUUUGGUCAUGGGUUAAGCAAAGAACUUAAUGACUAACUAAAAAAAAUGCUAAAAAUCCAAGAAUCAUCCUUGAACUUACCUUGAUUUAGCUAACCACCAUAGCUGAAUUUUUCAAAGCUUUUCUCUUCUAGGUACGGCAAUGAGGAGCAAGGAUGGAGAAACUUUGGUUUCUCCUCCCAUUAACUAGUAUUUUAUUAGCCUUAUUCCUUAUUUCAUUUUGUAACAUAAAAUUAUUAGCAUAAAAUGUUGACACAAAAUAAUUAUAAUAUGCUUUAGUCCAUAACAUGGCCGGCCACCAUCUAGAAUUUGGCCAAUUUGACAUGCAAGUACAAGCAUUUUUAACAUGCAUCAAUAGGCCACUUUAAUAUUUGCCUAUCACAUUUCUAAAUUUUCUCACACAAGUCCUAUUUAAUAAAAUUCACUUACAAUUAACAAAAUUCAAACAUGAAAUUUUCACACAUGCAUAUAUACAUAUAAUAAGCUUCAAAUAUGGCAGUUAAUGAUUUUUAUGACUCGGUUUUGUGGUCCCGAAACCACUUUCCGACUAGGGUCACAUUUUGGGCUGUCACAACUCUCCCCCACUUAAGAAAUUUUCGUCCCCGAAAAUCUUACCGGUAAAUAGGUUUGGGUAUCGUUCUUUCAUCGAGCUCUCGGUUUCCCAAGUAGCUUCCUCGAUCCCGUGUUUGAGCCAUAACACCUUUACUAACGGAACCCUUUUGUUUCGCAACUCCUUCACUUCACGAGCUAGGAUACGAAUCGGUUCUUCUUCAUAACUCAAGUCAGAUUGAAUUUCAACUUCUGAGGGAUUAAUCACAUGUGACGGAUCGGAUCUAUAACGUCGAAGCAUCGAAACAUGAAAGACUUCGUGAAUCUUUUCAAGUUCAGGGGGCAAAAUCAAUCUAUACGCAACCGGACCAACUCGUUCGGAGAUUUCAUACGGCCCAAUGAAUCUCGGACUCAACUUGCCCUUACGGCCAAAUCUGAGUACCUUUUUCCAAGGCGAAACUUUAAGAAACACUUUAUCUCCCACCUGAUAUUCAAUGUCUUUUCGUUUCAAAUCCGCAUACGAUUUCUGACGAUCUGUGGCUGUCUUCAGACUUUCACGAAUUAUUUUUACUUUCUGUUCGGCAUCUUUAAUCAAAUCAACUCCGAAAAUUUUACUUUCACCGAGCUCGGUCCAAAACAAUGGUGUACGGCAUUUACGACCGUACAAAGCCUCGUAAGGUGCCAUCUUAAUACUUGAUUGAAAACUAUUGUUGUAAGCGAAUUCAAUCAAAAGUAAAUACCGUUCCCAUGAACCACUAAACUCGAGGAUGCAACAUCUCAACAUAUCCUCAAGUAUCUGAAUUAUCCGCUCGGAUUGACCAUCGGUUUGGGGGUGAAAAGCAGUGCUAAAAUGCAGCUUGGUACCCAAAGCUUCUUGCAAUUUCUUCCAAAAUCGUGAGGUGAAUCUCGGAUCUCUAUCCGACACGAUAGAAAUAGGUACCCCGUGUAAUCUCACAAUUUGAGAAACAUACAAUUCGGCUAGUUUAUCCAAUGAAAAAUCCGUACGCACGGGGAUAAAGUGAGCCGACUUAGUCAGUCUAUCAACAACAACCCAAAUCGCAUCCUUCUUACUUGCCGACAAUGGCAGUCCGGACACAAAGUCCAUUGUGACUCGAUCCCAUUUCCACUCGGGUAUCAUGAUCGGCUGAAGUAAUCCUGAAGGCACUUGAUGUUUCGCUUUCACUUGUUGACAUAUUAAACAUCUUGAAACAAAGUCGGAGAUGUCUCGUUUCAUACCAUGCCACCAAAAUCGACGUUUCAAAUCGUUGUACAUUUUCGUACUCCCCGGGUGAAUUGACAUUCGGCUACAAUGGGCUUCGUUCAGAAUCAUCGAAAUGAGUUCUGAAUUUCUUGGAACACACAACCGACUUCUGAACCUCAAACAAUCGUCAUCAUCAAUUUGAAAUUCGGAUUCCAUAUUCGAAACACAUUCAGCCCGUUUUGCAACCAAUUCAUCGUCGACUUUCUGAGCUUCACGAAUUUGACGAAUCAAUAAUGGUUUGGCCUUUAAUUCAGGUACUAACACAUUGUCGGGUAGAACAGACAAGUGCACAUUCAUCACUCGUAAAGCAAACAGUGAUUUCCGGCUUAAGGCGUCCGCAACCACAUUAGCCUUUCCCGGGUGGUAAUCAAUGACAAGCUCGUAAUCUUUCAACAACUCAAGCCAACGUCUUUGUCGCAGAUUUAAGUCUCUUUGAGUCAUCAAAUAUUUGAGACUUUUGUGAUCCGAAAAUACAUGGCACUUUUCACCAAAUAAGUAAUGUCGCCAUAUUUUUAAAGCGAAUACGAUGGCAGCUAGUUCGAGAUCAUGGGUCGGAUAAUUUUUCUCAUGUGGCUUUAAUUGUCUCGACGCAUAGGCCACCACUAGACCUUCUUGCAUCAAUACGCAACCCAACCCAAGUAGGGAUGCGUCACUAUAAAUGACAAACUCUUUGCCUGAUUCGGGUUGCACUAAAAUUGGAGCUUCAGUCAAAUAAGUUUUUAGUUGAUCAAAACUUUUCUGACAUUUCUCCGUCCAUUCGAACUUAACAUCCUUUUGAAGUUGCUUCGUCAUUGGUGUGGCUAUCAUCGAGAAACCUUUGACAAAUCAUCGGUAAUAAUCGGCGAGCCCCAGGAAGCUCCGAACUUCGGUAAUAUUUCUUGGAGGCUUCCAGUUAAGUAUGGCUGAAAUUUUGCUCGGGUCAACUCGAAUACCCGAUGCGGAUACCACAUGACCCAAGAAGCUAACCUCUCUUAACCAGAACUCACACUUACUGAACUUAGCAUAUAACUGCUUAUCCCACAAAAUUUGCAACACUAGUCUCAGGUGCUCAGCAUGUUCGGUCUCAUCUCUUGAAUAGACCAAGAUGUCAUCAAUGAACACAACUACGAACCGAUCCAAAUAUGGUCUGAAGAUCCGAUUCAUCAAAUCCAUAAAUACAGCAGGGGCAUUAGUGAGCCCAAACGGCAUCACUAAGAACUCGUAGUGACCAUAUCUCGUUCUGAAGGCAGUUUUGGGUAUGUUCGAAUCUCGAAUUCGCAACUGAUAAUAGCCCGAUCUCAAAUCUAUUUUUGAGAACACUGAGGCUCCCUUCAGUUGGUCGAACAAAUCAUCGAUACGCGGUAACGGAUAUUUGUUCUUUAUUGUCACUUUAUUCAGCUGACGAUAGUCAAUGCACAACCUCAUGGUUCCGUCCUUCUUUUUCACGAACAAUACUGGUGCACCCCAAGGUGAGAAGCUUGGUCGAGCGAAACCUUCUAUCCGUCAAUUCUUGCAACUGAGCUUUCAACUCUUUUAACUCGGUUGGUGCCAUACGAUACGGAGCUAUCAAAAUCGGCGUAGUCCCAGGUACAAGCUCAAUACCAAACUCUAUCUCCCGAACAGGUGGUAAACCCGGUAAUUCUUCAGGAAAAACAUCCGGGUAUUCACAAACCACCGGCACAGAUUCGGGUUUCUUUUCUAAUUCUUUGUCAUCAAGUACAUACGCAAGGUAUGCUUCGCACCCUUUUCUUACAUAUUUCUGGUCCAACAUUGAGGAUAUUACAGCUGGCAACCCAUCCAAGUCCGUAGACUCAACUCAGAUUACUUCUUUAUUUGCGCACCUCAAAUCAAUAGUCUUGCUUUUGCAAUUCACAACCGCAUCAUGCACGGUCAACCAAUCCAACCCGAGAAUAACAUCAAAUUCAUCAAACGGCAAAAGCAUCAAGUCCGCCGGAAAACAGGAACCUCGAAUUACUAGGGGACAUUUCUUACACACUUUGUCGACAAGCACGUAACGACCCAAGGGAUUUGACACCCGAAUUACGAACUCAGUAGACUCAAUAGGUAAAGUCUUACUGGAUGCUAAGGUUUCACAUAUGUAAGAAUGAGUAGAACCGGGGUCAAUCAAAGAAAUUACAUUAGUAUCAAAGAGAGUAAAAGUACCGGUAAUAACAUCAGGCGAAGAAGCAUCCUCGUGGGCACGUAUAGCAUAAGCUCUAGCAGGCGCACGAGCCUCGGAUCUGGUCGUAGCAUCUCUAGAUCCACUCUGACCACCACUAGCAUUGCCCGUAUUUCUAGAUGGUCUACCUCGAGCAGUGGUAGCACCCGGUUUCCCACUCUGAUUUACAUUCUGUUCAGACAGCCUCGGGCAAUCUUUAAUGAAGUGGUCAACUGAUCCGCACUUGUAACAGGAGCGGUCAUGGAAUCUACAACUCCCCGAAUGCCAUUUACCGCAAUGUCGACAUUCCGUUCUGUCUCGACGUUCAUUCCCAACACUGGCGACCGAAGUGCCUCGUGUACCCACAGGGGGUCGAUCACGAUCUCGUCUAAAAAGGCCUGAAGUGCCUCUAGACCGGUCCACAUCAUCUCGAAAUUUCUUCGAUGCCUGUUGAAGAGACUUUCUCGAGGAUCUUUUACGAAAUCUCCAGUUCCCACAUCAACUUUUUGUUUUUCUUUUCUAAGCUCUUCGGCUUUACAAGCUCGCUCGACAAGUACUACGAACUCUCGUAUUUCAAGAAUGCCAACGAACAUUUUUAUAUCUUCAUUCAGCCCAUCCUCAAAGCGUUUACACAUGAUAGCCUCGGACGAAACACAUUCCCGAGCGUAUCUACUAAGUCUAACAAAUUUUCGCUCGUAAUCAGUAACUGACAUAGAACCUUGCUUAAGCUCAAGAAAUUCCUUCCGUUUUUUAUCAACAAAUCUUUGACUGAUAUACUUUUUUCGAAACUCAGUUUGGAAAAACUCCCAAGUUACUUACUCUCGGGGCACAACAGAAGUCAGAGUACUCCACCAAUAGUAGGCAGAAUCGCGUAGCAAGGAGAUAGUACACUUUAGGCAUUCAUCGGGUGUACAAGAUAGCUCAUCGAGUACCCGGAUAAUGUUGUCCAACCAAAAUUUAGCUUGCUCGGCAUCGUCGCUAUCCGUAGCUUUAAAUUCAGUAGCCCCAUGUUUUCGGAUUCUGUCAACUGGGGGCUUAUUUGACCUUAUUUGGUCAGUUACCGGAGGUAUUGUAGGUGCGGGGGUGGUAUUUGUCGGGAAUGGAGGUUGUGGAACAGCCGUAUUAGUACGAAUGUAUUGGUUGAACCAAUCAUUCAUCACGCUAUAGAAAGCUUGUCUAGCUUCAUCAUUCGGGUUACUAGCAUUAGGUUGAGAGUCCACCGGCGCUGUCCCUUGUGCGGGAGCAGGUGCUACACUCUCAAGAUCAUCAGCUACCGCUCGGUCGGGAUCGGGAUCCAUUACUAUAAAUAAACACAUUUGCAAAUGUCAGAAAUCACCACACUAUCAAAUAAUCACAUAAAAUGGCAUGUAUAGCUAGACCCAACGCAUUACGGUAGUCCUAGAAUCGACUAAACCGUAGCUCUGAUACCAAUAAAAUUGUAACACCCCGUACCCGAGUCCGUCGCCAGAGUUGGACACGAGGGGUUUGCAGACUUAUAUCACUUCUUUGCACAAUCCAUUUUAAAAAUUUCCAGGCAGUUGGCUAACUGCGUCACUAUCACCUUAAAAAUCAUAUCUUGAGUUUCACAACUCAAAAAUCAGUUUCGUAAAUUUUCCCUGAAACUAGACUCAUAUUCCCAUCUACAUAUUUUUUUUUUUGAAUUUUUGGUCGGGCCAAUUAGUACAGUUUAUUAGUCAAAGUCUCCCAUGUUACAGGGAUCGACUACACUGACCUUUGCGCAUUACGACUUGGAUAUCUCCCUGCACAGAGCUUGAAUACUUAUGUCGUUUGUUUCUAUAGAAACUAGACUCAGAGAGGAAUCUAUAAAUAUAUGGAAUGACUCCUAAUUAUCUCUCAUUAAUUUAUAAUGAAUUUCCAAAGUCGGAACAGGGAAUCCAGAAACCGUUCUGGCCCUGUCUCACGAGAACCUGAAUAUCUCUUAACAUACUGUCCAUAUGAUCAUUUCGUUACUUUCCUAUGAAAAUAGAUUCAUCAAGGUUCGUUUACAUAAUUUAUUCACUAUUUAAUUCCAUUCCUACUAUUUUUAGUAAUUUUCUAAAUAUACAUCACUGCUGCUGUCAGCAUCUGCCUUUAAGGUAGACUUUACCUAUUUCAUAGUUUCCAUGAUUCAACUAGCCCUUUUAGCAUAAAUAGCACAAAUUAUGAUAGUGAUUAACCAUUCCCAUGGCCAAUCCUUGUUAAGCAUAUCCACACCUCUCAAUAACCAUAUCCAUACCAAAUGAUUAUAACAUUAUGCUCAAACAUAUAUAAGCCAUUUUCGCAUGGCUAUCCAAAAUUAUACAAAUCCAAAGGGUCCAUGACCCACAACAAAAAGGGUAGUCCUAUACAUACCAUAUCCAGAGUUCAACUAAAACAGUACCAAAAGGGCUUUGAUAGUGUGGAUGACUUCGACUUCGAGGAUCCUGAAUCCGAUAUCUAACGAACAAAUCUAUAAAACAGAGAGCCAAAGCAACGGGGUAAGCAUUUUAAAGCUUAGUAAGUUUCAAGUAAUGAAAUCGGCUUUGACUAAAGUAUUACAUUCACAUAGCUAAAUGAAUCACUUUAUUAAUACACAUUCUCAUAAACAUACUUACUUCACAUUUCAUCAACAUAUACACACAAGGUAUUAACCUAUCUAAAAGCCGAAAGUUCGUUAGUCGAUUGAACGAAUACUAUUUAAAACGAAUCGACUUUUUCGAUGCACACGCAAACAUACCUUAUCGUUUGGGUUUUUCGAGCGUAUUAAUUGAAUUUAUUACAGCACAACACGCUCACCUUCGAACCCAAGUUUCUUCGGAAUUUAGCCGGAUAUAACCACAAGCACAAUUGCCUUCGGGUCUUAACCCGGGUAUAGCAACUCGCACAAAUGCCUUCGGGUCUUAGCCCGGAUAUAUUAACUCGCACAAAUGCCUUCGGGUCUUAGCCCGGAUAAAAUCACUAGCACAAAUGCCUUCGGGUCUUAACCCGGAUAAAAUCACUAGCAUAAAUGCCUUCGGGUCUUAACCCGGAUAAAAUCACUAGCACAAAUGCCUUCGGGACUUAGCCCGGAUAUCAUUCAAAUGCUCAUGCACACAUAUAUCAACAAUCAUGACACAUCCAUAUUUCAUUUUCGUUACUAAGGCUCAAACAUAGAACAUUUAUUAAACCUUUCCAAUUUCGGCUCAAUAGCCACACACAAAGAGCAUGAUUUCAAUUGGCUUUAUAACAUAGUCUCUAUGCACAUUCGGCUAUCCGUCAUAGUAUGACUAAUCAUUUCAAUAUAAUUCAAGUAGGGUCAUUACUCGAAGACUUACCUCGGAUGUUGUCGAACGACUUCAAUGGCUAUUCAAUUACUUUUUCCUUCCCUUUAUCGGAUUUAGUUCCCCUUUGCUCUUGAGCUUAAGUUCAACAAAUUUUAAAAUAGUCAUUAAUCGACUAUUCAAGUAUUACUUUCAGAAUAUAAUAUAUACAGAUUCGACUUUCACACACAUAGAUUACAGUAAGCUUUAUAAAAAUCAAUAAAUAAUUCAUUAGCAAAUUUUCAUUAAUGUUUACAAUAUAAUUACAAUUUCCCUAUAAGCUGACUUCCUGAGCAACAGUCACUAAAGUUUUUAUAACUGGAGCUACGAAACUCCAAAUCAAUUGACGUAAAUUUUUCUUGACAGAAGACUCAUUUAUCUAUUAUUCAUAAAAUACUCAAAAUUUUUAGUUUAGCCCAACAAUACCAUAUUUUUCUUAAAGUUCACCUUGUUUCACUGUUUGACUAAACUGACUAUCCUUCACUACGAAUCAAAUUUCUCAUUGUACAGAAUUAAAAAUAUGUUCUUGUUUAUUUCAUUUGAAACUAGACUCAUUAAGGAGUCUAAGCACAUAAAUUUUAUCUUAGGGCCAUUUUUGUACAAUUUAUACUGAUUUUAUAAAAACAGAACAGGGAAUCUAGUAGUCGUUUUGACUCAGCCCCACAAUACUUCAAAUAUCUCAAGAUCGGUAACUCUUUCGUUUUUAUAGUUUCUUUUGUAAGAAACUAGACUCUUCUAGAUUUAAUGACAUAAUUUACUCAGCUUCUAAUUCAACUCCUACAAAUUAUGGCGAUUUUCCAAAAUCACCUUACUGCUGCUGUCCCCAAGCAGAUUAUUACCAAAUCAAAUGCUAACAUUUGCAUUUCACCUUAGUAGCUAGCUUAGCAAACCUUAAUUUAACAUAUAAUUGUUCAUAACACAAUUAAAGCAUCCUCUCCAUUCCAUCAAUUCAAAACACAUACAUUGCCCAAUAGUAUCCAAAAUCAUAUUCGGCCUUAGUACACAACUUGUUAGCCGAUUUUUCUCCAUUUAGCAACUAAUGCACAUAUGUGCUCAUUUGUUAAACUCUACUUCACCUAACUACCAUUUUCUUUUUCAUCAAAAUAACAUGAACAACAACCAUUUCUUGAACAUUUUCUCUUCAACAAUUCUUCAUAAAACAUAAAGACUAUAACCCAAUCUCAUCCUUUAAUAACUAAAACCGAAUGCUCAAGACACCACACCAUUUCAAAUUUUGGUCAUGGGUUAAGCAAAGAACUUAAUGACUAACUAAAAAAAUGCUAAAAAUCCAAGAAUCAUCCUUGAACUUACCUUGAUUUAGCUAACCACCAUAGCUGAAUUUUUCAAAGCUUUUCUCUUCUAGGUACGGCAAUGAGGAGCAAGGAUGGAGAAACUUUGGUUUCUCCUCCCAUUAACUAGUAUUUUAUUAGCCUUAUUCCUUAUUUCAUUUUGUAACAUAAAAUUAUUAGCAUAAAAUGUUGACACAAAAUAAUUAUAAUAUGCUUUAGUCCAUAACAUGGCCGGCCACCAUCUAGAAUUUGGCCAAUUUGACAUGCAAGUACAAGCAUUUUUAACAUGCAUCAAUAGGCCACUUUAACAUUUGCCUAUCACAUUUCUAAAUUUUCUCACACAAGUCCUAUUUAAUAAAAUUCACUUACAAUUAACAAAAUUCAAACAUGAAAUUUUCACACAUGCAUAUAUACAUAUAAUAAGCUUCAAAUAUGGCGGUUAAUGAUUUUUAUGACUCGAUUUUGUGGUCCCGAAACCACUUUCUGACUAGGGUCACAUUUUGGGCUGUCACAGGUUGUGUUCAUAGAUGAUAUCCUGAUUUAUUAUCGUGAUGAACCUGAGCAUGUCAAACAUCUAAGAUUAGUACUAUAUACUUUGCAUGAUAAUCAGUUAUAUACGAAGUUCAGUAAAUGUGAGUUCUGGUUACGAGAAGUCAGUUUUCUAGGACAUGCUGCAUCAGCAUUGGGUAUUCAGGUUUAUUUGAGCCAGAUUUCGGCUAUACUAAUUGGAAGCCUCUGAGAAAUGUAUCCAAAUUCUGAAUUUUUCUGGGACUUGUUGGUUAUUACAGACGAUUCGUAAAAGGUUUCUCAAUGAUUGCAACCCUGAUGACGAGACUGCUUCAGAAAGAUGUUAAGUUCAAGUGGUCAGAAAAGUGCAAGAAAAGUUUUGAUCAGUUGAAAGCUUUGUUGACUGAAGCUCAGGUGUUAGUUCAGCCAGAAUCGGGUAAAAAAUUUGUAAUCUUUAGCGAUGCAUCUUUGAAUGGUUUGCAGGAAGGCAAAGUGAUAGCCUAUGCCUCGAGACAAUUAAAGCCACAUGAAAGGAAUUAUCUGACGCACUACCUUGAGUUAGCUGGUAUUGUAUUUGCUUUGAAGAUAUGGUGUCACUAUCUGUUCGAUGAGAAAUGUCAUGUAUAUUCAAAUCAUAAAAGCUUGAAAUACCUGAUGACUCAGAAAGAUUUGAAUCUGCGACAGAGAAAAUGGUUAAAACUGUUAAAAGACUAUGAGCUUGUUAUUGAUUUUCAUCCAGGAAAAGCAAAUGUUGUUGCUGAUGCUUUGAGUCAGAAAUCACUAUUUGUGUUACAUGCUAUGAAUGCUCAGUUGUCUAUGUCUGAUGAUGGUUCAAUUUUAGCCGAAUUGAAAGCGAGGCCUUUAUUCUUAUAACAGAUUUAUGAUGCUCAGAAGGUUGUUAGCAAAACGAGUUCAAUGUGUAUUGAAUACUGAUUCAGAGUUUCAGAUUGAUGCUGAAGGUUGUUUGAGGUUUAGAGAUCGAAUUUGUGUUCCGAGAAAUCGAGAGUUGAUUUAGAUGAUUUUGAACGAAGCUCACAGUAGUAGACUAUUAGUACAUUCGGGAAGGACGAAAAUGUAUAACGAUCUGAAAUAGCUUUACCAGUGGCCUAGUAUGAAGCGUGAUAUCUCUGAAUUUGUUUCGAAAUGUUUAGUCUGUCAACAAGUCAAAGCUGAGCAUCAAGUACCGUCUGGGUUACUGCAGCCAGUUAUGAUUCCCGAGUGGAAAGGGGACAGAAUCACGAUGGAUUUUGUAUCGAGUAUUCCUCUGUUACUGAGUAAGCAAGAUGCGGUCUUGGUAGUGGUUGAUAGACUAACGAAGUUGGCUCAUUUCAUUCUGAUACGCAUGGAUUAUUCGUUUGAUAAGCUUGCUGAGUUGUACAUCUCUCAGGUUGUAAGAUUGCACAGAGUACCUAUUUCUAUUGUUUCGGAUAGAGAUCCGAAGUUCACAUCGCAGUUUUGGAAGAAACUGCAAGAUACAUUAGGUACGAAGCUACACUUUAGCAUUAUUUUUCACCCACAGACGGAUGGUCAAUCUGAGCGAAUUAUUCAAAUACCCGAGGAUAUGCUGAGAUGUUGCAUUCUUGAGUUUGAAGGUGCAUGGGAAUGAUACUUGCCAUUGAUUGAAUUUGCGUAUAAUAAUAGCUUUCAAUCGAGUAUUAAAAUGGCACCUUAUGAAGCUUUAUACGGUCGCAAAUGCCGAACACCUUUGUAUUAGACUGAGCUUAGCGAGAAUAAGAUUCACGGGGUCGAUUUGAUUAAAGAAACUGAAUAGAAGGUGAAAGUGAUUCGUGAUAGUCUGAAGACAGUAUCAGAUCGUCAGAAAUCGUAUGCAAACUUGAAAUGGAAAGAUAUUGAGUUUCAGAUUAGGGAUAAAGUGUUUUUAAAAGUCUCACCGUGGAAGAAAAUACUCCGGUUUGGUCAUAAAGGUAAAUUGAGUCCGAGAUUCAUUGGGCCGUAUGAGAUUAUUGAGCGUAUUGGGCUGGUAACUUAUAGAUUGUUGUUGCCACCUAAGUUAAAAAAGAUUUAGAAUGUAUUCCACGUAUCGAUGCUUCAACGAUAUCAAUCUGAUCCCUCGCAUGUGAUUUCACCGUCUGAGAUUGAAAUUAAGUCUGAUAUGACCUACGAAGAACAACCGAUCCAGAUUCUAGAUCACGAGCUUAAGGAAUUGAGGAAUAAGAAAAUUUCUCUAGUGAAAGUCUUAUGGCAUCGUCAUGGGGUUGAAGGAGCUACGUGUGAUCCCGAGGAUGCUAUGAGAGAAUGAUACCUAAGCCUUUUUGCCGAUAAGAUUUUCGAGGAAAAAAUCCCUAAGGGGGGAGGGUUGUAACAGCCCAGUUUAGACCCUAGUCGGAUAGUGGUUUUGGGACUACAAAUUUGAGUCAGAAAAAAAUUUAAUAUUAUUUUUGGUGUCUACAGCAUGUUAAUUUAUAUGAGUGAAAAUUUCGUGUGAAAAUUUUAUUGUUUAUGUCCUCGAUUUUAUAAAAGGACUUAACCGCGUAAAAUGCAAAAGUGGCUAGCUAUUUGUUAAAGUGCUAUUUUUCUAUGGCUUUUAUAAUGUGGGGUCCUUAUGUUGAUAGUUGACCAUUGUAAGUAUGCAUGAACGGAAAUGGGCUUACAUUAUAAGUUUUAUCAUUAAAAUCAUUAAGGUUGGUUUAGUAAAUUAGUUAAUUAUGUUAAAAUAAUAAAACAUAAACUAAAAACCAUGCAUGUUGUUCAUCUUUUUGGCCGAAAUUACCAAAGAAAAAGAAAGAAAAAGAGCAAGCAACAUUCGGCCAUAGUCCAAGCUUGAUUCAAGGUUCAUUUUUGCUUGGUUUUUGAUAAUUUUUAUAUUUUUGAGAUCGUUGCUUCGAAUACUAGCUAGCCCAUGCUUGAAUUUUUGAAUUGGUUGUGGAUUUUCUUUAUUUGAAAUUAUUGAUAGCUUGAGAUUUUUGUGGUUUGAUGAUAAAAAAUAAAGCUUUGUUGAUAGAUUAUUAUGUUUAAUUAAGUGAUUUUUAGUAAAAAAGUGUCUUAAGGAUUAAAUUGUGAAUUUUGUAAAUUGAAGGGUCAAAAUGUAAAAUAAAUGAAAUAUCUGGCCUUAUAUGAACCAAUGGAAUAUUCGGCCAAGCUUAGGUGUGGUAAAAUUUUGAAUAUUUUGUGUUUUGUGAAUUAAGGACUAAAUUGUGAAAAAAGUGAAAUGUUAGAGGCUAAAAUGAAAUUUUCCCAUUUAUGUUUUUUGGAUGAAUUUGAAUAAAUAUAUGAUUAAAUAAGUCAAAUUUGUAUUGAAUUAGAUCAAGAAAAGAAGAAAUCGGAUUUGGAUCGGGGGAAAUCAAAAGUUGUCGAAUAGUCAUCCCGUUCCGUCCGUCUUCGUUCGAGGUAAGUUCGUAAGCGAAUAAAUGAUAUUAAAUUAAAUUUAUUUAUUUAUAUCUAGCCGAAUGGAAUUGUAUGUAUGUAUACUACAUUUUCAAAUUGAAUUUAGCAUGGAAAGAUUAGUUACGAGCUUAAUUCGAUUGAAUUACGACAUUUGAAAGCCCUAACGAACCAUAGGAAUUUCGAUAUGCGAUAUCAUGUAAGACCACGUCUGGGACGUUGGCAUCGAUUUUAGAUUUACGUGUAACACCAUGUCUGGGACAUUGGCAUCGUAUAUGAUUUACGUGUAAGACCCUGUUUGGGACAGUGGCAUCGUUAUUUAAUUACAUGUAAGACCACGUCUAGGACGCUAGCAUUGUACGAAUCUUUUUAGUUAUCCGAGUAUCCUUUUUUAUUCUGAGUGGUACAACGGGAAAUGAUACAACAAAACCAAAUGUGAGUUUGAAUUAAAUGAUUCAGGUAUGUUUGAGUUAUAUGACGUUUGGAAGUAAAGGUAAGUAUUAUGGUAUAACUUGAAAAUAUUGACUAAUCACUUAAAUAUGAGUAUAUAUAUGUGUGUUCAAGAUUGGGAGAAUUCGGCCUAUUUGUAUGAUUUAUAUAUGUUCUUUAAAAAAAAACUAUUUGCUGAUGACUUGCUAAGCUAUAUAAGCUUACUGUGUGUUUAUUCGCUCGUUGUUUUAUAGAUUUUGAAAGCUAGUUACAAGCUCAAGGAUCGUCAAGGAAGUUCGUCACACUAUUGAUCUCUAUUUCGGUAUUUUAAAAGCUUGAAACUUUGAACAUAUGGCAUGUAUAGGCUAGCAUUUCUUUUGGUUGGUCUUGAAAUUUAUAUAUAUUUAGCCAUGCGAAAGUGGUUCAAUCUUUGUGCUAAUGUUCUAAUGUUUAAGUAAUUUUGAUCAUGAUAUAUGCGUGUAGUAAUCUUGAUAUAUAAAUGUGUUUUGAUUGUUAAUGAUGUUCAUGUUAAUGCAUUUUUGGUCAUGGUAUAGAUUAUGUGGUGUGUUUAGAAUUUGAUUGCAGUAUGAAGCAAUGAUAUACAUAUAUGUGGUUUUAAUUCAUGUGAAUUUGGGAUACUAUUGAUAUGAUCGUUUGUGGUGUCAAAUAUAUAUUAUGUUUGAAUGUUUAGUCAUGUAAGUUCAGUUGUUAAAUGAUAAGUAUUGAAUAUGUUUCAUGAUUGCUUUGGUAAUUGUUUUGGUACAGAUCUAAAUGGUAAAUGAUGAUUAUGAUUUAAGUAUGUUUUAGGUAGCUUAAAUGGAUAGUUUAAAAAGUAUCGAGAUAAUGUUAAAUUUUAAAAUAUGUAUACACAUAUGAGUACUUUUAAAUUUCGUUUUGAUAUGUGGUAUUUUUUUUGUUUUUUUUAGGGAAAGAUGCGCAUUAUACAUAUAUAUACAUCAAUAAUAUGUUCGGCCAGGUUGCAUUAUUACUAAAGUUUCAUAUGUGAUUGCAUAAUAAUUAUAGUUAUUUAGUUCAAAUGGCUUUAUUGUAUGCUUGUACAGAAGUUACGAAAUGUUAUCUUUGAUUUAACUAAUGAAUUAUAUGAAUGUCAUUAAUAUUAAAGUUAUGUGGUUCAGACAUUAAACUGUACUUAAUUAACAUGAUUUGGUAGAUGAUUGAUAUUGGAUUUAGAACUUAUAUGGUAUAGAAGUCGAUAUAACCAUGUGUAUAAAAAUGAUAAAUGACUAUGCUGAUCUGUGUUUUGUUCGGUAAUGCCUCGUAACCCUAAUUCGGCGACGGAUACGGAUUAAGGGUGUUACACUUGGACUUCAUUGGAUUUUCAUCAAUCAAAUGAACAUUUCUGAAACUCUUUACUCUUAUUUUAUGCUUAUUAUGUGUUUGAUAAAAUGCUUGUUAGGAAUUUAAGUUUGAUUAUGUGCUAAAAUUGUUGAUGGUUGGUUGAUUAGUUAUUUGUUAGUUAAGUUAAUGUUUAUGUUUGAUGUAUUGAUUGUUCAAUUAUAUCGAAAUGCUUAAUUGUAACACCCCGAACCCGAGACCGUCGCCGGAGUCGAACACGAGGUGUUAACAGACUUCAAACCACUUAUUAAAAAAUUUCCCAGACAAGCUGCCAAUCUGCGUACUAGUCGUUUUAAAAAUCAUAUCUUGAGUUCUGAAACUUGAAAUCCAGUUCUGUAAAUUUUCUCUGAAACUAGACUCAUAUGUCCAUCUACAUAUUUUUUUCUAGAAUUUUUGGUCAGGCCAAUUAGUACAGUUUAUUAGUCAAAGUCUCCCAUGUUACAGGGAUCGACUACACUGACCUUUGCGCAUUACGACUUGGAUAUCUCCCUGUACAGGGCUUCAAUACUGAUGUCGUUUGUUUCUAUAGAAACUAGACUCAAAGGGGAAUCUAUGCAUAUAUGUCAUGACUUCUAAUUAUCUCUGGUUAAUUUAUAAUGAAUUUCCAAAGUCGGAACAGGGAAUCCAGAAAUCGCUCUGGCCCUGUUUCACAAUAGUUUAAUUAUCUCCUAACAUACAGCUCAUAUGGUCAUUUCGUUUCUUCUAUAUGAAAAUAGACUCAUCGAGCUUCGAUUACAUAAUUUAUUCAUUGAUUAAUUCUACUCCUACUAUUUUUUGUGAUUUUUCAAUCUCACGUCACUGCUGCUGCCAGCAUCUGUUACUAAAGCAACUAUGCCUAUUUCGUGAUUUCUCCUUGAUCUAACUAGUAAUUCAUCAUACAUAUCACAAAUUAUGAUCAUGACUAGCCAUGCCAAAGGCUAAUUAUUGUCAAACAUCUCCCUACUACACUAUUGCCAUAUCAUGAAUUUUAACACCAAAAAUAAUCAACCAUGACAUAUGGCAUAAAAAUCGAAUUACCAAGACUUACGACCUAACAUUAUAGAACCAAAUCCAACCGAACAUUUAUGCCAUUUUCGCAUGGCUAAAAGUUUACAUACCAAAUUUCAACAAAACAUAUUAGCCUAUACAUGCCGAAAUGUUCUCCUAGACCGACUAAAAAGAAGAUACCCAAAGUUGCUAGCCGGUGUGAUGACUUCGAUGACGGCCCGAUCACGCAAAAAGAGACGAGUCCAAGAAACCUAAAAUAGGUGACAAGGAAACACCGAGUGAGUAUAUAACUCAGUAAGUCAUAAGCAAUGCACUACCAUCCAUUAAUAACAUUAUCACAAGAGGAAACAAAAUGGAACGAGGCUAGUUACUCCAUCCAUACCGAACCAUACCAUAGUUCCUUAGACCUAUCGGUUCAAUCUCAUACCAAGUCAUGCAUUCACAUUCCAUAUACUAAUCAAUAGGAUAUUUGAGGCAUUUUCAUACAUCAUUUUAUUUUCGUUACAAUCAUACAACUAAACGACCGUUCACCUAUUCCACGAUAAAUCUUAUGUACGUGACUUCAAUUAUAAUUGUCACAUAGGUUCAAACUUACCAAGCUCAACUCCAAAUAUAAACAUAGCGCCUAUUAGCCAUGAACUCAAGGAACUUACCCGAUCCGCUGUCCGUGAUCAACUCAAUAAUGUCGCACACUUAGUGUCCAUAGUGAUUCAAAAAUAUAUAUUAAGUCCGCACACUCAGUGCUAUAUAAUCAACUCGCACACUUAGUGCUAUAUAAUCAAACUCGCACACUUAGUGCUGUACAAUUUAAACCCGCACACUUAGUGCCAAUCUCAUGAUCAUAAAUGUUUAUACCCGCACACUUAGUGCCGAGAUCAACAACUCAAUACAUCUCACCUCUUUUCUUUUCAUUCAACACUUUCAUCACCACAUGCAUACAUGUAUAUAAAUUUAUCAUUCCAUUUGGCAUAAUUACAUAGACAUUAUGUCUAUUUAGAUCAAUACAAAAUAUAUGCUUGGUGACUUACCUUAUGUUGGGUAAAAUAAUUCCAAGUCGGCUACUCGAUGACCUUCGAUUUCCCCUUGUUGGACGCCUCUCCUUUAGGAUCUUGAGCUUAAACAAAUAAAUUAACUCAUUCAACCGCUUUGCUACAUAUAUUGGUAUUCACAUUUUAAUGAUUUUAUGACAUACGGAACGGCAUGGUAAAAUUUUUAUCUUGCUACCUCAUGUUCUUAGCUAUUCGGCUAAUAACCUUAUGCAAUUACCAUACUUUCAAUAAUCUAAUCACACAUGCAUAUGCAUACUUGGACAUUCGGCAAUCACCUUGCUAAUUUUAAACUCAACAUCACAUAAGCUCCCAAGUGAUGGCCGAAUAUGUAUAUCUAUACUAUCACCUAUAAUUCAUCAAAUCACAAAAUUUCAUCUCAUGAACACUCGACCCAUUUUUACCCCAUAUGGCCGAAUGUGUAAGAUUAAAUUCAACACCACCGAUGUACUUAAUUAGGUGGCCAAAUAUACCAAGUUAGACUUGACAUUAUACGUCACAAGAACUCUAAUUUAAUUUGUCAAUUGCUUGGCCAAGAACUCACAAGUGCCUUAUAUACAACCUAUUCGGCCUUACUACUUAAACUUAGCCUUUCAUACACUUAUCUCUAUUGUUUUAGAAGGCCGAAUCCUUAUGUGUUCCAACAUCUAGCUUACUCAAUUCAACACAUCAAAAUGACAUUUAGGCCGAUUUUGCUAGCACACAAGCCUUUGACCGAAUGUCCUUGACCUCUAGUCACCUAAAUUUUUAUUCUUUAAAACUCAUCCAAGACCACAUUCGGCACCUCCAACCAAUAAUUUAGAUAUUCUCAAGUUCAUUCACAAGUACAAUUAUAUAUCACGUUAAGCAUUAAUCAUUUUGCAACAUGAAUUCUAUAGCAUGGCCGAAUACUCAUGCACAUACACACAUAACAACAAGAACUCAAUGACACAAAAAUCUCCUUUCCAAAGUACAUACAUACCCAUACAUACGGCAACUUCCAUUCUUUUCUCCCAACAAUGAAUCCAUGAAUUUUGCCAUGGGUUAACUAGACUAUACCCAUAUCAACUAAAUCUCAAUAUCAAUUAGAAUAAAAAUCACAACGCAUACCUUUCCAUUGAAAUAGCCAUGGCCGAAUGCCUUGGUUUCCUUUUUUUUCAAUCUUUCCUUUCUCAAUUUCGGCAAAUGAAGAAGAUGGAAGAUGAGCCUUCCUUCACCUUUGUUUUCUUUACUCACGGCAAUUGUAACAAGGAAAAGGAUGAACACUCCUUCUUCCUCCCUUAUUUUAUUCAUCUUUUUCCUUUUUAAUUCCUUUCUUUAAUUUAUUCUAAUUUACUUACCAAUAUUAAAUAAUAAACAACAUAAACUUGGAGGAAUGGAACCAUGCUUGGCCGGCCACUUAACAUGAAUUGGGCACUUUGACAUGCAAACCCAAACAUUCCUAUUUUAAUACUAUUUGGUCCUUACUUAUUUACCUAUCAUAAUUUUCUAAGUCUCUCAACUAGAUCCUUUCAAGCAAAAUUCACAUUCCUAAGAUAAAAUUAAAACAUCAAAUUUUUAUACAAGUACUAUCACACAUAUAAGAUAUGCAAAUAAAAUUUUAACUAAAUUUUAUGACUCGGUUUUGUGGUCCCGAAACUACAUUCCGACUAGGGUCAAAUUAGGGCUGUCACAUUAAUACACUAAAUUGAUUCCUUUAGUGGAAAAUAUAGAUAAACGAGAUCAAGAGAAGAGUUUAUCCUUAGAUGGUUUGAUGUAAUUGUCCUGAGUAGUGAGACCGAGAGGAGAACCUAGGUGGUAUCUUUUAGUUUAGGAUGAGAUCGAGGGGAGAUUCCUAGCUAAGAGUGACAGUUAAUAUAAUCGGUAUAGAUUUAUUAGCUUAGUUAAUUAUAAUGAAUCAAUUGACCAUUGUUUUAUCUUUUACAUUUUCUAAAACAGCAAGGAAGAAAGUUAGAUUAGUUAGUUUAAUUGGUAAUUUAAAUUUAGUUUAUAAAGAAUUUUUUAUUUGAACUUGCACUAAUAAUUUUUUACUCGAUUAGAUUAGUAAUUACUUAACUUGUACUUAACUUGAUAAACACAUUUACCCACUUUUUUUUUUUUUGCUCAAUUGAGUUAUUACACUUUUAAGCAUUUGCAAAGAAUGUAACAAUCUACAAGAUGCAACAUUCCCCCACGAAAAUGUCCCUCACCCGAGUACAAAAAUACCAAUAUCUCAAACCGAUAACAUCAUAAUUUCAAACCACUAGACCCCCAAAAAUCCCAUCUGUUGUUCUACCCUCUAAAAGAAAAAUAUGCAAAUAACCAACACAUAAACCACAUAUAACCAAGAAUCCUUUAGGCACUAACAGCAAACCAACUCUUCAGAAGAAAUACAGCAACAUUACUCAAAUUAAAAUCACCACCAUGCCUUAAACAUACCAGGCCUUUUUAUUCCUACAACUGCCAAAGCAUAAGUCAUCUUGUUUCCGUGCUUUUAGGCUUUCGAAAAGGAAACAUUACCUACUCUAACCAUCUUAUUUUCAGUUUCCUUGAAGAUAAGAUGCAACAACCAUGAUCUCAAUCCUUUGUUCUCAAACCAACAAAACACCUCAUUUGAUCCACUCUCAAUGAUUAGAGAGCUUUUACCUUUCCACCCUAUUGCUAAAAACACAUCCAAAGCAAUGAUAACCGCUCCCAUCUCAGCUGUAAUGGAGUCUUUUGUUGCAACUGGACCAGAAAAUAAUGCCCUUGCCACCCCAUCCGAGUCUCUUAACACCUCUCUACACCCGAUCGCCACACCACUUACAUUAAAUUUUACCCAACCAUGUCUCGGAGGACACCAAAACCUGCCACCCAUCCCAAAUUUUUUUAAAUCACACCAGCUUCUAAACGGACAAAUCCACCAUGAUCUCUCAUCUACUCUUAAUUCUUCUUGAAUAGACCUAACCCAUAUCAAAGCUCGCAUCUUGGAGUGAAAAACUAAACUGUUCAUUGUAAGCCACUUCCUGUCAAACACCAACUCGUUCCUUGCCAGCCACACAGACCGGCAUGUCGUUGUUACCGAAAUCAUCCAUAGGCUUUUGCCCACACCUGUAUAUAAUACAUUAUUAAGAAAAUAUCAAAGAACCCAUCAACUGGAAUCCAUUCAACAUCCCACCACUCGAAAAAUUUUCUCCAAAACCCUUAAAUGAAUUUGCAUUGGAAAAAAAGAUGCUUCACUUUCUCCGAUUCUCUAUUGCACCAAGGGCAACCACUCUCCAACUGACAAAUCUGCACACCUCUUCUAAUCAGGAACUCCUUAGCAGGUAGUCUAUCUAUUGAAAUCAUCCAGAGGAAGCUUUUCACUCUAGGAGGCACCUUUAACUUUCAAAUCUUAUCAAAGGUGAAAAUAAUGUCAUCCACUCCUUCUUUGAUCAAUAAUUCAGUUAAUUUCUUCACCGAGAAGACCCCUUAUCAUCAUGAAUCCAUAUUAAUCUAUCCUCCUCUUUUGGCACCAACACCUUACUUCUAACAACUUCCCUUAAAUGAUUGAGCAUAUUUAAUCCCUAUCCAAUAAUGGUCGUAUAAAGAAAUCAACCCAAUUAACCUCUUUAAACCCAUUCGAGUUUGAAAAGUCUUUCACCAACCUUUUCUUGCUAUUGACUAAACAAAACAACCUUGGAAAUUCCAUUCUCAGAGGCUGUUCACUACACCAAAUAUCCUCCCAGAACAUUAUCGUAUUACCAUUCCUAACCAACCAACAAAAAGAUUAUUUCCCCAUUCAUUUAGCCACUUUUGAGUCUUUAGCAUUCUCCACGAUACCCCUCCAAACCACCGACAUAUCUUUUGUGUUGCUCGUUCUAAUUUGCUAUUGCUGCGCAGGGGAUCCAUACUUCAUAACUAUAAUUUUUCUCUACAAAGCUUCUCUUUCCACAGCGAAUCUCCAACUCCAUUUGGCCAUGUGUUGAAGUAAUGGUCAGCAUGCAGCAACCAAGACUGUCAAAGGCACUACAUGCAGAAGCUGCUGGUUCACCUAGUCAGCAAGUUGUUUAUGUUUCAUUUUGUAAUUUUAAGUUAGAGUAAUGUAACUUAGUUGCUUUAUAACUAUGUUAGGUUUAUGUUUGAUGUAAUUUUGAUGUUGACUGAGCUGAUAAAUCAGCUUUGUUUGUUUAUUCAAGCUAAUUAGCACAAGUUACUAUGUGUAUUAGUGGUAGUAGGUGAAGUUUAGGUCAACCUACUGUUUUGUCAAGAUUGUAAACUUGUUUUAUGUAUUGGCUUUAUGCCAUAUUUAGUUUGAUGAAUGAAUUCAAGAAGUUAUCAUCCAUAUGCUCUCCAUUUUUAGUUUUGCUUAAAAAUCCAUUUGAGUUUUCUGCUUUGUUUCUCCUACAAGUCACGAGACUUGCCAUACAAGCAUUCUGCUGAAGCUUGCUGCUGCUGCCUUUUGCUCCAACAAUUGGUAUCAGAGCCACAUUCUUAGAGGACCUGUUGAAGUUCAGUAUCAAAACGAUGGCAUCAUCAGGUUUUUCACCAGCUUCACCACCUGUCUUCAAUGGAGAGGGCUUCAACAUUUGGGCAGUUAAGAUGAGGACUUACCUGCAGGCAUUCGACCUAUGGGAAGUUGUUAACUCAGAUGCUGAGCCAGCACCUCUUCGAGCUAAUCCAACAGUUGCUCAAAUAAGGCAACACACUGAUGAAAGGACAAAAAGGCACAAGGCCAUGUCAUGCAUACAGAAUUGUGUGACAGAUGUGAUCUUUAUGAGGAUCAUGGCCUGUGAGACACCAAAGGAGGCUUGGGACAAGCUGAAAGAAGAAUUUCAGGGGACUGAGAAAACAAGGCAACAACAGCUGCUCAAUUUGAGAAGAGAUUUCGAAAAUCUCAAAAUGAAAGAGGAAGAAACAGUUAAGCAGUACUCAGACCGGAUUAUGGCUGUUGUAAACAGCAUAAGGCUCCUAGGAGAGCAAUUCAGUGAAGCUAGAAUGGUUGAGAAAGUCAUGUCCACUCUACCAGAGAGGUAUGAAGCUAAAAUUUCAUCCCUCGAAGACUCAAGGGACUUGACAACUAUCUCCUUAACUGAGCUAAUCAAUGCCUUGUAUGCACAAGAGCAAAGAAGAGCUAGCAGACAAGAGGAGCACCAGGAAGGGGCUUUUCAAGCCAAAGAAGCCUCGAGCAUCAAAACUCAUAAAGGCAAAAAGUUCUGGAAAAACAGGCCUAAGCCUGAUGCUGCUAGGAGCAGUGACCAACUCUGCAGACAUUGUAAAAGAGCUGGUCAUCCAGAAGAUAGAUGCUGGUUUAGACCAGAUGCAGUAUGCCAACACUGUAAGAAAAAAGGCCAUGUUGAAAAGGUUUGCAAGAAUAGAAGCAAACCAAGACAGAAUCAAUUUCAGCAACAAAAGGUGAAAGCUCGAGUAGCUGAAAAAAGCAGUGAUCAAGAAGAACAUGUUUUUGCUGUGUCAUGUGCAGCAAAUCAGAAGAAGGGUUCAAAGGGCUGGCUUCUAGACAGUGGGUGCACAAACCACAUGUCACCAGAUGCAACUAUCUUCAAAACCCUGGACAGAACCUGCAAAACCAAAGUAAAAAUUGGAAAUGGUCAGUUAAUCAAUGCUGAAGGAAGAGGAGAUGUGCUGAUUCAUACUUCUACAGGUGGAAAAAUCAUUUCAAAUGUACUUUUGGUACCUGAAAUCGAUAGGAACCUUCUCAGUAUAACUCAACUACUUGAGAAAGGUUACUCAGUUGUUUUCAAGGAGAAAGAAUGUCAAAUUUUUGAUCCAAGUGGAUCAAAUCUUAUAACAGUCACCAUGACUGAUAAAUGUUUUGAAGUAGACUGGCCAAAUGACUCACAUUCAGCCUGCAUAGCCUCCACUGAUGACUCGAGACUCUGGCAUCAGAGGCUUGGACAUGCAAACUACAAAUCCAUAGCCCGCAUGGUCAAUGAAGGUCUGGCAGAAAAUUUCAUUGAUUCAGUGAAGAAUGAUGAGCUUUGUGAGAUAUGUCAGCAAGGAAAAUUGGCAAGAUUGCCAUUUCCAACAAGCACAACAUGGAGAGCAUCAGAGAAGCUCCAGCUUGUGCAUACAGAUGUGUGUGGACCAAUGAAGACUGAGUCUCUCAAAGGAAGCAGGUACUUUAUUUUAUUUAUUGAUGACUUAACAAGAUACUGCUGGAUUUAUUUUCUAAAACAGAAAUCAGAAGUACCAUCUAUGUUCCUGAAGUAUAAGGCUGCUGUUGAAACUGAGUCUGGUUGCAAACUUAGAGCAAUGAGGUCAGAUAAUGGAACUGAGUACACCUCAGCUCAGUUCCAAGUCUACUGUGAAGAAGCAGGUAUCAAACACCAGUUGACUAAUAUGUAUACACCCCAACAGAAUGGGGUCAGUGAAAGGAAAAACAGAAGCUUGAUGAACAUGGCAAGAUGUCUUCUGUUUGAGAAGAAUUUGCCCAAAAGUCUGUGGGCUGAAGCUGUUAACACAGUAGUUUAUCUCCAAAACAGGCUCCCAACCAAGGCUCUGGCUGAGAAGACUCCAUUUGAAGCCUGGUUUGGGUUUAAGCCAUCACUGGCUCAUCUCAGAACCUUUGGUUGUCUGUGCUAUACUCAAGUUCCAGCUGAGAAGAGAAGCAAGCUAGAUAAAAGAGCUCAAGCAGGGAUCCUGAUCGGCUACAGCUUGGUUAAGAAGGGCUACAGAAUUCUAGAACCUGCUACAAACAAGAUAUUGGUUAGCAGGGAUGUUGUUUUCAAUGAAAAAGGACACUGGAAUUGGGAGAAGGCUGAACCAGAGGCAGUGGCUGAAGAUCUGGCAGUGGACCAAGUUGAAAAUGAUGAAAACACACCUGAAAUGGAUGUAGAUGAUGUUCCAAUCAGAGGCACUCGAUCACUGACUGAUGUUUAUGAAAGAGCACAAGUGGCUACUGUUGAACCAAGUUGCUUUGAAGAAGCAGAAAACCAGGAGGACUGGAAGCAAGCAAUGAUUGAAGAAAUCAGAAUGAUUGAAAAGAAUCAGACCUGGAGUCUGGUUGAUAAACCAACAAACAGGAAGAUUAUUGGUGUCAAAUGGGUUUAUCGAGUAAAGAACAAUGCUGAUGGUAGCCUAAACAAGUUAAAGGCUAGAUUGGUUGUGAAAGGCUUCAGUCAAAGGUAUGGAUCAGACUACCUGGAAACCUUUGCACCAGUGGCCAGGCUAGACACUAUUAGACUGCUAGUUGCCUUAGCAGCACAAAAACAGUGGCUGAUACACCAACUUGAUGUAAAAUCAGCAUUUCUGAAUGGAUUCCUUGAAGAGGAGAUUUAUGUGGAGCAACCUCAAGGUUUCAAGGUGUCUGGCAAAGAAGAUAUGGUGUACAAGCUCAACAAAGCCUUGUAUGGCUUGAAACAGGCUCCAAGGGCCUGGUAUAGCAGAAUAGAUGGCUAUCUGACCAGUCAAGGAUUUGAAAGAAGUCUUAGCGAGCCAACUCUGUAUGUUAAAUCAACUAGUGCUGAAACUCAGCUCAUUGUCUCAAUAUAUGUCGAUGACCUACUGGUGACAGGAGGAGAUCAUGAGAUGCUAAGCAGUUUUAAAGUCAAAAUGCAACAGCACUUUGAAAUGUCAGAUUUGGGAUUGAUGUCUUACUUCUUAGGCAUGGAAGUAACUCAAGCUAAGAAUGGGAUUUGGCUAAGUCAAAAGACCUUUGCUAUGAAGGUUCUCAACAAAUUCUCAAUGGAGAAUUGCAAAGCAACCAGCACACCAGUUGCUGUUGGAGAAAAACUCUCGAGCCAAGACAAGCAUGAAAAGGUUUGUGAAACAACCUAUCGAAGUCUAGUUGGAUGUUUGUUGUAUUUGACUGCUACUAGACCUGACAUAAUGUAUGCUGUGAGUCUACUCUCGAGGUUUAUGCAUUGUUCAAAUGAAAGUCAUUUUAGAGCUGCAAAAAGGGUUCUAAGAUACAUCAAAGGAACUUUGUCCUAUGGAAUGCAGUUUACCAAGGCUGAGAACUUGAGGCUAGUUGGAUAUUGUGACAGUGAUUGGGCUGGUUCUUUGGAUGACAUGAAGAGCACUACAGGUUAUGCAUUCAACAUAGGAUCUGCUAUGAUAUGCUGGAGCUCAAAGAAGCAAGGAGUAGUGGCUCAGUCGACUGCAGAAGCAGAAUAUGUGGCUGCUGCUGCAGCAGUCAAUCAAGCCAUAUGGCUUAGAAAAAUUUUGAAAGAUAUCAAUCAUGAGCAAAAGGAAGCAACUGAGAUAAUGUGUGACAACCAAUCAGCAGUUGCUAUUGCAAAGAAUCCUGUUUUUCAUGGAAGGACCAAGCACUUCAACAUCAAACUUCAUGCAGUUCGGGAAAUGGAACAAGCUCAUGUUGUUAAGCUGAUACAUUGCAGUUCUGAAGAGCAAAUUGCUGAUAUUUUAACAAAAGCACUAAGUGUUUCCAAGUUUCAACACCUGAGAACUAAUAUGGGAGUUUGCAACAUGCUAACCAAGGAGGAGUGUUGAAGUAAUGGUCAGCAUGCAGCAACCAAGACUGUCAAAGGCACUACAUGCAGAAGCUGCUGGUUCACCUAGUCAGCAAGUUGUUUAUGUUUCAUUUUGUAAUUUUAAGUUAGAGUAAUGUAACUUAGUUGCUUUAUAACUAUGUUAGGUUUAUGUUUGAUGUAAUUUUAAUGUUGACUGAGCUGAUAAAUCAGCUUUGUUUGUUUAUUCAAGCUAAUUAGCACAAGUUACUAUGUGUAUUAGUGGUAGUAGGUGAAGUUUAGGUCAACCUACUGUUUUGUCAAGAUUGUAAACUUGUUUUAUGUAUUGGCUUUAUGCCAUAUUUAGUUUGAUGAAUGAAUUCAAGAAGUUAUCAUCCAUAUGCUCUCCAUUUUUAGUUUUGCUUAAAAAUCCAUUUGAGUUUUUUGCUUUGUUUCUCCUACAAGUCACGAGACUUGCCAUACAAGCAUUCUGCUGAAGCUUGCUGCUGCUGCCUUUUGCUCCAACACCAUGAGUGACUUGUUUUUAACCCUGAUAUCCACCACUCCCAUACCCCAUUAUCCUUUGGCAAACCAAUUUGUUUCCACUUUACCAUCGCCAUUUUCCUUCGUCCACCUACACUUUCCCACAAAAAAUUCCUUCCAAUUUUGUCAAUUUUAUUAAUCAUGGCAACAGGUGCUUGAAAGAUUGUCCUGAAGUAGAUAGGCAAAAAGCAUAACACUGCAUUAGUAAGCACAAUUCUUCCUGCCCAAGGGAGUGAACAACACUUUCAACCCGAUAGUUUCCUCUUAACUCUUUCCACGAUUCCAUUUCAAGAAGAAAUCUUUCUUAGAUCAUCUCCUAUAGCGAUUCCCAAAUAAUUGAACGGUAAUUCCCCUAUCUUACACUUACAAACAGCAGCCAUUCUAUACAAAAAAAUCAUCUUCAAAACCAAACCCCACAAUGCAUGACUUAUGGAAGUUAAUACUUAACCUAGAGAAAAUUUCAAAAGCAGUAAAGAAUGAACUUAGUAUUCCUUACCACUUCCUCUUUCGCCCUAAAAAAUAAAAUAGUGUCGUCCACAAAUUGUAAAUGUGAGACUAACUAACCAGGUAUUACAUCUUUUAUCCCCUCUAUGAUCCCCAACUCCUCCGCUUCAACCAUCAUCAAGUGCAGUACCUCCGUCACUAGAAUAAAUAAGCAUGGUGAUAAUGGGUCCCCUUGUCUAAGACCUCUGUAGAUUCUGAACUCAUUUGUGACCGCACCAUUAAUAAAAAUGUUGCUCUUGCUGUUGCCACACACUCCAACAUCCAACCAAUCCACCUCUCACCAAAUCCCAUUUUCAACAAUAUCAAAUCCAAAAAAUCCCAGCGCACACAAUUAUAAGCCUUGGAGAAAUCUAGCUUAAAAAUCAAAUAUCCCCUUGCACAUACCUUUUUCUUAAACGAAUGAAUUAUCUCAUUUGCGCUUAAUAUUCCAUCAAAGAUUUGUCUUCCACGAAUGAAUGCACAUUGUGUAUCACUUACCACGACCCCAAUAACUUCACGUAAUCUUCUCGGUAGAACCUUUGCAACUAUUUUGUACAAUGAACUCACCAAACAGGUUGGUCUGAAUUCGAAAAUGUCAUGCCAAUUUUCAUUCUUGGGUAUGAGUGCUAUAAAAGACGAAUUAAUGCUUCUUUCCAACUUUCCAGUUUUGUAAAAUCCCGCCAUCAUUUCAAACAAAUCUUUUUGUACGAACUUCCAGCAUUUUCUAGAAAAGCAUAGAUUAAAUCCAUUCUGACCCGAAGCUUUGUUCUCAUUACAACUCCACAUCGCUUCCUUGAUUUCAUCUAUGGAAAAAGGCACCUCAAGUUUCAAAGCUUCUGCUUCUUUCAGCCUAUUGAAUUUCAAGACCAUAUCCAUUUUCCAUUUCCUCGAAGGGCAACUAAAAUGGUCUCUAAAAUAAUUGAACAUCUUAUCUUUCAGCUCCUUAGGUUCACUAUACCAAGAAUUCCAAUUUUCAUCCCAUGCACAACUUUCCUCUUCACUUUAAUCUUUACCGCACUAUGAAAAAAAAGUCGUAUUAGAGUCUUCGUCUUUUAACCAUGUCAUUCUUGAUUUUUGCCUCCAAAUCGAUUCCUUAAAUUUAAUUGUUUCCCCAAGUUCAAGAUUCAAACUUCUCAUCUCCUCCAUUUCCAACUCAGUUAACUCUCAAUUGUCGCUUUCAACAUCCAGAAUCUUAAUCCUCUCUUCAAUCUCAUUUAUUCUUUUUUCUAAUACAUUUCUAUCCUCCCUAUUCCAUUUCCUAAGGGCUCCUUUUAACUUCCUCAAUUUUCCCAAUAUUCUACUAUUCAUGCUGUCCAUUUUAUUCCAUUCUUUUGUAAUUAAACUCGGACACUCCUUUUUGCUAAGCCACUCAUUUAUAAACUUAAAAGGAUUCAGACCCAAUCCACUGUUCCGUUAGUUAACAAAAUCAAAAUAUGAUCCAAUACUAAUCUUUUUAGUCCCAGUUGUUGAAUAUCUUCAAAAUGUUCUACCCAUUCUUCAUCCACCAAAAAUCUAUCCAACCUACUUUUCUUCUUAUCUGGACCAUACCAAGUGAAUUUUUUCCCCAACAAUGGCAAAUCUACCAAUUUGCAUUUAUCAAUACAGCUCUUAAAAUCCUUCGAACCCUUUAAUGAUCCCACACAAUUACUUCUUUUGCUUUUAUUCCUAAUCGCAUUAAAAUCACCUCCCAUAAUCUAAUGAUUAGUGAACUAUUUUUGAAUCUCAAUCAUCUCCUCCCAUAAAAUCUUUUGUUCUGUCAACAUAUUGGGCGCAUAUACAUUGAUCAAUACACCUUCCCAACCUUCAGAGAACCAAUUCCCUUCUGCCACUAUAAAUCUAUUAACACAAUAUUUCUUUUUCAAUAGAAAAUAUGUUUUAUUCCAAAUUGUAAUUAACCCACCCAAACGACCUACUGCAGCCACAUACCUAAGAUCAAAUUUAUUGUCUCCCCAAAUUCUUCUAAUUAGAUCCCCAAACACUACCUCUAAUUUUGUCUCCUAUAAAAAACAUACAUUUACCCUGUGCAUUCUAACUAAUCUACUCGCCAUUGCAACUUUAACCUCUGAUCCCAAAUCCCUAAUAUUCCAAGAAACAAUUCUCAUAUCACCCAACCAAUAUUCCAAUAUACUCAAAACAUCAAAUUCAAUCACGCACCUAUUGUUGCAUUGGGGAUUUUUCGUUUUCUUCGAGUCCUUUGCUACUGGUUUUCAAGUCUCACAAUAUCCUCAAUGACAUCUCUUUCAUCUCCCCUCACUCUUAACCCCAAUUUCUUCCCCACUUCCCUAUUCUGCUUUGCCUCCUUUAGAAUUACCUUCCUCCUAUUGCUGAUGUCUGAGUCUGACAAUGAUGAAUUCACGAUUUUCUCUUCACUCCUUAGCGUUACCUUGCCCUUUUCCUUUCUCCAAAUUCUAUCCCUCUUUUGUUUUUCAUUGGAAGUCAACACCCUAUCCUGAAUAUCUUGCAUGGAGAUGUUUUUUUUAUUAAAAUGUUUCUUCUUCCUUAUGCUUUGGAUUGUAUUUAGGAAUACAUCUUCUAUCUUCUAGAAAAAACCCCCGUCCCUUGUUUCUGGUUCUUCUGAUUUGUUUCUAGAAUUUUGUUAUGCUGUCAGGAUAUUUUCCUCACUCAAAAACAGCCCUUCAUUUCUAAUUGAGCCCACACCCUCUUCUAUAUCCACCUAUACAUCUGAUUAGGUGUGAGCAAAACUCGAUUUGACUCGAAAAAUUGAAAAAAUUUCAAAUUUCGAGUUAAACGAAUCGAGUUAUUCGAAUCAAUUCAAAUUUUUUUUUCAACUUUCAAGUUCGAAUCGAGUUGAGUUUUUGAAUUCAAAUAACUCGAAUAAUUCGAAUAUCAAACUAUAACAUUUUACAUUUUUACCCUAAACUCUAAAACUUUUUUACUUUUCCCUCAAAACUUUUACUCCUUCCCACUUUCUCCCCGAAACUUUUACUCCCCUCCCCUCCCAACCCCCCAAUCUACCCAAAAUCCAUUUCCCACCAAAAUUUUACUUUUCCAUUUACUUUUUCUCAAAAUUUUACUCCCCAAAACCCUCAAAACCUUUUAUUUUCCAUCAAAAUUUUUACUCCCUCCCACUUUCCCCUAAAACUUUUAUUCUCUUCUCAUCCCACCUCCCAUCUACCCCAAACCCUCCCCUCUCCAAUUUUUUUUAAUAUUUUCCCUCCAAAAUUUUACUCUCCCUAUUUACUUUCCCUCAAACUUUUAUUCCCAAAAACUUUUUAUUUUCCCCCUAAACUUUUACUUCUCACCCUUUACUCUCAAAUAAAAAAUUAAAAUUAUCCAAAAAAAUCACUAAACGUAAAUAGUAAUAAUUUUAUUUAUAUAUACUAUUUAUAUUAUUAAAUUAAAUUUCACAUUUUAUAUUAUUUAUAUUAUUGAAUUGUUUAGUCAUAUUGAAUAUUUAUAUUAAAAUUGAAUUCUUAAUUAUGCCAUAAAAUAUUCGUGUUAAAAUUUUAUAUUGGUAUCAAUUUCACAUUUUAUUUUUAAAAUAACUUUUAUUAAAAAAUCAUAUUUUUAUAUUUAAUAUAUUUUUUAAUUCCAAAAUACAUAGUGACAAGAAUCUAAAGAUAAUUGAAACAACUAAGCAAACAAAUAAGCUAACCAGUAUAUAAAAAAUUAAUAAAUAAAUUAUGAGGUGAUGAAAGUUAAUAAAAAAUUUGAUUAAGGUGGACAAAUUUUAUUACGAUGGGUGACAAUGGUUACAAGGACCCAAAAUUAUUUUUUAAAAUUUAACUCAAACAAAUAUAUUCGAUUCGAUUCGAUUUGAAUUCCAUCUCACUCGACUCGACUCGAUUCGAGAAAACUUCAAAUAAAGUUAGGAUGAUAAAAUGAGAUUCAAAAACUCGAUUAACUCAAAAAAAUUUUAUUCGAUUCGAUCGAAUGCUCACCCCUAAAUCUGAUCCCCUACUUGGGCCUAUUACAAGUGCCAGACCCAUAUUUACUAAGUCCUCUCUAGCCCGAUCCAUACUUCUAUUACUUCUGUUGACUCUAAAUUCUCCUGCAACUAAAUUUCCAUUACUUUCGACAUCAUGAUCUCCUUCAUUUAAUUCCCCCAACAUCUUCUGACAUUCUUUUCCGUCUUUAUCAUUUUCAAUGUCUUUUUCCAUAAUUACUUCCUCCAUAACGUUUCGAUUGCCUUCCAGAGAUUUCUUCGAUUCCAAUCCAAUCGCCGAUUCUGAUUCCAACACACUUUCUUCAACCUCCUCCUGUCAUAUCUCCUUUUUCGAGAUAUUGUUUUUAUAUUCUUCCGGCCAUCCCUUUUCUUUUACACUGAUCGAAAAACUAAUAUCUCCCACCUCUAGUAUUACUACUUCAAUUUUUCUCAAUUGUUUGAUUGAAAUCUACAUCUCAAUUUUCUCAUAGUUGGUUAUUUUUGUCAAGUUCUCCCCCAUCGAAACCAAAUUGCCCCAAUUGCCAGCAACCCUUUUGAACUUUUCGUAAUUCCAGCAGUGCAGAGGUACAUAGUUGGUUGUUUUAACUGCACUUUUAAAUUACUUUAUAAAAUUGUUUUCUUUUUGCACACAAGCGUGUGUGGGUCAAUGGUUAACUGGGAUAACAUCUCAUUCUCUAUGAGAUGCCCUAAGAAGUAAUCUGAUAAAUAUUCCCCACUUCGAUUAAACCAAAGUGUCUUUAUGGGUAAACCUAGUUGUUUCUCGACUUCCGUAUGAAACUCUUUAAAUUUAUAAAAGGUUUCACUCUUGUGGCGCAUUAGGUGCACAUACCCAUAUCUAGAAUAAUCAUCUAUAAAUGUUACGUAAUACUCGUAACCACCUCUUGCACUGACGUCCAUGGGCCACAUAUGUCAAUGUGCAUUUAUUCUAAGGGUUUCAUGGCCCUCGUUCCUAAAACUAUAUACAACGAUCAUAACUCACAUUUGUAAUUCACUAUAAUAUGGUAAUUAUGAUGAGUGUUAUUUUUAUGUGCGUUCAAUUUUUAUUCUAUUAAAGUUUUUGUUUUAUUGCAUUGGGCAAAGUAGAAUAAUGUAAGAUUUUUUAAUCUCAUUAUUGAGGACCCAAUUAAGUCUAAAAUUAUGUAACCCAAUUUAAAGGGAUAAGAGUUUUACUUUUAAUAGAAGUUAAAUCUUAUCCGCUCAUUUGAAUAAUGGCGAACUCCUAUUAUGCAUGAAUUUAUCAGUUUGUGUAAUUAAGGGAAAAGUUUAAGAGGGAGAAAUAAAUUUAUCGGAUGUUCUUUUUCGUGUUCUUCUUUGUCGAGGUUAAUGGUGAACUCCUAUUAUGCAUCUAGUAUUUUUAUAUUUGUAAAAAUCAUAUUAUUGUAAAGAUCCUAAAAUAAUUGUUUCUGCAAUUCUAGGGAUUUGAUUUGCAUAAUAUUUAUAUAUAAAAAAAUUUACAACAGGAAUCCAUUUUUAAGAGUAGAAAUAGAUGAAAAUUUAAACAGAAAAACUAAUUUGCUCUUUGAUCAAAAGUACAGGAAUUAAUUUGCUCAUUUUUUAGUAGAAGUGACAAAAUACAAUUUGACUCUUAGUACAAAAACAUCCAUGAUUUUUUUACCCACCAUUUAGCUAUUCUUACUUCUUUUAUAUUAAAAAAAUUUCAACAUUAAUAAUUUAAUAUAAUUUAAACUUUUCUUUGUGGUGUGAAUUUAAGAUUGUUUGUUGAAUCCAAAGUCAACUAAAAAAGAAGUGGUAAAAAGUACUUGUCCUUUACUUUUAAGUUGCUUUAGAAGUGGAUCCAAUCAUGGGUUUCCUUUGGAAUAUGUUUUGAAGAAAGGAACCAAAGUGAAUUGAUUGAAGCAUCAUCUAUGUUCAAAUUUUGAAAUUCAAUCAUAUUUUGGUUUGUUUACAAUAAAAAAUAAUGUGGAAUUAAUAGGAGCGGAAACUUAUCUUUUUACGGAGGUGAUUGAUGCCUGCGUGGCUGAAGCUAGGGCAUGUGAUAAGGCGUUUCUUAUCGAAACAACGAACCUUGAAGGAUUGCGGAUCUAGGAUUAUAGCAACAUCCUUUCUGCAGCAUAAACAAUACACAAACAAAACAAAAAAAUGGAACAAAAUUCAACAUAUAAAAAAAUAAAAUUGGAGACGAAAAACUCGAAAGAACCUGCACAAUAGACUAUGCAAACCCGAAUCGAAUAUGUUUCACGUCAAAGGACUUGGACCCUCUAGAUAGCAAUCUAGGAACCCUAAGUAUCAAGGAAAUUUUGACACGACAAACUAAGUCUGAAAUGUCAAAAGAAAGUUCAAUGAAGAACCGAAAUUGAGAGAAAAUUCUCACAAGUAUUUGUUUAAUAAAAAUCAUCUAACCAGAUUACAUUGUUUGAACAUCUAUUUAUAAGUACAAGGAAGGGGUUAUCGAAUUUGAAUUAGUGGCUGUAAAUAAAGAAUUCAAAUUUGAAUAUGAAGGAGUUAUAUCCUCUCUUGGCGCCAUCAAAUACCAGCAACACAUUGAAUAUGUGUGAAACGUUUGAAAUUCAAAAAUUUGAACUCUUGUUCUUAUCCAAAACGUUUGAAAUUCAAACAUUUGAACUCUUGUUCUUAUCCCUUUGAAUUUAGCGUCAUAUGUAGAGAAUAGGGCUGAUUUCGGCCACACAUGCACACACAUGUGUCCAGGCUGUUACGUGUGUGCUGUACAUACUGGGAUGCCACCUAGGCUGCCACAUGUGUAUGGGACACUCCCCGACACGUAGGACACCUUCUAGCUACAUCUGAACUUGUUAGCUAGAGUUGAGCUGGUGGAGCUGAAAUUGAGCUAGCUGGAAAUGUACUGAGCUGAAAUAAGUUGGAAACAAACUUUCAAAACUAUUUCGAGCUGAGAGGAGCUGCACGCACAUAUUUGAGCUUCAACCGAGCUAGAAAUGAGGCCUUAAGCUGCUGUCCAUUAUUGUACCAAUAUCAAAACAUAUCAAACUUCCAUCAAAGUCUUGUAAAUUUAAUGGAAAUCACAAUUACAAGCCGGAACACUUGCAAUUCUUAUUCUUUAACACACUUACAAUUUAGAAACAACUUAGAAACAAUACAAAUACUAUCAACCCAAUUGCAGAAACGUACUUAGCAUAACAUAUACAUACUUAAACGCAUGAACUAGUAAUAUAACAGAGAUAUGUCACAUAUCAGCAUGCAACAUGUUAUAAAGCCUAUGUUCAAAGGCAUGAACAUGAUCGAAUGAAUCUGGAAUCGUUGCACAAGUAAGGAACAAGACUUCCCUGAAUUUCUUUGCCUUAGAACGGGUAAUAGGUCCUAAUGGUAAGACCUCCAGAUCGGUUUGCUUUGUUGGCGUAAAUGUGCUCACAUCAUUCCCCCCUUCUUGAAAAGGAUUUGUCCUCAAAUCUGUAGAAUCAUCAUAAGGGGUUAAAUCAGAAACAUUAAAUGUGGCACUCACAUUGUAUUCUCCCGGCAAGUGUAACUUGUAGGCAUUGUCAUUCACUUUCUUCAACACCUGAAAAGGACCAUCUCCGCGCGGUAAUAUCUUGGACCGCCUUUGGGCUGGAAAACGUUCCUUUCGGAAAUGAACCCAUACCCAAUCACCAACAUCGAAGGUGACUCGCUUUCUACCCUUAUUUGUAUGCUUUUCGUACUGUUGAGUCCUUCGUUCGAGGUUCUCCUUAACCUGUUGAUGCAAUUUCUUCACGUAUUCCGCUUUUGCUUUACCGUCCCUAUUCAUCACCUGUUCUUGUGGGAAAGGCAACAUAUCUAGAGGCGUAAUAGGAUUAAAGCCAUAAACAACCUCAAAAGGUGACAUCUUAGUAGCAAAAUGUACAUCAUGGUUAUAAGCGAAUUCAACAUGUGGCAAACAAUCUUCCCAAGUUUUGACAUUCUUUUUAAUGAUGGAACGAAGUAAAGUAGAUAAAACUCUAUUAAGAACCUCAGUUUGUCCAUCAGUCUGGGGAUGACAAGUAGUAGAAAACAUAAGUUUUGUACCUAAUUUGCUCCAAAGAGUCCUCCAAAAAUGACUCAAAAACUUCACAUCCCUGUCAGAAACAAUCGACCUAGGGAUACCAUGUAAUCGUACAACAUCUCUAAAGAACAAGUUAGCCACAUUAAUAGCAUCAUCAGUCUUAUGGCAUGAAAUGAAAUGUGCCAUCUUCGAGAACCUAUCAACCACAACAAAUAUGCUAUCCCUACCUGUUCUAGUUUGAGGCAAUCCCAAAACAAAGUCUAUUGAAAUAUCCGUCCAAGGGGAUUCAGGAAUAGGUAAAGGUAAGUACAUACCAUGUGGUGAAACCUUCGAUUUUGCUUUUCGACAAGUCACACAACAUUCACAAUACCUUUCAACGUCCCUGUGUAUCUUAGGCCAAAAAAGAUGCUCUGUUAAGGUGUGUAACGUUUUAGUGACCCCAAAAUGACCCAUCAAUCCACCUUCAUGUGCUUCGCGGAUCAGUAUAUCACGCAUUGAACCCUGUGGAAUGCAUAUCCUAUUUUCUUUGAAAAGAUAUCCAUCAUGCCUGUAGAAUUUUCCAUCUGCUCCUUUCUCACAAGCAUUAUACUUAUCUCUAAAAUUAGGAUCUUCAGAAUAUAAUUCUCUAAUAUAUGCAAAUCCAAUCAACUGUGAAUCAAGGUAACUCAAAAGGGUAUAUCUACGUGAUAAUGCAUCAGCAACGACAUUGUCUUUUCCCUUUUUGUAACGAAUGACAUAAGGAAAAGAUUCCAAAAAUUUAACCCAUUUAGCAUGUCGUUUAUUCAAUUUAUGCUGACCUGUAAUAUACCGCAAAGCCUCAUGGUCAGUGUGGAUGACAAACUCUUUAGGCAACAAAUAAUGUUGCCACAUCUCCAAAGCCCGGAUCAGUGCGUACAUUUCCUUGUCAUAAACAGGAUAAUUCAACAUUGCUCCGCUAAGUUUCUCACUGAAAUAUGCAAUGGGCCUCUUUUUCUGUGACAAAACAGCACCUAUACCAACUCCAGAAGCAUCACAUUCAAUUUCAAACAUUUUAUCAAAAUCAGGUAAUGCUAAAACAGGGGCUUUUGUCAAAUAAUCUUUUAUUUUUAAAAAGGCAUCUUCUUGUUCUUUACCCCAAGAGAAGACGGAAUUCUUCUUUAUAAUCCUGGUUGAGGGAGCGGUAAUAGAACUGAAUUGGGGAACAAACCGACGGUAAAAACUGGCUAAACCAUGAAACGAUCUAACCUGACUAAUGGAUGCCGGUCGUGGCCAAUUUUGAAUCGCCUUUAUCUUCUCAGGAUCAACCUCAACUCCCUAAGAACUAACAAUAUAACCAAGAAAUGUAAGUUUGUUAGUACAAAAUACACAUUUCUCCAUGUUACCGAACAAUUUCUCUUCUCGCAAAGUCUGCAAAAUAGCUCGUAAAUGUUCUAUAUGAUCCUGCAAAGUCUUGCUAUAAAUUAGUAUGUCAUCAAAGUAUACAACACAAAAUUUGCCUAUAAAAGAUCGCAGAACAUGAUUCAUCAGUCUCAUAAAAGUACUAGGUGCAUUCGUUAAUCCAAAUGGCAUCACUAACCAUUCGUACAAACCUAGCUUUGUUUUGAAAGCUGUCUUCCACUCGUCGCCUUCUUUCAUGCGAAUCUGGUGAUAUCCACUCUUCAAAUCAAUUUUGGAGAAGAUAGUCGCUCCGCAUAAUUCAUCCAGCAUGUCAUCGAGUCGAGGAAUGGGGUGUCGAUACUUGAUUGUGAUUUGAUUUACUGCUCGACAAUCAACACACAUCCUCCAAGUCCCAUCUUUCUUAGGUACCAAUAGCACUGGUACGGCGCACGGGCUUAAACUCUCUCGAGUGUAACCUUUAUCCAACAACUCUAAAAUCUGUCUUUGAAGUUCCUUUAUCUCUUCGAGGUUACUUCGAUAGGAUGGUCUAUUUUGGAAUUGUGACUCCAUGGAUGAAAUCAAUCUGGUGCUCAAUGCCACGAAGAGGGGGUAAACCCUUGGGUGUUUCAUCCGAAAACACAUCUUGAAAUUCCUACAAAAGAGAUGAAAUGGAAGUGGGCAAAACAUUAGAAGUUUCAGACAAUAAAAAAGAAUCUUUAAACAACAAAAUGAGCAAAUAUUGUUUAGAGGAAAGACAUUUCCUGAUUUCUUUGCUACUUGCAUACACAUUCAUCUUGUUUUUCCCACGAACUUCUUCAGUAUUCUUUCGGAAUCUCUCCUGAUCUUCUUGCACUUGACUCAGUGUCAAAGGUCUAAGAUGAGCUUCUUUCCUUUGUGCAUAAAAGAAUAUCUGUUUGUAAAACCAUCAUGCGUUUUCCUCUUAUCAAACUGCAACGGAUGACCUAAUAGCAAAUGGCUCGCAUCCAUUGAAACGACAUUGCAAAGUACUUCAUCCUUGUACUUUCCAAUGGCAAACGGAACUAACACCUGCUUGUUUACUUUAAUCUCUCCUCCAUUAUUCAGCCACUGCAAUUUAUAGGGAUUGGGAUGCUUUGUCGUCUUCAGUCCUAACUUUUCAACCAUCACGGAACUAGCAACAUUAGUGCAACUACCACCAUCGAUAAUUACAACACAUACCUUGUCAUUGACAAGACAUCUUGUAUGAAAGAUGUUCUCUCGCUGCUGUUCUUCUUGAGUUGGUUGAGUGUUCAAACUUCUCUUGAUAACAAGUGCUUCACCGGUUACAAAUGUCUGCACAUUGUCAUCAUCUUCAUCAACAUCUACUGUAUGGAGUUCUGGCUCUUCUUCUUCUGUCUCGGACUCAAUCUCACCACUCUCUAAUAGUAUCAUGGUCCUCCAAUUUCGACAUUGACUGGCAAUAUGUCCUCUACCAAGGCACUUAAAGCACAAAAUGUCUCUUGAACGUUCUGGUUGCAUUUGUUGUUUCCCACGCCCAACAUCAACAACUGGAGCCUUGGGUUUGCUCGUUUCACCCUUUUCUUUGAUUUGGAAUGGUGUUUGCUUCCUGAAAUUGUUAGGAGUACCCAAAGGAUUGGAAAAUGAUUUAAAUGGAGUAUUACCUCUAUUAGAAGACUUUCUACAUUGCUGUCUUUCAACUUUAAUCGCCAUAUGCACCAUGUCCUCCAACUCAACAUAAUGCUGCAACUCAACAACGUUAGAAAUUUCAGAGUUUAAUCCUGCAAGGAAUCAUUCCAUAGUAUCCUCUCGAUCCUCAACAAUGUUGGCUCGCAUCAUGGACACCUCUAUUUCCUUGUAGUAGUCUUCUACACUCCUAUUUCCCUGUUUUAUCGAUUGUAAUUUCUGGAAUAAAUCACGAUGAUAGUGAGAAGGAACAAAUCUCUUGAGCAUGAUUUGCUUCAUUUCUGCCCAAGUUCUCACUGGACCUUCACCGGUACGUCUUCGACUUAUCAAUAAUUGAUCCCACCAGAUCAAAGCGUAGUCUGUGAAUUCCAUCACAGCCAAACGAACCUUCUUCUGUUCUGAGUAAUUAUAACACUCGAAAACAUGUUCUACCCUGCUUUCCCAAGCAAGAUAUGCAUCAGGAUCUGUUCGUCCCUGAAAUGAAGGUAUAGCAACUUUUAUGUUAGAAAUAUUAUCAUAUACUGCGCGUCCUGAUCGUUGAUUCACCCUUGGUGAAUGUUCGACAUCAUUUUCAUCAUUCUGUUCAUUAUGGACAGAUUGGGAACCACCCCCAUCGAUCUUGUCCAAACGAGAAUGUAUAGGCUCUAAUGCAUUUUCUAACAGACGUUGCAAGGUGCGAGUAAGAGCCUGUAUUUGCAAAUCUGGUGGCUGAUUUUCAUCACAAAUACGAUCUACUGAUCCCGUCAUACUUAAACAACACAAAGAAUACUGAUAAAAAGUUAAGUAAAACAAAAAUAAUAAUAAAAGUCCUCACAGCACACUCACAAAACCUCUCGGUUUUCACUCCAAAGAACGGUGCACUCAAAAUACACUCAGCGCUCAUGUUUCACUUGAGAGAAUGCUUGAAUGGCUUUUUUUGUCUCCCCUUCUAUUCUCACAACGCUCAAUGCCUUUUUCCACUCGAUCACUCUUAAUCAGUUCUUUAGGGAACUAACCCGAUCCUUCGGACUUAUUAACUGUGUCAAACUUACAAGAAAAAGGGAAAAGAAAGAAAAAAAAUAAAGGCUAAAGAAACAAAUAGUUAAAGAAAGAUAUAGGACUGGCAAAGAAAGAGAAAAAAAACGAAGAAACGAGGAUGACAAUAAGAAAGGAAAAAAAACUCAACAACUUACUACAAAAGAAAUGCUUACAAUAAUUCUAUCACCGAAUCAAACAAGAAAAGUUGUUUCGGAUGAUUUUCACGCAAUUCAAGGUGUAAUUUGAGUAGCUUCCAACAUGUCACACACAAUUCAACACUAUUCUUUUGUAAUUUGCACAAAAUCUCAAAAACUGAUUUUAUUAUAUAUAUUUUUCGAAUUUUUUUUUUCUUUUAAACUUUGAUAUUCGAAAUUUUUUUUGUUUUUUUGUUUUGCUUUUUUUAAACUUUGAUCAAUAUAUAAAUUUUUUUAUUUUUUUUGUUUGUUUUCUUUUGGUGCAGAACGUGCCAAAAUCCAACCUAAGCUCUGAUUACCACUUGAUAAGGCGUUGCUUAUCGAAACCACGAACCUUGAAGGAUUACGGAUCUAGGAUUAUAGCAACAUCCUUUCUGCAGCAUAAACAACACACAAACAAAACAAAAAAAAGGGAACAAAAUUCAACAUAUAAAAAAAUAAAAUUGGAGACGAAAAACUCGAAAGAACCUGCACAAUAGACUAUGCAAACCUGAAUCGAAUAUGUUUCACGUCGAAGGACUUGGACCCUCUAGAUAGCAAUCUAGGAACCCUAAGUAUCAAGGAAGUUUUGACACGACAAACUAAGUCUGAAAUGUCAAAAGAAAGUUCAAUGAAGAAUCGAAAUUGAGAGAAAAUUCUCACAAGUAUUUGUUUAAUAAAAAUCAUCUAACCAGAUUACAUUGUUUGAACAUCUAUUUAUAAGUACAAGGAAGGGGUUGUCGAAAUUGAAUUAGUGGCUGUAAAUACAGAAUUCAAAUUUGAAUAUGAAGGAGUUAUAUCCUCUCUUGGCGCCAUCAAAUACCAGCCACACAUUGAAUAUGAGUGAAACGUUUGAAAUUCAAAAAUUUAAACUCUUGUUCUUAUCCAAAACGUUUGAAAUUCAAACAUUUGAACUCUUGUUCUUAUCCCUUUGAAUUUAGCGUCAUAUGUAGAGAAGAGGGCUGAUUUCGGCCACACAUGCACACACAUGUGUCAAGGCUGUUACGUGUGUGCUAUACAUACUGGGAUGCCACCUAGGCUGUCACAUGUGUAUGGGACACUCCCCGACACGUAGGACACCUUCCAGCUACAUCUGGACUUGUUAGCUAGAGUUGAGCUGGUGGAGCUGAAAUUGAGCUAGCUAGAAAUGUACUGAGCUGAAAUGAGUUGGAAACGAACUUUCUGAACUAUUUCGAGCUGAGAGGAGCUGCACGCACAUAUUUGAGCUUCAACCGAGCUAGAAAUGAGGCCUUAAGCUGCUAUCCAUUAUUGUACCUAUAUCAAAACAUAUCAAACUUCCAUCAAAGUCUUGUAAAUUUAAUGGAAAUCACAAUUACAAGCUGGAACACUUGCAAUUCUUAUUCUUUAACACACUUACAAUUUAGAAACAACUUAGAAACAAUACAAAUACUAUCAACCCAAUUGCAGAAACGUACUUAGCAUAACAUAUACAUACUUAAACCCAUGAACUAGUAAUAUAACAGAGAUAUGUCGCAUAUCAGCAUGCAACAUGUUAUAAAGCCUAUGUUCAAAGGCAUGAACAUGAUCGAAUGAAUCUGGAAUCGUUGCACAAGUAAGGAACAAGACUUCCCUGAAUUUCUUUGCCUUAGAACGGGUAAUAGGUCCUAAUGGUAAGACCUCCGGAUCGGUUUGCUUUGUUGGCGUAAAUGUGCUCACAUCAGCAUGUGAAAGGGCUCUUUUGUUUGUAGUUAAGAUGGGUUAUCGGCAUUUGAUUGUUGAAGGGGACUCUUUAACAGUCAUCAAGAACAUUAAGAAAAAGGAAAAAGAUAAAUCAGUUCUUAGGCCAAUAACGUAUCAAAUUAGUUUGCUGGAAAAAUGCUUUGAUUUUGUAACUUACACUUUUGUGCCCCGAAAUGUUAAUAGGACUGCUCACACACUGGCGCUGGAAGGCCGGAGGCAAUAGGCUUGUGGUGUCUGGCCAGAUGGAGUUCUUGAUUUUGUGAAGACGACGGCGAUGAUGGAUCGAUUGGCUUAGAAUAAAAAAUACCAGGGUUUUUCUUGACUCAGCUUUGAAAAUGGUGAAGACUCACCGCUCCUCCAGUUAUGGAUUCAAAGCUUCGUUCUCUUCUCUUCCUAAUCUUAAGAUCUUUUUCAGAAGGAGAAGCGAUACGUCUGUUGGCAGAUAUUGGGUUUUGAAAUUAGCUGCAGUUUUUUUGGGUUCAGGGUGGUUUUUCUUAUGCUAUUUUGGUUUUGAUUGUUUUUUAGGUUGUGUUGGCUUUUAGUUUAGGCUUUUUAAUAUCUCUGUCUUUUCAUUUUCUAUUCUGACUAUGUCUUUUCAUCUUUGCCUUAAGCCGUGUAAUUUUAAUAUAUCAACCAAUUUUUCAUGCAAAAUAAUAAUAAUAAUAAUGUGGAAUGGGUUUGAAAUUUGUCCUCCAUAUACUAAUUAUGUUAUUGUCUUAACAACUUUCCUUUUCUAUUUCUCUUUAAACUAUUCAACACUAACCUACAAUUUUUGUAAAUAAAUAUUUAGUUAAAUAAACAUUUCUUUCUUUACUCAUCUUAAGAGGCUAUAAAUAUAUUAAAAUAAAUUGAAAAAAAAUCACAUUUAUUAAAAUUCCGAUUUUAACCAAAAUAUUUCCAAGGGAACUCAUAAUGUAUAUUUCUAGACACGGAUUAAGUCCUCGUUAAUCUUUUUCUUUAUUAUUAUAAAUAUUUGUUUAUUUUAAUACAUUUUAUAGAUUGGAAAUUUUAAUUAAAAAAGUGAAGUUUAGAGAUUCAUUAAUUUAUUUAUUUUGCAAACUGGCGGGCAUUUUUUUUUUUUGUAAUUUUAACGAAAUAAGGUCCACGCGUCAUUUGCUUAUGCUUAGCUGUUACCAGUAGUUUUUCUUUUUUCAAAUGGAGAUGGAUUUUUUUUCUUUGUCACACGCCUUUCCUAUUUCUUUUUCCGUUUGUUUUUUUCUUGUUCUAUUUCAAAUGAGUAAUGACCUUUCUCAAGAAAAUGGUGGAUUUUUUUUUUUUGAGAAAUCCAAAAUUUUACAUCGUAUUUACCCUUAACUUUAUUCAUUGGUCAAAUUAAUAUAUAACUAGAAUGUUUUGUCGGGGCUUCAACCUUUUUAUAUAAUUUUAUUUAUACUAUAAUUACUUAUUAUAAUGAUUAAUAUUAUUUCUUUACUAAUUAAAAAUACUUUUUAUAUAAAUUGUUUUUAUUAAUUCAAAUGACAAAAAGUUAUGUUAGGUAUAGAUUGCUUUAUAAUAAAUUAUGAUUAUGAUCUCUCUAUUAUAAUUAAAUUAUAUGAUAGUUUCACGUACUAAUAUUUAACCGCACAAAUUAUAUGUUUUAAGAAUAAAUCUUUAAAAUUAAACUUUGGUUAAUUAUAAAAAAAUUAUUUUUCUGAUGAAAGUUUAAACCCUAAUGUAGCUUUUGAUUUUUAUAAUUUCUCUAUUUUUUAUAUAUUUUUUAUGUUUGUUUUAUGAUUUAUGUUUAAAAUUUUUAAUUGCUCCUCUCAACAAUAUCAUCUCCAAGGGUUCAAACAUGUGUCUCCCCUUAACAAUAUAAUGUGACUUAUCAUUGCACCGAACACUUACUACCUUUACUCUAACACUUAUUGGGAGUGACACCUACAAACUCCGAAUAUAAAAUAAAAAUGAAGAAUACCAACAAAAUAUAUUACUUGAUAACAUAUAAAUUUUUCUUAGAUCUAAAUCAUAUAAUUUAAGAAUUAAAUUAUCCAAUAUAAAUUUAUAUUUCAAGAAUUAGAAGCUAAAUGCAAUGUCAAAUAAUUAAAGGAAAAAGACUUUAAAAAUGAGGUAAUUUUAUUUUCUCAAAAAAUACCAUUUCAUUAUAUAUUAAUCAAUUAAGAAAAUACUUGAAUAAAACUAAUUAUUAAAGCUUUUAUAAAAAUAUUUACUUAUAGUUUGAUUUUUUUAUUACUAAAUUUUAGUUUAAGUUGAAGUGAGUCUUGAGUUUGUAUUUUUUUAAGUUAAAGUUUUUCCGAGUUCAAAUUUUUUGAGCUUAGAUUUUUUUAAGUUUAGACCUUUUUAAGAUCGAAUUUUUAACUUUUUAAUCAAAUCAAGUUUAAAAUGAGUUUGGGUUCGAGUUUUUUCGUGUUAAGUUCUCAAGCUCGGGGUCAUUUAUUCAUAUCUACUUUUAUAUAUGCUUCUCAUGCUGAAAUUGAAAUUUAUUUAUUUUUAUUUUAAAGGUUUUUACAAAAAAAUUUCACAUCAUAAUUUUAAUCAAAUAAUUAAAAUAUGAACUAUUUAGACUUAAUAAUAUAAUUAAAAAAUAAAUCCUAACUAUGAGCACUACAAUUUCACUAUGUUCUUAUAAUGACGUAAGGCCCAAUGAUAUUCAACAAAAAUAUUGAAAAAGGGCAGGAGCGAACAGCUAGAUCAAGCACUGAUCAAGAAUAAAUUUGUAGCGAUUCCAAAGAGUAAAUUACUGUAAAAGAAACUUGAGAAAUCCAAAAUUUAGAUUUUAUUCUAUUGUUCAUGGAUCUCAUCAAUAGAUGAUAUUUACUGCUUCGCUUUUGGAAAAUAUUCGAGAAACCAAAAUUUAGAUUUACAUAACUCCAAUAUUUUCCUAUCAACGAUCUUGACUAUCAAACUCAAUGUAUUAACAAAUUCUAUUCUUUAUUUUUUUAAAUCUUUAUUGUUUGACAACCUUUUCUUAAAUUAUUUUUUAGUGAAAUAAGCACAAUAAUUAUAUAUUACUAUUUUAAUUGAAUUCAAACCUUUUUUAUUUCAUAAUUAACCUAGAAAACUAAGUUUGAGCGUUAAUUAAAUCAAUAAACAAUAUUAAUUUGAAAUGCUCUCUUUUUUUAUAAUAAUUUAGAAAUUUAAAGGCUUAACCUACGGAUUGUUAUUUAAAUUAUGUUAUUUUUUUUAUCUUGGUACCUAAAUUAUUUUUACUCAAAAGUGAUAUCUAAACUAUUUUUCUCAAGUUGUUAUCUCCGAUACCCAAACUAUUAAGUUUAUUUUUUUAUGAAAGGUUAUCCUACAAAUUAGUACCUCAACUACUUUUUUUUUCUCAAGUUGAUUCUUUUAUUAGUUCAACUAUUAAGCGUAUUUUUAAAAAAAUAUAUAACAAAUUAAAAUUAGCUAUGUGGCAAAAACAAAAAACAAAAAAAUAUUACUUUCUCAUUAUAUAUCUCUUUUUAUUUUAUAUUUUCUUUCUUUCUUUCUUUUUCCUCUCAUCUUGGGAUGCUACCUAGGUAAAAUUGACUCGAUAUAUUAUCAUGACAUCACAUAAAGAUUAUUGAUGAAAGUUGUAGGUCUUCUUUAAGGAACUUCUCCCAUUCAAUAUUUUAAAAAAUAAUACAAUGUUUUUAUUUCGGUUUCAACCAUGAAUGAUUAAAUAUGCAAUGACAAUUAUAAAUGGCAUUCUUUUUUCUAAACUAUAUGGCAUGCUUAUAUUAUAUAUGCAUGAACUUACAUGUUAAUUUAAUUUCAUACAAUCACAUAUAGAAUACUAUAAAAUUUCUAAAUUAAAUUGACUCUAACCAUUCAAACAUUUCCAUGGCUCCAUCUUUAAGGAAAAAUAAAAUAAUUAAAUUUAUAAUGUUUUUCUCAAAGCAUUCUUUUGGCUUUCCAGGUAAAAAUCAAACAUAUUGUGGGUUCCACAUCCCAAAUUCCAAAAGGAACCUGUUUGCCAAAAAUAAUCCUAAAAUCUAAAAACUCGAAAAUAAUCGUAAGUGACUUUCACUAUCGACCGAGCCUCCACCACUACCAAAUAUUAUUGUCAUCCAUCGUCGGUUAGCUCACCAUUGGCCCACCACCAACUAGCCACCCUGUCGGGCUAGCGCUUCCUCGUUCGAUUUUGGUUUCGGUUUCAAUUGCAUUGUCUUUGACCUCACCUUUUUGGUUUCCCCAAAAGUUUUAGGUUAAAAAAAAACCUAGCCUGUACUUGGCUCACAUGAAUUUUCUAAUUUUACAAAAAUAAAAAAAAUCCUACGUGAAGAUGAUAGUUCACGAUCUAAUUACAAACCCAAUAAAUAUGAAAAACCAAAACUUCAACCAAUUUAAUGAUAGGAACCACAACCUUUGGCAAAAUUACUUUAUAACAUUUAUAAAAUAAAAUAUACAUUCAUUCACAUGCAUAAUAAUCCCAAACAUGCAUGCAAUUUAAUAAUGUCAUUUCUUAUCUCAUUAAUCAAACAAUGAGAGAAAGAGACAAAAUUUGAUAUCGAUUUAUAUUAUAAACAUAGCACAACCUGGUUCUGAUAUCAAUUGUUGAAAAAAUCGAUUUAGAAAAUAGUGUUUUUAGGCAAAGAGAACGUUUAAAUUUUUUCUUAAAACCAAACCUUGUGAUAUUUAUAGUAAUAAACUUUUAACUGAAAUAGUAUUUGUGCUUUGUACGAUGCGAUCUACGUUGUUUCUCGGUUUUUUACCGAACAACCGUCUCUCCUAUCCUUUAACUCAGAAUUGCUUAGAGUGUAGACUUAAACAAAAAAAACCAAGUGCACAAAAUUAAAAUUUUCUUAACUUUUAGUGGGAAAGUUAAUCCUCUCUAUAAGAACCAGAAAUUAUGAGUUUUUCAUAAAAAAUAAAAUUUAUUCUAAAAAUAAAUUGUCACUAUUUUCUGAUAGAAUAACGAUACUCUCAAAAGGUAAAAUUAGGUUAGCUCAUAGUUUCUAUUUAUAGAAAUAUGGAACAAGAGUUAUGCUUGAAUAAUAUGUAAUUAAAUAAUAAUAUUUUAAUAAAAGCACAAUGUUCCAUUAGAAUUGUAACACAAGGGGCGGCGGCACACCCUAGGGAAUACUAGGGUUUAAUUCCCUUCUCAUAUAAUUGGGCCUAUUAGGCCUUUUGUGUAUUAGAUUACAACUAUAUGUGUUAUCCAGAUUUUUAUCUACAAUUUAUAAUUUACCCAACCCUAUAACUAUUUUUUGUUAAAUUCAUAACAAUUUUAUUAUAUUAAACCUAUGAUGAAAUGAAUUUAAUUGCCUCAUUCAAUAAAUCUACGAUGACUAAUUAGUUUAAUUCUCUUUUCAAACUUCAAUUAUUUACUUAAAUCAAUUAAAUAAUAAUUCAAAUAAAUUAAAUUAAUUUUAAGUCAUUUUUGUACCCAAAAAGAAAAUGCAUUCAUUGUGGGUAGUAAAUACAUGCAAUCCAUUUCUCUUACUUAAUGUUUUCAUUCAUUCCAGAUUAUCGAUUCUACAUGCAAUUUGUUUCAAGUUAUCUCAAGCUAGUGGAAGGACCGAUUGGACAUAUAUAAUUAGGGCUAAAAUAAUUUGUAAUUAGGUUUCGACUAUUCACCUAUUAAUUACAACAUUAUUAAUCAUGAAAUCAUUUCAUUAUAGUAUCAUGAUUGAACUAUCCCUUAUUAUAUACUAUUACAAAAGCUACUCAUUAAGUGCUUGUACAAUAACCUUGUUAUAAGUGUGCUACCCUCAUAGGAUAUCCUAAAUUUCUUUAGGAUAAAAUUUGUUCUCUUAAUAUGAUCUUAUUUUAUCUCAUGGUUUCCAUUACAUCUUUUGAUAUGAAAAAGUCAAUUACUAAGGGUGUGUUUAAUAAACUGAAAAUUUAAGUGUUGAAAAGUUAAACACUGAAUUUUUAUUGCUAAAUUUUAUAAAUGUUGAAUUUAUAUUAGAAAAUUGUUUGAUAUAUUAAUAAAUAUAAGUACUGAAUAUAAUUAUUUUGUUUGAUAAAGUUAAACAUUGAUUUUCAAAAGAUUAUUUUAAUCUCAUUAAUAUAAUAUUUUAUAUUAUUUUAGAUAGUUUUGGAUGAAAGAAAAAUAUGUUCAUUUGAAUAUCUCAUUUUUAAAAGAAAUAUAAUUUAUUUUAAUUUUUAAUAAAAUAAAAUUAACUUAAUAUUUUCUACAUUAAGUGAUUAGUAGCUGCUUAUCUACUUAUCUUAUUGAACAUUUUUUUGUUGAAAAUUUUAUAUUAAGUAAAAAGUUAAAAUGGUUAUCAAACACAUUUAAAAUAUUAAAUUUUGAAAAUUUACAAUGAUUUAUCAAACACAGCCUAGUACAUAAUAGUUAAAUAUCCGAGUAUUACGUCAAAGCCACAACAACCAACAAAUGUCGUCAAACUUAAUCCCCCAAUCACCAUCGUUUAACACGAAUUGCAAGGGAUUUAUUAGGUUUUCAAUGAUCCACUCUUUCAAACUCAUGCUCAAGAAAUCAUUCAAGGAGGUAGGAGUAAUGAUGUUGCACCAAACAACAAGAGCCGAAAAACAACCUCGAAGAACAUGCUUCGUAGUUUCCUUCACCCCACCAAAGUGUCGACAGCUCCCAUCGUUAGCUAAAUGUCUUUUGACACAAUUCAUGUUAGUGAGAAAUUUAUCAUUGAUCGUAAGCCAAAGAAACAAUUUCACCCAAGCAAGCCCUUUAUAACCUUACAACAUGCUCCACUUUCGAUCCUCCUACAAAGAAUUUCGUCACAUCAACGCUUCAUAAGCAGAUUUAGAAGAGAAUCUCGUCUCUUUGUUCCACAACCUUCCCAUGUAAUCAUUAAUAUCCUACCCUCGAGGGGGUCUUCGACUAGCAACAAGGUUACAUAUAGAAUGGGGUAGCAAACCAUUAAGCUCUUCCCAAUUCCAAUCACCAUCCGCAUUGAGCAUGGACAUAAUUGGACGAUGACAAUUGAUAACUUUCUCAGGCGAAACACAGUGAUCAAAUAAGAUUCCAGCUUCCACCAUCCAUGGAUCAUGCCAAAAAUCAAUUGUGGCACCAUUACCUAUAUUCCAAACUAGGAAUUUCCUAACCUCCUCCUAAACCUUCACAAUGCCCUUCCACAAUGGUGAACAAUUUCGAGCAAGGAAAGUAAUCGGUAAGUCAUGACCCCACUUAUAUUUAAUUCUCAAAACUUAUACCCAAAGCUAAUUCAAUCGACUUACCAGAUUAUAGCCUAACUUCAUUAGAAAAGCUCCAUUUUGUUGUUCAGUACGUUUGAGACCUAAACUACCUUGUUCAAUGGGUCGACAUAGAGUGUCCCACUUCACAAGAUUUAUUCUCCGAAUCUCAUCCGAGCUACCCAAAAAAAGUUAUGGAUUAUCUUCUCCACAUAAAGAAAAAUGCCCUUAGGAAUAACCAUAAAUUGCGUGGCAUGAAUAGGAAUAGCAGCUAACACCGCUUUAGCUAAUGUCAACCUCCCCGCAAGGGAUAAAUUCUUAGUUUCCAACCCGCUAGCUUUUUUCGCAUGUUGCUAAUGAAAAAUUGAAACGUUGUCUUAGUAACGCGUUGGUGCAAAAGUGGGACUUCAAGAUAUUUCCCAAGGUCCUUCUCCAAUGUAUACCCAAACUCAUUACAAAUCCCAUUUUGCAACGAAACCUCAACAUUAGCAAAAAAGUAAAUAUUUUUUUAACAACUAAUAUUGUGCCCUGAUAACUUAUAGAAAAAUCUUCAUAGCCUUCUUAAUCACCUUUCUCUUAUCUAUGGAAGCUUCUGAAAACAAAACCAAAUCACCAAAAAAAAAAUAAAUGGGAAAUUAGUGGGUCACCUUUAAAAAGUCUCAAAGGUUUCCAUAAUCUUUGAUUUACUAUAUAAGAAAUAAGCUAAGUUAAUCUCUAAAUACAAAAGAACAAAGAUAUAAGGAAAUAAUGGGUCACAUUGUCGAAUGCCCAUUGUCUAUUGGAAAUCCUUUGUCAAGCUUCCAUUCCAUGGCACUUGUAUUAAAAUUGAAGUGAUACAAUACAUAAUUAUACGUCAUAAACUGGAUAAGAUACCAAUGUCCACAAACAUAUCAUUUAUGAAAUUCUAAUCAAGACGAUCAUAAUCUUUUUCAAGAUCCACUUUUAUGGCCACCCAUCCCUUUCCCCCUUUCUCCCUUCUCAUAGAGUGAAUAACUUCUUGAGAAAUAAUGAUAUUAUUUAUGAUGCACCUACCCGAAACAAAACUCAACUGAUUAGGCAAAAUCCAUUUAAAAAGAUAGGAUUUAAGCCUAUUCAUAAUAACCUUCGUAACAGUUUUGUAUAUCGUAGUACACAAACUAAUCGACCUAAAUUGGUGAAAGUAUAAAGUAACAUGAACCUUAGGGAUCAAAACCAAUUAAGGUUUUGCUAAGCCAACCACUCAACUUUUCUCCAUUCAUGGUACCUUUUACAAAACUGCAAACACUUCUCCCUAUAUACACCCAAUUCUUUUGAUAAAGUGACACAUGAAUCCCAUUAAUUCUCGAUUUUUUCAAAGGUGUCAUACAAAAACGACAUUCUUAACUUCCUAAUCAAUGGUUGGGGAAGAAAUUGCACUAAGCUAAGCUUUAGAAAAUUUAUAAAAGCCACCCCGAAUAGGAGACCCUCCUCUUGAUUUUUGGUAUCAAAGGCUUUCUUCUUGAGAGAGGACAUCUUUUAACUCACCUUACAAAUUUUGAGCAAGAUCAAAUAGAUAAGGGGAUGAUCUAGACUCAAGGCAUCUUUCAAUUCCUCUUAUGCGAGCUAUUAGAUGGGCCUUCCUCUUAUGCGAGCUAUUUAUGUUCAAGGGAUAAAAGGAUGUCAGAUUUCAACUUCUCAAGAUUCCUGACAUGAGAAGAAUGAAAAGUGGACAACCACUGAUAAUUACAAACACACCUAUCAAGUCGUUGUUGAAAAGACCCCUUCGCCCAAGUAAAAAAUAGUCUCGAGCAACCAAGAUCAUGUAAACCAAAAUCAAACAUAAAAUUAAUGAACAAAUCAUUAACGCCACCUCUACCACUUGCUCUUCCCUUGCCCUCUUCCUGAGAUAAGACAGAUUUGAAAUCUCCCCUAAGGUCCAAGACACAUUUAGAGGUGACACUAACCUAGCAAACAACUCCAAAUGAUUUCCACUUCAUAGCUGACGGACUCACAUACACAACCGUGAAGAAAAACAACUAGUCGAACCAUCCUCUUUACAAUGCAAAUGAAUGAAUUGACUAAAAACACUAAUGACCUCUAUGGUAAUACUCGAUCUCUAGAGGAUCCAAACCCCACCGAAAAAAUCACAUGCCUCAACAUGAUAUGAACAAUCAAAGCUACUCUUUCGAAUGACCUAGUUAGCCUUAGCACCACUAACCUAAGUGUUAUGAAAAGUAAGAAUACUCAGUUUAUGAAAAGCAUAAGUUGUUCCUAUUGUGGACCCUCACCUGAACCUUGAGCCAAAAUCAUUUCAUGUUGCUUAAACUGUUGAGAUAAUGAUGUUACCCCAUUCAGCCAGUAAUGGUCUGGGCAACGCCCUAAUUUUGAUUUUUUUUCUAACCUUGAGACCACAUUUAGUAGCUUUCUUCAUGGCCAAUGACCUAUCUUUAUUCUGGUAAACCAUGGUCUUCCUUACUUGUCUUUGGGAUUGAUCAAAGUAUUAUAUUCUUCAGGAUUAACUAUAACCACCACCGUGUGAGUCUUUUCUUCCAAAGUCAUUUUUUUGUUCAAUGACCUGUUGUACUGCGACCUCUCCUUCAUUCGACUCAUCAUUAACUCCCAUUUUAGUCAGCCAUUUUUACUAUUGGAUGCACCUCAACUCCUUUGCAUGGCCCUAGUCCCACUUUGUUAGAUUGGGCUAAAUUGGAAUUAUGAGAAUAGUUGGAGUCGAUCAAGUCUCAAUCAAUCACCACAUUCUUUCCUCUUCUGUUAUGUGACCUGAGACGUGAAUCAUGAAUGGGAAUAGGAUUCACUUCCCUAGUUUUCAGAACAAAAUCCUUAUUUCCCACCUCAAUUUGAUCAUCAUCCACGUGAUUUAAAGCCUUAUAUCUCGGCAUUCUCAGUUUUUUCUUGUUCUGAGAAGUUGCCUUAUUCUUCUAAACUCUCUUUCCUGCAUCGUUGAUCGUCAUUUUCGACUAGCAACUUACAUCCAUAACCCAUAGUUUGGUUGACUAGGUUACUUCAAGCACUCAACCGACUGCACAUUAACACCAGUAUCACCUUUGUUCACAAUAGUUGGACAAUUACCUUAUGUGUGUCUAAAGCAUCCACAACUAUAACGAAUUGAAGGAAGCCCUCAUACUCUAUUCACUGAAGUUUCCCAUCAAUUCAGAUGUAAGGAAUGACAGGUUUCUUCAAAUCAACGACAACCACUACACGAGAAAACCUUAACAACCUUACAAAUGAUCGAGACAAUAACUCUUAUUAAUUACUUUAUAUAAUAACAAUAUGGCAACCUAGGCAGACAAAUCCAUGCCACAAUCUCAAUGCUUGAGUUUCCUUUGUUGAGAAGUCUCUACUCCAUAGUUAAACUACUUGUUAGAGUUAUGAACAAACAAACAAAGAAAAAAUAAAUAAUUAGCAAUCCAAUUUGACUUGCUAUAUUUCAUCAACUCAGCUUUUCAAAUACAAAUAAUUCAAUAUAUAUUAGUUGAUUCAUGAAAAAACUCAACUAAUCCCACUAAUACGAUCUUGAAAAUAUAAAACGUAACUUGUACAACCCCUAAACACUCCAUUUAUCACCUAAAUAUAUAAAAAAAUCCUACCAAAUAAGAUUGGUUUUAUUAAACACGCAUAACAUAACUUUUGUAGCACACACCAAAAUAUUUUCAUGAAUCUAUGGGUACAAUCCGUAAACAUACUCUGGGAAUAUACCUCGCAUGUGAUCAAUCUGCCAAGCUCUUCUAAGCUUAUGUUCUCACAAGCUUGUUCUCACUUGGACAAUCCACCAAGCUCGCUGCGGAUGAAGAGCUCGCCAAUAUUCUUCUGCUUAGACUAUCCUCCACUUUGGCUUGCACUUGGACUGCUUGCCACUUGUAUGAGUUGUUGCAUAGUUGGCCAUCUUGCAACACUCCUCCUUAGCCACCAUGCUGCAAACACUAGUUUCAUUUCUAAGCUUUACGAACCUCAACUUUCCUAGAGGCUUAGUCAAAAUAUCUAUUGGCUGAUCUUCAGUGCUGCAAUAAACCAAAGUCACUUCCUUACUCUAUUCAACUUCUAUCACAAACUGAUACUGUAACACCCCAUACCCGACCCGACUGCUAGGUCCGAGUACUGAUGUUACAAGAACCUGUUUAAUUUUACUAUACAACCAUAAUUAAUUCAGUUACAUAUAAGAACAACUUGAAAACAUAGGCCUAAUUGCCACUGAUAUCAUACACUAAAAAAACUGUAAUGAUUUCCUAUGACCCUAGUUUCUGUGUACAAUUUCAUUAUUUGAAUAUGAUUCUACAAUUCUUAUGUUUGCCUUAACCUCCAAGGCGAGGCUUCUGCGAGUGCCACUCUACAUACACAUACAGCUUUUACUACUCCAUAUUGAUGACCGAUGGCUGGCUUGGUCUCUCAAUUUGAAUUUCAUGUCACACUUGGCAAAUUUUAAGUACUGUUGGCCCCACUUUGCAUUGCCCUUGGUGAAUCCCUUUAUUAUUCCAGAGAUCCACACCCCUAGGGUGCACCUCACUUAUUCUGUAAUUUAUAGUUAUUCAUGCUGCCCUUUCUAUCUUACCCAUGGCAUACCUCUAGUGUAGUGAACUCUCCCGUUGAGGUCCUACGUCUUACAUCUUGGCAGACUUUUCCAUGUUCACCAUCUUGAUGGACUUUUCGUAAUAUCAUAAUGCCAUACCACCAGGGUCUGACUCAACACAACACCCAUGUUUAAUGUCCUAACGGGCUAUUUACGUCAACAUAAUGAAGAACUCUUUUGGUUGCCUUAGUCAAGCUAAGGUCUUACACCCUUCUCGCCACGUAUUUCCUUGGUCCUGGUGAACUUACCUUGUGUUUACUAUCCCAGUGGACUAUAUUUGUGUUUAUUGUCCUAGUAAACUAUCUUUGUGUUUACUAUCCCAACAGACUAUCUUUAUGGAUGUCAUGGAGUGUUUCAUCCAUGGUUUUACACCGAUUCGCCAUCCUAGUGUGCUAUCAUAUAAUGCUAUGAAGUCUUUCAUCCAUGGUCUUUUUUAUUAUACUUGGUUGCCAUAGCAUCUUUCAUCUAUGGUCUUACACUAUAUACCUUAUAUCUUGUACCAUACUAUCAUGGCGUCUUUCACACAUGGUCUUACACUACAUACCUCAUACCAGACUGCCUUAGUGUCUUUCAUCUAUUGUCUUACGCCAUAUACCUUAUACCUUGUUCGAUGUUGUCAUGGCAUCUUUCAUCAAUGGUCUUACGCUACGUACCUCAUACCAGACUACCAUAGCGUCUUUCAUCUAUGGUCUUCCGCCAUAUGCCUUAUAUCUUGUACCAUGUUGCCAUGGCGUCUUUCAUCCAUAGUCUUACACUACAUACAUUAUACCAAACUGCCAUAGCAUCUUUUAUCUAUGGUUUUACGCCAUAUACCAUCAUCACGGUGUCGCCUUAAAGGACCAGUCGAUACUACCAUCGUAGUAAAUAUAUUUCCAUGAUUUUAUUUCCCAAACCCUCCUCCCAUUGCCUCAUUCAUACCACCUAACCUUGAUGCCUAAACACCACAAUGUUCCCUCUACAACUGUAACAUCUCAAGACCGAGUCUAGAAGUUUUAGCCUUGCAAGUAAGGGUUUGUCAGUGUUUCGGUGAACUAGGUGUUCACUAGUGCUUCAGCGAACUAGGGAGUUCACCAAAAGAUUAUUAGCAAGGAGUUCGCCAAGUGUUUUGAUGAAGCAAUAUACACCAAAAGACGUGAUAAGGUGUUUGCCAGAUUUAUUUCAAUAGUGUUUACCAAUAUGUUUGGUGAGCUAGAGUUCCCUAGGUAAGUUGCAAACUAGGAGUUUGCUAGUUGAAUCGAAAAUUUAGGGUUUUUCAGUUGAAUUGUGAACUAGGGGUUUUCCAGUUGAAUUACGAACUAGGGGUUCGCCAGUCAAAGAUUGAGUCAUACUCGAAUUAGGAAAUAAAGAUAUGAAGUAUCUAGGAAUACUUUACAUGCAACUAACACAUUUCCUAAUUGAAGUAGGGUAUUCUAAGAUUUUCAAAACACUUAGGUCUAUAAAUACAACGCUUAAUUCAUGAGAAUUCUCUCAUUGAAUAUUUUACUAUUAAGUUUUUAUUCUGAGACAAGUUCGUAACAUCCAUGGUAAUUCUCUGUCUUGUUAGGUGAUUGACCAAAAAGCUAGGUUUGCUUAUAUGUGUAAAUUCUGUAAGUAUGGUCUAUUUAAGUAAUCUAUGUUUUUGUUUAUAUUGCAAACCAAUGAAAUCAUCCACUAGCAAGGAUAGAAGCAAAGCCAAGCUUGUCAGUUUCUUAAUGUUUCAAUGAGUGAUCUGGAUCGUCAUAAGUAUGUUCAUUAUCAUGAAUUUCAACAUGAAUGUUUAAGUUUCGUAUCUUGUGUGCGAAUUGUUAUGGUUUCAAGAACUUUGUUUUUUAAACUAAGCUUCUAAAGUAAGUUUUCGACAAAACCCUGUUUUCAAGUUCUGAGACUGUUUUCAAGACAUGUAUUUUUUUAAGUUGUGUUUUAAAAAUAUGUUUUAUACGAAAACAAGUCGAUGUUUUUAAGUAUGUUUUAUAGAACGAUUUUAUAAAUUGUGUUUUUCUGAGCUUUUGUACGAGCUCUUUGUGAUAAGCAAUCUCCCUAUGCGAGCUCUCUGUGAUAUGUCUCUCUGCGUGCUCCUUUGCGAGCCAUGUUGGAUAUAUUGGUAUACCAAAGGAUGAUGAGUACUCACCUAUCUGUUUUUGUGAUUUUGGAUGUUGUGGCCCUAGGACAUGUGAAGAGAUAAGAGAAUGUCGAGCUACGCUCCAUUCAUUGAGACAUGUUGGUGUACAAGAGUGUGUAUUACUUCGUGCUGCACUUAUGGAACAUGUUAUAAGGACUCUUUGAGUCAUUCUGAGGCGUUAUAAGGAGAUCCGCAUAUCCACAAGAGAAAAAUUCUUAUAAGUGUGUUAAGAGUGAGAACAUAUUCUAUGUUUCUCAACCAUUUUGAUAAGAUAAGUAUGUGAGCAUGAUUUCAUGCUAUAUAGAUCAUGUUUUCAAAAUGGCACAACCUUAGUUUUUAAGUAUAAUUUUCAAUAACACAUGCGAAAUUGUUUUACAAUUGUUGUUUUCUUACAGAAUCUGCAAACUGGGUCUCAUAACCUCGCCCGCGAACCUAGCACGCAAAACGAUUUUAAGACUAAGUUUUCUUUCUAUUUUUAAAGCUCAAUUUUAAAGCACACCUUAUUGAUUCUUGAUUAUUCACUGAGUUCUCAAUGAACUCACACACUCCUCUCUUACUUCGUAAAUAAGUAGGUAGCAAAUAGUAGUGGUGAGGUAAAUGACUUGGUGAGGCUCACUCCUGAAUAGAUAUUGGCGAACCUAGGAACAUAGACAAUGGGGUUUAUUUUUAUGAGGGCUUUAGACUUAUUAUAUUUUGAUUCUAUUAUCCAAAUAGUUCCUUUAAGUUGUAGUUAUUUUGUUUUGCAAAUCAUGACUUGGAAUAUUUGAUUAUCUUUUGUUAUGAAUAAAUUGAUGUUUUUCAUGCAUGAGUGUUACGUUGAUUUGCUAUAAAAAUAUACGAGUCAAAUUUAUUACUAUGUAUCAUUUUUUUAUCCCUGUAUGUUUGUGAUUCUAAAAAUUACAUGCGUACCCUUGAUUUAGUGAACCUAUACAUGCAUACGAGCCUUAUUAAAGUAUGAAAACCCAUGCAUGUAUGAUACCUUUUGUUGUGACGACUGUUUGUUUGCGAAACUAUACUGCAUAUUGUGAACUUAGUACUAAAUGAGAUAUUGGUAUCUAACGAACCUAUACUACUGUAUGCAAACUUAUGUCAUUGUGCGAACUCAUAGUUUGUGUGUCCGAACUCAUAUUGAAUGUUGCUAAGUGAGCUUAUAUUAUUCAAUGUAUGUGAACCCUUAAGUCUUUCUAUUGUUUGACAUACGUACCUUUCCUUUGAUGUUUUGUAAGGUCGUACGUCUACAUUUUAUGUAUGAAAAUAUUUUCGCUGCAUUGUUUUUAUUUAAUGCACUAUUGUCACAAGCAAAUCAUAUGUUAGAGGUUAGGUUGUAAUGUAGCUCGUCAGAUUUGGCUCGAACUGACUCGAUCGGGUUUGGGGUGUCAUAUUGUUUGGUAUUAGAGCUUUGUUCACUAGACUAACCAAUCGAUGGGUAAGCUCGCCAAGGUGGUGAGGUGUGUUCACUAGAAUUGGCGAAGCGAGUCCGCCAGAAUUGGUAAGGUAACUUCGCCAAUAUUUUUAAGCGUUAUGUGUGUGAAAUUGCUUAUUUGGGGUAGGACUAGGAACGACAUCGCCCUUGGUUCAACUAUAUUUUUUUCAGGAUUACGCCUUAGAUUAUCUCUCUGCUAUUUCCCAAUCCAAUAAGUAAGUUAUGUUUUGCAAAUUGUGUUGUGUAUGAGUUAUGUGUGGUGAAUUGUAUUAAGUUUUGGAUACCCAAUUAAGUGUGUUUGAAGUCUUACCUAAUUCAAUAUCUUAUGUACGUUUAGAAUAAGCAAGAAUGCCUCCUCGUAGAGUGAAUCAAACCAUGUGAAUGAAGCUGCUAAUUCUUAAGAAGGUAUUUUGACUUUAACGAUGCAAGAGCGACCUCACAGGGUGAAUAUCUUGGAAGAAAGCAUGGAGUGUUUGGUUUAGGAAAUGAUUGGAGCUUUUUAGUGAGUUGUUGGUGCCAACCCUGUACCUGUAAAUCAUGGUUUGCCACUGCAGCGUCUGCGAGCUCUAGGUGGUAGAGAAUUUAGUGGUAUUAGAGGAGCUGGACCUACCGAAGCUAAAUAUUGCCUUGAGGGUGAUGAGAAAAUCCUUGAGCAAAUGGCAUGUUCUAACCAUGAAAUGUUGGGAUAUAUUGUGUCCUUACUCACUAGCGGUCCACAUCGUUGGUGGAAUACCAUGAGACAAGGAACUGUCGCGGAUAAAUUGACAUGGGAAUUCUUCUUAAGAACUUUGAAAAAAAAGUUUAUGGGCGAGAAAUAUAUGGAAGCUCACAAGCGUAAGUUUAUUAACCCUGUGCAAGGUGAACUGUCAGCGGCUGAGUAUGAGGCAGAAUCUAUGCGACUGAGCCAGUACGUAUCAGAGAUGGUUUCGCAUAGAAAAGAUUAUUGUCAGCAAUUUACUUUCCGACUACAUCAUGAUAUCUAGCUUUACUUGGUAACUCAUGAUAAUGUGAACUUCGAUGAGCUGGUGGACAAGGCCAAAGCUAUUGAGGAGAUUAAGGAUUUACGAACUGAAGUUGGAGCUGGAAAGUAAAUGGCUGAGAGAGUGUCCAAAAGGGACAGCGACCUGUGAAACUCUGGUAGAAACGUUAAGCGAAGCUUUAGGCCAAACCGUUCGCAUCAGAAAAAUAACACCUAGGAUGAAAAGAAGGGUUCACACAAGUCUGUGCGCUGGCCGUUCUGUUAGUACUACGAGAGAAAGCAUUCUUAGGACCGCCGUAAGUUGACUGGAGGUUGUUUCAAGUGUGGUUCUAAAAGCCACUUGAUUAAAGACUGUCUAGAAUGUUGAGAGGGUUCACAAGUUCAAAAUACAACCCCUGCUUAAGUGUGAGCUAAUACUUGUGGUCGAGGAAAAGGUAGAGAUGGCAAAACAAAGCCAGUUGGGCAAUAGAAUUUAGCUCACACUAUUACGACCCAAGAAGAAGAGUCAGGAGGCCUCGCACAAGUCUAUGAUGUAAAAGAACCCCAUGAGCAAGGUGUCACAGCUGUAACUACAACCACCUUUACUCUCGAACUAUUCCUUUGUUUCCCUUAAUUUACUCUGGUUUUACACACUCGUAUGCUCUGAGCGAACUACAUAGUGAACUAGAAAGUUUAGUAGAGACCAUAGAUAAAGGUGUGACUAUUACUAGUUCAUUUCAGGAUAGUGUUUUGGUCAAUAAAAUGUACUGUCGUUUUCCAUUGAUGAUUCAAUGUCAAGUUUUCUAUAUGAACUUGAUGGAAUUUUCCUUCUAUAGGUUUGACAUGAUUUUAGGAAUGGACUGGCUGACUGAACACAAAGACAAGAUCGAAUUUGAGCUAAAAAGAGUUGCCUUGCAAAGUAGUGAAGGUGAGGAAGUUGUAGUGGUUGGUGAGCGAGUUUAGUGUAUGUCCAAAGUGGUUUCAGUGCUAAAGGCAGAUAAUAUGUUGAUUAAAGGUGGUGAGCAUAUCUCGCUUUUGUAAUGGGUUCACAGGAUGUAGCAAAAAGGGUCGCAAGAUGUGAUCUAUGUAAGAUUUUCUUGAUGAAUUAUUUAAUAAGUUACCUGGGUUACCUCUAGACCGCAAAGUGGAGUCCGCCAUUGAGUUGUACCUAGUAGUACACCAGUUUUGAUUACGUCGUAUUGCAUGGCACCCAAGGAGUUGAAGGAACUAAGAAUAUAACUUCAAGAACUACUUGAUAAAUGUUUCAUUCGACCAAGCAUAUCGCCUUGAGGUUCGCCAGCAUUGUUUAGGAAGAAGAAAGAUGGUAGCAUAAGAAUGUGCAUAGACUACAGAUAGUUAAAUAAGGUAACUGUUAAAAAUAAGUACCCAUUGCCAAGAAUUUACAACUUUUUUGAUUGGUUGCGAGGUGCCACUAUAUUUUCAAAGAUCGAUUUGUGAUCUAUUUAUUACCAACUCAAGGUGAAGGAAUCUGAUGUGUUGACGACAGAAUUCAAAAUAAGAUAUGGGCACUACAAGUUUUUAGUGAUGCCCUUUGGUUUGAAAACUGCACUUGCUACUUUCAUGGACCUAAUGAACGAGAUCAAUGUGUGAUAGUGUUUCUUGAUGACAUCCUUGUGUAUUCGCGAACUGAGGAAGAGAACAUAACCCACCUGCAAACUAUGUUGCAAAUUCUAUGAAUGAAGUUGUUGUUCGCGAAGUACAACAAGUUUAAGUGUCGGCUAAAAGGAGUGGUUUUUUUAAGGCACAUCAUUUUAGUUGAAGGGUUUUGCGUGGACCCAAAGAAGAUCGAAUUCAUUGUAGAGUGAAGAUCUCUUAGGAAUGUAACUGAAGUGUGAAGCAUUUUAGGGUUCACAGGUUACUAUCGUAGGUUUGUUGAGGGGUUCGCCACUAUUGCAACACCAUUAACAAAGUUGUUUCAAAAGAAAGUGAAGUUCACUUGGAAUGAGGAAAGGCAGCAAAUCUUCGACAAGCUUAAAGAGAUUUUCACCAAAGCACCUGUAUUGAUCCAACUAGAACCAGGAAAGGAAUUCGAGGUUUACAGCAAUGCCUCUAAGACAAGGCUGAGAUGUGUGCUAAUACAAGAAGGAAAUGUGGUAGCUUAUGCUUCCAGGCAACUGAAGGUUCAUGAGCAAAACUACCCAACUCACAACUUGAAGCUAGUAAUAAUGGUGUCUGCAUUCAAGAUUUGGUGACACUACUUUUAUGAAGAAAGGUGUACUAUCUACACAAACCACAAAAGUCUGAAGUAUCUGCUCACGCAGAAUGAGCUGAAUCUGCGUCAGAAAAGGUGGAUUGUAACUUUGUUAGUGAUUUGGAUUGAAAUGAGCUGUUACAGAGUUUGUGGCGAAGUGCUUCAGCCACUCAAAAUUCUAGAAUAGAAGUGGGAAAGGAUCACCAUGGAUUUUGUGACGAGUUUUCCACUGACUACAACCAAGAAAGAUGUUAUUUAGGUGAUUGUAAAUUGCCUUACGAAGGGUGCACACUUUUUAGCUAUUCACACAAGCUAGUCUUUGCAAAGGCUCGCAGAACUUUAUGUUGUCGAGAUAGUACAACUGCAUGGCGUACUAGUUUCCAUAACUUUUAAUCGAGAUCUUUGAUUCACUUUGAGAUUUUGGAAGAUUUUGCAAGAAGCUUUGGGUUCGAAGUUAAAUUUCAAUACUGGUUAUCACUCUCAAACAGAUGGUCAAUUUGAGUGAGUGAUACAAGUGUUUGAAGACAUGCUGUAAAGUUGUGUUUUGGAGUUCGCAGGAAGUUGGGAAAGUUAUUUACCUUUGGUAGAGUUCGCCUAUAACAACAAUUAUCAAGCAAGUAUUCAGAUGACACCCUUUGAAGGACUGUAUAGAAGGAGGUGUCGAACACCUUUGUGUUAGGCUGAGUAGGGUGAGAAAUGAAUCAUUAGACCUGAGUUGGUUCACGAAAUUGAAGACAAAGUAAAGUUAAUAUGUGAAAGGUUUACGGCUGCUUCAGAUAGACAGAAGUCCUAUGUUGACUUGAAACGACGAUAUGUUGGGUAUCAAGUGGGCAAGCAUGUGUUUUUAAAGGUAUCACCAUGGAAGAAAGUCCUAAGGUUUGGGCAUAAAGGAAAGCUAAAUCAUCAGUUCAUUGGUCGUUAUGAACUAGUAGAAAGAAUCGAUACUAUAGCAUAUCAACUCAAGUUGCCCUACGAACUUGAUAAAAUCUACGAUGUGUUCUAUGUGUCUAUGUUAAGGAAGUGUCACACAAACCCAUCCCAUGUGGUGGCAGUAGAUGAAAUAGAAUUACGACCUGAUUUGUGUUAUAAGGAAGAACUAAUAAAUAUUGUGGCUCACAAAGUGAAAGUCCUGCGAAGUAAUAGGAUUCCCUUAGUCAAACUAUUGUGGAGAAACCACAAGACCUGUGAAGCUAUGUAGGAAAUAGAGGAAUCAAUGAAACAACAAUACCCUCAACUAUUUGAAACUGAACAUUUCGAGGACUAAAUGUCUUAAGUGAGGGAGAGUUGUAACAUCCCGAGAUCGGGACUGAAAGUUUUGGCCUUGCAAGUAAUGGUUCAUCAAUGUUUCAGUGAACUAAGUGUUUGCCAAUGCUUCGACGAACUGGGAAGUUUGCUAGAAGAGUGUCAGCAAGGAGUUCGCCAAGUGUUUCAGUGAAGCAGUAUAUGCUAAAAGAUGUAGUAAGGGGUUUGCCAGAUUUAUUGCAAUAGUGUUCGCCAGUAGGUUUGGUGAGCUAGAGUUCACCAAGUUGUGAACUGGGGGUUCACUAGCUGAGUUGCAAACUGGGGUUCGCCAGUCAAAGAUUGAGCCAGACUUGAAUUAGAAAAUAAAGAUAUGGUGUAUCUAGGAAAACUUUAUGUCUAAGACAUUUCCUAAGUCAAGUAGGGUAUCCUAAGAUUUCCAAGACACUUAGGUCUAUAAAUACGACCCCUAAUUCAUAAGAAUUCUCUUAUUGAAUAUCCUGUCAUUAAGUCUAUGUUCUGAGGAAAGUUCGUAGCAUCCAAGGUAAGUCUCUAUCUUGUUUGCUGAUUUUCUAGAAAGCUAGGUUCGCUUAUAUGUGUGAAUUCUACAAGUAUGGUCUGUUUAAGUAAUCUGUGUGUUUGUUUAUAUUGCAAACUAGCCAGACCAUCCACUAAAAAGGAUAAAAGUAAAACCAAGCUUGUCUAGUUUCUUAGUGUUUUGGUGAGUGAUUUGAAUCGUCAUAUGUAUGUUCACUAUCAUGAUUUUCACUAUGAAUGUUUAAAGUUUGUAUCUUCUAUGCAAACUGUGAUGGUUUCAAGAACUUUGUUUUUUAAAUUAAGCUUCAAAGGUAAGUUUUCAACAAAACCAUGUUUUCAAGUUCUGAGAAUCUGUUUUAAAAAUAUGUUUUUUCUAAGCUGUGUUUCAAAAAUAUGUUCUAUACGAGCUCCUAAGUGAGCCAAUAUUUUUAAGUAUAUUUUUUAAAACGAAUUUCUGAACUGUGUGUUUAUGAGCUUUUGUACGAGCUCUCUGUGAUAAGCAAGCUCCCUAUGCGAACUCUCUGUGAUAUGUCUCUGUGCUUGCUCAUUUGCAAUCAUUGGUAUACCAAAGGAUUUUGAGUACUCACCUUUCUGUUUUUGUGAUUUUGGGGGCUGAGGCCUGAAGACAUGUGGAGAGAUAAGGAAAUGUCGAGCUACGCUCCAUUUGCUGAGACAUUUUGGUGUAUAUGAGAGUGUAUUGCUUAGCCUACACCUAUGGGAGAAGUUAUAAUUACUCUUUGAGUCAUUCUGAGGCGUUAUAAGGAGAUCCGCAUAUCCAUAAGACAAAAAUUCUAAUAAGUGUGUUAAGUGUGAGAACAUAUUUUAUGUUUUUUUCAACCAUUCUGAUAAGAUAAGUAUGUGAGCAUGAUUACAUGUUGUAUAAGUUCUAUUUUUAAAAAAGAGCAAGCUAAGUUUUUAAAUAUGAUUUUCAGUAACACAUGCGAAACUAUUUGUCAACUAUUGUUUUCUAAUAGGAUCUGCGAACUGGGUCUCGCAACCUCACCCAUGAACUCAGUACACGAAAGGAUUUUAAGACUAAGUUUUCUUUCUGUUUUUAAAGCUCAGUUUUAAAGCACACCUUAUUUAUUCCUGAUUAUUUAUUGAGUUUUCAAUGAACUCACCCACUCCUCUCUUACCUCACAAAUAAGUACGUAGCAGAUAGUAGUGGCGAGGUAGAUGACUUGGUGAGGCUCACUCCUGACUAGAUAUUGACGAACCUAGAAACAUUGACGAUGGGGUUUAUUUUUAUGAGGGAUUUAGACUUAUUAUAUUUUGACUCUAUUAUCUAAAUAGUUCCUUUAAUGUUUAGUUAUUUUGUUUUACGAACCAUGACUUAGAAUAUUUGAUUAUCUUUUAUUAUGAAUAAAAUCAAUGUUUUCCAUGCAUGACUGUUACGUUGAUGUGCUAUUAAAAUAUGUGAGUCAAAUUUAUUACUAAGUAUCAUUUUCUUCGAUCCUUGUAUGUUUGCGAUUCCAAAAAUUACAUGAUUACCCCUGAUUUAGCGAACCCAUGCAUGCAUACAAACCCUAUUAAAGUAUGAAAACCCAUACAUGUAUGAUGCCUCUCGUUGCAAAGAUUGUUUGUUUGCGAAACUAUACUGCAUGUUGCAAACUUAGGUACUAUGUGAACUAUUGGUAUCUAGCGAACAUAUACUAUUCAAUGCGAACCUAUGUUGUUGUAUGAACUCAUACAUUGUGUGUUCAAACUCAUGUUGAAUGCUUCUAAGUGAGCUUAUGUUAUUCAAUGUAUGCGAACUCUUAAGUCUUUCUGUUGUUUGACAUGCAAACCUUUCCUUUGAUGUUUAGAAAGCUCGUAUGUUUACAUUCUAUGUAUGAAAAUAAUUUCGCUAUAGUGUUUUUAUUUAAUGCAUUAUUGUCACAAGUAAGUGGUGAGGUUGGAGGUUAGGUUAGGAGUUAACGGGGAGUCACUUCGGUGGCUAAUAUAGCUUGCCAGAUUCGGGUUAAACCUACUCGAUCGGGUUUGGGCUGUUACAGCAAGGCCUGAGAGCUUCACCUGUGGCGGUAACUAACAGGUUCACUCCCCAUUUGCCCUCCUAAAUUUAUCUAUCCAAUUGAGGUUUAACCCCAGUUAUCAUGCAAUAUAUGCAUCUAUUCAUCAGCUAUGUUAAAACAACAGUAAUCAACUUGUUAUGACUCAACAACAUUAUUCAUGCACAGAUUACUCAUGUAUUCACUAGUUCAUACAAGCAACAUAUCAUUGUUUAUCGUCCAAAAGCAGGGUGUAGAAAAAUCACCUUAUUUCCUUAUCCUUGUUACCAUGGUUGCCCGAAUGCUAGUGUCUCCUUAGAAUUGGAAGCAGUCCCCCAAUUUCUCUCUUUCCUGGACAUCUAGACCUAAGACUACUGUAAUAUGCAGAGCCUCUCACUGCUACGGUCUUUUCUUCUUCAAGACGACUAAAGAAGAUGAUGAUGACUUUGAAGAGAAGAAUGUGUAAACAAGAUUAAGGAAUCUCCCCUCUUCUCUCAUCAUCCAACCUAUAUAUAUAUUCUCAUGGCCCAAUCUUCACAGACUGUCACUAUCACACAAUCCUAAUUAUUAUGUUCGUACCUAACCAAACUAGAUUUAGAGUCUAACUUUCUCCCAACCACCCACUAAAUUUUCUAAAUUUCUCACUUGUACCCCAACUUUCCAUUACUACUUAAUCAACUCGCCGACUCCUUCUUGAGUUUAGGUAUUUUGGAAAUUUAGGUGUGACAGAUACUUUAUCUUGAAGUGUUUUGUCUUUCCAUGAAAAAUGGGAUUCUUCACAAUUGCAAUGGUGGAUUGAUUGUCACACAGAAUAUGUGUUGCUCCAACUGGAAAAAGAUUUAAGUCGCCAAGAAGUUUUUCAGCCAAAUCACUUGAUUAUCGCUACUACUGGAGCUACAUACUCCACCUUAGCUGACGACUGAGCAACAAUCUGUUGCUUCUUGGAGCUCCAUGAAAAUAUGCCAGAUCCAAGUGAAAACUCCACCUUUUCAGUAAUUUUUCUUAAACAUGAGGCACCUGACUAUAUCCAUCAUGGUUCUAUUUUUCUUUUCACUUACACCAUUUUGCUAAGGUGUAUAAAUGUUAGUGAGCUGGUGUCCAAUCCUUGAAUCUUCACAAAACUUCUCAAACUUCCAUGAUUUGUAUUCAAUUCCAUUAUCAGACCUCACUAUUCUGAUCUUGCACCUAGACUGAGUUUCAACUGCUAACUUGAAUUUCCAAAAUACUUGAGCAAACUUGGACUUCAUUUUUAAGAAAUAAACCCAACAAAACCUUGUACAAUCAUAAAUUAACAAAACAAAAUAUCUAUUUUCGCUUAAUGAUUGAGUUCUCAUGGGUCCGCACACAUCGGUGUGAACCAAGUGAAGCUUUUCAAAAGCUUUCCAGGUCUUGUUCAUAGGAAACGACAACUUACUCUACUUUCCAAAUUGGCAUACUUCACAAGUAUUUUCAUGCUCAACAAUUUUUGACAAGUUUUCAACAAACUCAUCCUUAAACAAUUGAGAUAACAACCUAUAAUUAACAUGACCUAUUCUCCAAUGCCAUAACUUAGAUUCAUCUACUAAAGUUAUAUAGGCUUUAGAUGUUGCUAAGUUCCAAUCCAAAAAAAAAAGCUUCUAUCAGACAUAGCAACCAAUAUAAGCUCACAUCCACAUAGAUCAACAAUCAAGCGUUCUUUAAUCUUAAGCACAACAGAAUAGCCCUUUUCAAGCAACUGACCUACACUUAGCAGAUUCAAAUUAAUUUAAGGUACAAAAAGAACAUUUGAAACAAGUUUUGCACCUAAUGGAGUGUUGAUUAAAACAUCUAUCUACCUUGAUGUGCUAACCAUUUCUAACUUUGAUCCUAGAGUUGACACUUUUGUCAAAACUCUUGAAGAUACUUGUGUCAACCAUUUCCAACUUUGACUGAUUUGUGAUCUGUUGUUGGUAGCAAGGCACGAGGCAAUGAACAUGAGCUCAUUCUGAGCUUGGUUUCAUCAACUGCCUGUGCCUGAACAUUUUGCUAUUGUGGUUGCCCCUUACUCUUGCUUACCUAUUCAGUAUUACCAAGCUACUUACAGGCUCUACAAUGAACAUCAGGUCUGAACCAACAAAACCUUUUUGAAUGACCUAUCUUUUUGUAAUGAGAACAUGGUGGAUACUUCUUCCUUUCCCCUAUCUCUCUUUGACUUUUCUCUCUUCUCUCUAGAGACCUUCUUUCAUUUAUAAUUUGUAGAGCUCGAGCCUUCUUUACCUCUUGCUUGAAAGGCUCCCUCAGUACGCUCCUCUUAUCUUAAUGCUCUCCUUUGUUCUUGAGCAUACAACGUAUUGAUCAACUCUGGUAGUGGGAUAGAUGACAUGUCCCUCAAGUUUUCAAAAGAGGAAAUUUAUUACUCAUUCCUCUUUAGAAGUGUGGUUAUGACCUUCUCAACCACUCUACUAUCAUUGAACUAGUCUGUAACAUCUCGCCUGGUGAAGUACAAGUGUACAAAUACUAUUUAUGAAAGUAAGGCAUAUAGAGUAGAUCUUGGGAAUGUAAAGUUUUAAAAUUGGAUAAUGUACAAUAACCUUAUGAGUACGUCUAAAAUUUUUCGAUCCUAGCAAACACGAGACCUGACGUAUAGUCUUACAGAAGUAUAAUUGGCAGAGUGGUAUUCGCCUCAAAUACAUUUUUUCGUAUGAUAUAGGCGAACUCUGUAAUGACUACAAGAGAAUAAAGGUUUCCAUGAUAGGUUACUAAGGUUAAAGGAAUGAGAAUUGUGGCUAAGUAAGAUGAAUUUUUCUAACAUGGGUCACACUAGUGGUAUAGUGUCUUCGUAACUGUGGUCCCAUACUAGUUAAGUUACAUGGUAAGCUGGUUAGGAACUAACCGAACGUGAAUCAGGAUAGUUGAAAAAUAAGGGGAAAUACUCAAUUAGAUUUCUCAAAAGUUGUAGACCUUGAUAAAACAAUUCAAUAGUGAUGUGACAUUUGUCAAGUUCCAACGAAGACUUAGAUUAUAUUAAUAAGUCCUCAAAUUUGAAUAAAGAGAGUUCUCUUCUUCUCUCUUCAAAAAUAUUGAAAUCUAAGGCUGGAGGAAACGAUCUUAUUUCAUUAAGUUGGAUCUGAGACCUUGAAUGUUAUCGGUGAUUUUUUCAGUGCCAAGGUAAGUCUUAUUACUCUGCAAAAGUAGAUCUGUGUGAGUGCAAGAAGAAAUAAGGCUCUAUUUUAGAAUUAUCUGGGUACGAUGAUUGUAAAGGUUAUCUGGAUUGGUGUUAACAGAAAAUUUUCUAUUUUUAGAAGGUUGUGGUCCCUGCAGUUCUAAGAAGACCUUAGACCUAGAGCCCAAGUUGAUAAACAUCUUUAAUAGGUGAGUCCCUAGAUUGACUCUUACAUGUGUAUUAUGCUUAUCUAGAAGCUUCUAUGCUAAGUGGACAAAGCAUGAGAUUGAAAGAAAAGUAUGAUAUGGCGAAUUUGAUAAGAAAUGUAAGACCUAUCAAUCUGAAUGACUAUGGUGUGCUUAUGUCUAAAAGUAAGAAUGAGUCUGGUAGGAAGUGCAUGUGUGUCUGGUAAGCAUAAGAAUGUUUGUCAUGAGUGACUCGAUGCAUAAUGAGUUUGUGUCUAUCUCCAGAGUCAUCAAAAAAGUCUGUUGAGACUGAAAACACGAAUCUCUAAAAGGACAAGUCCAUAACCAUGGUGCAAAAGGACCAUAUCGUGUAAGACCGUAAAUUGGUGCGUUAUGGCAUCAUAUGGAAAGAAAAUCAUAUCGUGUAGGACCAUAACUGGUGGGUUAUGGCAUCAUAUGGGAAGGACUAAAGGAAGGUUAUUACCUAACAUGGUUUUCUGUCUGUCCCAGAAUGAUGAAUGGCAAACCUCACUAAGUGUGAGUUUUGGCAAAUCCCUAUCAUUUAAAACACAAGAAAAAGGACAGCCUUUAUGGUAAAAUUUUGGAAAGGCAAGCAUUGGUGGUGAACCUGUUAAAGGAUAACAUUUGUGGCAAAACUCUCGAAACACAAGCCUUUGUGGUGAACCUAUUAAAAGAUAGCAUUUGUGGCAAAACUCUAGAAAGGUAAGCCUUCGUGGUGAACCUCUUAAAUAACACACUUGUGGCAAUCUCUAAAUAAGGAAGCCUUUGUGGCUAUCUCUAAAAAGGAAUGCCUUCGUGACGCCAUCUAAAGAAUGAACCUUGCAGAAACCAUUUGAAAGAAACACCUCUAUGGCAAACUUUGAACAAAAAGAAAGAAACCCAUGGCGAAGUUUGAUAAAGCGACAUACGAAGUCUUCUGAAGGAACGAUAAGUAUGACAAACUCUGAAAGAAAAGCUCCGUAAGAAGUGUUAUGGCUAACCCAAUAUAGUACAUGGUAAGAAUAACGAGACCAGAGUGUGCUAGAGUAUGUGGCGAACCUAGAACAUUAUGUUUGAAAGGCCCUCUACAAUGAGAAUGGUUAAGGAACCACAGAAGAAUAAGACGAGGAACACGAGAGUGGUACAGAAGAUAUGAAAGGCAAGAUAUGACCUCAGUAAUAAGCGUGACACCCAUGGUAUAAUGAAUAGAAUCUAUGGGAUGUAUCCCUUAGAGUUAAGUUGAAGAAUAAAAGAUAAUAAGUUAGAUAAAAGAGUUCUCAGAUGAGACUCAAGUAAAGGAGAGCUUACUCACUAAGUUCUAUUGAACUUACCUCUGUGUUCUUAUGUCACAAGUAAAUUGAUCGAGGCUAAGCCAAGAGGGAAGACGCCAAGGCUACACCCAAGGAGGGGCACGUUGGGUUGUUAUGCAUACAGAGCAAGUGAGGCUGUGUGUUUGAGUAUGAUAAGAAUAUUGUGAUUAGGCUAGGCAAACUAUUCGCAAGCCUAGCAAUGUAGAUAAAAUGUGUUGGCCAAAUAAGCGUUGCCAGUGAUAUCUUUUACGGGCAAGAUAAGUGUCAUAUAUAUAUAUUUGUGCUUUUAAGUUUUUGUUGGGUGAAAAGUUUUGUUAAAUGGUUGUAAGUAUACAUUGUACACUCAGAUGAUUUGUUGAUUGGGCAUCAUAACUUAAUAAGAUGUAUAAGUUUGAAAAUUUUGUAUUAACAAGUUUAAUUAAAGACAGUAAGAGAGCAUAACACUCGAGAUCCGGAUUGGGUUGAAGGUGUUACAUGGUCUCCAAGAAAUCUAAUGUUGUUGACCACUACCAUUAUCAUGUCUCCAUUUUGCUUCACUGUUUCAACCUCCCUCAUCUUCAAGUUCUCAAAAUCUCUUCUGAGAUUAAUAAGUUGUUGUUGUCUGGUCUUGUUUGACCCUGAAACUCCUCCCUUAGUUUAUCCCAAUCUUCUUUAGGAGUCUUACAGGUCAUAAUCUUAGUGAAUAUCACAUAUGAAACACCACUUUGUAUGUACGACAUCGCCUUGUACUUCUUAGCACAAUCAUCAUUAUGCUGUCUAAUUUGUGCUAUGGUAGGAUUCGCCCUCAAUGGUGGUGACUCAAUAUUGGCAUUCACUACCUUCCACAAGUCAAAAGCCUGAAGGUAGGUCUUCAUCUUUACUACCCAAAUAUAAUAGUUUUCACCAUUGAACACGGGUGGUGGAGGAGGUGGAAAACUUGUUAAAGACAUUUUUGCAUAAACAUAAAAGAGAAAUGGCCCUUAAAGAUCAAUGGCUCUCGAUACCAAUUGUUGGAGUUAUGAACAAAGAAAGCUAAAAUAAAGAAUUAGCAAAUCCAAUUUAACUUACCAUAUUUCAUCAAAUCAGUUUUUCAAAUACAAGUAAUACAAUAUAUAUUAGUUGAUUCAUAACAAAACUCAACUAAUCCCACUAAUACAAUCUUAAAAAUAUAAAAACUUGUACAAAACCUAAACAUGUCAUUCAGCACCUAAAUACAUAAAAAAAAAUCCUACCAAGAUUGGUUUUAUCAAACACAUAUAACAUAACUUGUGCAACAUGCACCAAAAUAUUUUCAUGAAUCUGCGAAUACAAUCUGCAAGCAUACUUCGCGGAUAUACUUCGCAUGUGAUCAAUAUGCCAAGCUCUUCGUAGCUUAUGUUCCCGCAAGCUUAUUCUCACUUGGACAAUUCACCAAUAUUCUUCUGCUUAGGUUAUCUACCACUUUGGCUUGCACUUGGAUUGUCAGUCACUUGUACGAGUUGUUGCACGGUUGGCCAUCUCACAACACUACCAAUUAUUGACCAUAGAUCAUCCAAGAACCCCUCAACAACACAAGUCCAUAAUAUUCCAAUUUAGAGAACUUGACAAGAAAGUAAUCAUUGUCUAGACCGACAAUCUAGAAACCACCAGAAAUUUUCCACAUGCUUUUGAAUCUAGUAACUAGAGCUUUGUAACCGAAAGCACAACAAGGAGUCGAACAAUAACCGUCUGACACAUAGUUUGAUCAAUCAACCCAUGCACCCUUUUAGAGAAAUUGAUCUCAAGAUACAGUCCUUCCAUUGUCACUUACACAUCAUCUUCUAAAAGGAAAAUAUCUUCACCCUCCAAACUAACAUCAUCUCCUCCACAAGUUUUGGUGUUACUCAUUCACAUUUCCUGUAACACCCCUAUCCCGUGACCGUCGCCGGAAUAGGUAAGGGGCAUUACCGGGCUUGUAACUCAUGUCAGAACCGUAAAAUUUUGAACUUUUUCUUGAAAUAAAGGUCAUUCAUUUAGAUAAGUACUAAGCACGGCCAGGGAUAAAAUUUAAACUUCUCUAAGUAAACAUUCAAAAGAUGCCAUUUUCGCAUGGCUUAUAUACAUUAACCAAAAUAUUCUUCCGCCACUAGUCUAUUUUAUACAUGCCAUAAGAUAAUCCAAAACAUAGCAGUACCAAACAGUGGAUAGUGAUAGUGUGACUAGUUGCUAAUGAUCCCCGAGCCUGUAGCUUCGCAAUGAGAUCUAUAAAAUAGAGGAAACAGAGUAAACGGAGUAAGCAUUACAAUGCUUAGUAAGUUUUAAGCAGUGUCAACAGAUAACAAUCAAAUUAUAACAUAGUUGUUCGUAUUUUUAUUUCACUCUUCCUUCGGGCAUACCAUCCCUUUACCGAAUAUGCACAUCUCAUCAUAUACAAUAGGCAGAUAAACUUUCACAUAAAAGUGAGCUCAUGUGACAUAGAUAUAUCGUAUGAUUUCACAUAACCUCUCACACUGAUCCGAUGUCACAUAAUCAUAGGAAUAGUCUCAUAGAUUGCUCUCGUAUGCAUCACAUAACUACCUUAUGAUUUAGUGCAAAUCAAGCUCACAUAUAAACUUGGAGUACAUACCUGUUUAACCUUUCGCAUUGAAUAUAUUUAUAAGCAAUUCUUAUUACGAAGUCUUACCCGGACAUAAUCUCCACACGAAGUUAUCGGGUCUUACCUGGACAAAAUCCCCACACGUAGUCAUCGGGUCUUUAGAGCUCGGAUAUAGUACGAGCACGAAGCUUACGGACAUUAAUCAGUGAUAAUAUUCUCGCAUAAAGCCUGCGGGGUUUUAACCCGGAUAUAGUACUGACACAAAUGCCCUUCGGGACUUAUCACAUUUAUACACUUUCACAUCCAUCACGUUGGCCACUCGGCCCUGUCACAUAUAUACACUUUCACAUUCAUCACAUCGGCCAUUAGGCCUUAUCACAUAUAUACACUUUCACAUUCAUCACAUCGGUCAUUACGCCAUACUAUCAUUUCAUAUUCGAAUACUCAUAAACUUACAAUAUCACGAUUUAGAAUUCAAGUAUGGGUUUAAUCAAUAGCUUAUGAGCAACUAAAACAAGUUUAUCAAGGUUCACAACAUAAUCUCAAAUUCAGCACAAGCUGUUUUUCCUGAGCAAUAGUCACUAAAUUAUUUAUAACUGGAGCUACAAAACUCCAAAUCACUUUCCGUUAAUUUUUCCUGAAUAUAUACUCGUAUAUCUUCCAUCCAUAAAAUUUACAGAAUUUUAGGUUUGGCCAAUCAAUACCAUAUUUUUCUUAAAGUUUCCCCUGUUUCACUGUUUGACUAAUCUGACCACUCUUUGCUACGAAUCAAAUUUCUCAUUUUACAGAAUUCAAAAUGUGUUUUAUUUGAUUUCAUUUUAAACUAGACUCAUUAAGGAGUCUAAGAAUAUAAAUUUUAUCUUAUAACCAUUUUUGUACAAUUUAUAAUGAUUUUCUAAAAACAGAACAGGGGAUUUCGGAGUCAUUCUGACACCGUCUCACACAACUUUAAAUAUCUCAUUAUCGGAAAUUCCUUUGCUUACACGGUUUCUUUUAUAAGAAACUAGACUCAUUAAUAUUUAAUUUCAUGUCUCAUUCAGCCUCUAAUUCAAGUCCAUAAAUUUAUGGUGAUUUUCUAAAGUCACGUUACUGCUGCUGUCUGAAGCAGACUAUUUCAAAUUUCCCUUAAAUUCCCAAGCUCAAACACUUAAGAACUUACCAUUUGAGCUUAGAACAUAUCAUGGCCACAUCUUAUCUUAUUAAAUCAACUCAUCAUGUCCUAUUAUAAUUGAAUUUACUCAACGUUUAAACACUUAAAACUUACCUCGGAUGUGGUCGAACAAUUUCGGCGGCUAUUCGAUCACUUUUUCCCUUCCUUUAUCCAACUUUGGUCCUCUAAGCUCUUGAGCUUAAUUUAACAAAUAAAUUGAUUUAAUCAUUUGAGCAUCAAAAGAGGAACUCAAGGUACUUAGCCCAUAUAUACAUACAUUAGACAUUAAAGUCACAUACAUAUGAAAUCAUAAAUCAAUUCAACAUAUUAGCCCACACUCUCUUUUAGCCGAUUGUCUAAGCCAAGAUAAAAGCAUCAAUAUGCUUGCCUCUAGCCGAAUACAUGCAACACCAAUCUUCUUCCUAUGGCCGAAUAUGCAUAUCUAUGUUGAGGCCGAUUAUAUGCUUAAUACUUCCUACAAGUAUAGUUACUUGUAUUGCUUAUAUAUCAUUUUGUUUCAAGUUCAAAACUCGGCUAAUACGCAUAUAUACACUAGUAAUCAAAUACUAACAUUUUGCACUUCACCUUACUACCAUUUUACUUCUACUUUCUACCAUGGCCGAAUGCAUCAAGACACCAUACCAUUCAAUUUUGGUCAUGGGUUACACAAAGAACUUAAUGUCUAACUCAAAAAUGCCAAAAAGAAAAUCCAAGAGUCAUCAAUCACCAUCACAUGUAUCAUUACGAAGCUUUACACUUAGCAUGCAAAUGACAUCAACACAAAUCCACCUUAGCCGAAACUUAACUCAUCUUCAUGCCUCAUCACCACAACAUCAAACAUCAACCAAGAAGACAACACCCAUGGCCGAAUAUCAUCUCCAUCUCAUAGCAAAGAUUUAAACCAUGGGCUAGGUAGAACUCAAACUAACAACUAAAAACAUGCAUGAAUCUCAAGGACAACAUCAAACAUACCUUAGUCUAGCAAACCACCAUAGCCGAUUUUCUCAAGCUCUUCCCCUUCCUUUCUUUCCUCUAUUCGGCCAAAGAUGUUCAAGAAUGAACACUUUUUUUUGUUUUCUUUCUUCAAUUCACGGCAAAGGGGGGGGGAAACAUGGAUGAGACAAUUUUUUUCAUCAUCAUUUACCUUUCCAUUAUUAUUUUAUUACCCAUACUCAUUAUUUUAUUUUAUUGUUUCCUCCCAUGAUGCACCAACACAACACGUCUAUGACAUGUUUUGCCCAUCACCCUUUGUCCAUCCUAAUGUCAUGGCCGGCCACUACUAGAUGGGGGGGAAAAAUUGACAUGCAAGUCCCCCCUUUUUCAACAUGCACUAAUAGGUCCUUAUGUUUUGAUCUAUCACAUUUCAAAAAUGUCACACAUAAGUCCUAUUGACUAAAUUCACAUGAAAUUUACUAAAUCGAAGCUUAAAAUUUUCACACAUUUAUUUUAGACAAUAAAUAUCAUAUUCAAAUAAUUUGGUGACUCGGUUUAGCGGUCCCGAAACCGCUUUCCGACUAGGGUCAAAUUAGGGGUGUCACAUUUCCUUAAAGGAGGCUUUCAAGUUUUAGAUCCAUCCCCCAUCUCUUGAUUCUCACUAUCACCAUUCUCCACCUCUUUUUUAUUCUUAACUCUUUUUGUGGCUCUUUCCAAGUCCACCAGAAGUGGUAAACCAGGCCGCCUAAGGCUUUCUAAAGGGUAAAGGUUGAUCUCCUUCAAAACCUAAUAGCUUCUUGUAUUUUUUAACCAGUGAUGAUAGCUUGUUUUAAAUACAUAUUUUUUUAACCCUUGCUACUAUAAUUUAAAAUAUUUUUCUUUUUUUUUUAAAUAAUUAUAUGAACUAUUAAAAAAUAUAAAAACCCUUACAAUAAUUUUUGUUGUUUGUUAAAAGAAAAGGAUUUUAUAAACUUUUUAUAAUCACUAAACUACACUAUUAAUCACUAAAUUAUAACUUUAUCGUUAAACUAUUCAAAAAGUUUCAUUUAAAUUACUAAACUAUUCAAAAGUUUUUAUUUAAGCCAAUGUGUUGUUAAUAUUUUUUAAGUGUUUUGAACCAAUAUCUAUCGAUGAAUAGAAAAACAUAUCUUAGUUCCACAUUGAUCUGAUGGUCAAUUUCUGAGAUAAAAAAAUAUUUAAAUUUUAAUUUGUAAAUUUAUGACAUCUAAAAUUAUUUCAUGAAAAAAAUUACAAAAGAUAAUAAAUAAACAAAUAAAUAAAAGCUUUCAAUUGAUACAAGUCAUAACAUCUCUUUUGACAUCGCGAUAACUUAAACAAAAACUUUUGAAUAGUUUAAUUACCAAAUUACAAAUUUUUUUAGUUAAAUAAUCAAAUUGAAAAUUUACCCAUAAUUUAGUAACUAACGGUGCAAUUUACCCUUUUAUAAUUGAAUUAUAUCUGAUUUAUCUGAUUUAAAUAUAACACGAAAUCAAUCAAAUAAAGAUUCCAAAAUGCUUUAUUAUUAAAGCAUGCAAAAUCAGAGCGUAUUGCUUUCAUAUUGGAUUAAAAGAACACUUGUUAGCUCAAAAUGAAAGUUGACAGAAAAUUGCCAUAAAUAUCCUUACAAUGAAAGACAUACAAGUUAUAUAUAAUACAAUAAUAAUUGCUGGGUGGGAUGCUACACUCCAUUACCACAACUUUCUUCCGUGGCUCCACUUAUCUAGACAAUACGAUAAUAUUUUUAGAUAUUAAUCACAAAUAUAUAUAUUUUUUGGUUAAAUAUAAGUUUACCUUUAAUCUGUGACCGGGUGUUCAGAGGAGCUAUUGCCUGCAGCAGGACCCUGCUUCCUCUCGGCUUGAAGUGAUCGACACAAUGAUUCAAGCUUAUCUUUCUGAUUCUUUGUCUUCUGUAAUUGUUUCUUCAUUUGCUCCCGCUACUCAGAUCCAAAGAAUAAGUUCUCAGGACCCACUUCUUCAAAUACAUGAUAAGUUCCAAAGACUGAAAGCUUUAAAAUUCAUAUAUGUCAAUCAUACCUCUUCCACUAGUUCUAUAAGUGUAACAUCUGAUUUCUCACAUUUGCUCUUCAUGAAUGCAUUUUCUUUCUCCAGUUCCUUUAUCGAUUUUGCCAUCUACUUUUACAUACAAAAAACGGAAAUAGUCAUUAACUUCUACAUAAUUCAUAAUAAAACCCAAUUCUUUACUUCUUUUUUCUAAGUACCCGUUUUCCAGCACUCGGGUCCAAUGCAUAUUUGGACAUGAGUAAGGAGAUAUGAUCCUCCACGAACCCUCCAAACAUAAGAAAAUCUUCAAAAAUAUUGAAGAUACCCAUAUCAUACACCCUGCCCAUGUCUGACAGGCCCAAGUGACCAGCUAUCAUUAAAUGGAGCAACAGGAAAAUUUGAAAUGUAGCGCAUUGAGGGAAAUGACUCUCAAAGAUUAAGGCACGUGUACCUUCUCAAUCUCUUGCUUAAAUGUUUCAAAGACCUCGUUGCUCUUAAACAAUGCAUCCUGCAAAUCACAAAGAUAAUGAGAUAGGUACGAUUAUCCUUCAAGCAACACUGGAAAUACUAAUCUGGCUUCGGUAUUGCGGCCUCUAGACAGUUAAUAUGCAGAGAAUGUCUGAUAAAUGCAUUCAACGGUGAGGUUGAAGCACUUCCAAAGCAAAACACCUCAAACAUAAAGACGGUUGGUUUAUCCCUUAGUCACUCGAGAAAGGUAUCAAAAAAGCAUUCCCCAACUGUUCUGUAGAUAAUAGCACUUCAAACGUCCACAACUUUUUCCAUCAUCAAUGGCACUUAGAUUGUAGCCUUCUACUAAAUUAUUAUGCCAUAAUUUUGGCAUUACAUAGGCGAGAAUGAAAGGUUCCAAACUAUCAAAAUACAUGAAAAUGCUUAGAAAAAUAUAAGAGAUCCGUGUCGGACAUAUACUUAUAUCCAACACUUAGUUACAUCCGAGUACAAGAACAUAGUCAAUUACCGUAAAAAAGUAGGAGAAUAAGUCCUCUGAACUGAUGGAUUAUCCAUCAAGCCAUCCAAUACAAAGGACUCAAGCACUCGGAACAGAAUAUUAUAUUCAUCAACCUAAAAGAGAACAAAUGCCAACAAAACCAAUACAAUAAAUGACACAGGAAGAGUCGAACCUGAAACUGUUGGAAUUUUUCUCCAUCAGCCGUCAAUUGCAAGCGUAAAUUCUUUUCAGUAGCCAAUAACUGCAACACUUGUUCUGAGUAUACUUUCAUCUGCACUUGUUCGUCGACCAAUUUCUCUUCAUGUUGUUUAAUUUUCAGAUUGGCAAGUUGCAGUUCUAGUGUUUUCUGCUUAAGCUGUAUCAAAAAUCCAAAACAGCGAAAGUAAGUUCAGUCCUCGACAAUGGGAACCAAUUAUUAUUUCGAGAGAGAAUUCCUUAGAUAUACCAGGAAAUCUGAAUCUAUACCUUCUGUGCAUAUUGCUGUUCAGCGAGGGCACAUUGAUCAGCAAACUCCUUCAACUUAUUUCUUAACCUAUACAUUAAGAAUUCCAAAAUUUCAAUUAAUUAUGAAGAACAAGCACUAAAACAAUAUAGGUGAGGAUGAUGCUUUAAAUUCUAUGAAAUUUUACUCAAAAUAUCCAACAUAUCGGGAACUACUAAUGUAAGAAAGAUCAAAAGCCCAAAUUAAAGAUUCUAACUUGGAAAUUUUCAAAAAUUCGGAAUGCAGGAUAGAUGCAACAUGGUCAUUCAAAUAACUUUCAGAGUUUGCUUUGUAGAGUGGAUAGAAAAUUGGAGAACAAAAGUGAAAAGAUGGAAAAUACUUUUUUUUUUUCAACAGUGUGCUUUGAAGGAAACUAUGUUGCUUCAACUCUUCAUUUUUCUUAAAGCACCCAUGUCCGAUGCAUAUCAGAACAUGGAUAUGAAAAUAAUGUCUUACAAUGGUCCUCCAAAUGCAUGAAAAGAAAAAUAAAAGACAAGGGAAUAUAACCAAGUUCAAAUCACUCCCAAGUUCGAGUAAAUAUAGGUAGGAAAUAUGGAAAAGUUGAGAGAAAAAAAAAAGUUCUCCUCCAUACAUGGCUUGGUAAAGAAAAACAAAAUUUAUAUUUAACCUUUGUAAGGUGAGAUGAAAAGGUUAAAUAUCGACAAUCCUGUAAUGUGCAACAUGAUUUGCAUCUCUUCAUUUUCUCUUUUCUUGUCAAUUUAGAGUGAUUUGUUUCAGUGAACAAGCAUGGAGAAAAUCAUCUUUCCUAUUGCUCUCAUCUCACUUUUCUCUCCUAUCAAACACACCUAACAUUUAGUUUUCUUUCUGCUAUUCCACCCUCCUCUAUCCAUCCUUCCAAUUUUCCACCCUACCAAAAACACAAGCACAUCCUUGGUGUAUUUAGAUGUUACCAAUCACGAAGAAAAAAUGCUAUGUUACUUAGACUCAUGUACGUACAAGUGUUGGAUACGUGUACGUGUCCAGCACAAGUAUGUUCAAUUUUUCUAAGCAUUUCAUGUGUUAUUUGGAGAGUCUUCGGAGAGUCAUAUCUCCAUUCCCAUGUCAAAAAAAGGUGUCAAACACCAGUACCUAAAAAAAACUCAAAGAGUCUGAGCAACAUAGGAAAAACAUAUAAGAUGUAGACAAGCAUUUCCAGGCUCUUACAUCUCAUUCUCCUUCAGUUGAGAUAAACAUUCAUCCUUCUGCUCUUCCAGCUUAUUGCUCACGUCCUAAAAAAAAUCAAAAACAAAACCCUUAAGAAAUUACUCAUAAAAUAUGUUAAAAUGGGGAAAAAGAACUAAAGUUAGACUACUAAAAUAAGGUUUCUCAGGAUGUUAUACAGAUGUUGAGGAAAUAUUUACAUUUCCUUUCAUGCUAAAACUGAAGAGUCAGGAAGAAAACACAGAUACACGUACAAGCACACAAAAUCACAGAAAGAGAGACUUGAAAGAGCUGAAAUAUCAUAAUUCUAUAGUGAUAUGCUAAAAUGGAAUCAUUGUGAAGUAUUCAUCCAACAAUAGAUGAAGUUCCAACUCUUGCUUCAACUAAUAGAUGACUUUUCAAAUUUCCAUUUCUCUAGCUUUUGGCAUAUCAACUCCAUUGAUCUAUGCUACAUGUAUGUGGUAUGCGCCUUGGCAUAGGAUCUAGUCACAGGUCUAAACGAGAAAGAAUUCUUGCUUCGACCUAUGGUUAUUCAAAAGGCAGAUUCGUCCUUGACAGAACCCCCUCUCAAAAUAAUGUUUCUUUUUUAUAGAAUAAUUGCUUGCCUCUUUAUUUCAUAUUGGCAGUCUUUUAUAGGAGGUUAAUGACAAAGGAAAGAGUAUUAAUUGACAUAAAAUAGAAUUCCUAACUUAGAGUUUAUGAAGGAAACAAAAAUCUAAUAUAAUAGAGAAAAUAAGUAAAACUAAAACUCUUAAUAAAACCUGAUAUAAUAAAUAAAUAAAACUAAAAUUCCUAUUGCAAUAAAAGUGUCCAUAUCAUUACUCCCCUCCUCGGAGUUGAGCUUAUCCUCAAGCUCAAAUUCAGAAUGAACUUCAGAACUUAUCCAAAAUCAUCUAUCUCAUCAUCAUCUUGCUUGCCUUCAACAUCUGGUACUUCUAUCCAAAAUAACCUUUUACAUUUGUGUUCCAUGGAAUAAGACUCGUCACAGUUAUAACACAUCCCUUUAGCCCUUCUUUCCGCCAUUUCUGUCUGUGUCAAUCUCUUAAUAAAUGGUGCAGAAGAACUUAUUUUGUCGUUGUUCCCUAUUGGUUCUGUUGUUUGUCCCCCUCCCUUUGCAAUGCUCUUAGUUGUUGGAAUGAUUGAAUUGCUGCCAAUGUUUUGGGAAGUUGGCCAAUUCAGGAUGGCUCGAGAUGACAAUUUGGAAGAGACAUUUUGUUUACAUUCCAAUGUUCGAGCCAUAUUCAUUGCAACUCCAAGGUUUUCCGGUUGUUUCAUCUCAAUAUCAAUUCUAAGUUCCUCUAUCAACCCGGCAGUAAAGAGGUUUACUUGUUGUCGAGGUUUAAGAUCAGUAGUCCCAGCCAAUAUUGAUUGAAAUUGGCGUUGAUAUUCCUCUACAGUCCCAGGUUGUUUCAAGUUGGCAAGUUCUCCCAAGGGAUUAUUACUCAUAGGUGGUCCAAACCUUACAUGACAACACUCUUUGAAACGCCCCCAAUCAAGAUUUGCCUCCUCUUCUUCCAUUUGAUCAAACCACAAUUGUGCCUCUCCUAAAAAAUGGAAUGAUGCUAAGCUUACUUUGUCUUCUUCGUUAGUUCGUUGAUUGCCAAAAAAUAUUUUGCAUAUUUUCAACCACCCUAAAGGAUUUCCAACACCAUCAUAAGUGGGAAAUUCCAUCUUAGAGUAUCGUGGCACCAUGCACCCACCGUGUUGCAAGUCUAAAUUCCUUGUCCUACCUCCGCUACUACCCUGUUCUUCAUUAUUCUUCUCUGAAUCUCCUUUUGUUAUCUUUUGGACCGAAAGAGAUAAUAUUGCCACCUGCUCCUCUAAUGCUUGUUGCCUUGUAGCCAUUUGUUCCAUGAAAGCCUUCAGCUUGGCUGUCAAAGUCUUUUCGUCACCCAUGACAGCUGGCUCAGAUACCAAGUUGGUAUGCGCUUUAGCGUAGGAUCUAGUGUCACGGACUUGGAGUUUUCCCACACAUCCGUGCGGCCUUAGGCAGUUUCUUGGCUUAAAAACGCCUAAGUCAGCCUAACUUCCACCGAUAAUGGAUUCAACCGUAAAAACGCCUAAGUCAGCUCAACUCGCAACAAUAAAGGAUUCAACAGAAUUCCCUUAAAGUUUUCACGAAGAACAGCGGAAGAACGAAUUAAGAACGAUCUUUGAAAGAUGAACAAAAGCAAGAACGCUUGAGAGAAAAGUUUGAAUAAAUGCUCUCAAUUCUUAUUCACAAAGAAUAAUGAAACAAUUCAGGAGUGAGUACAAAUGAGGGGGAGGCUCUCUAUUUAUAGUUGAGCUCCCCCAAAACCGAUGGCUACAAUUAAAAGCUGUAUUCAAUUAGGACUCUAACUUUACAGAAUUAGAAGUUGUGUACAAUUAGAACUUCUAAGACUACUUAGUCCUAUCUUCAUUAUCGGGCCCAUCAGGCUUCAAUGUGACAGGCCUGUCCAACAGCUCUUUGAAUCGGGCCAGUUUUCGUAGGCCAAAUGAUCCCUAUCUGAGCAACAGACCUCCAUUGGAUGCAUUUGGUGCGCUUGUCACGGGCUUUGAACUGCGGUCCGUGACAUUCUCCCCCACCCAUUCUCGCAACGCCCUCGUUGCGACUUCUGAAUGGCACUAACUUGAUUCGCCUCGGUCUCGUCUCGUCGCCUUAGCCUUUCCCUUUCUUUGGGAUUCUUGCCUCGGCUUCUGUCGCUUCUUAACUCGAGCCGUCCUGCUCGUCGCAUUUACUCUGGUCAACUGUCCCACAUGCAUCGUUUCUUUUCCUUUAAAGUCUGAUGCACCACCUACCUUUCCCAUAGGUGGAAGCCUUGUCGAUGACUCGGCUAACUCUGAUACUUCACUCAACUUGAGCCUCAUUGGUCCCAGCUUCACUGUUUUCAUCGCAACUUUAUCUGCUAAGUUAGAUGACAAACUCACCUCUUCCUUGGGUGGAAGCCCCUUCGACGACUCACCAAGCUCAGACGUUGCGUUUCUUUCGACUUCGGCUUGCUUUGGACAGUUCCGCAACUCAUGCGGACCACGGCACAAGAAGCACUUAACUUGCUUCUUUUUGCUCCUCUUUGCCCUCUUGGCUUCGGCUUUUCCCUUGCUCGAACCAAGCUUCUUAGGCUCAUUGUCUGCUCCAUCGUUCCCCUCGAUGACAGACUUCUUCGGACACUUCCGCAACCUAUGCGGACCAUGACACAAGAAGCACUCCACUGGCUUCUUCUCGCUUUCGGCCUCCUUGGCUUCGACACCCCUUGCGCUCGAACCAAGUACCAAGGCCUUACCCACCAGCUUCUCCUUAAGCACGGAUUUCUUCAAACAUUUCUUCAACAUGUGUAGACCGUCGCAGAGAAAGCAUUUUAGCUUGUCCCUUUUCCUCUUGGGUUUCGUCUUCCCAACUCGUGGUUUCCCAUUACCACCAUUGUCGCCGUUUUCAUUGCCAUUAACUCUAUCUUCCUUGUGAUCCAUUUCACAUACGCCCCUUCCAUCGGACUUGGAAGACCCAAGCUUGUCUUUCCCUAGACCAAGCUUCACCACGGACUCAACUACCGCCAUGGCUUCCGACAGUUUUUGGACACCUCUUUGUUCCACCUCCUGUCUGACCCACGGCUUCAAUCCCUUUUGAAAAGCAAGCAAUGCUUCUUCAUCGGUCACAUCUGAAAUUUAGAGCAUGAGUUCCUUGAACUCUUGAACAUACUCCCUCACUGUGCCCCGUUGCAUUAUCUCUUGCAACUUUGCCCGAGCUUCUUCCUCGGCAAAUUCUGGGUAAAACUGUCCCUUCAACUCGCAUUGGAACUCUUGCCACGUCCCAAUCUCACCUUGCCUUUUAUCUGUGGUCCUACCUCGCCACCAUAAAAGCGCAAUGCCAGUAAGAAACAUUGAAGCAGUGUUUACCUUAACUGCAUCCUCCAUGAUGCCUUUGGCACGGAAGUAGUUUUCCAUCCUCCACAAGAAAUUGUCCACAUCACAUGCAGACCUUGUCCCCACAAACUCUUUCGAUUUUGGGACAUCCUCAUUACUGAGUGCUGCAUUUGCCACUCCUUUCCCCACGGCUGCUUGACACAAGGACAGCUCUCCCUCGAGCUCCUCUAUUCUUGUGCUCAAAGCCUUCGUCGUGGCCAUUGUUUCCUCCUUCAAAGCCAUCAUCAUGGCCUCGAGAGCAUCAUUCCUUUCCGACAGCUUAUCCCUAUGUGAAUUAAACAACUCGUUUACCUUGUCCAUGGUGGAAUCAAGAGACAUCUUUACAUAGUCUCUGGACUGCUCCUCCAGUUUGUUAUGCGAUCCUCGACCCCAUCGAGUGCCUCCUUUACAUCCGCCAUGGAUCCCUCAAGUUUACCCACACGUUCCUCUACUGCCGAUAUUGUCUCCCUCAAAGACUUCCUCGCCCACCUUUGUUCAAACUCUUCUUUCGACAUCCCAACGGUGCCUUUGAACCAACAACUCGAAUAUUACUUGGUUCAAACAUUGGCUCGGAUACCACUUGUCACGGAAUUGGAGUUUUCCCACACAUCCGUGCGGCCUUAGGCAGUUUCUUGGCUUAAAAACGCCUAAGUCAGCCUAACUUCCACCGAUAAUGGAUUCAACCGUAAAAACGCCUAAGUCAGCUCAACUCGCAACAAUAAAGGAUUCAACAGAAUUCCCUUAAAGUUUUCACGAAGAACAGCGGAAGAACGAAUUAAGAACGAUCUUUAAAAGAUGAACAAAAGCAAGAACGCUUGAGAGAAAAGUUUGAGUAAAUGCUCUCAAUUCUUAUUCACAAAGAAUAAUGAAACAAUUCAGGAGUGAGUACAAAUGAGGGGGAGGCUCUCUAUUUAUAGUUGAGCUCCCCCAAAACCGAUGGCUACAAUUAAAAGCUGUAUUCAAUUAGGACUCUAACUUUACAGAAUUAGAAGCUGUAUACAAUUAGAACUUCUAAGACUACUUAGUCCUAUCUUCAUUAUCGAGCCCAUCAGGCUUCAAUGUGACAGGCCUGUCCAACAGCUCUUUGAAUCGGGCCAGUUCUCGUAGGCCACCUGCUCCUCUAAUGCUUGUUGCCUUGUAGCCAUUUGUUCCAUGAAAGCCUCCAGCUUGGCUGUCAAAGUCUUUUCGUCACCCAUGACAGCUGGCUCAGAUACCAAGUUGGUAUGCGCCUUGGCGUAGGAUCUAGUCAUAGGUCUAGACGAGAAAGAAUUCUUGCUUCAACCUAUGGUUACUCAAAAGGCAGAUUCGUCCUUGACUGAACCCCUUCUCAAAAUAACAUUUCUAUUUUAUAGAAUAGUUGCUUGCCUCUUUAUUUCAUAUUGGCAACCUUUUAUACACUGUUAAUAACAAAGGAAAGAGUCCUAAUUGACAUAAAACAUAAUUCCUAACUUAGAGUUUAUGAAGGAAACAAAAACCUAAUAUAAUAGAUAAAAUAAGUAAAACUAAAACUCUUAAUAAAACCUGAUAUAAUAAAUAAAUAAAACUAAAAUUCCUAUUGCAAUAAAAGCGUCCAUAUCAGUAUGUUAUUUAUUUAAGCCCAUGUUUCAGGAUCAAUCAUACUUAGUGAAAGAGUUGUAUCAUAAAUCUCCUCAUAGUUAUAUGCUAUCUAAAAUGUUGGACGAUAAAAUCAAGGAUGAGCUCUUAUAUAAGUCCGCCUACAUCAAAAUAUGGUCAUUAAACCUUGAUUGCAUCCUGGAACCUGGCUGAUAAAUCUAAUCUUAAGUUCUGUCCUUCGGUCGAUACCCGUUUGCAUUCGUCCUGCAAAAUCACAAACAAAUCAUCAGUGUUUUCAUAAAAAGAAAGUCAAACAAAUAGCUUGGAAGUUACAAAGCAGAAAUUUGUCAUGGAAGUUGAAGAUUUUAAAACAGAAAUGGUGAUCAAUGAUCUCUUUAAUAUAUCAAAAUGUAGAAUAGACAUUAUGAACAGUAAAAUAAAGGAAACGCGCUUUUCCCAUUCUGCAAAAUUGUUAUACAAAUACUAUAUAAAGUUUUAUCACUGCAAGUACUACUAUAAAAUUUGUAUGAACAACUUUACCAAGAAAGAGUAGUUGAGAAUUUUAAUUUAGUUCAUUUUAUAUCUGGUCAUGUGAAAUUGAAAAAAAAGAAUCACAACCCAUGAUUGUGCAAGGCUACAUCUUAAUUAUUCUUUAAGUACUGAUAUCCAAUGCACAUGGGCAUAGGUAGGAGGAUAUGAUCCUCCAAGGACCUUCCAAAGAUGGAAAAACUUGAAAAAGAAUCGAACACACCCAUGUAGAACAUGUACUCAUAUCCAAAACUAAGUGUUGGUUGUCAACAAUGGCCUUUACAAAACUAAAUACACUUCGUUUAGCCUAGCAUGAGGGUUCCUACGUUUCUAUAUUUUAGCAGAUUACUCUCACCCCCUCUCGAAAAUUUAUCUACAUGGUAUCUUUGAUGGCCUUUUCAAAAUUAAGUACACUUUCAUUUAACCUAGUAUGAGGGUUCCUACGUUUCUGCAUUUUAGCUGCUUACUCUACCACCCUCUCUCUGAAAUUUAGCAACAUGGUAUCUUUGAUGGCAGGGUAAAUGACCCAAACCAGAAAAGGGGAAGGAUAAGAAAAGGGGACAAAUUUGAAGGCUAAUCUGCAACAUGUAACAUUAUCCAAAGCCCAAAAAUACUAGGAACAAAGUGCAUCAAGAACAAAUACGAAAUGUCAAAUGUCAUUAAUCAAAAAUUGAUAAAAAAUCCAAAGAAAAGCAUACCAUGAACAUUUUGUUUUGACGUUGUAACUCCCUACAAAGUGAUUCAAGUUUAUCUCGAACAGCAAUAGCUACAGACAAAGGCAAAGCAAAAGGGAAGAAACAAAAAUUAAUCUGCCAUGAAGCUAAAGAUAACAUUCACCUAUAGCUUCAAAGUUCAGCUGGUCAAAGUUUUCAAGGAAAAGCUACAUUGCUAGGACUAUGGUUUGAGUGUCGGAAAUGGAUAUGUUCCAUUUUUUUCAAGAUUUUCAUGUAUUUAGAGGAUCCUUGGAGGAUCAUAUUCCCAUACCCAUGUGGCCAUGUCCUAGUAUGGGCUGGACACGAACUUCAAACAUAGGUACUUCAAGAAAAACAAAGUGUUGAAACAACCUAGAGGAAAAGAACAAACAAGGAGAGAGAAGUCAAAGACUUUUCUCUUCAAUACCACAAAAGAAAAGAAGAACCUCUGUAACACUUAACUGCAAAACAACUCAUACAAUAAUAACUCUUUCCAAGAGACAACGUUAGGUUAAAAUUUAUUUGUUUAAGUCAGCACUAUAGUAAGCUAGAUGGUUAUAAUCUUUUGAGAGAAAUCAUAACAGUUAUCACCAACCUCAUUCCAUGGCAAACCGAAGUGACCAAAUGAACCAACUGAUUUUCAAUUUCUUCAUUGGAUAUAUGAAUCUUAACUUAUUCAUUCUUCAAGUUUCUGACACCUAACAUGCAGAAACUGCAUGUGUCUGGCCUGUAGCCUACAUCACUCCAACUCUUCAUUUUGGUUGAAGUAACUAUAUCUAAAACUCAUGUCCACAUGGAUAUGGAGAUAUGACCUCCAAGGAUCCUCAUACAAAUGGAAAAAUCUGACCAUACCUGUGUUGGACACAUAUCCAUAUCCAAGACUCAUAAGGCUAUAGCACUAGGCAGAAACUAGUAUCCGAUCUAAAAGUGUUAGGUAAAACUUGAAAGAGUCUUAGGCAAUUAGGCGAAUGUGUUCAUAGCAAUAAAUGACAAAGACUUUAUGGACAUCAUAAAUGUUAUUUCAACUUACCUGCAUCUCUUUCUGCAAGAAUUUGUUGAUAUUUCAAAGAGAAUUCAAGGAAUUCCUUUUCAGAUUUGAAUGUACGUUUUGCAUUCUUGCAUUUUGUUCCGGUGGUUUCCUGAGGAAUAAACAGCACAAUUAAGACUAGUGAAAAUAACCUCUGAAUAAACCAAACAUAACUCAGUGAACAGACUAUCACAUUCUUGAAACCAAAGCAACUUAGUAUAGUUAUAAACUAUCAAUGUUGCAACUCAGGAGCUUAUCCAACAUAAAAAAGCAAUUAAAAAAGAAUGGAGAUAUCUAGAAACACUUUGUGAAAUAGACUACCAUAGUGAAACAUUCAAAUUCCUAAAACCCAUUAUCUUAUUGUAAUCCUUAUGAACUGCUAUAAGGAUUAUAAUCCAGACAAGACAUACUAACUAAUCAGGCAUUAUUCUCAGUAUAGCAAGGAGACAAAAUAUGCUUUCCACAUAAAUAAGCAAUAAAUACCAUUACUCAAGUCAAUGCGCAUACCAAACUAUACAAAAGCAUAAGAAUUUGCAAGAACUUAGUAAUGCACUAUGAUAUACUAACUGGUUUUUUAUCUUUCAGCGUAUUGACACUUUCUGAUGAAAAUGUUUCUUUCAAAGGAGUCAAAGUUGCUUCUGAUACACCUUCAACUGCUGCAAAAAUCAACCGAUGAGCACUGAAAGAGGGGGAGGAGAAUCUACCUAAGUUUCAUUUAUGGAAAGACAAAAUUUCAUAAACAAAUUGAAAUUUCAGAAAAUUUACAUCUUUCUAUACUUUGAUACUCCCCUUCAAGAGCAACUUUCACCUCAGUGCAUUCUAAUUUACCAUCUACAGAGCCCAAAGAACCAUUAAAACUGUCCCCUUCAGACAAUGGAACUGGAAAUGUUAUUUGCUUUUGGCCCUUGCCUGCUCCAAACUCGGUGGAAACUAAAUCCUCUUCUUUAUAAUCAGAUUGCAAAGGCUUUUCUUGUUCCAAAAUUGGAGUUUUUGGAGGCAAUGAAUCUGGAGGACUCUCAACAAAGCCAUCUGGUAAUGAAUCCACCUCAGGAAGAUGAUUUGCUUCUGGGUUUUCCAUUUUCUACCCAAAAAAAUGAAAAGUCACUUGAUAAGCAAAAAUAAAGAAAACUCAGAUCAUAAUGAAUCUGGGUUUUCAUUAUAAAAAGCUGAAAGCUCCAUCUUUAUUUUAUUUGCCGAUGAUUUUUAAGAUUUGAACUUUUAAAACACCAAUGAAACAACAAAUAAAUAAAAUACAGUAACAAGGAAGGGAUGAAAUAAAAGGGAGAAUACCAGAGAUGAAGAAGAUGCUAAAACCCUUCUAAAGCGUUGCCGUUUUAAUGAAAUUUGCCUUUCUUCGUUCUCUGUUCCUUUUAUCUCUCUUUUUCUUUUUUUCGUGUCUUAACUCUUAAAAGUGGAUUGUAAGAAGCUGCAAAAAUUAUCUGAUUUUAUUCACUUUCAAUUUAAGUAAUAAUUAAAUAUAUUUAUUAUGAUAUUCUAUUUAUAAAUUAAAAAAUCGUAACUAUUUGAUUUUAAUUAGUAUUAAUAUUUUUAUAAGGUGAAAUUAUAUUUUUAUUUUUAAAUUAGAAAAAGAAUGAAACGUUAAAAAAAUAUGUAUUUCUCAAGUUCAAAAUUUUAACUCUAACUAAGAUUUGAUUUUAGUUCAUUCAAUCUUUCAAAAAAAUAUUCAAAAUAGUAAAUUUUCUCAAAUAACUAACCAAGCUUUUAAUUGAAAAUAGCUAAAAUACUUCAAUCAAAUAAACAUGAACACAAUUCUCCCUUUACAGCAUCCGCUUUUUCGUUAUUUAUUUAGCCAAAUUAUGCUCUCUGUAUUUUAACCAAGUUUAAAAUGUUUUAUUUAAAAAGUUAAUUCAAUAUUUUACAUUAUUAAUAUUUUUCUUAAAUUUUGUUCUUCAUCAACUAUACAUAAUAGAUUCACAAUAACUACAUGAUACAAAUUUUGACAAAAAAACACAAAUGAUGGACUAUUUUUUAAAAAUAAGAUGAAUUAAAAUUUUCAAGAAUUAAAAUUAAGCUUCAUUUUCAUAUAAGACUAAAUCAUAAACUUCAUUUAAGUUUAAGCAAUGGUGAGAUUUACCUACACUUGAACACUUUCAUAAUUCUUUUCUUUUUUAUUUUUUAUCCUUAAUAGUUCACAUACAUGUCAAUUGUAAAAAACUUUCAAUUUUCAUAAUUUCGUAAUAUGUUUUGGAAAAAGAGGUGUUUGCUUGUUAAAAUAUCUGAAGCGAAAAAAGCGUUAACUAAGGAGCUGAAUGAUUUCCUUAUAAAUCUUCAUAAGACACUCAUCAAUGAAUUCCAUGAGCUCUUCUCCAAAAGGAAAUCCAUUUGGGCUCUAAAAUCUAGAGUUAAUCGGAUUAUCGAAUGAGAGUGUAAAACGAAAUUCUUCCAUCUAUCUACCAUGAUCAAGAGAAAUUUCAAUAAAAUUAUGAGUCCCUUUUAUGCGAACGAUAGGUGGAUCACGAUGAGAACAAAUAUUGAAGCCUUAGCUCAAGAGUACUUCUCCAAAUUGUUCUCAACAUUUGAGGAAUUCUCUGCUGUCUCAUCUAGAGGUGCCGAACUUACCUAGCCCUGUUUCUCAAAGUUCAAAUCAUAAUCUUUUUUAUUAGAAGUUUCGUGUGUUGAUAUAGCCAAGGUAAUUUGGUCCUUCAAACCUUCUAAAGCCCUCGAGCCAAAUGGUCUUCACCCUUUCUUCUACCAGAAAUGUUGAGCUCAAGUGAAGCAUGAAGUUAUCAUGUUGGUCUCAAAGGUUUUCUAGAGUUUGUCUAAUCCCACAACCCUAAAUGAGAAUCUAAUAACCCUUAUUCUAAAGUCUAUAGAGGCUUUCUCUAUCUCCUAGUUUUGACUGAUUAGUCUAUGUAAUACAGUCUAUAACUGUCACAACCAAUUCCCCUAGGAACCCGAAUUUAAAGAUAAGUUCGGGAGCAAAUUGGAAGAAAAAGGGAAGUUGAGGAUCUAAAUAAGUUGUUUUAAAACUUGAGUGGCUGGUUGGCAGAUGACUAAGCUCUAACCUUGCUUUAGUUAGGUUGGAAUCGGCUGGUUCCAUAGUGGGAGACAUAAUAAUUAGGAUUUAGCAUAGACAAAUGUUUGUGGAAACCGUGCCAGUGGUAUAUAUAUAUGAGUGCGUAUGAACAGAACACCUCUCAAUUCUGCUUCUCGAAUCUUAUUCUCUAAGCAUCGUAUUCUUCACUAUUCCUGAAGAAUAAGAGAUUAUGGAUGGAAAAAGUUUUUCAUGUUGCAACUAUCACGUAGAUUUGAGUCUAGAAGUCAGAAAAAGGGGAAUUGGUAAGUUUCCUUACCUUGUGGGUGGUAGAAAUGUAGAGUAAGGAUCCAUUAAGCUUUGGUAUAAAUAUAAAUUUUGGGUUUUUCUAAAACGCGAAUCUUCUCAAAAUUAACCGAUAAAGGGUUAUUAUGCCUAUCUACCAGGGUGAAGGAAGCUUCGUCGUUCGUACAACCUAAGUUGUCAGGAAUAAAAAAGCAAUGUGAGUUUCUGUGCCACAUAUUUGAAUCAAUGAAAGAUAUUUAUUGAUUAUGUAUGCUAUAAAUGUGUAAAACUUGCAUAAAGUAGACAAGAUUAAAUGUUUUAGGAAAUGGUAUAGUUAAUGUUGACAUGUAAGUGAAUUGUAUGUAUCACCUAGUUUAGAAAAUGAAAAGUAUUGAUGGGAAUAAAAUAAGAUAGGAAUGGGAAAUGAGAUAAUUCUGUUAGAUACUGCCAUAUGGUCUUGCUGAGUGCAAACUGUGAUGAGCAAAGCUCUGAGCCUUACAGAAGAGACACUGCGAUGUUUGAGCAUCAAGGUUAGAGACGGUGAAAUGGAGGAAUUGAAUGGGAAAAGUAAAGAUCAUGGCGAGGUCAUGCUACUGAUUAGAGGCUAUACGCCUAAAAUGAGUAAGACCAUAGUUGAACGAUGUUAUGGCAUCAUGACGAAAAUGAGUAAGACCAUGGCUGAAGGACGUCAUGGCAUCAUGGUAAAUAAGAUUAAAACCAUAGCUGAAAGAUGCUAUGGCAUCCUUUGAUAGUCCACUGGGACAAGAAACAUGAUGUUAUAUUGAGCAAGACCAUAGAAGAAAGAUGUUAUGGCAUCAAGAGAUGAGUUGACGGCAAGAAUGAGUAAGACCAUGGUUGAAAGAUACUAUGGCAUCACGAAUAGUCCGUUAAGACACUAAACACGGGGAAGUUCGCUUAUAAGUUAGACAAGAAAAGUCCGUCGGGACACUAAACACGAAAAAUUCGACCAGGACACUAAACAAAGGACAUACGGUGUAAGUUCAUAGCCAGGUUAUGGCAUUGUGUAGAGCAUCCUCAAGGAAAAAAUACUCGAGGCUAUUUGUUUGAACAAGUUGCUUGUAAAGGAGGAGUGAGAAAACCAUAACUCGGUUAUGGUUUUAUCAAGACUCAAUAAGGUAAAAUGGAUUCGGAAGUCUAUAUAGAGAAUAUUUUUAACCCGAUGUGGGAGGAUUGGUAAGGAUUGCCAAGAAAAGUAAACUCUAAGGCCAGCUGAGCCAAGGGAUGCUCUUGUUCAAAGAGUAGGAAAUUGGGGAGGUUCUGUGGACAUAAAAGGAAAUUAGAGGCUGUUAUGUCCACUACGGUUAUACGGGGUUUAAACUCCUGAGACGACAUAAAGAGGAGCCUACAAAAGACUAUUCUAGGUAAAAUAAUUUACCAGGAAUAAGGGAGGAAAUGAACUUAGAACUCGAGGAAAUAAAGACCAAAUGACCAAUAAUUGGUAUAGCACUUUCUAAUUAAGGUUUUGAGGGAAAGAACUUCUGUUGAGGUAUAUUUAGGUCCGUACUCUUGGAUGACUACCACUCUAAAAAAAAUGGGCUUGAUAUUUAGUUGGAGUAGAAGUCAGCCAGCUAUUAGUGUGAGGGCAAAGGCUUCAUUGAUAUAAUCUGCCAAAUGUCGAAAUUUAUUAAGGACUACACAAUUUCCUUUAAAACCCUCAAUCCUUUAGUUGGAAUUUUUUAUUUGACAGCUUCACAGAAUCUUAAUAAGUUCAUUGGACUUAUUAAUAAUCUGCUUGAUUGCAGAAUAAAGUUAACAAGAAAAAUUGAACAAAGGGCUGAGCCAGACUUCACCAUCAUGAGAAAUGGGGGAAGAAAUCAUAACAUGCGUAUAGAAGGGAACUUCCAGAUACUACAACUCGAAGUUUAGCCUAGGAACAAAUUAUUUGAGUUGUACAACUAAAUUCAUAAAUAGAAUUACCAGUGGGAGAAUUUUUAAAUAAUAUAUGUUUUAGUUUAGAUUAGUGUGUGCAAUUGAUUGGAUUUAGUUUGUUAUUUAGAAUUUGUAUCAUCUGGAUCCCAAUUUCGAUGAGUCAGUCAGGAGUCAGGUGUUAAAAAUUUAGUGGUAUCAAAGCCUAGUUUCAGUCGAUCGUCUAGACAUAGGAAGGUUAGAUUUAAUUCUAUAAGCGCGUCACGAUCAAGUCUAGCUAAGUCCUGAGGUCAUUAUAUAAGACUACUGAGUAAUAAGGGAGUGAAUGCAAUUGUAUGGAUUAUGAAGGCCAAUAUUGGGUAUAACAAAGCCUAGGAAAAGAAUAAGAGGCAAGGCACGAAAGACAAAGAGAGAAAGUAAAAGAAAUAAAAUUGACAUUGAAAACCUCAAAAAAACAGUUAUAAAACAGGUUAACCCUUCAGUUAUUCUCUAGAGCGGACUCUCCUGGAGAAUCAAUGUUCAAUCUCUCAGAAUCCCUCCAUUCCCUCUAAAAUUCCUUUCAGUUUGAUCCCGAAGGGCUGUAGAUAUUAAAGCCAAUGUUAGUAUUGGUAAACUGGUGAAGGCAACCAAAGUCUACUUAACUUAGGUUAAAGGGACCUGCAGUGACCUGCCCAUGCAGUAUCAAAUUAGCCCUUGGUCUAGGCAGAAAAUUUUGAAUGCCCUGUUAGGUAUCUACCUUAUACUUCGUUAAUUCCUCAUCAUUCUCUUUCUAGAUGCGCUCCAUAUUGGUGAGGUAUUUAUGCUCAUAGGACUCCAAUUAGUGGACCCUUUCAUCUAACUUCCUUACUCUGACCUUUAAGGAUUCGUACUUGGUCUCCUAGACAGAGACGGAUUUAGCCAGCUUGGCAACCUGUUAGACAAAAGCCUCAUGACUGGUGGAGCAGGACAAAAGAUUUUUUGCUUUUGAAAAGGGCCUUUUCUGACUUGGCCUGCUUGGAUUCAAUUUCGACACAAGCUUGUAAUAGAGCCUUGUUCACGAGGGUAUUCUCUACUGACAAUAUGGAACAAGAACCCACCAACUCGUUGAGAGUGAGCUUGUAGAUGCCAGAGGAAGAAAAUGAAGGUAGGCUAACUCCUUCAAUUUUGGGGUAGCUCCUAGUCUUGGCGUUGUAAAACAACAAAAAGGAGAAAAAAGGAUACCGACUCGCAUGGAGAUGAUUUCACCAAGGGAAGAAGGUUUGGACUACCCUUAAAGAGAGAGUAUAAGUAAUGGCUCUAAUAAGAGAAGGGUGGGGAACUAAAGUGUUAACGAGCGGGUCUACGGCAUGGGCGAACUCAACCCGAGACUUGAAGGGAACCAAAGGUAGGGGAAAAAAUGUACUAGAGAAAUUAUUGGCGAAAAUGUUGUAGUGGGUACUGACGGAGGAGCGGGGUAGUCAUCCUCCAAAAAGACCGGUUGUUUGCCAAGUUAUUGAUGAGGUGACUUGAUGCCACUACUCCCUAUGACACUAACCCCCUUUCUACUCUCGGUCUUUUAUGACUUCUAGGACCAAAUCGUGCACUUGAAGUAACCAAAUCCAUUGAUUGUUGUGCACUUUCAAAUAAGGCCUCAAUAUCUAUGACUCUUAGAUGAAACAGGAGAGAUGAGAGUGAGAGCUGAGUAAGACCUACAAGGGGAAUAGCAAGGUCAACAACAUUUUCAAUUAAUUCCUUACUUAAAGGCUCACGCUUAGACCCUAUUGGGAAGGUAAGCCAGUGUCGGGGUGGAAUAUUGCACACGGUAUAGAAAAAUCAAUGAGCUCCCUCCGUUUUCCUACCAAAUCCCAAGCCAAAUUGCUAUUAGCCCUAAAUGGCCAUGCCUCUUUGGCUGAUUGAACGAUGCUAAGGUCCAUGCUAAGAUAGCAAUUGGAUGCACACCAACCGUUUGGGCUUCUUCCCUCCAAGCAGUAAUGAAAAAUGUUCCUAAGAGUAAGGAGCUUUCUUAAUUCUAGAACUCACCUUAAACUUAGCCUAUCGAUUUGUGCUAUAACAAUCUCUAUGUCUAAAGGCUAAAAGUAGCCAUAAAUAGAUUCGAUGGGAAUAUACCACUUUUGGAAAAGUCAAAACCUUUGGGAAAUCUAUUUCUCACUAAGAUAAACUUACUACAGCCUAGAUAAAUGUCUAGGGCCCAAUCCUUAAGUAAAGGCUCACGACCCUGGAAAAUGCUAAAGUAGACCAUGCCAAUUGAAAGUCCUUACGUCAAAACCUUUAACUUGUAAAAACGCUGGAACACGCCAACAAGGGCAGCUUAUUACGACUACUACAGUGCAAGAAAUAUGCCAUUAAGGUCCACUAAAACAAACCGAAUAAUUGCCCUAGUGCGAUCUCAUACUCCUUAAACACACCACUAAAAAAAGGAUGUAAAAGGGAGAUGAAAGCUAGCUUCCAACAAAUAGAGGGGUAAGAGGAAGCCUUCAUUAGAAUCGCAUAAGCGUCUCUCCCUUAUCACGAUAUCAAAUUGAUAUGCGUAGUUGGGCAAAUGAAUACCACAGGCUGCCAGAAAGUUCAUCAUUUCCUCCUGAGUGGUGGAACACCUAUAUGGUGACAUUCUAAAUGUAGUGCUAGUUCCAAGGAGAUGGGAACCACCAUCAUUCUCGAUGACAGAAAUUUUUGAAUGAUCUCUCUAACUUUGAAGAUCAAAAUCCCUGGUUCGACCACUAAAUGAUGGUGCAAACUCGAACAUGAUAAUACGCAAUGAAAUUCAAGGAAAAGGGUGAGGAAGAAUUACUUGAGAAGUAAGAAAUACUUGUUGGAGGUAGGUAACCACGAGUAAGGGAGCAAAAAGGAUAAGGGAAGUAAAAAUAAACGAAUUAGGGUUUUUAAGAAGGAACUCAAAAAACAAGGAAAUUUUAGGGGAAGGGGGAGAUUGAUACUGUGUGAAAGGAUUUCCACGAUGUUUUAGUUUAAAUAGCCAAACGUUUAGAGGAAGAUUCGAUUGAAAAAUGGGUACUAAACUAUUCACAUCCUUGAACCCAUUCUUGGCACUUGUCGACUUGGAAAAGGGCAUCGUCAAUCCCUCGAGAAAGAAAAAAAACGGAAAACUUCACCUAAGUAAAUCAUGCAACGUGAAUCCGCCAGGAUAGUACAUGCCUAUACAGAAUUAGGUCAAUAACUGAUACCAUGGAAAAGUUCAUCCACAAACCAAACCUUUAAAUGUCCAGACACCUUAUUCCAAAUGCAUAACCUAACAUAACCAAUUUGACCAUUGAUCAAGCUUCAAACAUACCAAAUUUCAUAUUAACCCAAACAUACCAAAAUAACCAUUUGAAUGCAUCUAGAUAUCACUAUAUGCAUCCACCAUCACAACCAUAACCAAGUAAUUUACCAACAAGGAUUUACACCGACACAUUCACCAUAAUUAUAAGUGUACAACAUGUAACCAAAAUGCUUAUAAUUUACAUAACCAAAACCAUAUUUACAUGCCACUUAUAACCGAGACAAAAUUAACAAAUAACUACCGAAUGAAUUGACAGAUAGUGUGAUCUCCAACAACAUUCCAAUCGACAUAAAAAGUUCGACAAUCUUCAAAAAAAUAAACCAAAUAAAGUAAGAUUUCAAAUAAGCUUAGUAAGUUCAUAAAAUCAAAUAUAUCAUACUUGUCAAUUUAAAUAUAAAUCGUAUAUAACAAUGAAACUAAUAAUCCCUUUAUCGUAUUCCAUCAAUCCAACUACCAGAAAUAAUUAAACCUAGAUAAUUCAUAUCAUCACAACACAACAUCAAAUAAUCGUGUACCAAUAUAUAAAUCAUUACAUCAUCUUAUACCUUUUCCAUCAUAAUAGUUAACUAUUUUGCCUGGAGAACAAUAUUAAAUCAACUUUGGAUAUGAGAGAGGGUAAUUCUCAUACGAGCUAACAUAAGGACAUUAACUAAUACACGAUGCUGCUCACACAAGCUUUAGAGAAUCCGCAACACAUGCAAGACCUCAAGCCGUCGGUACAAUAUCCAUCACUGGUACAUAGUACCUACUAAAUAAAACACUAGUACAGAGUGCCUACUAAUAUAACACUAGCACGAAGCCUGCUAAAUAUACACCUGUACAAAGUCUGCUAUGCCCUAAUGACAUGUCAUUUGUAUGCUAGCUAUUCACUAGGUUCACACAGGCUUAUUUUGCUUUUCCGAGACAUUACAUACUCAACUUUAUCUUUCCGAAUCAUUAAUCAUCACAACAUUAAAUUUCAUAUUAUCAAACUUGUAAUAAGUUAAACAUAAACAAUGUAACAAAUGUCAUAUGAACUUACCAAAACACGAUAGCUAAUGACACGUGAUGACGAUUACUCGAUAACUUUUUCUUUCCCCCAUUUAUCAACAGACUGCUCUGUUUCUUGAUCUAAAUAUAAAAAUUUAAUUCAAUUAACCAAUUUAAACAUCUUAAAACACUUAAAUUCAUGCAAUUAACCCUUUAAUGAUAUUUUACACAUUUACCCUAAACUUUUACCUUUUCUUCAAUUUAUUCCCUAAAAUCAAAAUUCUCACAAUUAUCACAAAUUAGCCCCAAAACUCUUGUGCCGAAUUCUAUAGGGUCCCUAUACAACCCACUUUUACUACUAAAUUACAAGAAUGACAUGUUAUUUUACAAUUUUAACAACUUAGUCCUUAAACUUUAAGAUUAACUAAAAUCACUUUACAAAAUAAUCCUAUUUAACUAUCAAGCUAAAUAAUCUAUCAUAAAAAUUCAAGAACAACACAAAUUCAUCCAUGGUAAAAUUCUAAACACUAAAUAGUUUUACGAUUUGGUCCCUGGGUUAACUAGAUUAAGCUAUAACGAUGUCAAAAACAUAAAAAUCACUAAAAACAGAUUGAAAAACAUAUACCAUGCAUCAAGUUAAGCUUGAUCGAACUUCCAACUCAUAACAAUGGUGUUUUAUCCUCUUAAUUUUGGUGGUGAUGGUCUUUGGAAGAUGACAUGUUUUAAUUUCUUUUCAUUUUUACCAUAUUUACUAAAUUACCACUUUAACCUUUUAAUUUAACUAAAAUUUCCUAAUUAACAAGCCAUGACCGUCCACUUAUUUUAGUUAUGGUCUAAUUACCACAUAAAGACCUUAAUACAUGAUUUCAUAACCAUUUAAUAUAAUUAAAAUUAUGGCUAUUAACUUUUGUAGCUUUUACAAUUUAAUCCUUUUUACUUAAUUAACUAUUUAAACAUUAAAAUUUUCUAACCAAAAUUUAAUACAACAUUAUGAUAGACUCGUAAAUAUUAAAUAAAUAAAAUUUACUAACUCGUUGGUCAAAAUUAUGGUCUUGAAACCACUAUUUCCCACACCACUAAAAAAUAAGUUAUUAUAGAGUACAAAACUACAAGAUUAACCAAUAAAUGACUAAUGGUGGUAGGUUGAUUUUGAUAUGGUUCGCUGGUCUUCGAAUGAGGGACUUAAAUCACUUAAAUUUCUAGGUGGCUCAAUUUUAUCUCUCGAUCUCAAUUUUACCAACUUAGACAAAUUAAUCAGGUUUAUCUCUCGAUCUCUCCAGUUAAUCUGGGACUAAUGAAUUGGUGUACAACAAAAUUACCUCUCAGUAUCAAUUUUCUAGAUAUUCCCUUAGGAGCAUUAAUUCCUAAUUUUUUAGGCCUAUUCGAGUUAGUCCAAUUUAUUAUAAUUAAGUCCCUUGUCCAGAAAAUCAAUUACCUACAUCUCCAUCAACCAACCUUCUUUAAGCUUUAGCUACUCAUGUUGAAAAUAACGCUAAUGGACAUGAAACUGAAAAGUAAAAAAACCAUUAAGGUAAAGCUUAAGAAAAUAUAAAAGUUUAGAUUUUUUUUCAAAAAAACUUAAAGAACGUGAAACUAAAGGCAUUCAACAAGAAAAUCUAAAGCAAUAAACAUAAAAGGAAAAAAAUUUUAGCCAAUUUAAAGUAAAAGAAACUGAAAUACAUUAAAUUAAAACUAGAAGUGUCUUACAACCAAGGUACAGGGACUGAAAGUGCAAAUAAACUUAAGCUACCGUGAUAACUAACUUAAUUAACAUUAAAUGUCACACCCCAAGUCUGGAAAAUCCAAGGCUAAGGCGUGUAGUAGAGAAAUACUCUGUUUGGCGAAGUGUAAUCCAUCUAAUUUCUUCUUUUGGCGAAUGUGUGUGGACAUAUAGUAACCGCCAUGUAAAUAAGUGAAGAUUCUGUUUCAAAUUAUUCUUCUAUUUAAUGAGAAAGAUUUUGUUAAUAAAAAAGGUAAUUGUGGUUUGAGUUAUCACCAAAUGUAUAGUAUGCCCUCUUUGUCUUAGUAUUAUGCAGGUUGGGUUGUAAAGUGACCUAGUUAAGAACCAAUUGGAUUGACUGGUCCAAUAUCCAUUAUGUAGGAUUCUCAUUUAUGUUUCUCUUGGAAUAUGUAAGCCAUUAAGAAAGAAAAAUUUUGAAUUACGUGACACUUAUUGAGUUUCAAUAAGUAGGGUUGGGUUAUAUAUAUACAUGUGAGAAGGGUUUUAAGAAAGUCUCUUCUUUCUUUAAGAUAUUACUCUUUGAUUCUUUCUUCUCAAAUCUAAUUGAAUCUCUUCUCCAUUAUGCUAGAACCUAAAGUUCUUGGUUAAAAUCCGUGGCCAUUCCAUCUCCGAGUAAGUAUCACCAUUCUGCUUGUUAAGUUUUGAAAAAGUAAGUCUAUAUGAGGUAUAUGAAUAGUAAGUUGUUAGUACAAGGUUUUGCACGGGGGUUAUAAAUGGUUCAGCUGUUUAGUAAUUUGUAUAAAUGAGGGUUGUAAUAGUGGAUUUAUGUUCUUUAAGCAGCUGUUGCUACCAGUUGGAGAAGGAUUUCUAAGUUUGGAGCUUUGAGCUGUAGUAAGUGAGUAUCAGGUAAGUCUCUAUCUCGAUUCUACAUAUUUAUGAUAAUACUAGAAAGAACAUAUGUUUUCUCUCUACUUAUUGGUUAAUUUGUACCUAUUUAGUUAUCUUUAGCACAUAUUUUAGCAUUUUCAGUUCAGUCAAUUGCAUUUUAUAACCCAGUGGAUCUUAGCCUAUUUAUCAUUAAUUUUGUCAUGUUUUGGUACCAAUGUCGCUGCAUGAGUAUUUUUAGAUUGUGCCCAGAAUUGUCACCGCACCUGACAGCUGUACGGAUAAGAACAAAAAUGUAUGAAUUGUCACGUCUAGUAUAACCAACUUGUGUGUACAGAGGUAGCAUGAGUCUGAAAAAAAGAUACCUAUGCUAUUUUGGUUUAAAUAUUAAUAUUGACGUGAAAAAAGAAGGAGGGGGUAUCAUCUUCUUCAACCUAUCUUUUGAAGCUUUUUGGCUAUGGUGGCUUAAGUCUCCUACGGGUGAACCGACGUGAAAGAAAUGCAGAUCAGCUCCUAACGAAAAGCCCUGUGUGCAACACAAAAGGGAGUUGAGAGAUCAAGUUGAGAUUUUUUAGGAAUAGUAAUUUCCACUUGUUUAUUUUAUAUUUCUUUUCUAAACGAUGGUGAUUACUUUCUAUUUCAUGUUUAUAAGGAAGUAUACAUUAUUUCUGGGUUAAAUGUUAUUUUAUUCAAUCUUGCUUCUACUGUUUAAUCUUUGGGUUUGAAUUUUUUAGCAUGGAAGUUUUAUUGCAGUCACUGACACUGGAAAGUGCAACGACAGUUCAAGCUAACAAGCAUGACAACAAAAGUUGCUUAAGGAUUAGAGGAAUUUAAUCCACUUAUUCUUAAUAGUGUUCCAUUACCAGCAUCGGAAGGUGUGGCUAAUGUGCAUGUUUAAGUCUUAGACUAAAUAUAGAAGUUAAGUUUGGUAAGAUAUUCAUUGCAAUUUAAUGCAUCGAUAAUCACUUACCCUUUUAUACCUUAUGAGCACUUAGUAUUCUAUUGAAUAUUCAUGUUGGGGAUCCCAGUUUAUCAUUAUCAUAUUUUAUCUUAUUGUUUUCAAGUUAUUGCUUUGACAACUACUCUCACAAUUUAUCUCGUUGCCAUUUAUUUAUUGCACUAACAUUGAUAGACAAAAAACAACCAUCCUCGUGGGAUCAAUAUCCGGCAGACUCAUAUCUGUCUACUAUACUUGUAUCGACAAUGUACGCUUGCACAUUAUUGGUGUACGUUAAACAAUCGAUUAAGUUUUGGCGUCAUUGCCGGGGAUGACGUUUGUUUGAUGUUUAUUUUUUUUAUUUCAUAAUACUUAGUUGUUACUAAAUUGUUUUCUUUUUGUCACUAUUUUCACAUCUUAUUUUAGGUGUUGUAUGACGCAAAGUAAUUCGGAGUUUAUUGCUAAUUUUGAUCCAGAAAUUAAAAGAACCGUUCAGAGGAGAUUUGAGAACAAAGGAAUAUGGCUUUGCCAAGAAAUUAUGAAGUCAUACCCCCACUGCAGAACCAAAAUUCUAAUGACCCGCCAUUGCCGCAAGACGCUCAAAUACAAAACAGGACUAUACAAUAUUUUGUAGUACCUAUAUAAGAUGACUUACAACUCGGAGUUGUUAGGCUAGAAAUCCAAGCUGGAAAUUUUGAAAUCAAGCCAGUAAUGUUUCAAAUGCUGAAUUCUAAUAGGCAAUAUGCUGAACUGCCACAUGAAGAUACAUGAGAACAUCUUAAAUCAUUUUUAUUAAUUUGUGCUUCUUUUAGUCAACAAGGCGUUCCUGAUGACGCUUUGAAGAUGCAAUUAUUUCUUUAUUCCUUGCAGGGAAGAGCUCGUACUUGGUUCAUUGAGCUACCUGCCAGAUCAAUUACUUAUUGGAAUGCACUAGUAACACAGUUUGUUUUGCGAUUUAACCCGUCAAUAAUAAACGCUCGUCUUCGAAAUAAUAUUAUAGCUUAUCAUUAGUUGGACUAUGAGAAUCUUUACACCACAUGAGAAUAUUAUAAAUCUUUGUGUCGACGUUGUCUCAUGCAAGGCAUUCAACAGGAAACACAAAUUGAGAUUUUCUAUAAUGGGCUGAAUUCACACACGAUAAAUCUUGUCGACGCAUCAGUCAAUGGUCCUUUGUUGGAUUGUACUUAUAAUAAUGUUAUUGGAAUUCUUGAAAAAAUUGCUCAGAAUGAUUAUCAAUAUCCUAUCUCUAGAGCUGCACAAGCAAAAGCUAUUCCGGGAGUUAUUGAAUUGGACACAAUAUCUGCACUUAGUGAUCAAAUUUCUUCUGUUGCAAAUAUGAUAAAAAAAUAUGCAAGAGACUAGUGAUGUUGCACCUAAACAAGUCGCUCAACAAGUUGAUGUUCCUACUUUUUGUUGUGAGAUUUAUAAUGACAACCACAGCUAUGACAAUUAUCCACAACAUGCAAAGAAUGUCUUUUAUGUUAGUAACAUUUGUAACAAUUCUUAUGGCACCUCUUAUAAUAAUUCAACACGCAAUCAACAAUCUUGAGGGAAAUCAGAAUGCUGGACAAAAUGUUGUGACAUUCUGAUAUGGGAAUAUAUCUACGCAAGGCAAUUAUAAUUCAAGACAAGGGAAUUACAAUCAACAAAAGCAGAACUACAAUCAGCACACUCAGAUGCAUCCACAAGAAAGCCAGAUGUAUGCACAUCAGAAUCAGAGCCAGAUGCAUCCACAUCAGAAUCAGACGUAGCCACAACACUCUUCAAUGUCGAAUCAACAUGUUCAAGAACAUCGACGACAACAGUACACGCAAGCUUCUCCUUCUAACCCGUUAGUAGCUGUUGAAGCUUUUAAUGCGAGAACAUAUGACUCGCACAGAAGCUAUUGUGCUAGGGAAUUCAUCUUUUAUUCGGGCAUUGGAAGUACAAUUAGGACAACUUACUUUGAAUCUGAAUACUCGACCAUUGGGCAUACUACCUAAUGACACGAAAAAUAUCAGUCCGAAAAGGAAAUAACACUGUACAUCUAUCACUCUCAGGGGUGGUAAACAAACUGGUAAGUUGACUACAGACUCUACUAUAGCACUUCAAAAUACUGGUGAAGUACUUCCUAUUGAUAAGGUUGAAUCUGAAGAGCUUGUCGAUGUACCAGACAAAGAAGUUCCAUAAAUUGUCACUUAUAUGCCUAAUGUCCGACCCUCAAAAUUGUCGAUGCAAUCAAAGGUGUCGGCGCAAUCAUAUGUAUCUCCACCUUUACCUUUUCUAUAAAGAUUCAGGGAGAAUGAGCAGGAUAAGUAAUACCAACAGUUCCUGAACACACUGAAGCAACUUCAUGUCAAUAUUCCUUUAGUAGACGCUCUUGUGCAAAUUCUGAAUUAUGAGAAAUUUAUGAAGGAGCUCUUGUCCAAGAAGAAGAAGCUCAGUAAUAUGGAAACUAUUACACUCACAGAGGGUUAUAGUGCUAUUUUGACAAAUAAGUUCCCCCCAAAAAUGAAAGGUCUUAGGAGCUUUACUAUCCCAUGUUUAAUUGGAAACCAUUGUUUGGGCAAGGCUUUAUGUGACUUGGGAGCUAGCAUCAACCUAAUGCCAGUAUCUACUUUUAGAAAGUUGGGAAUUGGUCAAAUGAAACCUACUGCAGUGACAUUGCAACUAGCUGAUCGAUUAUUAGCUCAACCUGAAGGGCAAAUCAAAGAUAUAUUAGUUCAUGUGGAUAAAUUUUUUUCCAAUUAAUUUUAUCAUACUUGACUGUGAGGCAGAUAAGGAGGUUCCUAUAAUCUUGGGCCGACCAUUUUUAGCCACUGGACGAACUCUUAUUGAUGUUUACAAAGGUGAACUGACCAUACGACUUAAUGAUGAACACAUUACCUUCAAUGUUUUCGAAUCUAUUUAAUGUAAUGACAAAGAAGAAUGUCAUACUGUCUAUGUGCUAGAUGAUUUAAUCGAGGAAGAAUUCAAUGACCAAAGCAUAAUACUUUCUGAGGAGUUUGCAAUGACAUAUGAUGAUGAAUUCUUAGAUGAUUGUGACAGUAUAGUUGAAGUUAAUAAUAUUGAACUCAAUCAUGGAUGGCAAGUUAAAUCUUUAGACUUAGGCAACAGAACAGCUCCUAUUUUCAAGCCAUCUAUUAACGAAGCUCCUACUCUAGAAUCGAAACCAUUACCUACUCAUAUUCAAUACGUCUUUCUUGGUGAUAACAAUACUCUCCCAGUUAUUGUCUCCGCAACACUGGAUGUAACUUAAGAAGAGAAAUUGGUCAAUAUUCUUAAGCAGCAUAAACGAGUUAUUACUUGGAGUUUGCCGAUAUUCGAGGCAUUAGUCCAUCUUUUUGCAUGCACAAGAUCAAGUUGGAAUAUGAAGGCAAGCAAUCAAUUGAGCAACAAAGAAUAUUAAAUGAGAAGAUGAAAGAAGUUGUUAAGAAAGAAAUUUGAAAAUGGCUUGAUGUUAGAAUUAUUUACCCUAUUACUGAUAGUAAUUGGGUAAGUCCAGUGCAAUGCGUUCCCCAAAAAAGUGGCAUCAUUGUGGUUAGCACUGACAAAGACGAAUUAAUUCCUACAUGCAUUCUUACGGGAUGGCGAGUCUGUAUAGGUUAUCGCAAACUUAAUGCUGCCAAAAGGAAGGACCACUUCCUACUUCCUUUCAUUGACCAAAUGUUGGACAGGCUUGUUAGAAAAGCAUAUUACUGCUUCUUAGACGGCUAUUCUGGGUACAAUCAAAUUGCUAUUACACCGGAAGAUCAAGAGAAAACAACUUUCACCUGUUCUUUUGUUACUUUUACUUUUUGUCGUAUGUCUUUCAGUCUUUGCAACACACCAGCUACAUUUUCAAUGUGCAUGAUGGCAAUAUUCUCGGAUAUGAUUGAAUAUUAUUUAGAUAUUUUUAUGGAUGAUUUCUUAAUUCAUGGGAAUGAUUUUGAUCACUGCACUAACAAUCCGGAUAAAGUAUUACAGUGAUGUGAAGACACACAACUUGUUCUGAAUUGGGAAAAAUGUCAUUUCAAGGCAACUGAAGGCAUUGUGUUAGGCUAUCACAUCUCUAAUCAAGGCAUUGAAGUAGACAAAGCUAAAGUGGAAAUCUUUGAGAAAUUACCUCCACCGACAAAUGUGAAAGGUAUUCGCAGUUUUCUUGGGCAUGCGGGGUUUUACCAAAGAUUUAUUAGAGAUUUCUUGAAAAUUACAAAGCCUUUAUGCUCAUUAUUAGAAUAGAAUCAAAAAUUCCUCUUUGACGAUGCGUGUCUGUAUGCAUUCACUCAAUUAAAGACGUAGUUAGUAAAUGCACCCAUUGUCAUUGCACCAGAUUGGUCUCAACCUUUUGAAGUUAUGUGCGAUGCAAGCGACUUCACUGUGCGUGCUGUUCAAGGACAACGCAAGGGAAAAAUAUUUCACGACAUCUAUUAUGCUAGCAAAACUCUUACAGAGACUCAAAUCAAUUAUACCACUACAGAGAAAUAAUUGUUGGCUGUAGUAUUUGCUUUCAACAAGUUUUGUUCUUAUCUUGUCAGCGCAAAGGUUACCAUAUUUAUUGAUCACUUGGCAUUGAGAUAUCUUUUCGCAAAGAAAGAUGCAAAACCAAGACUGAUACACUGGAUCUUACUGUUGUAAGAAUUUGACAUCGAGAUAAAAUACCGUAAGGGUUCAAAGAAUCAGGUUGCAGACCAUUUGUCUCAAUUGGAAGUUGGUGGUGAAAAUGGAAACGUACUUCAAAUUGUCAACACAUUCCCAGGUGAGAAGUUAUUUGUUAUAGAUGCAACCCCUUGGUAUGUGGAUUUGGUUAAUUAUCUAAUGUGUGGAAAACUCCCAUUGGGUGUCACUUACCAUAAAAAAGAAAGAUUUCUUCAUGAAGUAGUGAAGUAUCAUUAGAACGAGCAAUAUUUAUUCAAGGUAUGCAAUGACAACAUUAUUCGGUGUUGUGUUCCGGAAGAGAAGAUGCUUUCAAUCUUGAAGCACUGUCAUGACGCUCUUUAUAGAGGUCAUUUCGAUGGCAUGCGAACUGCUGCUAAUGUUCUCUAAUCAGGAUUCUACUGGCCUUCAUUAUUCAAAGACGCCCACAAUUUUGUGAAUCAAUACGAUAAAUGUCAAGGCACUGGCUCUAUAUCCCGAUGCAAUGAAAUGUUGCAGCAGUCAAUUAUGGAGGUUAAAUUAUUCGAUGUUUGGGGUAUGGAUUUUAUGGGACCAUUUCCAAGUUUAUUUGGAAAUGUUUAUAUAUUAGUAGCUUUUGAAUACGUCUCGAAGUGGGUUAAAGCUGUUGCAGUCCCAAAGGAUGAUGCAAAGACAGUGCUUAAAUUUUUUCACAAGCAUAUACUCACCCGCUUUGGUAUACCAAAGGCAUUGAUUAAUGAUUAUGGUACACAUUUUCAUUGCAACCAAAUGGCAGCUGCAUUGAAGAGAUAUGAAGUUAAACAUAGAAUGGCUACUACUUAUCAUCCACAAACUAAUGGACAAGCUGAAGUAUCGAAUCAACAAAUUAAAAUCAUUCUUGGGAAGGUUGCGAACCCUUCGAGGAAAGAUUGGUCUUCCAGACUGGAUGACGCUUUAUGGGCAUUGCAGACAGGAUAUAAAACUCUAUUAGGGAUGUCUCCGUAUCAAUUGGUUUUUGGGAAAGCAUGUUACUUGCCAGUUGAACUGGAGUACAAAGCAAUGUGGGUAAUUAAGCAAGUGAACAUGGACUACGAAGCUGCUGGAAAGAAAAGGCUAUUGGAUAUCACUGAACUAGAGGAGAUUAGGCGAAAUGCCUAUGAAAAUGCUACAAUUUACAAGGAAAGGACCAAACGAUGGCAUGAUAGAAUUAUUUUGUAGUAACAAUUUAUUGCGGGUCAACAAGUUUUAUUAUUCAAUUCUAGACUGAAACUGCACCAGGGUAAAUUGCGCUCUCGUUGGUCUGGACCUUUUAAAGUUGUCGAAGUAUUUCCUCAUGGUGCAGUCACAAUUAGAGGUGUACAUAAUGGAUACUAGUUCAAAGUGAAUGGCCAGUGAUUGAAACAUUACCUUGGGAAUAUUGAUCAAAAGCAGGCAGAGACCAUUAAAUUGGUUAAAAAUUUUUAAUUUUUAUGGAAUUUAUUAUUAUGUAAUUUUAGUUUAUUUUUGUUUCUAUUAAAGUUUGUUUUACUUUUUUUUGCAGAAUAAUUAAGUACCAUUGUCGACGCACUUGGGCUUUAUUGUCAACGCAGUCCGUACUAUUGUACUAUCACUUAUAACUCAUUAAGAAUAAGAGCAUAUCAGAAAUUUCAGAUCCCACCGUUUGAUCAAAAGUCACCUAGCCGUCUGAUCUGUUUGAGCAGGCGCAAUUCUCAUUGGACAUAUUUAUUCUCACCAGCUUUAUUUCCCUUCACAAAAGUCACGCCUUUCCAUCUUCUUCUUUCACUCGCUAUAAAUCCCCUCCUCACUGUGCCGACUGUAACACAUACAAAGAAACCAUUUUUAUUAACUUUUUAUUCCCCAAGCUCGUACCUUACAACUUUAAACCAUCUUCACUCCACAAAACAAAAAAAAAUAUGGCAAGAAUGAGAGGAGCAGUCAAGAAAGCCACCAAGCCUGUUGAAGAACACUCAUCCUCUGCAACUGCAGUUCGUGAAUCAGAAUCUUCCAUGCCAAUGGAGAAAAAUAAGCCGGUGAUCUUUUUAACGAAAACGACCAAGGGCCAGUUUCAAGACAACAUUUUGAAGCGAAACUUCCACUCAGAACAGGGUAUUAUCCUUUCACAACAACAAGACUUGGGCAAGCAAGUCUACAAAACCAUCUCUAAGAUGAAGUGGGAGACUUUCUGCACGUAUCCUGGAAGCUAUUCUCCUUUAUUGGCAUGUGAGUUUUACGCUAACCUUUAUAACCAUGAGUUAGAGUUUAUCUUUGUUUGAGAAGGCUUAAUCCCAUGAGAUGCUAAACAAAUCAAUGAGCUAUACAACACUAAAGUGGAUGUAGAUGAACAUUUCGAGUUUAUUGAGGAUAUCACAUACGACAAAAGGGACAUGUUAGUGAAGGAUUUAUGUGUCGAAGGAGCAUUGUAGAUGGGUUAACACCAAAAGAAUUAUGUGAUGCACCACUACUUCCUGACAUUGCAAAGUAAAAUCUAGUUUCAUUUUGUCAACUGCAGGCUACUGCCCUCUACUCACAGCACCAUAAUCAACCUCGAUAGAAUGUGCCUAAUACAUUCAAUUGUUAAGGGCAGAAAGAUUAAUGUCGGUGCAAUACUCCACCAAGAAAUUGCUGACUGCAUCGCAAGAUAAACUAGAAUUUUGGGUUUUCCCGUCAUUGGUGAUGUUAUUGUGCUAGCAGAAAGGGAUCAUGCCCCGUGAUGAUGAUGAGAUCUUGGAGAAUAAGGGGCCGAUAAAUGAAGCCUCUAUUGAAAGAAUAACUCGUGGCAAAGAUACGCUAACAAUGAAGGAGGCGGAGACCAAUAAGACAAGGAAGGGCAAAACCAAGGUAGAAAGUAAGUGAACAAACCUGACUGCUAAAAUAUCAUUGUUGCGCAAAAUGUAGGAUAUCGAGAAGUUGGCCAAUUUCAUCAACAAUAAGUAGAUCAGACUUGUCACUACAAUAGAGGACAUGGACAUAUCACAAAAUUUGUUCUACGCUUAUACCAAGGCCUAUAACAACUCUAUUGUAGUUGUAUUUCCAGUGUUCCAAUCGAUUAUCUGAGAUUAUAAACCCUCAUCCGAGGAAGAUGACUUGGGGGAUCAAGACAGAUUAGUGGAAUCCUCUCCUAUUGUGCACAUCUUUGAUGAUGAGAAAAAAGAGGACUCAAUGGACAUUGAGGAGUGCAUACGAAAGACUGUAGCCUGGUCGAGGGUGAUUUCAUUAAUAGUCAAGAGGCACCUGCUAUUGAGGAGGAAGUUGAUGUGGGAGAGGAGGAAGUCCAUGUUGCAUUUGUGAACGAGAAGGUCGAGGAAAAAAUACUAAAAAAGAAGCUGCUGAGAAAGAAUCUACUGAGAACAUUUUCACUGCAUCCGAGUUUAUGGGUGUAACUACUGAUAAUCUGAAGUGAGAUAGAGCUAGAUUGGCGGAAGCUGCAGAGGUAACAAGUGAUAAGCACCAUAACUCAUUAGCGAUGGUGGUCUAUACCGGACCAAUCAAUGUGACCCCUCCUACACAAGAAGCAGCCGAUGAUGCUAGGGCAGCACCAGAAUCUGAGAAGUGAUCCGAGAACUGUGUGAAGCCCAAAGAAAAGAAAAGAAAGUGCUCCAAAGACAAAAAGUGCAAGAAAGAGGAGAAAAAAAGGAGGAAGAAGAAACAUCGUGUAGCCACAUUGAUGGCCGAGGAAAAUUGAGUUGGUUUAUUUUAAGUUUUAGUUGUAUAGUUUAUUUUAAGUUUUAGUUGUAGUAUUCAUGCAUUUCAUGUAGUUGUAAUUUUCAUUUUUUUAGUGCACAUUAUCGUUGUAUUUUUAUUGUCAUUACAUUUUAAUGUUAGUGCAUUGGGGACAAUGCAAACUUUAAGUUUGGGGUAUGCAUAUGGGUUUUGGAAAUACACCCACAUUUCAAAAAAAAUUUGAGUUUAAUGAAACAUGCAAGGUUUAUUUGUGGUUAAUGCAAAUGUGUUUGAAAAUUUUUGUUACAUUCGAUGCUUAAUUCUUGAAUCAUGUGAACUAUCAAUAAAUGAGUUGGAUAAAUUUGACUGAAUGUUGUAUCUUCAAUUCUUUAAUAAAUGAUUUAGGUUGCAUUAGUAAUGGAUGACUAGUAGCAUUCCUUGAAUCUUGAAUGAAUCUUCCUUUUAUAGUUGCUUCUAUGUAUAUAUAGUUAUGAAUAAGAGACACUCCAAAGUGGGUGUAUUGUGAAAUGUUAAAUAUGGAACACUCUAAUGCAAGCAUUAAGAAAUGAAUUUGGCCAAGGGCUGUCACUGCAUGAGUGUGUAUCAGCGCAAUUACGUACUCCCUGAGGGUUUGUUGCACUCCAUCAUUACUUAUCAAGAACAAAGGUAUAUUAAUGCAGUGAUAUCCUUUAUUCACAUAAAAAAGACAUAUAUUGUACAAUAAAUAUUGUAUUGGUAGAUAGAAUUUAGGAUUUAAAGCAUGAUGCUGGUUUUGAUGAAGUUGCAAUCUUAUUCAUUCAUACUUAUGUAUUAUCGAUGCAAUAUUCUGUCAUCUGAAUGUGACUCAUUCAUUGGGAUUUUUGUGUAUUGUCGAUGCAAUAUUCUGUCGAUGCAAUAUUCAAGUUGCUAGAAUGAUCAUUUGCCUUAAUGAAUUCUUGUGUAACCUUGCUAGUUUCUAUUUCACUUGAAGACAAGUAAAAACUCAAGUUUGGGGCUGUGAUAAUAUUAGAAAGAACAUAUGUUUUCUCCCUACUUAUUGGUUAAUUUGUACACAUUUAGUUAUCUUUAGCACAUAUUUUAGCAUUUUCAGUUCAGUCAAUUGUAUUUUAUAACUCAGUGGAUCUUAGCUUAUUUAUCCUUAAUUUUGUCAUGUUUUGGUACCAAUGUCGCUGCAUGAGCAUUUUUAGAUUGCGCCCAAAAUUGUUGUCGCACCUGACAGUUGUCCAAAUAAGAAAAAAAAAUGUGUGAGCUGUCCAGUCUGGUAUAACCAACUUGUACGUACAGAAACAACAUGAUUCUAAAAAAAAAAGACACCUGUGCUAUUUGGGGAUAAAUAUUAAUAUUGACGUGAAAAAAGAAUGAGGGGGUAUCAUCUUCUUCAACCUAUCUUUUGAAGCUUUUCGGCUAUGGCAGCUUAAGUCUCCUAUGGGUAAACUGGCGUGAAAGAGAUGCAGAUCAGUUCCUACGAGGAGCCCAGAGUGCGACAUAAGAGGGAGUUGAGAGAUCAAGUCGAGAUUUUCCAGGAAUAGUACUCUCCACUUAUUUCUUUUAUAUUUCUUUUUAAACAAUGGUGAUUACUUUCUAUUUCAUGUUUGUACGAAAGUAUAUAUGAUUUUUGGGUUAAAUGUUAUUUUAUUCAAUCUUGCUUCUACUGUUUAAUCUUUAGGUUUGAAUUUUUUAGCAUGGAAGUGUUAUUGCGGUCACUGACACUGGAAAGUGCAGCGACAGUUCAAGUAACAAGCAGGACAACAAAAGUUGCUUGAGGAUUAGAGGAAUUUAAUCCACUUGUCCUGAAUAGUGUUCCAUUACCAUCAUCGGAAGGUGUGGCUAAUGUGCAUGUUUAAGUCUUAGAUUAAAUAUAAAAGUUAAGUUUGGUAAGAUAUUCAUUGCAAUUUAAUGCAUCGACAAUCACCUAUCCCUUUAUACCUAAUGAGCACUUAGUAUUCUGUUGAAUAUUCACGUUGGGGAUCCCAAUUCAUCAUUAUCAUAUUUUAUCUUAUUGUUUUCAAGUUAUUGCUUCGACAAAUACUCUCACAAUUUAUCUCGUUGUCAUCUAUUUAUUGCACUGACAUUGAUAGACAAAAGACAACCAUCCUCGUGGGAUCGAUAUCCGACAGACUCAUAUCUGUCUACUAUACUUGCAUCGAUAGUGUAUGCUUACACAUUACUACUGUGACAUUAAACAGCCAGUCAGUGUACUGUACAAAUAAAAGUAUAUAUAAAUGAUGAUGAUAUCUCUAUUAAUUGGUAAGUGUAAGAAGCAUAGUAAAAAAAUGAUAUAUGCGAGGUUCUAUUUGAAUAGAAUAUUGGUAAUAAGCAUGCAGGUAACGUCUGAUACGAAAAGUAUAAAUCAGUCAGGAAAGCGAACAAAUUUGAGAAAGUGAAUACAAAAUCAAAAUUUUCAAUCAUGGUAGCCCAACUUGAUUAAAACUCUGUUUCACUUUCGCAUCCAUAAAAGCAUUUAUUAAAUUGUUCUUUGAACUCGACAUUGGCAAAACGACUAACAAGAUGUUGUUUAGCAUUAUUUGAAAUGUGUCACAUGUAUAAUCUAUGAGAAGAUUUUAGGAGGACAUCUCCACUGCUUUCAUCAUCGCUUGAUCUUGAUCAGUAAAAAUACUUUUCGGUUGCCCAUGGCCCAUGGCUUCUAAAAAUGUUUCAAAUAACCAACUAAAUGACUCAAUGGUUUCAUCUGAUAAAAAAACACAACCAAACAAAACAGUAUUCCAGUGAUUGUCGAUUCCGACAAAUGGAGCACAAACCAAAUUAUAUUUAUUGGUUCUAUAUGUGAUAUCAAACACAAGAACAUCUCAAAACAAUCGUAAUCCAAUUUUGAUCUCCCGGCUCUGCAAAAAAAUUAGCUAUUCGAUUAUUCUGGUCCACUUGCAUUUAAUAGAAAAACAUAAGGUCUUCAGCUUGCUUAUAUUUGAAAAAAUUGAUAAUGCUAUGUGCAUCCCCUGCUUCAAUUAUUUUCUUUCUUUCAAUUCGCAAGAAAUUAUGACAAUCUCGUUUGGUAAAUGUAAUAUUUUCAAACUCAAUCUCCUUCCUGAGAAACAAAUAUGAACUUGUUUGUUUGAUUCCUGCAGCAACCAUUGAACGAAUAACAUCUCCAAGUCCUUCUAAAAUUUUUCUUCCUGAUCUCAAAUUAAUUCUUUCUUUUGAAGUUGCUAAGUGGUGAUUAUGAUAAUCAUUAAAGUAAGAAACAACCCAAACACAUUUUUCGAUUGUAAAAUAAAUUUUAGCUUGACAACCUGUCCUUGUCUGACGAUUAAAUUUUUUCACUUUGCCAACAUCUUUGUGUUCAUGAUACCCAGAUUUUGAGCAUAAAUAUUAACGUUGCCUUAUAAGUUCAGUCAUACUUCGUCUCUUAUUUCCUCUUCGAAUACUAAACCCCUUACUUAAAGCUUCGGAAUGCACUUUCAGUCCCACUUUUAUUUCUUCAACGGGAUUAUAUUUUUUUCUCGACAAUAUGAACUAUUUCGUCUUAAUUUGUCUCCAUAAAUGAAAAUUAUAAAUUUAAAAAAUCAGAGAAGAAAUUUUAAUAUCUAAUAAAAAAUCAUGAUAAUACAAGAAAUCAUUAAAAAUUUUAAAAAAUCAAUUAAAAUCUAAUAAAAACACAGCUCGAAAAUCAUAUAGUUUUUUUUUCUAGCUCGCUAAGUCAUUAUUAUUAAAAAUUACAAUUCUUUUAAAGAUUCUAAAUACAACUAUAUUUCAAACAAAUGAAAAUCAAGUGGAAAUACUUGACAUCCCAAACAAACACAGUUCCACACCAAACUAAAAAUAUAUAUAUCUCUAUAACAUGUACCUGAUCACUAACCAAAAAAUCUCCAUAAUUUGCAGUGGUGUAAUGCAUAUUUAAUUUAAUCAUGUCUAAUAUAAAAAAAAACUUCAAUCAAUAACAACAACAAACAAAUUUGAAUAAUUGUAUCUUCUUCUCAAUUUUCAUGAUUCAAUCAUUAUCAUCAUUAUUAUCGAUUUGUGAAAAUAAAAACGAUUAAAAUUAAAACUUACCUUAAACAAAAACAGUAGCCAUCACAAAACAAUUGAAUUACAAUUACCUGGGGUUUGAAGGCAGCUGCGUGGCUAAGUUCCUUGGCAAGCUUUCUUUUCAGCCUAUGAAAAAAAAUUCUCUUUUUGGUCCUUCGUCUCAUACGUAAGCCGCAUCUACCUCAUCUUUAAUUCAGAUGGUUUUAAGCCCACUUCGAAUUGGGUGCAGCCAACAAUUGAAUAGAACCAAUUGCAACAACCACCAAUUGCCCAAAAAACAAAAAAUAAUAGCAGUAGGGAACAAUUGCAAAGACCUGAAGAGCCAACAAUUGAAUAGAACCAAUUGUAUUAGCCACCAAAUGCCGAAAAAAAAAUAAUAGCAGCAGGGAAUAGUUGCAGAGAUGUGAAGAGCCAACAAUUGAAUAGUAAAGCAGUUGCCGGAAAAAAAAAAUAGCAACAGGGGGUUGCAGAGCGUGAAGAGAAAAUUUUAAUUAGGGUUGAGUAAUUUUUAUUUGGGAUUUUAGGGAUUUAUUAUUAAAGAAAUUCAUUAAAUGAGGUAUGAAUGAGAUGUAAAAAUCAACUGACAUGUCAUUAAAUUAUUAGGAAAAGAUAUAGAUGAUGUGGUGUCACUGUUUCAUACAAUUCUUUCUUUUGAUUGAAGAGUGCAAGAUAUUCUUUUGACUUAUGAUUGCUAGUUUAUUAAAGCAUACCUUUUAGAUAGGUGUGAGCAAAACUUGAUUUAAUUUGAAAAUUUUGAAAAUAAAAAUUGAAUUUCGAGUUAAUCGAAUCGAGUUAUUUGAUUUUAUAGUAAACUCAAACAAAAAAUUUGAGUUUCAAGUUGAAUUUUACAAUUCAAAUAAUUCGAAUAACAAAUUGGUCUAAAUACCCUUUUGGUCCCUUUCAAUUUUAAAAAUGAGCAAAUUAGUCUCUCUCAACAAAAAUCACAAAAAAAUUCAAAAUAAUUUUCAAAAAUUCAAAAUAAUUUUUAAAAUUCAGAAUAUUUAUAAAAAAUUCCAAAAUUUUUAUUUUUUAAAAAUUUAUAAAAAAAUUCUAAAUAAUAUAUAAAAAAAGUUAAAAUUUUAAAAUUUUCUAAAAAAUAAAUUAUUCAACUUUAUCAAUACUAAAGUAUCUUUUUUUUUUCUUAUUUUGCUUUGAAAAUGUUUUCAAGCAUAUAUGGUUUCAAUUUUUUUUACUUUAUGUGCUAUAACGUGAAAUUAGUUAUACUGUAAUAAGAUUUUAAUUUGACAUGUUUAAUUUCUUAAUUUAACUCGAAUAAUUUCACUCGAUUCGAUUCAACUUAAAUUUUAUUUCACUUGACUCGAUUUGAAAAAAAUUCAAAUCAAAUUAAGAUGAUAAAAUAAGAUUCACCAAUUCAAUUAACUCAAAAAUUUUUCACUUUAUUAGAUCAAACGUUGACGCUACUUCUAGGAAGGGAACAAAUGCGCGAAGCAUUAACUUGGUUAAGGAGCAAUUUUCAAACUACCUCUCCUUCCGAUGUUCUUAAUUUCUAGAAUUUGCUUUGUAUUUGUGGUACUCCUAGUUAUGUAAACCUUUUGCUGGUAGCUAAUGUGUAAGGGUACGCCUUGAACAAUAUUUUAAUUUUGCGUUUUAUGAAAUCCAGUUCCUUUUCCACCUAAUAUAUUUUAAUAUAGAUAAUAUUUUUAUUAAUAUAAUAGAAAUAUAAUAUCGAUUUAAAAUUGUACAUACAUAAGAAAUAUAAUUAUAUUGAUAAAUUUAACAAUUAAAUUAUUAAAAUAUUUAUCAUACAAAAAUUUAAAAUGUGUAAAACUCCAUUAGUUUUAUCUUGAUGUAAACGAAUCACUUCUCUUAACCUUUUAAAUAAAGAUAAAUUAUGCUCCAAGUCUCUUUCGUACAUUUAAAAUUUAAUCUCUCUAGUUUUAUUUUUAUAAAUCUAGUCAUUUUAUCUUUUGAAUUUAAAAAUCUAGAUCCAAUUGCUAAUAUUGUUAAAAUUCUUAUGUUAUAUUCACUGGUGACAUUUUCGAAAAAGAAAUACUCAAUUAGUUAGUAGACAUAUAAGGAAAAAAAUAUGUAAAUUAAUAAAUUUUAAUGAUAUUACCAAUUAAACUUGUUUUUUUUAAAUUCAAAAAUUAAAGAGACUAAAUUACUUAAAAUAAAAAAAAAAUUAAAUUUCAAAUGUACAAAAAGUUAACUUGAAGCUCAUUUUACCCUUGAAAUGGAGUUAUAUGUAAAAGAAAGACAUAAUAGCAAAUUUAACUUCUAAUAUUUACUUCUUUUCUAACUUUGCUCCUAUUUUCUUCUUUUUUUAUCACUUUAGCCCUCCAACAUUUAAAUUUUAAUCACUUCUUUUGUAACUUUGCUCCUAUUUUCUUUUAUUUCUUUUUUUUUCACUUUAACUCUCAAUACUUAAAUUUUAGUCAAACUUUUUUUUUUUUACAGCAAAGUUAACUAGACCACUAAUAUGGCAACCUACUUGGAGUUCAUGUUUACUUAAUAAAAAUACAUAAAAAUUAUUAAAAUAUUAAAAAAAGAUGAAAAAAAAGGUUCAUAAUAACAUUAUCCAGAAAUUAAGUACAGGUGGCCAGCAAUCUUAUUAAAAUUUUAAGAGUCCAAUCAAAAUUUUCCAUUGGAAAAACAACAAAUUGAUUAAAUUUUGAAGGUUUAGGACCACAGGGAUAGAAAAAAGAAUAAGGCCCAAAGUGAUAGAAAGGUAAACAUUAGGGGUUAAAUUUAUCGACAAGAAGAAGGAUGAAAUCAAACAUCAAUAGUUCAUUAUAAUAAAGAGAUGAGCUAAAGCAUCUGAAACCGACAUAGUCUCACUGUACAAAUAUGAAAUGGAAUAUAUGAAAUGGAAUGCAAGCAACUGCAAAAUCUUCUCGUAUGCCACACUCAUCAUAUGGAUCAAGAGGAAGUCUUUUUACUCUUUUUCUUGGCUGUUUUCGCAAUCGCAUCGCAUAUCUCUUUCUUCCUUUUGUUGUUAUAGUUGUUGUUGCCACCUGUGCUCAUUGCACUCCUACUCUGAAGCUCCAAAGCAUCCUUCACAAAAAAUUUUAACCUCCAUAGGGUAGAUUCACUCUGCACAAGCAAUAAAGUAAUUCCCCAAGUCUCAAACAAUUCCAUAUCGAAACCUUGAUUGAUCAAAUCAAAAGAUAUAAUUAUCGGGAUUAUCUGAUUAUACCUGAGCAUCAAUGUCAAUCUCCACUUCUUCAGCCAUUGCUUGAAAUGCGGGAUUACUUUGAGCAAUAAUCUCCAAUGCUUUAUUAAGAUCCUCCAUAGACAAUCGGGCUAUGGCUGUCCCAAGAUUUCUUUUCUCUUCGGUUGACAUUUUCCUAAAACAUCAUUUACAAAACUUGAUAUAUUGUUCCCAAAUCCGGUUUUUAUAUCUACAUAAACAUCUAUAAGUGUAUAUAUACAAGGCAACUAACAAAAGAACACUCAUCAACCUUAACCUGGUUCAUUCUUUUAUUUCAGAAGCCAAACUUAUAAUGGCAAUCCUAACCGCAAGUAUUUGUGGACAAUGCUAGUCAAUCGUACAUAACAAUAAACAACAAAUCUUACCAUUCAAAAGGCUACGAUAAAAAACAUACAGAUCAUUUGACUCAUCUGAAUUAUUGUCAUUCUCACUUGUUUACAGAAAAAUAACCAACAUAUGCACUCCGGAUAGUCUAACAUGUACCGAAAAAGACAGGGAAGUAUAAACAAAGAUAAAUACUAUCAUAUCAUAUAAAUUUUUGCUAGACUCAAAAACAGAUGAAUACACAUCACACUAGAUAGCAAAAUCUUUUGAGGUCUAAAACCAACCUGCACUUCUGGACGACAGUUUCUCUGAGAUGUUCCAAAUGUGUAUCGACCUCAUAAAGCUGAAAAGAAUUUGAUAUUUUUUUAAAUAUUCAGGUGAUUGAACUACAGUAUGGCUAGGAAAACUGAUGCCAGCAGUCCAGAAGAUAUUGACGAGAUGUGUUUACAGUGCUAAUUACAUUUUGAAAUAUCUUUAAAAGCAAGUUGCUGAACUUUAAGAUACCUCAUUGCAUAAAUCACGGACCACUUUCGCAUGAGCAGCUUCUCGCACAAGCUGCAUAUCUAGCUGUGCUUCCGCCUCCUCCUCAUCUCGUCUUCUCUCCUAUGAGCACAAAAUACAGGUUUUCCAUUUAAAAUGUCAGGAAAAAUAGGAAAUAUUUACCGGUUUUCUUGAGCAAAAUAUAUGCUACUGAAUCCAGGGAAGUUAUUGAAUACAAGCCAAGAAAUCCAAUCCCGAGAUAGUCGUAUUGGGAUAAAGCCCAAAUGAGCUUUACCUCUUCAGUGACUUUAGGAAGAAGAAGCUGCCAUUUCUCCUCAAACUUUUCCAGCAAAGUUUUGGCCAUUAGAUGAACGUCACUUCCUUCAUCAUUAUAUUUCAUUGCAUUAUUGAAAACCAAUCUUACAUCAGCACAUAUAUCUCGAACAUUCUUAUAUCCGGUACCAUCCUUGGCCUCCAUUUGGUUUUUUAUCGUACUGAAGUCCAUUGGCUUUUCAAUAAUCUAUAGCACAGAAAAUAUUAAACAAAUUGAUCAAUAAAAGGACACGAAGCAAUUCAGAAAAUCAUCUAAAAAGAUUCAGAAAAACACUAAUGGCAUCCUCGUAUGUAACUUGGACUUGGAUGUAAAAUUCAAAUAUGGUUGUGUGUCCAAUAUGUUAUGUUUAAUUUUUUCCAAGUUCUUCCAUGUAUUUGAAAGAUCUUUGGCAGGUCAUACUCAUAUCUCCAUACCCAUAUUUGAAUAUGUGUUGGACAUAAGUACUUCAAACAAGAUGAAGAGUCAGAGCAACAAUGGUAUCUGCAGCAAUAUUUCCAAGUGGACACUACAGCUUGACAUGCCUAUAAAUGGGACACUAAAAGUCUGUAAUACUUCUACCUCACAAGUUCAAAAAAGCAUCAUAAUAUACUAACUUAGAAGUGCCAAUAUGAUGAUCCAGUUUAUACAUCUUUAUCACAUAAGCAGAGGUAAAGUCCAUAAUGAAAUAAUAUUCUUAUUUGUCAUGAUGAUAGAAUGGGCCUCAUCUUUCAAUAUUGCUUGAAAAGAAGUUGAUAUGGUCAAGAAAUGCAGGUGCAAGCGCCGCAUGCCUUUAAAAAUGGCUCAAGUUAUAACAGUCUUGUGUCAAAAAACAUGUCAAAUACCAUUCAAAUUCAUAGAUUAUGCUCAUCCCUAAGCUCAAACCAGAAAAGUAAGAAGUUAAAAGCAUGUAUUCUGGAAAAAUGAAGGGAAAAAAAAAAGCAAUACAAUUACCUCAUAGUAAUCAUGUAAACCAAGACCUUUGACAUCUACAGGUUGCAUAAACGGCCAUGCCCACUUGUGCUGUGUAAUCUGAAAGGGAAACCACACACACAUCAAAAGCAUUUACUUCCAACCUAUCACAUAAUAGGGUUAACAAGCACAUUUCCACAUUUACAGUUUAGCUCCUUUUAUAUAAUCUUGGCGGGGUGGAUGUGGGCAGUGGCACAGAGCGAUUGUUAUUCAACUGGUAGAAGCAUGACCAGCAGUCUUCAAUAUAUAUCACAACAUAUUCCUCUAUGUUGCAUGAUAUAACUCAGAAUAACAGCAACAAUUACAUCAGCAAAUAAAAAUGUCAUGAAAUUGGAAAAAGAUCAUGUUUGAAAUAUCAUAUCACCCUUGUAUGAAAUGCUUAGUUAGUUUAAUCGAACCAGAUAUGAAGAUGGUAAUGGAGUUUUCAAGAAUCUUAAACCAAAAGUCUAAAUUAAUUAUAAAUGCUCGAAACAAACUUCAAAUAACUGCUAUAAUUUCUAAUUCACUCAUUACCAAUGUUUAGCUUGAUUGAAGACCUCAAAGACUUAAAGCAGCCUGGCUACCAAUGAAGUAUAUGCUAGGCAAAAGGCUUAAAAGCCAAGAUCAUUUUGAUUAAGAUAACAUUUACGGCAUAAGGUAACUGAAAUCAAACAAGCACUUGCAGAGAAUAAGUGGUUACCUGACGCACUAUUGUGCCAAAUUGGCGCAUAAGCUCUUGCAUUCUCUUUGCAGCAGCAGCUUCCCGUCGCGACGCAUCUUGUUGCUGCUUUUUAAUGCUUGGAACUUGUCUUCCCUUAUCUCGUUCCUUUCCCAUGGAGCUUCCUUUAGAACUGCUCUGUUGCUUUUUACUUGAAUUCAAGUUGAAUUGUUCCACUUCAUUCACCUUUUGCUCAAGCUAAAAGAAGGAAAAAAAAUUAACCAAUAGUUCAAUUUAAAUUAAAAAAUCCAGAAACUGAGAAUCCAGAAGCAGCAUGCUUUUUCCUUUUUGGAACUAAAGCACUAAGAUCAGCAUUGUAUUUACAAAAUUUAUGGAAAUAGUCAAUAGAAGCUAAUACGGUACCAUAUUAUAUGGAAUAUAAAAGUACAUUCCCUACCCUAUUCAUUAUAUACUUCUAUUUUGAAGGUUAUACUCCUACAUAACAGUAAAACAGAUACAAACAAGUGCAAUUAUACAAUUAUUUUUAGUAGUCCAUCUUUUAACUGUAAACCAUUAAAUAAACUCAAGAGGAAAGAGAUGUCACAAAGUCCUAAUUUAUCACUUACCUCGUCAACCUUUUGAAAGAUUUCAUCAACCCGGAUUUUGAACUGCUCCGCUUCCGCACUAUUAUCUUUCGAAAUUCCAGUUUCAGCAAUUUCAAAAUCAGGAAUUGAUGCCAUUACCUGUUCCAUCUAACCAUAAAAUGGAAGACGAAAAACUAAUGAAUGCCAUGUAACUAUUAGAUCAUAAGCAUAUACCAGUAGAAACAUAUGCAAUCAUGGAAGUACAAUGAGAAUACAUACAGCAGCAAUACCAAAAGGAAACAGGAAAAUUUGAGGAAAAACUAUACAGGACUUAUAUCACUAUAGUUUUGAAGGACAAAAAAUUCAAAAUUCUUACAAUUAUCAUAGGAAACACCAUUUUCGAAUUUGUAUAGCCAUUAGAUAAAAAAGCAAACUUCCCCACAAUUUUGCCAAUCAAAAUUCAAAAUUCUCAACAUCCCCAUCAUUCCUAAAAUGAAGAAAAACAAGAACCCAAAAUUCAAAAAAGCCUAAUGCAUAUCCACCUAUUCAAACUCAUUCAGUCAAGUCUAUAGGUCUUACAUUUCAACUUCAAUACCCCCCACUAAAAAGAAUUAGAAGAAAGAUUGAUGUUCUUUAAAACAGAAACACUAAACAAGUAAAAAGUAACCCCCAAAAAAGGGGGACAUUUUAACCCCUUUUUUUUUCCCUUUUGGAGGGGUUCAACAUAAAGAUAAAAAACCAAAGGUUUUCAAGUAAACCCCAUUAUCAGAUCAACCCCAAAAGAGCACAAAAACUAAUCAAACUUCCAAAAAAAGAAUGAUUUGAAGACAUGAAAGAGAAGAACAAGUGGAAACACAUUCAAAUACGUAUAAAAGGUACGGAUAAACAUAAGAAAACGUAGAAACGUAGAGAGAAAAAGCUACCAGAGAAGAGGGGGAGUUCAAUUAAGGAAAUGAAAAACCGCUUAUAAAGGAAAUGGGAAAUGAAAAAUGAUUGAAGGGAGAGUUUCGCUUUCAAGUUUCAAAGGACUAUUCGGCCGUCGCGUUUCUACUGCUCUGGGUGCGAUGCGUGCUCGGCUCUUAUGGUUUUUUUGUCUCCACCAGAGGGAAACGAUGUCGUUUUCCUUUGUAUUCUGUUACAUCACAAAUAUUAUGAUCUUGUCGUACAAUCAAUUAUUAAUGUAAAUGUGGUUAAAUUGGUAAAACUUUGUCAUAAGUCCCUGUACUAUUCAUAAAUUUAAAAUUUAGUCUUUAUACUUUUGCUUUUAGUAACUUAGUUUCUAUACUUUUCAGAUUUUAAACAAAAUUUAAGUUCAACUCUUAACACUAUUAAAAUUAUAUUAUUAAUUUUAGGUUCAUUACAAUGUCGUUUGUUUAGUUAUAUUACACAAGUGAGUUUUUUAUUUAUUUCAAAAUGCCAUUACAACAAAUUUAACAAAAGAAAUUUAACAAUAUUAAAAUUGAACUUGAAUUUUGAAAUCUUAAAAAUAGAUGGACUAAAUUACUAAAAAUAAAAAUUACAAAGAUUAAAUUUUAAAUUUGUAAAAAAGUAUAAGAAGGUAUGACAUAUUUUAGCCUCAUUAAAUUAUAUAUUUUAAGUCUAAUCAUUAAACUCUUAAUUAUAUAUCAGUUCAACUCGAAAUUAAUUAAAAAAUAAAAAUUAUAUUUUUAUUAUAAGGGUAUUUAUGUAUUUAAUAAUUUCAUAAUUUUUAAACCUUUUGGGAAUAUAAAAUUUCAAAUUAAAAAAUUAAAAUGAAUGAGUAGUAAAAUUAGAAUAAUCAAAGUUAUUUGGAUGCAAGUCCAAACCUUUAAUAUAAAACCAAGAAAAUGAGAAGAAAAUAAUAUUUAUCUCCAUCUCCAAAACAAAGAAAUGUGCCAAAAUCCAAACCAAAACUCUAAUACCUGUAUUUAUCAGUCAAGUUUAAUCUAUCAAUUAAUAUUUAUUACACAUUUUUUACUAAAUAAAUGUGCAUUAAAACAAACCAAAGUUUAGAUAUCAAAAUGCUAGGUAUAACAAACAUUCAAAGCCAAUAAGAGUCCAGGAAUCCACCUAAAAUCUCCUGUAUUUAACAUGGACACAUUUUAAAGAGUUUGAAACUACUCAACGGACUCACCACCGCCUAUCAAGAACCCAGUUCUGCGAACAAUAUCCUCGACGGUGAUGACUUGAAACUAUAACUAUUGAAACAACUGACUAUGAUGGGCAUAACAAAAGUUAUGUUGUAAUGAUAUAGUUUGGUUGGAUCAACUAAAAUCCGCACGGUUCACUUGCCACCCUUCUUGGCAGCAGACUUGGUCACCUUGGCUCCAGAUGGAUCUUUCUUCUCCACGCUCUCGAUAACGCCGACAGCAACAGUCUGCCUCAUGUCCCUCACAGCAAAACGACCCAGUGGGGGAUACUCAGCGAAGGUUUCCACAACCAUGGGUUUGGUGGGAACCAUCUUAACAAAUCCUGCAUCACCAUUCUUCAAGAACUUGGGUUCCUUCUCAAGCUCCUUACCAGAACGCCUGUCAAUCUUGGUCACCAGCUCUGCAAACUUGACUGCAAUGUGGGAGGUGUGGCAAUCAAGGACAGGUGCAUAUCCAUUUCCAAUCUGCGCUGGGUGGUUCAUGAUGAUGACUUGGGAAGUGAAAUUAGCUGCCUCCUUGGCAGGAUCAUCCUUCGAGUUCGAAGCAACAUAUCCUCGCUUCAGAUCCUUCACAGCAACAUUCUUGACAUUGAAGCCGACAUUGUCACCUGGAAGAGCCUCUGUAAGAGACUCAUGGUGCAUCUCAACAGACUUAACUUCAAUGGUCAAUCCAGAGGGACCAAAGGUUACAACCAUACCAGGCUUGAGGAUACCAGUUUCAACACGACCCACGGGGGACAGUUCCAAUACCUCCAAUCUUGUACACAUCCUGAAGUGGAAGAAGGAGUGGCUUGUCAGAGUUGGACCCUUGUACCAAUCAAGGUUGGUGGACCUUUCAAUCAUGUUGUCACCUUCAAAACCGGAGAUGGGGACAAAAGGAAUCUUCUCAGGGUUGU